rnacentral:lncRNA from 1 species
AAUAUUUUGGACCUAAUAAGAAAUGCUAAUGCCGCAGCUUUGAAAGAUAAUAAAUAGGACGAUAAAAAGGGAGAAGAGAAAAUUGUGAAAAUAACCACGGAGACUUUUUAGGUUUUCUCACGAGAAGGUUAAUCAGAGGGGGAGGUGAAGAGAACGGGAGAUUGAUUGCAAAGCAAAUUAAGAAAGUGGUUAUUGAAGGCAAUCUUACGUGAUUGAAUUUGAUCUGAAGAUGAAAGUUGGUUAAUCAUCGGUUAUGUCUAGGUCUUGAAUGUGAGAAACUUUGGACCACUGGGAGUCGGGGCCGCUGCUCCCAGGAGUGCAUCUUUCUUUUAACAGAGGAGAACCAUGGACCUGCAGACGUUUUAGUUUGGUGAGACUUCUCAUGGCAUCCUCAGAGGGUAGAUGUCCAAGCCCUUUGAAACCAGUUAACCGCAGCGCUUCAAGAGUAGCGAAGUUUCCGAACCAAUCUGGCAGAGCUUUUAUACCUCCAAAGCCACGUAGCGUUAGUGACGUGAGAGUGGUCAAGUAUUGGAUCUGAGGUGGCAGUGACUCCAUGUGUGGCAACCCAUAUAAUACUAAUCGACGGAGUGCGCAUGACGAAGAGGAGGAGGAGGAGGAUAUCAAUCCAGACCAAUCAAACUCAUUGUAAAUUGAAGAAUUUUCAUGAUCAUCACCAUCAUCUGAGAAGGGACCAAUUUCAAGCUCCCUUAAGCUAGUUAGGAAACCAAAUCCUUUGGGCGUCAUGCUUGUUUUCAGUUUGGGACACCCCAAUAAUUUCAGCUCCGAGAGAGAAGGCGUUUGUUGCAAAUCAGGCGGAAAGGAGAUAAGAUUGUCGCACCCACUCACCUCAAGCUUCUGGAGAGAGGCACAAGAGUGUAGAAUGUCACCGGGCAGAUUCGUUAACCCAUCACACUUAUAAAUCUCCAGCUCUUUAAGAGACGUAAAGUUUUGUAGGGGAUGGAGUUCUCUGCAUCUGUUGCAGCAAUUAAAUUCCAAACGCGCUAACUUGGGGAGUGUUGUUGCUAACUUGGGGAUUGUUGUUGUUGUUGGCAAAUCCAUUAACCAUCGAGGAAAUUGAUCGCCCAUAAAAUUCCAAAUUACCAACUCCUCCAAAUUUGGGUGGGGUCGAAGGCUGUCUAACACAUCUUCGUCGUUGUAAUUGUCGCCUUCUCGAUCAUCUGCCCACUCAAGUUCCAGCCUAAAUAGAUUUGCCUUUUCAGAUAGUUUUGCUUCCUCAGCUCCUUUCUUAUCCGUUACUAGUUCCAGAUUGCGUAUCUCCAAUUUGCCUUUGAGGUUCUUCAAGCUUCCAAGCUCUCCAAUUCGCCGACCCUUCUCUCGACCCACGUUAAAGAACUCUAGCGUCCGAAGGCAAGUCAGCCGUCCCAUCUCUAGCGGCAUUUGAAAUGUUUCAUCAAAUGUGUAAUAGUGGAGAUGUCUCAAACUAAUCAAAUUGCACAUCCUCUCCGGAAGACGGUCAACAUCUGAGUGACUUAGCGUCAAUGUCUGCAGAUUAUAAAGCUUGCAAAGGGAGUCUGGCAAAAUACUGAUUGCAGACCACUUAAGGUUAAUGUACCGCAAAUGUAUCAGUUUGCCAAUUGAGACUGGUAGCUCUCGAGUUCUUGUAUGAGACAAAUUCAAAACAUACAAGUUCUUCAACUUCAUUAACAUAUCACCAGAUAAGUAACCUUUUACAAACAAUGUAUGAAGCGAAGUUGAUAGACUCUCCAAAAGUUUUUCUCUGUCUUCUCCACCACCAAAUAAGUCUGUUGCAAGGUAACGAAUCUGAUUACCAUUGCCUACUAUACUCGUAUCCCUAUCAAUAAUGACUUUGGUAGACUUUGACAUUAACUCGGCAAGGUCGUGCACCAGAUCAUGCAUCUUAUAAGAUGUUGAUGUUUCUGACUCAUCAAUUAUUUCUUCAAACAAUGAACUCUGCAAUAAAAUUCUCAGAUAAUUAAUUACAUUUUCCUCCAUCAUCAUUUGGCUGUUGAUGUCUGCUUGGAGGAAACCUUCUGCCAUCCAAAGCUCGAUUAGCAUAUCUCCUUCCAUCUCAGUAUCCUUAGGAAAUAUAGAACAAUAUGCAAAACAUUUCUUAAUGUAUGGAGAUGGCAAAUUAUCGAAACUCAACUUAAGUAUUUGCAUGACACGAUCUUCAUCUCCACUCAAACUUGAAAGCCUAUUCUCCAAAAUUGAUUGCCACUCCUCUUUUCUCUUUAAAGAUAAUAGACCUCCAAUUACACUUGCUGCCAAUGGUAGACCAUCACAUCUUUUGAUUACUCUCUCUUUAAUUGCUUUUAGUUCAUCAGGUACUUCUCCGCCUCCAACUACUUUUUCUUUUAGGAUAGACCAGCAAAGAUCAUCAGGUAGCCUUCCUAAGGCAUAGGCUUCAUCAUCCAUCCUCAGAACUUUCAACACAAUAUCUGCCAGUUGACCAAUACGAGUAGUGACAAGACACCAGCUUCCAUCAGUUGGAUUGAGCCCCUUCAAGGUGGUGAAAAAGUCAUCCCACAAUGCCUGAUUAUCAUCCCACACAUCAUCAAGGACAAGGAAAUAUCUUUUUCCCUCUAGUUGAUUCUGAAUUUUUCCAACGAUGACAUUCCUAUCAUCCACUUCAACCUUUUCUCCCGUCAAUUGCACUAGUAUGAGUUUGAAAAGUUCCACUACUGGAACUUUUUUUGAUACGCAAACCCACAACUUUUUCUGAAAGUGCCCAUCAAUUUGGUGAUUGUUGUAUAUCGAUUUAGCCAAAGUUGUUUUGCCUAGACCUCCCAUACCAGUUAUGGGAAGACAAGAGACAACCUUCUCAGAUGGGCUCAACAGCAUCUUCACUAUCUUUGAUUCAUCAUCGGCUCUUCCAGUCAUUGGAACAGCAACCGAGUCGGUCUGCCUAUUUCUUCUGUCUCCAGCAUCAGCAGCAGCAGGGAGGGCAGCUGUCAUGACUGCCCUGCCGAUCAGUCCCAAUCCAUCGGCUUCUUGAUUGAUCUCAUUCAACUUAAGCUUGAUGUCCCUGACCUUAGAAGCCAUUCUCCAACGGAAACCAACGGAGUUAGAGCAGGAGAAGAAGCAACAUACCUUGCUCUUGGGUUGGUUCCGGGACUCCACCUUGCAACGAAGAGAUUCGUAGUUGAGCUCAUCCAACACAUUGCCAGCAUCAUAAGCAACUUCCUCCAGACUCUUCAACCAUUCUUGGACUCCCCGGUCCUGGUUUUGUUGCCUUUCCUCAGCAUCAGCCAAGAGAGCAUUGAUAAAGGUAAGAGUUCGACUCAUGCUGGCCAGAUCCUUCUUGAACCCAACUAACAUACCAAUCCUAUCAGUGGCAAGAGAUACUGCCGUCUCCAAGGCAACCUGAAUAGUGGCACUAAUGACAGCGUCGGCCAUUUUCCUUUCCUUGUAUGGGGCUUAAUAGCUAGGAUGCUUUGUUCAUAUCAGAUUGGUGAUUUCGUUGUAUGUAGCUUGCUAGGAUGCUUUUUCCUAUCAGAUUAUAAAGAUGGGGAUGGACAGAAGGGUAGAGGCUUUCGUCAAAGUUUUGGUGAGAACCGAUUUAUUUAUUUAUUUUUCAAAUUUAGAAUGGGACCGUGGGUUCCGGUGGUAUGAACUGAAGUAUGGUGGAGCCACUAAGCGAGUUAUGUAAUUUACCCAAUUUAUAAAGGGUUAUAUGUAAUUUAUCCAAUUCAGAAUGGGCUUCUUCCCCGGUUUUAGUUAAUUAUAUUGUUGCAGCUAGUGCUUCAGUUCACGCUAAUGACAGGCGGACUCAGGGCCGGAACGGUUGCAGGUGCAACCGUUUCGGAAGCUCGUGUGCAUUUUGCACACGAUGUAACAUCAUUUGUACGCGAACAAUAUUUUAUGGAAUCUACACAUAUUAAAAUCUGGACCUUACAAUUUUUAUUGGUCAAAUCUUGACCAUUAACUGGCAGGAACGGUUACCCCUUCUUAUGCCAGGCCAGGCCCUUGGGUUGCUGAAAAUAUGUCUAAUCCUUGAUAUUUUUUAAAAAAGAAUACUGGAAAAAAUCGAACUGGAUAUUAAAAGUACAUUUCCAUCUAAAAUAUUCCAACAAUAAAACUACUAGAAAAGUAGUAUAUAGAACAGCUAACAUUUCCAGCUAAAAUAUUAACAAUAUACAAAACUAGCAGGAGAAACUAUAUAUAUAGAAAUGGAUGGGUCACGUUCGCGUCUCAAUUGUUAAUUUGUUAUUGUGUCAGCGCGGCGGCUUUGGCCAUCUCAAUUAUUACCGCUGCACCAACGACGAGUGUAUGCAGAAAAAUCCUAAACAAAUCAUCCAAUGAGGGUUUCUCAGCUUAGAAAGAAGAGCGCUGCUUCUUUUGACAAACUUGCAAAUGCAUUCUCCACAGAACCAACUAACAUUUCCAUCUAAAAUAUUACCAACAACAAAACUACUAGAAAAGUAGUAUAUAGAACGUACUCUCAAUUGUUCUUAUAUUAUAUUAGGGCGGCUUGGCUAUCUCAAUUAUUGCACCUGCACCAACUAGUUUGUCCAGAAAAAAAAAAUCUAAAGAAAUUAUCCAAUGAGAUCUGCCAUUUUUUGUCCCCGUGAAACGAUGAGAGCGAGUGUUCGGAUCAGGAUGAGUUUUGCAGCAUGGAAGGUAUUAGUAGCAUUGCAAGGGCUUGCUGUAUGGAAAAAAUCCUAAGGAUAUUUCGUCGUGCCAGCUACAAACAAAUAGCACCAGCAAGCGCUAACUGUUUGGAUUGCAUUUUUUUAGAUUUUUUGUAGAAAAAUUACUGUAGCAAUUUAAUAUAUGUGAGAUAAAAAGGUGAUAGGGAAAUGUGUUCACGAAAAACGUAACAAUUUUUUCUUGAAAAACUGUUGUCCAAACAGGGCCUACUCGGCAAUUUUGUGCUAGCGUAGUGAGAGCCUGCAGGGUCACGCUAAGCUGAGUCUACUGAGUGUAAAGAUACUCGGCUCGUCAAGACAGCUCCAUUUUAAAUAUUUUUAAUAAUUUUUAUUUCAUGCAUCUCUCUAAUAUUCUUUUGGAUUAAAAAUAAAAAAUCCCCUUGUGGUAUACCUAAUAUAUAGAAAAACCCUCCGUAAUUUCAAAAUAUACAAAACGACACUUCAUGUUUUGAACUAAAUUGUAAACUAACAGAAUUUAAUCACCAACUCUAAAUGUGUGACUUUUUUUUAACAACUUUGAGUGCCAUCCAAUUUUUAUUUGUCAACCUUUUUUUUUCAAUCAAAAGGAACACUAACUCAAAAAGAAAUGCUCAAAACUACUACCAAAAUAUGGUAAUUCCAUCAAUCUAAAAUGCAGUAUGAUGAUGAUAAUUUCUUCUCCAAUUUAGAAAGAAAAUGUAUCCCCUGUAAAGCACCAUUAAAAGCAUUCUAUCAUAAUGUGAAGCUAGUGGUCGUAAAUGCUGAUCAAACAAUAGAUUUGGUAAUGAAAACUUGACACUCUUUCCUUAUAUUUGUGCUAAGAAUUGCUUUGGAAAGUAAUUCAUCUUUAUAAUCUAAGGGUAUUUGCUGACAAAAUUUAAACCAAGCUAUUUAGAAGUUGGUAUGGUAGUUUUGGAAUUAGAUUUAUUAUAUAGUAACUAGAUUUAAAUUGAUAUCAAAGUUGGUUUAGAAAAUAGAGUUGAGUUAUAUUUUAGUGUUGGAAUUAGAAUAGAUUUAGUAAUAUAUGCAUCUUAUAUAAGGACUUGAAGGAUUCGUACAUUUAUAAUUGAGGAAAGUUAGCAUCAAGAGAAUAAAAUCCUAAAUCCUCGCCUGCCUAUUUGUUCGUUAUUCAUACUUCUUUUUUUUUUUUUUUUUGUAGUUGCUAACAUUAUUGACAGUUUGAAGGCCCCAUAUUCACAGCAACAAAUCCCAAGCUUAGGCCGGCGGAGACAGAGAGAGUCAAAGGAGAUUGCCAUGAUGUAUUAUUUCAACAAGGAAUCCAAGGAUUUUCAAAUGUGAAAAAAAAAAUACUGGAAAAAAUGGUAGGUACAAGUACAACUGGCAUUUCCACAUAGAAUAUUAGCAAUUACACCAGUUGAAAAAUUACAGAAGUGCAUGGCUAUAUCGAUUAUUGCACCUAAAACACAACAAGUGUGUACAGAAAAAAUGUAAAGAAAUUAUUGCUUCUCAGCGAAGAAGAAGAUUGCUUCUCUUCACAAACUCGAAUACAUUUUCCACCGAAGUUGGUUGGAGUUUUACUUGAACGUUUCUAAAUAAAUGCAGGGUAUUUCUUGUUCUUUAUUUUUUUUUUCGGCCAAAUUUUUGUUUGUUUUGUGCUUAAAUGCUGGGCCUUUUGUUCCUCGAAUCUUGCUUGGUUUUAGUUAAUUAUGGUUACAGAGACUACUUAGUUUACGCUAAUUCUGGGGCCUUGGGAUGCUCAAAAAGUCUAGUCCUUGGUAUUUAAAUAAAUAAAUAAAUAAAUAAAAAGCUGAAAACAAAGGUACCUACAGUACAAAUGUACAACUGGCAUUUCCACCUAAAAUAUUAGCAAUAACGAUAGUAGACAAAUUCUCAAUUGUAUAUUAGAGCGGCUUUGCUAUCUCAAUUAUUGCACCUAAAACAACAAGAAGUGGUCUUCUCAGCGUAGAAGAAGAGAGUGCUUCUUUUACUCUUAUGUUUCCAAAUCAAUGCUGGGUUUUUUUUUGUUCUUUAUUACUUUUUUUUUGGAAAAAUCAUUUAAAAUGUUCCACACAUUUCAUUAGAUAAAUUUUUUUCGUCUAUCAUUUUUAAAAGGACAAAUUCCACUUUAUCUCCUGUGAUUUAGUGUUUUUCUACAUAACCCCCCUAUGGUUUUAAAAACUAUACAUAACCCUCUCAUAAUUUGGAUGAAAGUGUCAAAGUAAUGGAAAUGGUCUUUCGUAAUAGAAUCAUUUAAAAUGUCAAAAUAGCCUUAUGUAAAGGUGAAAAUUUUUUAUUGAUCAAGGGGGGUUAUGUGUAUAUUCCUAAACCAUAAGGGGGUUAUAUGAUAAAAUAUUAAACCAUAAAGGAAUUAUAUAGUAAAAUAUAAAAAUCACACGGAAUUAGUGUGCCAUGUAUUUAUAAGGGUAAUUUCGAUAUUAUCAAAAGUUUCAUUAUGAAUGACUAUUUCCGUCAUUUUGACAUUUUAAUUCAAACCAUAAGGAGGUUAUGUACAACUUUUGAAAGCACCAUUAAAAGCAUUCUAUCAUAAUGUGAAGCUAUUGGUCGUAAAUGCUUAUCAAACAAUAGAUUUGGUAAUGAAAACUUGACACUCUUUCCUUAUAUUUGUGCUAAGAAUUGCUUUAGAAAGUAAUUAAUCUUUAUAAUCUAAGGGUAUUUGUUGAUAAAAUUUAAACCAAGCUAUUUAGAAGUUUGUAUAGCAGUUUUAGAAUUAGAUUUAUUAUACAGUAACUAGAUUAAAAUUGAUAUCAAAGUUGGUUUAGAAAAUAGAGUUGAGUUAUAUUUUAGUGUUAGAAUUAAAAUAGAUUUAGUUUUAGAGUUGAGUUAUAUAUGUUAUGUAGAAAAACACUAAACCAUAAGAAUUCUUUUGAAGUAUAAUUAUUACUAAUAUAUAGUUUCCAUUUCUCGUGGAUUGUUCUUAAUCUCUCCUAAAGAAUUGUUGCAAACUUUUUUGGUUUGUGCGUCACUUUGCAUCUAAGAGUUCUAAAUUUCACCACCAAUUAAAUAGUUUCCCUCGCAACUUUAGUUUCCUUUUCUCUUCUAUUUCCAAUUUCUCCUUACUUAUGUUUCCUUGUUGCAAGGCUUGCCAAACUAAAUAAGAUAUUUGUUAUCGAUUUCUUUGAUUCCUAAAACACAAGAAAAUUUUCAUUCCUAAUAUGUAUUCCUGUUUACUUGUUUAAUUGAUUUUUAAAAGAUAUUAGCAAAGAAUUUUGGGCAAAUUACAUUUUACUCUCCUGUGAUUUAGCAUUUUUUACAUAACCCCCUAUGAUUUUAAAAGCUAUAUAUAACCCCCUCAUAGUUGGAUUAAAGUGUCAAAAUGACGGAAAUAGUCAUUCGUAACGGAACUUCUAAAAAUGUCGAAAUUCCCUUAUAAAUACAUGACAGAUUAACCUCGUAUGAUUUUUAUAUUUUACCAUAUAACCCCCUUAUGGUUUAAUAUUUUAUCAUAUAACCUCCUUAUGGUUUUUAAAAUAUACGCAUAACCCCCCUUGGUUAAUAAAUAAGUUUCAACUUUAUAUAAGGGUAUUUUUGACAUUUUAGGUGACUCCAUUAGGUGACACUUUAAUUCAAACCAUGAGGGGGUUAUGUAUAACUUUUGAAACUAUAGGGGAGUUAUGUAAAAAAAUGCUAAACUAUAGGAGGGUAAAGUGGAAUUUGCCCAAGGAUUUUAGAUCCAAUUUGGUGCAGUGCUACUUUGACAAACUGAAUCGGAUGCUUUUGCAACGGAAGUCGAUUCGCAUUUUCAGUUCACCUUUCUUAAUGGCAUGGUCGUUGCUGGGAUUCUUCAUCUGCUUUUGAUCCGCACGCUUAAAGAAAAUGCCAAUCAUCAUUGAGACUCUUAAUAAAUCUCACGAUGAAUAAUUUGUUGGGACAUGAACGUAAGAUGAAUAAUUUCAUCUAAAUGGCUGAUCCUUGGUGGAUCAGAUUUCAAACAUAAUUUAAGUACGCCUUACUUUUUGUUUGCUUUCUGCAGGGGACUAUGCUAACAGUACUGUGGCAGUGUGGCUUAAAAUCCUCCAAUUUCUUUAAAAUCCAGAGACACCCGGAGUUCUCCAUUUCCUUUUGUGAUUUUGCAACAUUAAUUACCUCAUUCUCUAAUCCUUGGGAAAUAGGCUAAAAACUGAAAAAAAAAAAUCGCUAGGUUAGUUAUAAAAAACAUGAAGUGGAGUCAGUAAUCAGGCUUGACACGUAGCUACAUAAUUGGUCAGUGAUUGCGUGCUUUCCUAGCUUUUACAAUUGCGAAAAUUUCAAAAUAGUCUCUUGUAUUUCCAAAAGUUCUCUAGUGAUACGGUGCAAAAUUACUAUUCAAUUUAUGAUUAUUUCCCCUUGAUUGUAACCAAAUAUUAUUUUAAUUAAUGGAUUCUACUUAUAUUUUGUUAAUGGUGCUAAUCGCUAGGAUUGUUUCUUUGUUAGAGAAGUAGUUAAUGUGCAUACUUUAACUAUCGAGACACUAAAGAAAAACUGAUUGUUUAUCACGUAUAUGACAACUAUAACCUAUUUAUUAGCAAAUAAUUUAGAUAAUUAUUGCAUCGAUGAUCAGUUAUUUGAACCACUUCCGGAGUUAUGUCUUUGGCUAGAGCUUGUUUAUUCUUAAGUUGAAUUUAAUUUGCUUUAGUUUAAUUUUUUUCAAUCACAUUGAUUAUUUACUUUAGUUUUAAUUCUCCAAACCUCUCCCCUCCCCCCCCCCUCCCAACAACACCAAUUAGCUUUUACUUAGAAAGAAAUAGAUUUUUCCUCUAAUCCCUGUGGAGAUGACCCUACUUGUUAUUAUACUCAUUUAUAUCUUUUUGUGAGUAGAAAUUUAUUAUUGCACAGACACGACUCUUGUCAUCUAGCACUUUAAAACAUCGGACAUUUUGAAGCAAAUGUCUUGUUUAUGUACAAUAUACAAAAUUUAAGUGGUGAAAAUUUGAGGAGCUUGUUUAUUAUGAAAAAUUGGAGAUCCCUUGUUAUUUGUAUUCAUCUUUGUUCCUCCAUUUCACAAUUAGUUUGCAUGCAUUUUAAUGGUGAUCAAUUUGUCCACAAUUUAUAAUCAUUUAAUAAAACAUUUUGUAAUGACAUCGAAAAUACACUUUGAGGGUAAUUGAGGCAACCCUCUUUUAAAUAAAUCAAGAAAAAGAAAAUGCUACAGCUGAUUGACAGUUCGAACUUUGGAGGCACCAUAUUCACAGCAACAAAUCACAAGCUUUGCUUUAUCCAGCUGAGACAUGAAAAAAAAAAAAGAUAGCGCCGAGAUGUGAUCCAGCUAAGAAUCAAAUGAAUUUCAAAAGGAAAGGCAGUAAUGCCAAUUAGGGGCCAACAAGGUCUAUCCAAUAUGCUUUCUCGAUCGGCUUAGAAAAAAGAGUACUGCUUCUUUUGACAAACCUGCGCGCAAUUUCCUCCAAAGCUCCUACUGGGCGUUUCACUUGAAAGUUUCCAAGUCAGUGCUGGGCUUUUCUUACUGCUUCUUUUCCUUUUUCGAAUUGUUCGCUCCUUUUGCGCUCGAAUGCCGAGCCUUUGAUUUGUGGAAAAGUAAUUUAGUGAGUAAAUUCCAGCACUUGGUUUUCAAUGUCAAAGACCUCGAAUGUUCUGGUGAUUCUUGGAGUAGAAAUCAAAGAGGAAAACUAUUACUUCGAUCCUUAAUUAAUAAAGGAGUACAAUUAUCCUGUUUUGUGAGAAAUUUUAAGUGGCAUGGCACAAAUGUUAAAAUCCCAUAUUUCACCUCAACUUCUAAUUACUAGUAACAUGUCAUGUGUUUUGCACCGUGAUCAUAUUAACCUAACAUAUAACAUCAUUGAGAUACUAAAUUCUUUGUUAAAUUUUGACUUUAAGCAUCAAAAUAGAGCAAUUCUUUUGGUUUUCAGUUUCUUUAACUAGUUCUUUGAAAAAUACUAGUUUAGAUGUACAUAUAUUGCACGCCGCAUUUCUCCCCGGUUGCUAUGACUAAUAACUUAUUCAAAAUUCUUUACACAAUUGAACUUUAAGUAAAUGAAACAAACCUUCAACGAAGUACUCAAAUUCAUAUAUAUAAAUCAAAAUGCACUCUUCUAGUAACCACUCCAACACUAUAUAGCCUUGACAAAUAGAACAUAGAAUUCAAACAGAACAAUAAAAUGUAAUAAAAAAUAAAUGGGCUAAUUAAGGAGGUUCUGAUUUAAUGAUUAAAGUACUUCAAUAAUAAAAUGUCCUAGAUUCAAUUCUCUGAAUUUUUACUUCUCAUGUAUGAAAAUAAAGUAUGAACAUAAAAAUGAGCUAACCUAAUGUUUCAAAAAAAAAAUUAAAAAAAAGAAACCACCUAAAACUACAAAGGAUCUUUGUAUACUCUUAAAACUUAUGCCUAUAAUUUCUUCUUAUUAAUUUACAACCUAAACCUUUUAACUUUUUGAGUAUCUUUCAGUUUCAAAAAAUUGGAGAUCCUUGAUAUUUGUAGUUGUCUUGACCGAUUCGAUCUUCUUUCCUCCAUUUCAUAAUUAGUUUGCAUGCAAUUUAAUGGUGAGUUUAUCCCCAAUUUGUAUAGAAUACACUAGGGCUGUCAAUCUAUCUUUGAGCUUGGGGUUGCUUGAUUAAUUUUAAAAAAAUCUUAGGUCGAAUGAACUUUAGCAAAGAGUAAUUUGAAAUAUGCAUUUGCAAACCCGUUAAAAAUUUACCUUCAUACCUUUUGCAAGGUCAUUGAAAACACACUUUGAAGGUACUUGACGUUACCCUAUUUUUAAAUAAAAUUAUUAGACUUUAGAAAAUAUAGAAGCAAGAAUUAUUAAAGUGGAAAUUUAAGAGGUACUUUGAAGACAUAAAAAAUACGCUUUGAAGGUACUUGAGGUAAAUCAUUAUUAAAAAUAAAUCAUUAGCAUUAGAAAAUUAAGACGCAAGAAUUAUUAAAAAUAGAAAUAUUAAAAAAUCUAUCUAAUAUUUUUUUAGAAUAAAUUAUAUAUAUAUAGACAGUGUAUAUACAAGCGAAGCUGAAUGCACGCUACCUUUAUUGUGGAAGCAAUAAGUACAUCAGCCAUUCUUUUUGUUCCCCGGAUACUUUUUGCAGUGGAAGGUUUUAGCUCUUGGUAGAAGCAGCAAGGAACUAUUCUUUGCUUAGUAGAAGUAGGGCUGCAAACGAAUAGAGCCGCUCGCGAGCGGCUCGAGUCAAGUUCGAGUCGAGCUCGAGUUGGCUCGAGUCGAAAUCGAGCUCGAACUCGAGCUCAAAAUAUGAAGCUCGUUAGGCUCACGAGCUCGAGUAUAUAUAUAUAUAUAUAUAUAUAUAAUAUUUUUUAUUUUUUUAAUUUUAAGUAUAUAUAUAUUUUUUAAUUUUAAGUAUAUAUAUAUAUUUUUUUUUAUUUUCUUAUUUUAAUAGUAAAAUUACAUAUAUAUCCUUAAUAUUUUAUUAUUUAUUAAGAAAAAAAUUAUUUUAUUUAUUUUUUAAAAAAUAAAAUAAUUUUAAAAUUUUUUUUUUCGAGCUCGAGCUUUAAAUUGCCAGCUCAUCGAACUCGAGCUCGAGUUCGAGUUGGUAAAAUUUAAUCGAGACUCGACUCGAUUCGAUUAACCUAAAACUCGACUCGACUCGACUCGUUUGUAACCCUAUGUAGAAGCAACAAGACUUUGACAAAUUUGGAUGCUUUUGCAACAGGGAAGAAGCUGCUUAGAAUUUUCACUUGGAAGUCUUCAAUACUUGUCGUUGCUCGGGCCUUUCAUGACCUGGCAGGCACCUUUUUUUUUUUUUGGGUUAAAUACAAAAAACCUCCUUAUGAUUAAUCAAAUAUUCGAAUUAACUCCCUAUACUUUAGAAACCUUUAUAAAACCCCCUUAUACUUUUGAUUAAAAUAAAAUAUUAAGUUUUCAGUUGUAGCUAACAGUCAUAAAGGGUAACUUGGUUAGUUGAUUAUAAGGCAAUUUAUAUUAUAUAAAAUGGGAAAAUAGAAAAUUUUGUUCUCUUCUUUCCAUCCACACGCCUUAUAGUGUAUCUCUUUUUUGUAUUUUUUUUGUUAAAACAUUGUAUCUCUCCUUCUCACCACCAGACCUUCCCUUUUCUUCUUUUUUUUUUAAAAAAAUUUUGUUCCUAUUCACUUCUGAGUCACCCAUAAAUUAGUACUAUUCAAACCCGAAAUCUUAUGACCCAAAACGAUGGCGUCUUCAAAAUAUCAGAAAUGGAUGGAGUGGUUGAUCUACUUCUUCAUUUGUGGGUAUAUGGUAUUUGUGUCCAUGGUUCCAGCUUAUUUAUGUCAAGUAAUUCCGUCCGGUGGUUGCUUGCGGUGCAUAGGAGCGGUUGUCUGGAGAAGAUGAUCAGAGAAGAAGAAGCUUUUUUGUGAUAUUAUGUUUUUACCUUAAAGGCAACGUGAAAUAAUGAUUUGACCCAGUUUUUCCUAAUGAUCUGAUUGUAACCAUGUUUUAAAUGGUAACUUAGUAAUCUGAUUAUUAUUUCAUUUAAAAAACUAUUUUCCUUCGGCUGCUAAAUUUGAUGGAAAAAUUAACAGUUUCGAUUUUCUAAAAAUCAUGAGGAGGAAAAAUGUAGGUUUCUAAACAAUAGAGAAUUAAUGUAAGCACUUGCUUAACUCUUCACCAAAAGGAGUUAUUUCCUAUUUAAUCCCAUUUUUUUUUAUCUAAUUUGUUAAUUCUUACGACAUAAGGAUAGAAUUGACUUCAUGUAAAUUAAUAAUUGCUUGAGAAAAUUGGAUGCUAUAAAUUCCACGGAAGAUGCUUGGUAAUUUCACUACGGUCUUUCUUAAUUGAUGCGUGAGGCUUCUUACAUGUUUGACAAAUUUGAAAGCUAUCUCAGAGGCUCGUUGAAAUAGCGGUUUGACCCAAGAGCGGAAAUGGCAAUCAUAGUUGGUGACAUUGGCAACAUCAAUCAUGCCAUCUGUUAAUCCAGAAAUAAAUUGGAAAAAAAAAAUUUGUUCUUACUGACUGUCCUUGAGAAUUAGACUGAAUAAUUAUUAGGGUAAAUUAUCUUUUACCUUUCCUGUAGUUUGGUGUUUUAUCACGUAAUCUUUCAUAGUUUAAAUAUCUAUAGUUUAGCCAACUCCCUUAACCAACUCCCUCUAGAGGAGUUGGCCACCACAUUAUUUGUGGGGUGAGAGGUCAAUGAUUCAAACCUUGCUUCCCAUCAGUGUGUCUCUAUAUGAGAAUUGUUCUAAAUCCAUAAAAAUCAAACUAACAAAUAGAUAAAUUCACUUUUUCACUACUUUUUUUUUGCUUCUCUCUCUACCUCUCUCUUUUGGAAGAGAAGAGAUGAUUUGAAAAUCUAUCCUUUGACCUACAAAAUCUUAAUUUUCUCCAAAUAUAAAAAAAUUGAAGAGAAAUAAAAAAAUAAUUAAGAAACAAAAAAGAUGGAAGGAAAAUACAAAAAUAUAUAAAUAAGAAGCAAGAAAUAUGGAAGGGAAAUAUAAAACAAAUAAAUAAGAAACAAAAAAUACCAAAUCUUUGUUGACUAAAAAUAUCAUUUUAGGUUUUUAGACCAAAUCUUUAAUGUUAUUUUCUAUUUCUUAUUUAUUUAUUUUUACUUAUAUUUAUUUAUUUCCUUUUUGUAUUUGGAGGGAAAAAAAGAAGUAAUGAAAAACUAAAUUUGUUAAUUCAUUAGUUUGGCUUUGACUUUGAUUUUUUGCUAUUAAUUAUUAGUUUUAACGGAAAAAUAGAUGGUGACGCGUUAACUAAAAUCGUGAGGGGUUUAUAUGCAGGCUUUUCAACCAUAGGAGUGAAUCACAUCUAGUGAGUGCCACGUUUGGGCAGUGAAUUUGGUAAUCAAAUCUUAUAAUAAGAUAGUGAUAACUCUUUGAUAGAGGCCUGAAGAACCAUAAUAUGAUACGAAAAUAUAGUAGACCAUAGGAGAGAAGAAAAGAGAAGGUGAGUCUUUGUCUACUUCCUGUCUUGCAUGUACUUCUGCUGCAAUUCAUAGGCAAAAGUACAUGGUUUGCAAAAGUACAUGGUUUGGUACUCAUUUCAGUAGGUUUGAAGUAGCAAAAACAAGCAAUUUGUUUUUUUGACUAAAUGAAGUUGUCACAUGGAAGAGGGAUAUGGAUUUCUUGUAUCUUCUCAGGGAGAGGAUCAACAUCGACUUUUUCACAUGAUUUAGUUGUUUGUGUAGAAGUUUACUGAUUCAGUUGAUUUUUGUCCAGGCCUAGUUGACCAUAUUGAACAGGAAUUCUAAAAUAAGUAGGAUUUUUUGUUUUCUUCUGGUUGGCAGGAUGAGUGCCCUACGAAUGGGUUGUUUUCCUUACUAUCCACAUGCAUAACUUUUCAUGUUCACUUUGUUGCUUAGUAAACUAUGUUUUCCAGCGGUUAGUAAUGGAACCAAUCUUUACCUUCUAUAGGUUGCAUAGUUAUACAGAUAAUGCCGUUUGAACAAUGGAAACUGGAACGUCCAGUGUAAACUACAGCUUGGGCUGGAGCCUGGAGAUAUGGUUAAGAACUUUUGAUGCUGCCAUUUUGCUCAGUUAUUGGUCGAAGAUAAGCUGGUCAGAACUUUUGACCAAGCAACCUUGGGAAGUUUAAGAAACUUUUAUUGAUCAUAUUACUUACCUUGUUAAACCUUCUUUUUGUCACAUAAAAUGCUGGCAUGCUUUCUUGGAAAUAUGCUUUUGAGUUAUUAAUACAUGAGAGUCGAAGCAUGCCUUUGUAAAUGUAAUUCUUGCAAUAGUAUUACAUACAAUCAGAGGAAAAGAAAGAAUCAGGUGUUUCUACGUCCUACCAAAGUGCAUGCCUUUGUAAAUUUAAUUCUUGCAACAGUACUACGUACAGUCAGCGGAAAAGAAAGAAUCAGGUGUUUCUGCAUCCUACCAAAGUACACAAGGUUUUCUGGACACAUCAGAGGUUUGCCUGUUGAUUUUAUCAAAUGUAAACCCUGUCUUCUUUUCUUGUCUGCGCAGGUUUUUAACUGUUUUGGCCACCAAUUCUGCUUGCACUUUGAGGCGUUUCAUCUGGGAACAGCUCCGGUUUAUAUGGCAUUCCUGAGAUUCAUGGGCACUGAUGAAGAUGCAGAAAAUUUUGUUAUAGUUUAGAAGUUGGUGGAAAAGGUAGAAAGUUAACAUGGCAAGGUGUUUCUAGGACGAGAAAUGACAUUGUCCAUUGGGCUACAUCAAAAUCUGCAAUGCCAUCUUUUAACAGAUUUCAGGUUUAAUCAUCUGAAGAAAUUGUAUCAAUAUGUCAAAAACUACAUUGAUUUGUUAUUAAAGCAUCUUCAUUUACAUAUAUGCAUUAUAGGCAGCAAGAAGUUCAUCCUUCUAAUCUUUUAAAAUAAGGACUGGUCUCAGUAUUCCUCUGAAUCUGAAUCUGAAUGUAAACAUAAAGAAGUAUUCACAAUAUUCUUUGAUCUAAGACGAGGAUUUUCAGAUUAACAUUUCCCCAGUUCAUCUGUUCUUCCUUAAUCUCUUGAACCAAACUUCCAACAUGGCCUGGACACCGAUGCACCUGAAUCAAUUCAAGAGUUGGAAUUUCCCCCAAACAAGAAGGGAGCUCCUCCAAGUUCCAGCAGCUUUCCAAAACCAAUUUCUGAAGACAGGGGAGAUGAUCACCAGAGCACGUCCACCUGACAAUGCACAACAAUUCCAAUUUCAAGAAUUUGAGUUUAGGGAAUUCCCCUUCUUCCAUGUUCCAUAUUUUUUCCCCACCAGCUUUUGUACCGAGUAAUUUGAGAACCUCAAGAUUAGGUAGGCUUCCUAUUGAGGAAAUCAUACUCCAGGGAAAUGCUUCCAGGGUCAACUUUUUUAGAUUCAUGGGGAAGCUGAACUCAUAAUCCUUCUCUUUCACACGGUAAAAAGACAACUUCAGUGACUCCAGUCGUCUCAGAAAGUCCAUUGCCACAAUCUUGUUCCAAUCCCCAAAAGAUUCUUCUGUUUCACGGAGACUACAUUUCAGCUUGCGGAUAUUUGGAAACUUCUGCAUUAUCUUAUCCAUGCUUUGCCCAGGGGCGGAGGGAAGGGGGGGGGCCAGGGGGGGCAACCACGCCCCCUCCAAUUGUUAAAAAAAAAAAAUUUCUAAGUAAAAAUAUUUUUAUUAUAUUGUUUUGCCCCCCCAAAUAUUGAUAAAAAAUUUCACUUUGCCCCCUCUCUCAAGGACCCAAACAAUAAUAUUUGAAAGUUAUUUGGACUUGGUCCAAAUAACAGAGACUCGCCCCCCCCUAAUUGCAAUUCCUAGCUCCGCCACUGGCUUUGCCCCAAAUCAAGCUCAAGAGCUGAUAUAGUGUCUAGGUUACACAAAUCUGAGGAGCUGUCCAAGUUGUCUUUGGCCAAACUAAGAUCAAAAAACUUACCACUUAUGCAGAGACACCUCAAUGUCUGCAAAUUCCAUACGGUAUCUGGAAGAAAAAGAAUACCAUGCAAAGAUUUUAGAAUAAAAGUUUCCAAAUUCCAAAGGUUUGCUAUUGAUGAUGGGAUGUAAUUCAUGCUACCUGCAAACGCCAAGUAUCUCAACUGAACAAGUAACGUAAUUUCGCUGGGAAAAACAAAUCCCAGAUUAAUUUUUCCCAAAUCCAACACUCUCAGAAGUUUGAAGAUGCGAAAAAUGGAUGAGACAUUGUAUGGAGUUCCAUAUUCCUCACUCUGGGUGGAGACCACUAGAGAGCUUAGAAGAGGACAAAAUAGCCUUGACUUCUGAAAAUGCCUUGCUUUAGAGUAAAUAAACAAUCGACGUGUAUUACUUGGCUCAUCAAAAUUAGGAAUUCCUGCAUCAUCACGUCUCAACCUUAGAAGAUUUUCGUCUGUGGCUUUUCUCAAACAAAAUUCAUGCAACAAGUCAUGAAUGCGGCAAGUUUUGAUUCCACCUGUAGAUUUUUGUUUGUCAACCAUAACCAAGCUUCUCCCAAUUAGAUCCAUUAUGUAGUCCUCAGCUCUGUCCUCUAUUCUCUUCGCCUCUGUCUUUUGGACAAAGCCUUCAGCAGUCCACAACCGCAUCAAUGUCCAUAUAGGUAUCUCUUGGUCUUCUCGAAAUGGUCCAAAAUAAAGAAGGCAUGGCUUCAAAUAAUGAGCUAAAUGUUUGUAGCUCAGCUCUAAUAUACUUUUGCAAUGUUCUGUGCCACACACGGUGUCCGAACUUAGACGUUCUGCAAUUUCUUCCCAACCAUCUUGCUCUAAAUUUGCAAGAAUCCCAGCUGUGAUAACAACUGUUAGAGGUAAACCUUUACAACCUUUUGCUAUAUGCUUUCCAUGUAGAAACAGUGCUGGAGGAUUUCCACCUCUUUCUGCCAGCUUCUUUUGUAGUAAUUCUAAGUACUCAUCAUCAGUAAGUUGGCGAAGAUGAAGAGGUUUACUUGCAGGUUUAACUUCCAAAGCCAACUUAGAAAUUCGACUUGUUAAAAGAAUUCUGCUUCCAUUGGCAUCAUUUGGGAAUGAAACUUUUAACGCAUUCCAGGCCGCAAUGUCCCAAACAUCAUCCAAAACUAGGAGAUACCUGCCCCUUUAAACAAUGGUAGGUGCUAUAGCAAGAUCAUCAGCAUCCAUCCUAGGGUAUUCAUCAGAGUCCGAAGGAUCAAUGCAAGCCAAAAUCUGAAACAACACCUCUUUCUUUCCAUAUACUUGAGAAAUACGACACCAAGCACGAAUAUGGAAGUGGCAUAUAAUCAUAGGAUCUUGGUAAACUUUAUUACCUAAAGUAGUCUUACCCAGUCCAGGCAUGUCAACAAUAGAAACACCGUCCAACGCUCCUGAUCCUCCUGUCAGCUGAAAGAUUAUUUGUCCUGCCUCAUCAUGAAAUCCCACCACAACUUGAUUGGAUGUUGGCAUAGUCCAUUGCAACCAAGAAUGGGGUGGAGUCUGCGCUUUCUUUUGAGCUCCACAGGUGAAUUCAUCAUCACCAAUCCCCACAUAUUCCUUAUUAACAAGAUUUACCUUUCUCAUGUGUAGACACCAAAUUUUUGUAAAAAUUUUAACGUUUUCUUGAAUUUUUUCUAUUUAGUAAUUUAUUUAUUUUCUUACAUUUUAAUGUGCAUUUUUCUUAUUUUUACAAGUUUAUUUAAAAAAAAAACAAAAAAAAAAAGAAAAUCAAGAAAUCAAAUCAUCCUAAUCAGUUUUUUUCCACCAAAUACACUUAAUCCAUUCCUACACUCAAUUUUCUUGACCUUUCUUGUCAUUUGGUAAAAUCAUGAUUUUUGACCAACCUAACACUCAAACUCCACUUUGGGCUCAAAAAAAAAUACAUCUCUCGGCUCUCUCCCUCUCGGCAGAGAAGAAGAAAAAAAGGGAUCCCCUCAAUUGUCUCUCUCGGUUCUCUUUUUCUCCCCAAGACACAAGGACUCAACAGACAAGCAAAAACAAAACCAACACUCCAAUUUUUUCUUCCCAAAAAAUCCCUCUCGGCUCACUUGGGCAAAAAGGAAAAAAAAAAACACACAAGAGAAAAAAAGGGAGGCUCUCGGCUCUCUCUCUUGGCUCUCAACCGAAAAAAAUAAGGAAGAAAGGGCACUCUUCCUCCUCCCAGCUCCCUCUCAGCUUUUUCUUUGCUCACUUCACACAACACACUCACACACAACUUCAAACAUCAAAAGAGAGGCAGCAACCGGUUGGAUAAUUGGAGCUUUGCAUCAGAAACUUCAACCAAGGGAUUGCCAUCUACAUUGAGGUAAUUUUUUUUUAGUUUUGUUUAGCACAUUAAAUCCAUGCUUCAUUGUUUAAUUUUCUUUUGCUUUUGCUGGUUUCCUUGGUUGUUGGGUUGCUGAAUUUUUGGGACAAGUCAUGCACAGAAUUAAGGAAAAAGAAACGGGCCCAUGAAUGCAUGUCAAGUGCUUGUGAAAAUGCCAAAUUGGAAAAAACGAAUUUUAGGGGUUGUUUUGCUUUAUUCUAGCCUUUUUAUGUCGUUUUCUUGUCAAAUUAACAUCAUAGUUGUAAUGUAGAAGUUGCAAGGAGUGUUGUAGUAUAAAUUUUAUGUUUUUUAGUGAAGAUUUGAGGGUUUAAAAAUAAGUAAAACCGCGGCUGUUUUUGGGCAUUUUGGCCAACUUCGGGUUUUUUUUGUAAAAAGUAACUCCGGAAAUGAAAUCUACGCGAAAAAUGGAGUGAGAAGGUGUAUUUUGAGAAAUUUUGGCGACCGGAAAAUUCGCCGGUGCCGCCGGCAGCCGCUAUGGCCGCCAGCUGAAGCUUCUUCAGCUGGCCGAAGAAGAAGAGAAAGAAACGGCUGGAAGUGGAGGAAGAAGGAAGGAUGAAAAGAAAAGAAAGAAAGGAAGGAAAGAAAAAAAAAUGGAUUGGGCUAAUGUUUUUUUUUGGUGGGCUUGUAAUUGUUUUUUUAUUGGGUUUUGGAAAUGGGUUUUGGUUUAUAUCUUUUGGAUUUUGGUUUGGCUAGGAGGUUGGAGCCCAUGUGUUUUUUGAUCGGGCUUGAGUUAUAAAAGACUGGCUGGCCUGUGUGUUUUGACUUGGACUUUUGACUGGGCCUACGUAGGUUCGGCCCAAGUAAAAUAAAAAGGGAGGCCCGAUGCCUUUUUCUUGCCCAAAUCAGAAACCGAAAGUUUCACUUUAACACCUGAUCUUUGGAGUAGUUUCACUGUAGCCCAGAACAUUUUAAUUUGUUUCACUUAGGUCCUUAAAUUAAUUGCACUUUGGUCCUUUAAUUUUAUCUUUCAUUUAAUUUUGACCCCCAAACUUUGGAAAAAUAUAAUUUCUGUCCCCAAAAGUUUUUCCAAUUUUUGCAAUUCAGUCCCUGAUGAAUUUUGACUCUCUUUAUUAUAAUUGCUUCUUUUCUUUAAUAGCUAAUUAUGUUACUUUUGAGUAUAUUUAACUUGUAAUUUUUAGAUGUUCUUAAAUUUCUUUGCUUUUGACAUGUUAAGGAGAAUUUAGUAUUUCUAUCAUUAUUAUUAUUUUCAAUUAAAUUGGUGCCAUGAUCCUUUUGUUCAUUUUGAGUAUAAAUAGGGCAAUUUGACUCCAUUUAGUCACCACUUCAAAUGGGAGGUACCCCUAUUAUUAUUUCAAUAUCAAUUAUGUGCUCUUAUGUGCUCCUAUGUGUUCCUAUAUGUUUAUAUGUUUUUAUAUGCUUUAUUUAUUUGAUUUAAAUGUUCAUCCAAAUUUUCUUAUAUUUAUUUAGUUAGUUUUUAUAAUUAUUUGAGAGGCAUUUAAAUACCUCAAAAAUGUAAUAGAUAGAAUAAUUAUAUUUGUUUUAUUAUAUUUUUCCCUUUUAGAUUGUAGUUAGAUUCUCCACUGUAAUAGAUAGGUCUUUGCGUGUUUAUGUGGCUUAUGUGUUAUAUGUUUUACCCGCUUUCUUUAGGAUUUUUUCAUCUAGAUAUUAUGUUUACGUGUUAUGUGCUUCGUGCUUUUAUGUGUUUAUUUGUUUUAAUUUAUGCUUUAUUUGUUUUACUAUGAAUUAUUAAUGCAUGGCGUCACCACACUGGUCCAACGCUAGUUGUGAUUUCUCCCUUCGUUUACUUGCUAGUCCAACGCUAGUAAGGAUUUUUGAAAAUGAUCCAGUCCAACGCUAGACCCGUAGAUUGUUCGUGCGUUAGACUCAUUUUUGUGUGAUAUUCAUUACAUUUUCACGCAUAUUUUCAUUUUUAGGAUCUUUUUCCAUUUGCAUGAUAUUUCCUAUUAUAUUAUCCCCUAUCCUCUAUAUGUGUUAAUCAUGUCAUUUAGAAUUGCAUUUCAUUUAGGACAUUAUAUAAUAAGUUAGUUCAUUUGCUUGUGCAUAUUAGGAGAAUUUUUUUUCAAACAUGAGAAAUGGGUGAUUAUAACUUUUUAGUUUAAAUAUUCCAUUAAUCCCUGUAUAAGAAAAUUAUUGUCACGAGUUUUUGCCUCCCGUACCCUUUAUGUUGCAUUCCCUUUUUCUUUGAUCACUUAUAUCUAUGUAUAUAAUUUAAUUUAAUUUAAUUUCUUUUCUUUUAAUUUCAUCAUUCGCAUAUUCGUGACCCCUUCAAGGAAUUAUUUUGGCCUUUGCAAUUAAUGCGAUUGGUAUCAAUUAAACCCUUGAAUGGAUAUUUUGUCCCUCUCGAUAUUUUUAUUUGCAUCCAUGUAGGAAACAUCCAAAUGUGAUAAAUUUAAGGGUUAGAUUAAGAAAAUUUUGACUAAACCACGCAACUAGCUUAGACUAGGUUGAAAGGGUGCCUUAGGUUUAAGAUAAUUGAACCUUUGCCUUCCCUUUCUUCAACCGUGACUUUCGAACUCAUUUUCUCUGUUUUCAAAGACCUGGAGUUGUAGAAAAGGGUUUUAUUUUAUUUUAUUUAAAAACACUUUUUGGGUGACUUGGUACACCCAAAUUCGAUACCAAGUGGCGAUUUCUAAUUUUUCUUAAAAACCCUUUUAGACUAAAUUUUGAGCUCAAAUUGUCGCAUUUUUAAAGUCCCAUUUUAGGUCCCUUUUUUAUUUUUCAUUUAUAAAAUCAAGUCUUUUAUAAACCCUUUUAUUUUUUCAUUGCGAAAAAUGGGGCGCGACACCAUGAUGGUGCUUACAUAAUGUCUGUCUCCAUUUUCUGCCUUAAUAAGCUUAAUAUUUUUUUGAAAAAGCAAAGAACACAUGAUCCAUAUCCUUGGUUGAGUCCUCUUUCAAUUCAUGCAUAAAAAGUGAGUGGAUCACACUUUUAGCUUCACCAACAGCAUCUCCAAUAAUAUCCUUCACGUUUUCAGGUAGCUUAUCAAAGUUCUCAUGCUGGUUUUUAAGAAUUGUUCUCAAGAAUCUCAGUCCCUCAUAGACUAUAUGCAUUUGACUGGUUGUAGAAUCCAUUAAGCCGGUAUUGCAAUUAAGUAGCUCCCAAAAAUUAUCUAGGAGAGCAUCAACAAAAUUCCCCAAUCUAUGCUUAUUAGUCUCCUUUGACAUAAUGCAUGAUCCUGAUGAAUUAGAAGCUACUAGGACUUGGAUAUAAAUGUCACGGACUUAAGGAUCAAAGGGGUUGAUCUUCUGUAACGGUUUUGAAAUCUAUCUUGCACUUGGACACUUGUUCACAUUUUAUGUCAAACCAACAGAUGGAAAAGAGGUCUGCUGCAUUCAGAUCCACAGAAUUGAUGUGGGAUAAGGCAGCUCCCAGUUGCCUUUGCUCAACAACUCGCAACACAGCAAAGCGAAUCAAACUAUGGAAGAACCUCAGCUUCUCCUGGAGGUCUUUGCAUAGUUCCAGCAGGUCUUGGUCAUCAUAUCCAAAUAUGCAGAGAAGAACAUCCACCAGAUUCUCGAGCACAGAGUCGAUGAGUUCCAUCAACUCAUGUCCCGUCAGACAAUUACUGGUUUGCGACAAACUAUUCGAGAAAAUGAAGUAAAAAUGGUUGAUUGUUUGCUUAAAACUUUUGAUACUACUUUGAACCCUACGAGUCAAAAUAAACAGCCGUUUAUUGAAUACUCGGUCUGUUUUCUGCUCUAUUUGAAGUCUAAGUGCAAGUUUAUGGAUACCAGCUUCAAGUUUAGACAUGAAAGAUUCUAGAUAGCUUACAUGCUCGUUGUUGUCAGAAGUGCUCCAUAUUCUGGCGCAGAGAAGAAAUGUCCUCAUGAGUCUAUACUCCCGCUUCAGUUGCUCAGAUUGAUAAACAUUUAAAUCCCAAAGGCCAUCCAGAUUUUCCAAAGCAUUCAAGACUGAAUCUACACAGUUGGAGGAGGUGGAAGUGGAAGAGGCCAUCUCUUAGUGGGGUGUUGGAUUGCUAAGCAGCUAUGGAACAACAACGUUCAAAUCUUGAACAGCUAAACUAAUCGAUUGAUGCUAAACUCAAGAAUGAAGAAGAAUUCUUCUCUGCACCUCAGAAAAUCCUUUUGGCCAACCUCCUUGUUCAGCUAGAAAUGUAAUGGUUGAAAGUUUUCACUCAAGUUUGAACUUUGAAGCAAUGAAGUGGUUUUAGUCGAUUGGAGAUCUAGCAGCCUUGGUGAGACUGUUGACCGGUCAAAUUCAUGCGGCAUAGAGUUAGGGAUGGGCAAAAUUAUGCGCUAACCGAAAAAUCGUCAUAUCCAAUCCGAUCCAAUUUGAAAAUUAGUUCGAUUUUUAUUAUUUGAUCGGGUCAAAAGAGGAUCAGAUACCCGCUAAGAUGCAGGGCAGAUUAGGGUCACAUAAUUAAAAACAUGCGAGAACCCGAUCCGCCCCGCAUAUAUAUAUAUUUUUUAUUUAUACACACACUAUAAAAUAAUAAGUUAGAACUAAAUAAGUAAUUUUAUUGAACAAAUUGCAUUACAAAUAUGAGAGACUAUAGUUUAUUUACAAGAUUCAUUUGUAGAGACCAUGAUCUUAUAUUUUAUAGAAAAAAGUUUAAUUAAUGUGAAACAUAUAUAUUAAAAAUUGUGCUACUUAUUUCAAACUUUUAUUGAUUUUGAAUUCUUUUAAUUUUUUUCCUUUAUCUUAUAUUCUCUUCACAUGCUUGUUUCUUGGUAGGAAAUCUUUUUAUAGAAAUUUUUUUUUAUUAAAUCUUAGAUGAAUGUGUAACAUGUAAAAUUAAAUUGGUAUAAAUCAUUUUUUAAAAAAAAUUAAAUAAUAAAUGAGGCGGGUCGGAUACCCGCUGAUAUGCAGGGCGAGUAAAGGUCAGAAAAUAACUGACCCGUAAGGUGCGGGUUGGAUCAGUCAAAUGAUAAAUGAGACGGGUACCCGAUCCGUGCCCACCCCUACAUAGAGUGAUUGGUCAUUUGGUUUAGUUAGGCAAUUUGAUAAGCCACUUCAAAGUGGCUUGCCAUAUUUUGUGACCAAUAGUGGGAGGCAAGGUUUGAUCCCCUAACCUCCCACCCCACCAACUUUGGUGGUGGCUGGUAGUGGUGGCCACUGAGCUAAGGAACUAAUUUGGUUGGAUGAGUUGAUUCCUCAUUUCUGUGAUAGAAAAUUGCCAAACACCCAAUAAGUUUUCCUACUAUUUUAAUUAAUUUUUCAUCUCGCAUAAAGGUUUUUGGAAGUGGAAUCCUAACAUAAACUUUAGUGAAAAUAAAUCUAAAAAAAAUUCCAAUAAUAAAAAUGGAAGAUUUGCAUAGUCUAGUUCUCUAAAAACAUACUCUGUAUAACAAUUAUUGAGUAUAGUUAUUUGAGUAUAGUUAUGUCAUAUCGCCUCUAAUCACUUUCUCACAAACUUAUUCCCUCUUAAUAUGCGAUGCUUCGCUUUGUGCCUCAGCGUUUUAUCCUAUGUUUCAGCUACCCCGAAGUCCACCUCUAUCCAAAUUUUAAUACCAUUUUUGGCUUUGGCGAAGAGGAUUACCUGCUUUUGCGAGAAGCUGAAUGUCUCCACUGUAGUUUUCCCCAUGCCUAAUUGAAUACUCAUGCCCUGCCCCCUUGUAAUGGUCCAGUACCCCUAAUAGCAAGGACCCCCAUGUACCUUGUGACCAUGGCAUGACACUCUGCAAGUGUAAAAGAACACCAGUCCAUUUUAGGAUUUAAGGUUUAGAGUUUAGAGUUUAGAGCUCAGGGUUCUAGGUCAUGAUGUCUGGAUUCAUGGUAACACCAUGCCCUUGAAUCAUGGCAUCCAUAUCUGCCCGGGCAAACCAAAAGUUUAAUAACAAUUCUCAAUGCAUUAAGUAGAAUUAAGAGAAGAAUGAUGACACUUAGUCCAGUGACUAAAACUAAGAUAUCAGGAAUUAGAGGUUCUUUGUUCCAAUCCCCCUGUUCUCUCCUCCUUCUUAAAUACCCACCCCUCUCAUGCUAGAAUUGGAGGAAAAAAAUAGGGAGCAAAUGAUGAAAGCAUGAAACAGCCAUCAUAUUGAUUUGCCACCAUUUCAUAUCAUCUAUAUGUGCCAUCAUUUAUCCAAAACCAAGGAACUCAGUCACGAACUAAAAGCUACCAACAAAGAAGUCCAUCAAUACUGCAAACACGUAAGUUCAUGAGCACAAGUACUACUUCAGCUAACACUGGAGCAUAAACAGCUUUAGCAAAUCCAAUAUCCAACCAUACAUCAUGAUAUCUGAUAUCCAAACAUAAGCAAUAACAUAGCACGAUGACAUGGUGAAUGCAGACAAAAUGUCUACCUUGGACUAGGGCCACAGCGCUUGACAUCUAAUAUCCAAGCAUAGUACAAUAACAUGGCACAAUAACAUAGCACAAUGACAUCUUCCGUUUCAUCCUCUAACAAAUCCCCUUCAACUGCCGCUAGAUAUGCUUCGACCGCUUGCAAAGCUGUCCGACAAUGGAACAUGUCAUCGGUAGGGGCAGGAGGGGAAGGAAUACCAAUUGAUGGAGACAUGCAGGACUCUUUCCUCUUACUGAAGUGGGAGCUAAUACUGUCAAUUUCAAAUGACUGAGUAUUUACUUCCCCAGGGCUUGAAUUGCCAAACUUCCUCGUACGUUUAGGUAUUUUCAACUUCCCCUUAUUCAUAGCUUUUCCCCUCUUUGGAGCCACAACCUCAACAUGAUCAUCAGUUGAAUCUAACUGGAUUGCUCUCUUUCCUUUUUGAAGUUUUGCCAUCUUAUUUUCCAGCUCACGCUCAUCAUCAGUACAAAGAGGUGCCUGGCCAGAUUUCUGACUAUACUUCCCUGAUGCACCCUGAUCAUGGAACAACUUGGUCAGCACAUGAAAUUGCAAACAAACAUUAAGCUUCUUGUUCUGAUGAAGCAGACUUAACUUACUUUAGUCAACUCAUCUUUAAAGGUUUAAGUUUGGGGGAAAAAAAAGGACACAACACUAAUAAAUUGCAAGGCAAGGCCAGUGGGUGUUAACAUGAACCAAUUAACUCAUACAGAAACCAAUAGAUUUAUACCUUGAAGUAAUUUGUAAUGCAGAGUUUCAAGUCAUUUUCGCCCGAAAUGGACUGUACACUGUCACAGAGAACGCCAGCUUUUUGUCUGGCUACUGCAAGUAUAAAGAAGGCAUGAUAAGAACCUAUAAAUCGAUUUAACAGGCACAACUAAUCAUAGUCAGCGACAUACCCAUCAAGGAGGACCUUGUACAGGGAGGCAUGAAAAUACGUUACAACAAAACAACAUUCAACACGAAUAGCCAAAUAUCUGAGGAAAGGACACGAGGUGUCAGAAAAGAUAGCAAUCAUGAUACUUAUGCAAUAGCAAUGAAAUGGAGGCUACAUUUCCAAAAGACGGCAGUAAAUGCAACAGCACAAGUAUGAUCAGUCUGGAACAAAAUUUUCAUUAUAUGCUAAUUCAGAGCUAGCUACAAUGUCACACAGUAACAGGCAAUAGACAUGAAACUUCCAAUACAAGCCCUCACAUAAACUCCCAAUUACAAGGCUAAUUUCUAAGAAAUUCCUGGGGAAGUGUUACCAUAGAAAAAGGAAAAGAAAUUGUUAACUGAUUUAAUCCGUUUCUUUGGAUUAUAGGGAUAACAGCACAUUUUCUGUGUCCUAAUUGGUCCGAACAGAGACAAAAGAAAUCUGGGCAAAUUAAAACAGAGAUGUCGAAGCUACAAUCUUUGCAAUUUCAAGACCUAUACAUUUAAAAUAACGUUAAUGACUACCGAUGAUGAUCUUCUUUCAUUUAAAUAGGUUUUUGGAACCUUUUCAGUUCAAAUAUGUCUGAAAUUUUCUAUAUUUCUGUCUAAUUUCUUUCCAUAACUUUCCAGAGAAAAAAAAAGUGCAUAUAAAAAGUAGAAAACACAAAACAACAUUUUAGCAAAAAAAAAAAAAAGAAAUUUCAUAACGAAUCAGUGAUCAAAACUUGAACUUCAUAAACGUAUAUUUACUACAGUGUCUUGACCUAAUGUAAGUUUCCCGGUGUCAAGUGAAAAGAGCGAAUAAUCUACAACUCUAACCAUCAAAUGAUACCACCACGAGAUAGGCUAGAAAAUUUCUUCCAAACGCAGUUAAGAUCUAAGUAGAAAUUGCAGAAACCAGUUACAUUGCUCGGAAAUUUAAAAAGAACAAAAAAAAAGAAGGGAAAAAGGAAUUGCUUAGAAUCAGAGGGAGAGGAGGGACUUCCGAGACCAGCACUAAACGGCGGGGACAACUCCAGCAGGUGGAUGGCGAUUGCCGGCAAAUGGCAGCGGCAGCUGUGGAGGAGAAAAAGGAAUAGAGUUUCGAAGAAAUUCAAAUGGAAGAGGAGGAGGUCCAAAUCGCAUGUAUAAAUCUUCAAACGGUAUCGUUUCCUCUAUUUAUUUAUUUAUUUUGUAAAUUCACCUGAAAAAAAAGGCCCCUUAUUUUUUGUGCAGAAAUAAGUUCAUCUGAAAUUGUGAUGAUUCUAGUGAAUUAAACCAAAAAAAGAACAACUAGUUCAUUGCAUUUCAUCAAUAAUUAAUAAUGUCAAUUAUAUGCCAACAAUUAUAAGAACGAAAAACAUUCCCCUGAGUUAUAAUGAAUUAAAUCAAAAAAAGAAGAACAAAUUUUAUUUAUAAAUUAUAAAAAAUACACUCCUGUUUAUAUUAGUUUCUGUGAUACCAAAUACACUCCUGUUUAAUAAAUGGACAAAUUGUUGCAUUUCAUCAUUAAUAAAUAAUAUCAAACAUGCCAGUGGUUACAAAAUAUGAAAGAUUCCAUACUUUUUUAUUUACCAAAAGAAAGAAGAACAAAUUUUAUUUACAAAAUCCAAGUUUAAAGAGUACUUCAAACAUGAAACAAAACAUAAUAAAUUGGUACUAUAAAUCUCUUAAAAAGUACCACGAAUCUUUUUAUUUCUUAGAUACAAAUAAAUUAAGCCUUAAGAGCACCUUUUUAAUAUGCGUAUAUUUGUAUUAAGUAAAAAAAAUUAAUACAAAAUAUAAUACGAAAUGGAAUACUAAGGUAGGCAAAGAGUUUGAUGUUGGGAAUUUAUUUAUUUAAAUUGCAAUAUAGAUUAUAUUUAAUGAACUUUAUCAAUCAUAUUCUUGUAUCAACUAAUAGUAUUAAACUACAAUUAAUGAAUAUUAUAUUCAUCAAUGCCAAUCAUAAUAAUAAUUACAAAGGUGAAGCAUCCUUUGAAUUAUGGUAAUAAAAAUAGAUCCAAGUUAGUUUGAAUAUUGUAUAAUAAAUAAUCUUAACAUCUUACAAUUUUUAAUGAUAUUAACUCUAUAAUCAUAAAGCAUGCCAUCAUGGAGAAAUACAAAUAAGUUUCACCAAAUCAAAUCAUUUCUCUUCAAAGUUAAGCUAUUUAAAUUUGAACAAUGGAAUUUCAAUAUAUUCAGAUAUUACUAUAAUUACAAUAACAUUAUAGAUCAUUUUACAAUCCACUGUUAGCAAAAUAAUAAUAAUAAUAAUAAUAAUAAUAAGAAAAUUUCACUAAAACUAAUAAACAAUUCAUAGAAUGACUUGAAAGGGAGCAACAAAUUAUUCAAAAAUUAAAAGUUUAAACUCAAAUGGCAUAAAAAUGAACAUUUAGGUCAUCUAAAUUUAACCAAAACACAAAAGUAUUGAUACUAUUACAAAAUAAAAGUACUCUUGGAACAAAGAAUGAUUUAUUGUUUGUGCAUUUGUAUUGAUUGGGGCAAACUAAGUUCAGAAAAAGUAUAAAAUAACAUAAAUAUUAAAUAUCACAUUUUUUUGUCUCAAUUACAUUUAUUCCUUCAAAAUAAUAUAAAUUUACAAAUCUCCCUUGAGAUUUUUAACAAUUACAAAGAGCUCUCUUUAAGUUUUAAAAAUUACAUAUACCUCCCCUAUUUUUACUAUUUAGUAACAAUGUAGGUCUAACCAACUAAAUUUUCUCUUAAAAAUUCUAAAUUGCCCUUUUGUACAAAAUUAAUAAAGAAAAAUAUACUGUACUCAAUCAUUUUCUUCCACACUUUGCACAAAUCAACAAGUCUAAUUCCUAACAACCAUCCAAACAUAAGUUCUAAAAUCAAGUAACUGUUCAAAAGAUUCCAAAUUGCAUAUACAAUAUCAAUACUUAUCACGCAAAAAAAAAAAAAGAGAAAAAAAGACAAGCCCCGUUGAUAACCAAUUUUAUACCCCCAAAAUUAAAUAUCAAAUCUCAAAUACCUUUUCAGUACAAGCUAAUUUGAUCUAGAACCACUAUUACAACCCCUCCUAUGGCCUUAAAAAUAUUAAAAUCUUAAAAUAGAGAUAAAUUCUACCUCGACAAUAAAAUCAUAAUAACAAAUUCUAAUUCAAUGAAAGAGAUCCUUAUGUAACUAUUGACAUUUUAUCAAAGUUUUUUGACAACAAGCAAAAUAUGACUAAUUUCACAUAUUUAGUUUUUCUUCCUAUUUCAAUCAUCAAUUUCAUUAUUUAUUUCUCUAUCAUUGCGAGUCUCUUCAUUUCUUUCUAAUUUGACACAUAAUCUGCUCCCUUGGUGAUUUUAUAAUUUUAAUUUGCUAAUAUUAACAAAAAUGAAGAUAAUAAAAAUAGGUUAUAUUAACUAGAAAAUAAAGGAGCGAAAAUAGACAAGAGACAAAAAAAAUAGAAUAUUUCUUUUGGGUUUUGUAAAUGUAUUGCCUUAAAUUUAAAAUUGUCUGUCAAGUGGAGGGCAUUAUAGGUAUUUUACUAUGUCAAGGGAGGUAAGUGUAAUUUCUUAAACUUAAGGGGAUUUGAGAGCAAUUGUUAGAAACCUCAAGGGAGGUUUCUGAAAUUAUCCCAAAUAAUUGAUUUUCUAAAAAUUUUAAAUCAGGUUUGAUAGGGCAUAAUUUGUUGUUAAUUUUAUGAUUAAUUUUCCUCUUUGUCCUUGUCAAAUAUUGUUUUAAUUGUUGAAAUGUACUUAUAUUUGGUAUUUGGCCUUAAUUACAGGAAGUGGAGCAAACAAGUGCUAAAAAGGAGACUUUAUUAAGAAAAACACUCCACACAUGGGAAGUUCUAAAAGGAAAUACAAGCCGGGCUCCACAGGAUGCUACAAAAAGGGAUUUCCUAUCUUUAUGCUGAAAAGGGUGGACUUGUACUAGGAGUCUUACGGGUAAAGAGGAAACUAAAAACAAGGACUUUGGCAAAGCUCCAAUUCUUUGGCCCUUGGACUCUCAAUUCAGUGGGGACCACUAGAGAUAGCAUUAGACUUUCUUUUGGCUUUAAAAAGGGAGAAACGUACAGGAGGUUUUGUUAUCAAUAGUUUUAGCUUAGCCUUUAGCAUAGUUUUAGUUUUCUUUUCUUUCUUGGCUCUUUUGAUGGCCUGGACCUCAGUUAAAUUACUUGGAGAUUUUCUCAUGAGGCGUGGCUAAGUUUUUCUAGUCGAGGAACAACGGAGGACUUGGUUCUACUAAAUUUGUGAGAUCGAAUUAGUUUUUAUUUAUUUCCAUUAUUCACUGGUAUUCGUCUAUCUUCUGCUUUAUGUUCAUAUGGUUGUUUUAUUAUUCGAUUAUCCUGGGCCCGGAUUCUAGAUUAAUUCAAUAACCUGAAGCCAAUUAGGGUAGUUAAAUCCGUAAUUGUUUAAUUAUUCUAAACUGGUGGCAACUGGCAUGAUUGGGUUUGUGUCAGGGAGAUAGACAUGCUAACUUAAAGAGACCCUCGUAGCGUGUUGAUUGGUUAGAAUUAGGCUCUUCUAAUUAUUCAUGCAAUUAGGGAAUUGAACUUCUAUGGUCGUACCUAGGGUUGUUUCCUGAUUAGAGAAAUAGUCAACGGUGGUACCUUGGCUAUCGACAAAUUGAGGAAGAGUUGGUUGUUUAUCGCGUGUAUGACAACUAUAACUAAUUUAUCAGAUAGUAACUGGAAUAAUCCUUGCAUCUGUGAUUGAAUUAAGUGAACCAACUCCGAAAUUGUCUCUUGGCUAGAGUUCGUCCAUUAUUAUUUUUAUUGUGAUAAUUAGUUAUUUGAGUUGUAGUUAUUUUAUUUUAUUUUAAUUUAUUCCAAGUAAUUUAGUUACUCUCAUUUUCAAAAACCCGCCAUAUCUGGAAUUUGAGAAGAAAUUAAAUUAUCCCCAGUCCCUGUGGAUUCGACCCUGCUUACCGCUAUAUACAGAAUUUUUAUUUUAUUUGAGCAGGUAUUUAUUAUUGCACAGGCUUGACACCUGUCAAUUUUUGGCGCCGUUGCCGGGGACUGGUCCCAGAUUAAUUUGUUUCUUUUUGAGUUUAUUUUUUUUAUUUUUUUUUAUUUUUCUCUUAUUUUUUUUUAUAUAGUUUAUGGCUUCUAACACUCCGUAUUUUAGUGAUAUACUAAAUUUUAUUUCCGGGGAAGGCGAUGAGACUAGUUUUUUUGCUAAGUCUGCAUAUUCAGAGACACUAAACUCUAUUAGAGAAAGAAUGGCUGCUGCAACCUGUAAAAUUUGUUAUGCCAGGGAUCAUUCAACCGGUAUGUGCCCCGAAUAUCAAGAUAAUCUGAGUGUCCCACUCAAUAAUUAUGGAGAUUUUUCACCCUGGUCUCAAACGUGGUAUAACCCUAAUCCAAACGGGUAUGAUCAAGAAUGGUGGGAUAACUCCGAUUAUAAUUAUACAACGGGGCCAAUGAAUUUUCAGCAGUAUGAGUCUCAAGAAUCGUCAUCUAUGUCAGGUAUGUCUCUUGAAGAAAUAGUUGAACCAAUAGCUACUAAUACAUACCAAUUCCAACAGGAGACACAAAUGAGGAAUGAGAUGAUGAAGGAUGCAAUGAGUUAUCUGGCAGAUCAACUAUGUCUAUUGACAUCCAGAAUAAAUCGAUUGGCUUCUCAAAUGGAAGAAUUGCCCUCGAAAACCAUUGUUGAUCUAGAAGAAAAUGAGAGUGCAAUUUGCUUGACUAGUGAUGAGGAGAUACAAGAGUGUCAAAAUGAGAAAUCUACAGAUGCAGUUGAAAAAGAAGCCGAAAAGGAAGAAAUAGAACCCCAACCGCAACCCAUUCAAGUGAAAGAAUCCAGUGAAGAAUCAUCAAAUGUGGUGACACCACCUCCAUUCCCUAACCCGCAUUUUCUUAACUCUUACUCCAUGAUUUCUAUUAAUGAGAUUGAUUUUGUUAUACCAGAAGUUUUUGAGUCUCAUGGCAGAAAUAAGUUAAGAAUAGCGAUGGUCAAAUAUCUUGAACCGUUGUGUGCUCUUGAUGGAGGAGUGGAUGAAGAAUUGAGAUCACUGCUUGAUUAUUUGACGCCAUCAACUAGUCCAUGGAAGACCGUAGCUCGUGUGUUCAAAGAUUACUCCAUCUAUGAGGGUUACCAGGAUCACAUUGAAGAUGAAGCAUUGAAGCGAGCCACAAGAUUUUAUCCUCCAUGAGCAAAACAUGAUAAUGUCUAGCCAAAGACAUUAAAGAAAUGCGCUUUUUGGGAGGCAACCCAAUUGUUAAUUUUAUUGUUUUAGUGCUUAAUUAUUUAAUUAUGUCGUUUUUCACGUGGGUACUAGUCACUCUUGAUGUUUUCUAACUCUGAUCAGGAUAGGUAAUCUUAGCGUGCCCACGCGAGGAGGGCACGCGUUAAAGUGCGUAAAGUAACUCUCGAAGUCAGUGGAUGCUCUCUAAUCUUGGCGUGCCCACGCCAUGUUUGACGACCCAAAAACAAAGGAAAUAAUUUUUCACUUUAAAAAAAAAAUAAUAAAUUUUUUUUUUAAAAAUAAAAGUAAUUUCGUUUUUCAUUUUCAGUUUUGGUAUUCAAAAAUCGAAUUUUCCAAUCUCAAUUCAAUUUAAAAAAAAAAAAAUUCCAAAAAAUUUUUUUUUUUCUUUCUUCUUCUUUUCUUUCUUCUUUUUCUUUCUUUCUUCCUUCUUCCCCGCUGCUUUCCCUUUCCCCCUGUCCUUUUCUACUUCAGUCGCAGCCUCCAUGCUCCACCGUGCCUCCACGCCAUCAGAUCGCGGCCUCACCUCACGGUCGCCACCAGCUCUGCCAAGCCGCGCCUCUCCUCCACUCUCACCUUCCAAGAGCGCCGCCUCCUUAGCUUCGCUCGCCGCACCCCACCCACGGCCUGCUCCAGUACCAGCUCUCCACCAGCUCGCGCGCCUCUCUCCGCCUCACGGUCCACCACCACGCGAGCACCGCCAGCUCUCAAGCUCGCCGUGGCCUCCUCUCUCCACCACCAGCUUGCAACCCUCUGCUUCAACCCGCCGCCACUCUCUUCGCCACUGUCUCCACGCAGCCCGCCGCCACCUCACCUCGCUCACCACCAGCCUCAAAGGCCUUCCCCCCAUCGCGAGCCAUCUGCCCAACGCGCACGCUGCCACUCUCCCCUCCCGACUGCCCCAGCGCGCCUCCUCCUUAGCUCAGCCCGCCGCCUGGUGCUGACCACCACGCCGCGCGCCGCCAGCGCUGGAGCCGCCUGCGCGCUACCACUUCACCUACUGCGCGCCUCCACCUCAGCUUGUCCGCCAAUGUCGCGCGGCUGUCACCACCUGUCCUAUUUAGACAGGUGGAGGUAUUGUGAAUUCUGCCCCAAUUAGUUUCACUCUCUGAAAUUUGUGGUUGGAUUUCUUGAUUGAUAAAAGAAGGUGAUAAUUUGGGCAUUUUCUAGGGUCAAUUUUGGACAGAAUUGGGUUUAAUUGCUGCCAUAGUGGGGGUAUCUUCUGCUAUUUAUUGAAUUGUUGGCCUUUUGAUUACUCUUUCCCUGCGACUCACCAGGUACUGGUUGAGAUCUUUUGCCUAUCGUUGUGGCUUAUAUUUGAAGAUACUUGCUUAUUUUGCCGUUUCAGUUCUUGUGGUUGAGUUGCUGCCGUUGAAUUUAAUUCUUUCCUGUUUGUGCACCAGUGGUACUGGUUGCGGUGUUGCUUACAAUUCUUAAAUUUUCUCGAAUUCUAAUCGGUAGUUGCUGGAAUUGCUUGUUUGCUGGGAUUCUUAAAAUUCUUAAGGCUUGGUAUCUUGAAGUGGGUACUUGAAUGUCCACUUGGUGACAUUUGUUGAGUUUCACUUGCUCCAAUUGGUUGAAUUCAUUGCUCUGUUGGGGUCCCUACUGGUAUCACUUGACUUCUGCUUUGUUAGUUUCUGUAUCGUGCCCCUUGAUCUUAUUUUGACUGAAUUGGAAACCCAGUGCAUAUUCAUUCAAUUUGCUGUAUUGUUAGGGUACUUUUCUAGCCUUUGGGGUGCCUCAGUUGUGCUUUUUAUUAAUUGGGUUGGCCAUGUGGUUCCCUCCUUUCCUGUGUAUACACCAGUGGUACUGGUUGUGCUAAUUUGCUUACAAUUUCUUAUUUCGAUAUGAUUGAGCAUCUGUGACUGAGUAUCCUUCGAUCUUGUUGCUUUGUUGGGAUCGUUUUUGGUGUCAAUUGAGUAUCAUUUGGUACUUUCUGCCUGGAGUCUAUUGAGCUGCCUUUGGUUGGGGUGUAUUGCAUUUAAUUGGUGCAUUGGACGGCUCCUGUGCCAUUUCCGUUGCUUAUUGAAGUAGGUUGCCUCUAUUUGCCUUGUGUGGGAGUAUUUUGUCCUUUUCAUUUCAAUUGCUAAAUUCAUUGGAGCACUUGUUGCGGUUUUGGGAUGCAUUGUUAUUGCAUUUGGCUAAGCAGGGGACCACCCAGGGGCUAACGACUGGGUCCAACUCCGAAUGCAAGUUGCAUAACAUGGCGCAGAAUUUGGCAGCACUCCGCCCGACCCACUCCUGUUUUGACAACUUCAGGGAAGUACCGUUACCCUUCCCCUUCCUUUUGCUGUUAGUUUAUCACAUUGAGGGCAAUGUGAGAAUUAGGUGUGGGGGGGAUCAGUUUGGGUGCUAGUAUUUCCAGUUUUCGAUUUUUAGGUAUCUUUCCUUUGUUUUUAGUUUGAUAUUUAUCUCCUUUUCGUUUAUUUCUUUUAUUCGUGAUCAGGUCUUAUUGAAUACCAAGUUUAAUGUUGGAUUGUUGUCUCUAAUUCUGAUAUUGCCAAGUUUUAGUAAUAAAAAGGUAUCAAGUUGAUGUGGUUGAGUUCAGGAACAUCUCUUUGGUGAAUAUCAGUAAUUGCUUGACUUUUCUAAUUUUUAGUUAACUUUUCUAGGCAUAGAGAAUGAUUGUUGGCAUUUUUCAUGUGAAUUGGUCCAAUUAUUAAUUUUAGUUCUCCAUAUUUGGAAAUUUGAGGCUGGCUGCUGUUAUUUUGUGUCAUUUUUAGUUAUUGUGCUAUAUGGUUGUAAAUAAGAGUUGACUGUACUCCGCUAGUGGUUACUACUGAGUAACCGGGGAUCUUCACCUAAAGUGUUGAUUUUCGCGUCAAAAGGUAGUAGUUGCUAUAAGUGCGUGGUCCCGUAGCGAUUGGAGCUGAGUAACCGGGCUCCUCCAUCUGGCAAAUGUUGGAGUUCGCGUCAAAAGGCUCUAAGGGCUAUAGACUAAGUCUUUUGUUACUUCAAAAAAAAAAAUAAAAAAAAAAUAAAAAAAAGAAGGAAAAAAGUAAAGUAAAGAUUGUGUUAGUAUGUGAAUAAGUCAGCUUGCCGGUUUGUGAUCUUAAUGUCGAUAUUUUAGUUAAUAGUUGGACCAUUUGCUAAUAAAUGUGAGCAACUAUUCCUUUUUCUUAGAUUAGUUUGCUUUAAAUUGGAGGAGUUGGUGGUUGGGAAGCUAACCGGAGUGGUCUUUCUUGGAUCUUAACUGUGAUGCUUGAUAUAUGUUUUUCUGGGCAUCUUGGCAAUAUGAUAGUUAGAGCAAUAGCCAUUGUCGAAUUUUUGGUGUUCAAUUGCUGUUCUUAUGCUUGAGGGCAAGCAUGAUUUAGGUGUGGGGGGAAUUGAUAGGGCAUAAUUUGUUGUUAAUUUUAUGAUUAAUUUUCCUCUUUGUCCUUGCCAAAUAUUGUUUUAAUUGUUGAAAUGUACUUAUAUUUGGUAUUUGGCCCUAAUUACAGGAAGUGGAGCAAACAAGUGCUAAAAAGGAGACUUUAUUGAGAAAAACACUCCACACAUGGGAAGUUCUAAAAGGAAAUACAAGCUGGGCUCCACAGGAUGCUACAAAAAGGGAUUUCCUAUCUUUAUGCUGAAAAGGGUGGACUUGUACUAGGAGUCUUACGGGUAAAGAGGAAACUAAAAACAAAGACUUUGGCAAAGCUCCAAUUCUUUGGCCCUUGGACUCUCAAUUCAGUGGGGACCACUAGAGAUAGCAUUAGACUUUCUUUUGGCUUUAAAAAGGGAGAAACGUACAGGAGGUUUUGUUAUCAAUAGUUUUAGCUUAGCCUUUAGCAUAGUUUUAGUUUUCUUUUCUUUCUUGGCUCUUUUGAUGGCCUGGACCUCAAUUAAAUUACUUGGAGAUUUUCUCAUGAGGCGUGGCUAAGUUUUUCUAGUCGAGGAACAACGGAGGACUUGGUUCUACUAAAUUUGUGAGAUCAAAUUAGUUUUUAUUUAUUUCCAUUAUUCACUGGUAUUCGUCUAUCUUCUGCUUUAUGUUCAUAUGGUUGUUUUAUUAUUCGAUUAUCCUGGGCCCGGAUUCUAGAUUAAUUCAAUAACCUGAAGCCAAUUAGGGUAGUUAAAUCCGUAAUUGUUUAAUUAUUCUAAACUGGUAGCAACUGGCAUGAUUGGGUUUGUGUCAGGGAGAUAGACAUGCUAACUUAAAGAGACCCUCGUAGCGUGUUGAUUGGUUAGAAUUAGGCUCUUCUAAUUAUUCAUGCAAUUAGGGAAUUGAACUUCUAUGGUCGUACCUAGGGUUGUUUCCUGAUUAGAGAAAUAAUCAACGGUCGUACCUUGGCUAUCGACAAAUUGAGGAAGAGUUGGUUGUUUAUCGCGUGUAUGACAACUAUAACUAAUUUAUCAGAUAGUAACUGGAAUAAUCCUUGAAUCUGUGAUCGAAUUAAGUGAACCAUCUCCGAAGUUGUCUCUUGGCUAGAGUUCGUCCAUUAUUAUUUUUAUUGUGAUAAUUAGUUAUUUGAGUUGUAGUUAUUUUAUUUUAUUUUAAUUUAUUCCAAGUAAUUUAGUUACUCUCAUUUUCAAAAACCCCCCAUAUCUGGAAUUUGAGAAGAAAUUAAAUUAUCCCCAAUCCCUGUGGAUUCGACCCUGCUUACCGCUAUAUACAGAAUUUGUAUUUUAUUUGAGCAGGUAUUUAUUAUUGCACAGGCUUGACACCUGUCAAGGUUCACGUGCAAAGCACGUGCUCCAUUACUAGUGAGAUAAUAAAAAUAUGCUCAGAAAAUGUGAUCAUAAAAAAUAUAGAAACUUUAAUCCAGACAAAUAUUUAGACAAUCACUAAUUAGUUAUUGCUAUUAUUAGUACUACUUUUUAUACUGUUAUAGAUAUAAAAGGAUUUACUUAUAUUGGCCUUCGAAGUUUUAUAGGCAUGGAAAUGUAGAAAUGCUUUUCUUGUAACAUAUCGCUGAGCUAUCAAGGAAAAAGAUUUGAAGCCAAGAUGUGUAAGAUCGAUGUCACAUUGCUGCUUCGUGGAACAACAUUGAUGCAUAAGGACCAGUUCGCAUGAAAGCAAUUUUGCAACUAGACACCAUGUAAAAUGUCACUUUGAUGAACUAAGGUUGACCCUAUAUGUUCCCAUUUAAUUCUUGUAAAAUUGAUUUCCAUAAUUUUAUCUUUCCAACGUUCCCAUCCACCAACUGGGAUCCUUUUUUGAAUACAAAAUUGUGCCUUAGCAAUUCAGUUUUCUAAAUUGCUCUCUGAUUAACAUAAAGUAGAAGGGCUCAAGCUGACUGAUUCUUGUGCUCUGAGUCCUGUCCUGAGCUUUACAGAUACAACGAGCAAUGGAAAAGAAUCACUGGACACAACCUGCAGUCAACUGCAGAACAUUGAGAAAAAAUACGUUGCCUGUUACAAAGCUAAGAUACAACUUCAAGAAGGAUGCAAGCACCUAUCAGGGUUCAGCUAAUCCACAUCUUUCUGCGACAAAAUACCGGCUACUUUGAACUACAAGUAAUAAGGAAGAUAUGGCAAAUGAGUUCCAAAAGAAGUAAAAAGCCACCUCAUUAACAUGCCUACAAAUUGCUGAAUCGGUUGGACAGUUUAAAAGAACCACGCCAACAGGGAAGAUCUUAGGCUUUGGCCAUCCGAGGCAGGGAGCAAAAGGGAUUUCCAUCCUGGAUGUUUUCAUUUGAUCUGACUGAAACAGGAUCUUGUUCAGCAAGGGAUCAUAUUAAAAGUACCAAGGAUAGUAAGUAAGAGCUAUCAGGGUUAAUGUUGAUCUUUGAGUGCAAAACACAAAAACUCAAACUUAAGAAACUCGAGACAGCAUGUAGGUGGCAGAAUGAGCUUAAUAGCCUUCAUCACAGCGGAUGAAAUAAUUGCAGCAAGUAGCAGCAGCCAACCAGGAUGCUUGGCAGUCUCGACUAACCAUAGCAAUAUGCUUAGACGUGCUAGUGCAUAAUCAGGAUGUUUCGUUUUGCAGGUUAGACUUGAUUGUGUUAGAAGAUACUCUAACAAGUCUGUGCAGCUUCGCUGCAUGAACAGUACAUCUUCCGUGGCUGCUCCCAAAAACAUUUUCAUUAUGAGAAGAUUUCUCAAGUUUUGGUUGCAAUAUGUUCAGAAUCAAAGUAGUCAAAAGUCAAAUUUGAGUAGUAAAAGAAGAGUAGUAUAUCUGAACUUACCAGACUCUUAGAACCAGACACCAAUUUGAUGACCAACUGCUCUGAAAACUCCUCAAAUCUUUACUACUAGAAAAUCAUAACCAAGGAAAAGUGAGACAGAAACCCAUUAUCUACGAGACUUAUCGAACAAAUCACUAAUCAAAUGGUUCAAGAAGCUUGAUAAAUGCGCCAUCAAGAGGUGAUUAAACUUUGGAGCAACUAUUUACUCCCACUAGAAUCAUAAGUUAGGGAGCUGAUCACUUUAGCAAUCACAUCUUACGUCCACAAAAGCAGAUAUAUAAAAUCAACAAAACGAAACUCCUAGUGCUUAUUUCAUAUUGAUGGGUAACUUGGAGGAAAUGCAAACCAAAAAUUAAUUAAUACCAACUAUAAAAAUCUAAUCUAAGUUCAUCUGCUUGUUAAGUGCAGGAGGAAGGAGUGCAGUAGAGAAUUGCGGGUUUAAAGUCUUAUAGAAAAGGUUUGUAGAAUUGCUGCUUGUGGUAUCAAAUCUAAAAUGUCCAAUGCAUUUUCAAAGGGUGAAACUUCAGAGAGAACAAUCAUUUCAUCCUGGUGAAAUCACAAGUUUAAGUGCACCGAUGUUAGCAAUCACGACGUACAAAGGACAGUAACUGACAUACAUCAUAAACAAAACUAAAUUCUAAAUUCCACCCACAUUAACGGAUUUGUUUAGUGCUGGUUCAUCCAAAACGUUAUUCAGUUAACCCAAGAAAAUCUCGUUCAUUUUGGUCACUGAAAAAAAUAUGCAACUGAAGCUUGAAAUGUAGUCUUGAAACAUGGAUGGUAUUGAAUUGGACCACCAUUUGCCAUGUUUCAUCUUUGCAACAGCAAAUGAGAUGUGAUACAACGGGAGAAAUACCAAUUUGACAUUUUAAAUUAACCAAAAUGAUUGUUUAAUUCCGUUAGUUUAGAUUGGUAUGGAACCAUGCAUGGCUUAUUAGUGGUGAAGGUUAUGAAAUAUUGCGCUUAUUCAUGAUAAGAGUUACCUGGAAGUUUCAAUCGUAAUGAAGAGAGAGAAAGGACCGUGUAACGACCCCAUUUUCCCCUUAGGCGAACCAGAGAGGUCAACGGGCCGCCUGCCCAGCUCUCGCCAGGACUCAGUCGUUCACUACAAUCCUCAAAUAAAUUACAAGAAUAAACCUCAAAUAUUACAAUAUAAAUCUCCAAUAUUUAAUUACAUGGUCCACAAAUAUACAUCCAAGUCUCCAAUAAUUACAUGUCACAAAUGCAGCGGAAACAAUUCCUAACUAUACAUAAAAUGAUUCCAAAUCAAAACUGUACAAAACAUAGGCCAUCCAAUCACGUGCACAAGUACUAUAAGUCCUUCCUUCGCCUUGAGCCCUGUGGAGGGGAAUAAAAUAGUUUUUUGGGGUGAGCUAAAAGCUCAGCGAGUAACCAGCAAAAUCAUUAAGCACAUAUAUUUCACAAUGUUGCAUUUCGAUGAUUUCGAUGAUGUCAUGAUUCCAAGAUCACAUGUACGUUUAUUGCUCUCGUGAGCCAGUGAAAUCAUUGCACUUGAACACCCAACGCUCAAAUAUAUCAUUUAACAUUAACUCACGAACUCACGAAAGUGGGAGCAACAUUGGUGCUCCAGAUAACCAUGAACAUGAACCAUAAACAAGGUGGAGACGUUGGUGUCCAGCACAAGACUUUCCCAGAACUCAUUGAAGCCAAAUCAUGUCAUGAAUUCACAUGCAAGCACGCAUGAUAUGCAAUCGAAUAAUUAAUGCAAGAAACAUUUCACAAAUAACUUUGGAAAUAGUUUAGGGUCACUCACCUCCACGCCUCAGAACCCAUCCGUCAUAUACCAUUAUCUUGUCCGAAUCCAAGCCCUAAAACCCAAAACAGAUUUGAUGUCCUUUUGCGGUAAUGGUACCAAAAGCAGUACGAUGGUCGGAUGAAGGUGCAAGACCCACCGUUUCGAAGCUAAGAGACAGGGCUACAACAAUGUAGAAGGCCUCUCAGUCCAAAUCCUAGCACAACUAGGUCAAAAGUGCCAAAUACCAAACCAGAAUUACCAAAACAGGUUUGCAAAACGCAGAAAACUGUAAUCGAUAUAACUCAGUCCAUACAAGUCCAAAUGCCGAAAUUCCAAAGGCAUAAGUUAUUUAAGACAUCCAGCUACAUUUCAUCAGAAGACACCAACUUUAAAAUCCAAACCAAUACCAGUCCAAACAGGCAAUUACUAUCGCAGUUCGGACAUUCUGUGCACCAAAAACAGCAACAGUAAAGACGGCAUAACUCACUCUACGCAGGUCCAAUUGCCCUGAAAUUUUGCAGGCACACUAAACUCAUCAAUACCUACAACUUUCAUGUUUUGAGAAAAGUCCAAUUCGGCCUCUAGCUAUGACCUAAAAUUUCGGACAGAAUAGGGGUUCAAGAACCCUAACUUUUCACAUUUCAUUCCAAAUCCAAAAUUGAUUGCAUUUAACAACAAUUCACACCUACUAGAGCCAAAGCCCCUUAUUACCAACCAUCAUACUAGUCCAAAACAUCAAAAUCAUAUGAAACCAGAAAAUUCAUCAUAAAAUGGAAAACUUCACCAAAUCAAGCCAAACCAAGAAAUAAAUCAUAUAAUCCAACACUCAAGCCUCUGCUAAGCAUAAUAUAACCAUAAUUAGGUGUAGUAGGGUGUUCAAGCAUCACUUACCAAGAAAUUAAGAGAGAUAGAGAGGUUGGCCACCUUAGAGCUUCAAAACAACUUCACCAAGUCACUUACUAGCACCUAAUGGAGUGAUUUUAUGGAGCAAAUCUAAGUUUAAUUGGUUGGAAUGGAAGAUUGAGAUAGUUUGAAGCUUGUAAAUUGAAGAAGUUUUUCUUCCUUGUCCAAGAGAGAGAAUCGGCCAACAAGAGGUAAGAAAGAAUGAAUUUUUAGUCAAUUUUUGAGAUAUUUAAUCCAUGAUAAGAAAAGUCAAAAAUGUCCACCAAGUGGACCAAUCACAUAGUGCCACUUGGCACUUCAUUUAAUGCCUUCCUAUCACUUGGUUCCUCUCACAUCAAUGCCAUGUCACCCUCUACUUAUCUCUUAACACCCGAUAAAUUUCCACCAGUAUCCGAAACUUAACCUUAUUGGCCGAAUUUUGCCGUACUUUUCGCACUAGUGGGUCCCACGUCCAAAAUAUAUUCUUAAUUUUCUAAAAACUCACCAAUACUAGAAAAAUCAUUUGAAAAUGAUAUUUGCUCAUAAACUUUAUCUGGGGAAUUUUUCUAAUCAAGAAAAUGUAGAAAAUGCGGGCGUUUAAAAAAAUAAACCCUAGAAAAUUAGAAAAUUUCCGGGUUCUCAAACUCAUUUUUUUUCGGGGCGUCACAAUCUCCCCUCCUUAAAAGAAUGUCGUCCUCGACAUUCCCUCUUGUACCAAUCAAGUCAAGACAUCCCACAAAAAUCUCUCAAGAGUCAAAUCAAACCCACAGUCCGGCAUCCUAAACUUCAAGCCUAGGAUACACUACAGAGAUCUAAAGCCUAAGCUCUGAUACCAACUGUAACGACCCCAUUUUCCCCUUAGGCGAACCAGAGAGGUCAACGGGCCGCCUGCCCAGCUCUCGCCAGGACUCAGUCGUUCACUACAAUCCUCAAAUAAAUUACAAGAAUAAACCUCAAAUAUUACAAUAUAAAUCUCCAAUAUUUAAUUACAUGGUCCACAAAUAUACAUCCAAGUCUCCAAUAAUUACAUGUCACAAAUGCAGCGGAAACAAUUCCUAACUAUACAUAAAAUGAUUCCAAAUCAAAACUGUACAAAACAUAGGCCAUCCAAUCACGUGCACAAGUACUAUAAGUCCUUCCUUCGCCUUGAGCCCUGUGGAGGGGAAUAAAAUAGUUUUUUGGGGUGAGCUAAAAGCUCAGCGAGUAACCAGCAAAAUCAUUAAGCACAUAUAUUUCACAAUGUUGCAUUUCGAUGAUUUCGAUGAUGUCAUGAUUCCAAGAUCACAUGUACGUUUAUUGCUCUCGUGAGCCAGUGAAAUCAUUGCACUUGAACACCCAACGCUCAAAUAUAUCAUUUAACAUUAACUCACGAACUCACGAAAGUGGGAGCAACAUUGGUGCUCCAGAUAACCAUGAACAUGAACCAUAAACAAGGUGGAGACGUUGGUGUCCAGCACAAGACUUUCCCAGAACUCAUUGAAGCCAAAUCAUGUCAUGAAUUCACAUGCAAGCACGCAUGAUAUGCAAUCGAAUAAUUAAUGCAAGAAACAUUUCACAAAUAACUUUGGAAAUAGUUUAGGGUCACUCACCUCCACGCCUCAGAACCCAUCCGUCAUAUACCAUUAUCUUGUCCGAAUCCAAGCCCUAAAACCCAAAACAGAUUUGAUGUCCUUUUGCGGUAAUGGUACCAAAAGCAGUACGAUGGUCGGAUGAAGGUGCAAGACCCACCGUUUCGAAGCUAAGAGACAGGGCUACAACAAUGUAGAAGGCCUCUCAGUCCAAAUCCUAGCACAACUAGGUCAAAAGUGCCAAAUACCAAACCAGAAUUACCAAAACAGGUUUGCAAAACGCAGAAAACUGUAAUCGAUAUAACUCAGUCCAUACAAGUCCAAAUGCCGAAAUUCCAAAGGCAUAAGUUAUUUAAGACAUCCAGCUACAUUUCAUCAGAAGACACCAACUUCAAAAUCCAAACCAAUACCAGUCCAAACAGGCAAUUACUAUCGCAGUUCGGACAUUCUGUGCACCAAAAACAGCAACAGUAAAGACGGCAUAACUCACUCUACACUAGUCCAAUUGCCCUGAAAUUUUGCAGGCACACUAAACUCAUCAAUACCUACAACUUUCAUGUUUUGAGCAAAGUCCAAUUCGGCCUCUAGCUAUGACCUAAAAUUUCGGACAGAAUAGGGGUUCAAGAACCCUAACUUUUCACAUUUCAUUCCAAAUCCAAAAUUGAUUGCAUUACAACAAUUCCACCUACUAGAGGCCAAAGCCCCUUAUUACCAACAUGCAUACUAGUCCAAAACAUCCAAAUCAUAUGAAACCAGAAAAUUCAUCAUAAAAUGGAAAACUUCACAAAAUGAAGCAAACCAAGGAAAUAAAUGAUAAUAAUCCAACCUCAAGCGCACUUUUUCUAAGUAAUAUAGACCCAUACUAAGGUGUAGUAGGGUGUUCACGGCAUCACUUACCAAGAAUUAGAGAGAUAGAGAGGUUUGGCCACCUUAGAGCUUCAAAACAAAUUCAGCCAGUACUUACUAGCACUAAUGGAGUGAUUUUUAUGGAGCAAAUCUAAGUUUAAUUGGUUGGAAUGGAAGAUUGAGAUUAGUUUGAAGCUUGUAAUUGAGAAGUUUUUCUUCCUUGUCCAAGAGAGAGAUCGGCACAAGAAAGUAAGAAAGAAUGAAUUUUUAGUCAUUUUUGAGAUAUUUUAAUCCAUGAUAGAAAAAGUCAAAAAUGUCCACAAGUGGACCAAUCACAUUAGUGCCACUUGGCAACUUCAUUUAAUGCCUUCUAUAAUUGGUUCCUCUCACAUCAAUGCCAUGUCACCCUCUACUUAUCUCUUAACACCCGAUAAAUUUCCACCAGUAUCCGAAACUUAACCUUAUUGGCCGAAUUUUGCCGUACUUUUCGCACUAGUGGGUCCCACGUCCAAAAUAUAUUCUUAAUUUUCUAAAAACUCACCAAUACUAGAAAAAUCAUUUGAAAAUGAUAUUUGCUCAUAAACUUUAUCUGGGGAAUUUUUCUAAUCAAGAAAAUGUAGAAAAUGCGGGCGUUUAAAAAAAUAAACCCUAGAAAAUUAGAAAAUUUCCGGGUUCUCAAACUCAUUUUUUUUCGGGGCGUGACUGGGCCUAAUGGGACUUGGACUGGGCCCUGGUUCAUGCACACAUCACCGAAACUCUGAAAGAUGACCAGUUGAGUAAUUUAGAAAAAGAGAUGCGGCAGCCAACAAGUAUGACAGGCAGAGAAAGCUAAAGAAUCUUCAUGAAGUGAAUUCCUAGAACAGCAACCAAUUAUUACCAUUUGAUGCUUCAAAGUUCAAAUCAUCACAGUUAGACUUAAACUUCAGUAAAGGAUAAUCUGCCAAGUCUUUGCAGCUUCAUUGCUAGAACAAUACUAUUUUCCCUUGCAACCUCAAAAAAUGACUUGAACAUGUCCUUUUUUUUUUGAAAGGGGGGAGGGGCGAGGGGUUAGUUAACAAAUUGAGAAUCAAACUGCUUAAAACUCAAUAUUACAUAGUUGAAGAAGAAAGUUUAUCAUGGAUUAGGAGCAUUUCUUAAAAAAAAAAAAUUGGUAUUGUAGAUUACCAGUCCAUUUGGCAUGAUGAUAAGAAUAAGAUAAUAACAUUUUCUAGAGGUGAAAGUUCAGAGUAACCAUUUUUUCCUCAUAGAAUCUCAGGUUUAGGAAUCAAUGUACAGCUUGCAGUAGCAGACAUAUGUGAUGAGCAAAUAUAAACUGCUACUCUUUAUUGAAAGAUAGCGCAGGCAUAAAUCUGAGGGCAAAUGGUCUUUAACUAUCAUAUUAUGUUUGACUGUCCGCAACAAAUAAUUUGUUUGUAAAUAUCUGCAUUCUAUGAUUGAGGAAGGAAAGGAUAGAAGUGAAGUGGGACUAUUUGCCAGAAGCAAAAUACAAAAUGCUCAUCAAAUGGAUCCUUUACAUUUGGACAAGGCACCUAAACCACAAUUAUACCAAAAAGGAUAGAUUGGAUGAUGAGGUCAGUCUCUCAAGGAGUGCUAUGUGUGAGCCGUGAUGCGUAUUCUGUGUGUGUGAGUGUGCAGUUUGUGUGUCGAGAUGCUAUAGUAAGUGAUAGUGUUUACUUUGAUGACUGCAGUUGAACCUUUUCAGACCGCCUAAGACAAGAGAAGUUCAUCAAAGCAGACCUCUGCCUUCAACAAAGUGAAGUUGAGCAGUUACAUCAUUUCCAAGACUGGCAAUUUACUUCCAUGAUUAAAAUAGCUUACAAGAUAGUACAAUCAACAAUUGAGAUCUCUAAUUCCAAUCUAUUAUCAAUUUGAACGUGCACAGCAGAAUCCUCUCAAAUCCUUGCUAUUACAUGGCCAAACAACAUUCCUGGAAGCAGACCCUCGAAAACUUUCAAACUCUGUUACUAAUAAUCAUUUUAGUCACAAUACAUAUAUCACCUCACCUCAGGCAAUAAAUAAAAAUCUUCUUAAGAGUUUCACUGGAGUAUGUUCUCCUACAGAAAAAAAAAAGGAGAAAAAAUCCUAUAAGUUAAAUAGUUUGAAAUCUUUCUGUGUUAGAAAAUCCACAAAUUUCUGUGCUGGGACGUACUUUCAUUUGACACUUUAUUCCAUGAAUGCAAAACAAUAAGUAAAUUUUGGUGAAUUUUUCCAUUUUAUGAUGAAUUUUCUGGUUUCAUAUGAUUUUGAUGUUUUGGACUAGUAUGAUGGUUGGUAAUAAGGGGCUUUGGCUCUAGUAGGUGUGAAUUGUUGUUAAAUGCAAUCAAUUUUGGAUUUGGAAUGAAAUGUGAAAAGUUAGGGUUCUUGAACCCCUAUUCUGUCCGAAAUUUUAGGUCAUAGCUAGAGGCCGAAUUGGACUUUGCUCAAAACAUGAAAGUUGUAGGUAUUGAUGAGUUUAGUGUGCCUGCAAAAUUUUAGGGCAAUUCGCCAAGUGUAGAGUGAGUUAUGCCGUUUUUACUGUUGCUGUUUUUGGUGCACAGAAGGUCCGAACUGCGAUAGUAAUUGCCUGUUUUGACUGGAAUUGGUUUGGAUUGUGGAGUUGGUGUCUUCUGAUGAAAUGUAGCUGGAUGUCUUAAAUUACUUAUUCCUUUGGAAUUUCGGCAUUUGGACUUGUAUGGACUGAGAUAUACCGAUUACAGUUUUCUGUGUUUUGCAAACCUGUUUUGGUGAUUCUGGUUUAGUGUUUGGCAUUUUUGACCUAGUUGGGUCAGGAACUGGAUUGAGUGACCUUCUACAUUGUUAUAGCCCUGUCCCAUAGCUUCGAAACGGUGGGUCUUACACCCCCAUCCGAUAAUUGUAGUGAGAGUUGUGCCAUUACCGCAUUAGGACGUCAAAACCGGUUUUCAUAUCAAGGCCUUAGUUAAAGCCCUUUCUUAAUUUCUGGUUUCCUUUAAUGUUUGUAAAUGCUUAUGGAACCUUAUUGGGGUCAUGUUUGGCCUUGGUUUAUGACUCGUUAGCGAGUCUUAUUGUAUUUGUUUACAUGUUUUUAGGUCGUGACGGUGGUGCAACGUUCUUUUGACUAAAGUGCUUGAAACUACAUUUGCUAGCUUGGUGAGUGUACUACUCACUUAUGUGCUAUUAUAUGGCUUUGAUAUUUGAACUUGAGAUGUUGAAUGUUAAUUAAUUGAAGUGAGAGUGUACUUUAUCAUUCUCACUUAUUGUAUCGCAUGUUAUUGAAAAGUUAUUGGAAUUUUACAUGAAAUGUUAUAUGAAAUGAAAUACAUGACUUCAAAUGUUAUCCAUGAGCUCAACCCCAUUGGUAGUUGAUUGAAUCGAGCCAGCAAGGGCUUGGUCGUGACAAUUAAUGAGCCUUGGGUAAGGUUAUAUGGAAUCGUGUAGUAUGAGAGACUCUCGAUUCCGGUAUACUCGAGUAAUACCACAAUGCAUGCGUUUGGAUUUCGGGCCCGGUUGAGGAAUGUUAGGAGGAAGGGAAUGGAAGUUAAGUGGGUCUACAGUUGGUUACUUUUCAAACAUUGACGGAGAGUCAAUGAGACCGAUCAAGAAUUCAAACGAGGAAAAGGGCUCUUGAGAGCCACCCGUAUCCUUUUAUCCUCAUUAUUAAUGUGUGGCUUUAUUUAUUUUGGUAAAUUGGACUGUUAAGCUUGAUGUAUCCAUGAACUUGGUUGCUUGAGUUGUAUUCUCACUGGGCAAUUAGCUCACCCCGUUCCUUUUGUUUUCCUUACAGGAAUAUGACUCUUUUGGAAUGAAUUUUGAUAAAUGGUUGCCAAAUGAACUAGAUGAAUGACUCUUUUCUAUUGUAUAUAAAAUGGGACCCUAAAUGUAUCAUUAGGGCCGUUUUCACUUUUGUUUUGGCAAACCAUAUAAGUAGUGACUUUUGUAUCACUUUUAAAUGUCAUUUUGGUUUGUAAAGGCUAAAUGUUAUGGGGUAUAUGUAAUUCGAUGUUUGGUUGGGUUCGGACGAGUCGGUUACUAUUCAUGGCCGACUCCGGGUUUCAUUUUCUUUUAUUUUGGGUUAUUUUGCCCUUUUGCCUUAUUUGCGCGCGUUAUAAGUUCCGGAACGUGAAAGAUCGCUCUAUACUGUACCGUUAGUCCUGGCGAGAGCUGGGCAGGCAGUCCGCUAACCUCUUUGGUUCGCCUUAGGGGAAGGUGGGGCUGUCACAGGUGGUAUCAGAGCCACGUCGCGUGGUCUCUGCGCGAAGUGAGACUGGGCCAAGUGGUGUUGUGGUCCUAAUUUCAUGAAUAUGUGUAAGUGCUCGUUUGAGCAUAAGUUAUGAAUCUUGAAGUGUUAUAGGUCUUUAAUCUUUCUCAUGGUAUUUAAGGACCCUAGAUAAGUAUGUCGGACAGGAAUUUUGAUUUGUAGAUGGUUUACUCUUGGGACUGGCCAGCUCGAGAUGUGAACUAUCUUAUUUCGGAUUCUCGUGCCCGAGUACCCCAGAAUUGAGGUGAUGCAAGCUACUAGGUAUUUGAACCCUGUGUUUUGGAAACAAGCCUUGUAUUUUGGAAACGUGAACAGGCUUUGUCUGACUAAGAUGAGCACAAGAGAUCAAUGGACAUCUAGUUUGGAUAGUUAGUGACGUGAGAGACCAGACGGGCUGGUACUGGGAUGACUUUUCGACUGUAUAUGACUAAGUCUAUAUUUGCUUACCUGCUUAUCCGUCUUUUAAUAUAACGUGUUAUAUGCGAUAUGUUAUUGGUAUGAUAGAUUUUGUUAUGUUAGUCAAUUUAUUGCAUUCAUGCAUGGAAGUACCCUUUUGGAAAAAAAAAACCCGCGGACAUGGUCAUAGCAGUGACACAAAACGAGACCAAGAGUCAAAGAGAAGAAAGGGAGGAAACAACACCUGAACCGAACAUGGACCAAGAGUGCUACUUGUAAUCAAGACUUUCUUAUGACCCAUUGUUUUGCCGACAGGCUACCAUCUGAGGUCCAGCAACUCUGUAAAAUGGCACGUAGGGUUGAGAUGUAUAAUGAAAUCGGGGGUCUUCGAGACGAAAUAAAAGUCCAAAAGAACCUAGUCGCAUACUGGGAAGGGCGCUGGAAGCACGAGUAUACAGAGAAAAUUGAGCUCCUGCACAAAAACUUAGAGCUAAAAAGGAAAUAUGAAGGGAUUUCCGAGGAGGCCCUGGAAAAGGCUCAAUGCAUCAAGAAUGCAAAGGUGCAAGUGAAAGCUUCCCAAAUACGGAAAAGGGGUGCAGUGGGUAGCGUGAGUGAGGAACCUUCUAAAGUACAGAAAGUGAACCAGUUAUUCGGGCCGCCAUGGACAAUGGGGGCGGUAGAUAAAAGAUUUGUCAAUGAAAGCCAAACCAGACAGGGGGAGAUUUCUCCGAAAAGCAAAAAGAUGACUUUCCACUUGACUUGUGACUAUUGCGGAAAGGCCAAUCACACUGAGAAUGAUUGCUGGAGAAAGGGGAGUAGAUGUCUGCGCUGUGGGAGCAUCGAGCAUCGAAUUGCAUAUUGCCCGAUUAAAGUGCGGAAAAAGAAAAGAACUCAACAACCAACCCAGACCGACCCUGCACCGUCAAGUGGAGAAGGGACUGGAAUGAAGAACCUCGUUUCUUCUGACUCUGAAGACGGAGAAGGUACAGGCCAUUGGAUACUUUAAAUUUGAAGGAAAAUUUCGAGGACGAAAUUCUUUUAAGGGGGGGAGAGUGUGAGAACCCGUAAAACCCUAAUUAUUUUCCUAGGGUUUAUUUCCCCUUAAUUGCAUGUUUUCUGCAUUUUCGGGCCUAGGAAUAUUUUUCUGGUAGAUUUUAUGAGUAAUUAUAGUUUUUAGAUGAUUUUUUCUAGUAUUGGUGAGUUUUUAGAAAAUUAAGAUAUAUUUUGGACGUGGACCACUAGUGCGAAAAGUACGGCAAAAUUCGGCCAAUAAGGUUUAAGUUUCGCGAUUUACUGGUGGAAUUAUCUGGUGUUAAGAGAUAAGUAGCAGGGUGACAUGGCAUUGAUGUGGAGAGGAACCAAAGUGAUAGGAAGGCAUUAAUGAAGUGCCCAAGUGGCACUAUGUGAUUGGUCCACUUGUUGGACAUUUUUGACUUUUCUUAUCAUGGAUUAAAUUAUCUCAAAAUGACUUAAAAAUUCAUUCUUUCUUACCUCUUGUUGGCCGUUCUCUCUUUGGACAGGAAAAAACUUCUUCAAUUUACAAGCCUUCAAACUAAUCUCAAUCUUCCAUUCCAACCAAUUAAACUUUAGAUUUGCUCCAUAAAAUCACUCCAUUAGGUGCCUAGUAAGUGACUUGGUGAAGUUGUUUUUGAAGCUUCUAAGGUGGCCAACCUCUCUAUCUCUCUUAAUUUCUUGGUAAGUGAUGCCUUGAACACCCUACUACACCUAAAUGAUGGUUAUAUUAUGCUUAGAAGAGGCUUGAGUGUUGGAUUAUAUGAUUUAUUUCUUGGUUUGGCUUGAUUUGGUGAAGUUUUCCAUUUAUAUGAGAAUUUUCUGGUUUCAUAUGAUUUUUGAUGUUUUGGACUAGUAUGAUGGUUGGUAAUUAAGGCGGCUUUGGCUCUAGUAGUGUGAAUUGUUGUUAAAUGCCAAUCAAUUUUGGAUUUGGAAUGAAAUGUGAAAAGUUAGGGUUCUUGAACCCCUAUUCUGUCCGAAAUUUUAGGUCAUAGCUAGAGGCCGAAUUGGACUUUGCUCAAAACAUGAAAGUUGUAGGUAUUGAUGAGUUUAGUGUGCCUGCAAAAUUUUAGGGCAAUUCGCCAAGUGUAGAGUGAGUUAUGCCGUUUUUACUGUUGCUGUUUUUGGUGCACAGAAGGUCCGAACUGCGAUAGUAAUUGCCUGUUUUGACUGGAAUUGGUUUGGAUUGUGGAGUUGGUGUCUUCUGAUGAAAUGUAGCUGGAUGUCUUAAAUUACUUAUUCCUUUGGAAUUUCGGCAUUUGGACUUGUAUGGACUGAGAUAUACCGAUUACAGUUUUCUGUGUUUUGCAAACCUGUUUUGGUGAUUCUGGUUUAGUGUUUGGCAUUUUUGACCUAGUUGGGUCAGGAACUGGAUUGAGUGACCUUCUACAUUGUUAUAGCCCUGUCCCAUAGCUUCGAAACGGUGGGUCUUACACCCCCAUCCGAUAAUUGUAGUGAGAGUUGUGCCAUUACCGCAUUAGGACGUCAAAACCGGUUUUCAUAUCAAGGCCUUAGUUAAAGCCCUUUCUUAAUUUCUGGUUUCCUUUAAUGUUUGUAAAUGCUUAUGGAACCUUAUUGGGGUCAUGUUUGGCCUUGGUUUAUGACUCGUUAGCGAGUCUUAUUGUAUUUGUUUACAUGUUUUUAGGUCGUGACGGUGGUGCAACGUUCUUUUGACUAAAGUGCUUGAAACUACAUUUGCUAGCUUGGUGAGUGUACUACUCACUUAUGUGCUAUUAUAUGGCUUUGAUAUUUGAACUUGAGAUGUUGAAUGUUAAUUAAUUGAAGUGAGAGUGUACUUUAUCAUUCUCACUUAUUGUAUCGCAUGUUAUUGAAAAGUUAUUGGAAUUUUACAUGAAAUGUUAUAUGAAAUGAAAUACAUGACUUCAAAUGUUAUCCAUGCGCUCAACCCCAUUGGUAGUUGAUUGAAUCGAGCCAGCAAGGGCUUGGUCGUGACAAUUAAUGAGCCUUGGGUAAGGUUAUAUGGAAUCGUGUAGUAUGAGAGACUCUCGAUUCCGGUAUACUCGAGUAAUACCACAAUGCAUGCGUUUGGAUUUCGGGCCCGGUUGAGGAAUGUUAGGAGGAAGGGAAUGGAAGUUAAGUGGGUCUACAGUUGGUUACUUUUCAAACAUUGACGGAGAGUCAAUGAGACCGAUCAAGAAUUCAAACGAGGAAAAGGGCUCUUGAGAGCCACCCGUAUCCUUUUAUCCUCAUUAUUAAUGUGUGGCUUUAUUUAUUUUGGUAAAGUGGACUGUUAAGCUUGAUGUAUCCAUGAACUUGGUUGCUUGAGUUGUAUUCUCACUGGGCAAUUAGCUCACCCCGUUCCUUUUGUUUUCCUUACAGGAAUAUGACUCUUUUGGAAUGAAUUUUGAUAAAUGGUUGCCAAAUGAACUAGAUGAAUGACUCUUUUGUAUUGUAUAUAAAAUGGGACCCUAAAUGUAUCAUUAGGGCCGUUUUCACUUUUGUCUUGGCAAACCAUAUAUGUAGCGACUUUUGUAUCACUUUUAAAUGUCAUUUUUGGUUUGUAAAGGCUAAAUGUUAUGGGGUAUAUGUAAUUCGAUGUUUGGUUGGGUUCGGACGAGUCGGUUACUAUUCAUGGCCGACUCCGGGUUUCAUUUUCUUUUAUUUUGGGUUAUUUUGCCCUUUUGCCUUAUUUGCGCGCGUUAUAAGUUCCGGAACGUGAAAGAUCGCUCUAUACUGCACCGUUAGUCCUGGCGAGAGCUGGGCAGGCAGUCCGCUAACCUCUUUGGUUCGCCUUAGGGGAAAGUGGGGCUGUCACACAGAACCCAUCCGUCAUAUACCAUUAUCUUGUCCGAAUCCAAGCCCUAAAACCCAAAACAGAUUUGAUGUCCUUUUGCGGUAAUGGUACCAAAAGCAGUACGAUGGUCGGAUGAAGGUGCAAGACCCACCGUUUCGAAGCUAAGAGACAGGGCUACAACAAUGUAGAAGGCCUCUCAGUCCAAAUCCUAGCACAACUAGGUCAAAAGUGCCAAAUACCAAACCAGAAGUACCAAAACAGGUUUGCAAAACGCAGAAAACUGUAAUCGAUAUAACUCAGUCCAUACAAGUCCAAAUGCCGAAAUUCCAAAGGCAUAAGUUAUUUAAGACAUCCAGCUACAUUUCAUCAGAAGACACCAACUUCAAAAUCCAAACCAAUACCAGUCCAAACAGGCAAUUACUAUCGCAGUUCGGACAUUCUGUGCACCAAAAAUAGCAAUAGUAAAGACGGCAUAACUCACUCUACACUAGUCCAAUUGCCCUGAAAUUUUUCAGGCACACUAAACUCAUCAAUACCUACAACUUUCAUGUUUUGAGCAAAGUCCAAUUCGGCCUCUAGCUAUGACCUAAAAUUUCGGACAGAAUAGGGGUUCAAGAACCCUAACUUUUCACAUUUCAUUCCAAAUCCAAAAUUGAUUGCAUUUAACAACAAUUCACACCUACUAGAGCCAAAGCCCCUUAUUACCAACCAUCAUACUAGUCCAAAACAUCAAAAUCAUAUGAAACCAGAAAAUUCAUCAUAAAAUGGAAAACUUCACCAAAUCAAGCCAAACCAAGAAAUAAAUCAUAUAAUCCAACACUCAAGCCACUUCUAAGCAUAAUAUAACCAUCACUAGGUGUAGUAGGGUGUUCAAGCAUCACUUACCAAGAAAUUAAGAGAGAUAGAGAGGUUGGCCACCUUAGAGCUUCAAAACAACUUCACCAAGUCACUUACUAGCACCUAAUGGAGUGAUUUUAUGGAGCAAAUCUAAGUUUAAUUGGUUGGAAUGGAAGAUUGAGAUAGUUUGAAGCUUGUAAAUUGAAGAAGUUUUUCUUCCUUGUCCAAGAGAGAGAAUCGGCCAACAAAAGGUAAGAAAGAAUGAAUUUUUAGUCAAUUUUUGAGAUAUUUAAUCCAUGAUAAGAAAAGUCAAAAAUGUCCAACAAGUGGACCAAUCACAUAGUGCCACUUGGCACUUCAUUUAAUGCCUUCCUAUCACUUGGUUCCUCUCACAUCAAUGCCAUGUCACCCUCUACUUAUCUCUUAACACCCGAUAAAUUUCCACCAGUAUCCGAAACUUAACCUUAUUGGCCGAAUUUUGCCGUACUUUUCGCACUAGUGGGUCCCACGUCCAAAAUAUAUUCUUAAUUUUCUAAAAACUCACCAAUACUAGAAAAAUCAUUUGAAAACGAUAUUUGCUCAUAAACUUUAUCUGGGGAAUUUUUCUAAUCAAGAAAAUGUAGAAAAUGCGGGCGUUUAAAAAAAUAAACCCUAGAAAAUUAGAAAAUUUCCGGUUUCUCAAACUCAUUUUUUUUCGGGGCGUCACAGACCGACUCUGCAUCCUACUCUGUUGUUGCUCCAAUUAUCACUUGAUAUACUUUAAAGGAAGGAAAGGACUUUGAAAAGUAAAGGUGGUGAUUAGGAGCCAUCUAUAAACCUACAGUCACUGCAAAACAGAAAACUCAGACUCAGGACUUCACAUAGCAAAUCAUGAGGCUAACUUGAAAUUGCAUGACAUUUUUGUUUAGACAAUUAUUCAGAAAGCUAAAUCAAUAUUUUUUUUUUGUUCCUCUUUUCCAACGUAAAUCAGUAAGCAGAUAUCAAAUCUUUCUGUUCAUUCCACAAGUACCAGAAGCAUCACAAAAACUAUAUAGCUUUUGUUCAAAACACUGAUAAAAGAAAAGUUCUAUAGCAAUAAUGAGAGGCAGAGGUCCCAGAAUUGCCAUAAAAGCAAACUAUUUGAGACUGCAAGAUGCAACAAGAAGAGCUAAUUACAACUAUUUUACUCUUAAAAUCUCAAAUCAUUGCAUUUGAACUUAAACUUCAGAAGAGGAUAGUCUACCAAGUCUCUGCUGCUUGAAAAUGUCUUAAACAUGACAAUUUUUUUUAAGGUCUUAGUUAAUGCAUCGGUUAUUAAACUGCUUAAAACCCAAUGUUAAGUAGUGAAAGAAGAUGGUUGGUAUUAUAAAUUAUCAGACUACCAAUCUCACAACCAAGGGCAGUCAGAGUAACUCGAUUGACCAUUGGAUUUAUGUAAAGAGAUCACAGCUGAAGAAAGUAGAAUCCCAUCAUUUAAGAGACAUAAUAAGAAUACCAAUAAUCAGAUAAUUUGGAGAAAGAUGAUAAAUACAUUCCUAAGAGGUGGAAGUUCAGAGUAAGCAUUUAAAUCCUCGUAGAAUCUCAAGUUUAAAGAGAAUUAGCUCCUUUCAGCAAUCAUGAUAUACAACUGGAGGUAGUAGACAUAUGAGCUGAGCAAAAGUAAUCUGCUAGUUCUUAUUUAACACAAAGAAUUUUGUACCGUAGAUGUAAAGUUUUCAGCUUUGACUUUGCUUAACUGUCCACAUCAAAUAAUCUGCUCUUGAACACGUAUUCCAUAAUUGAAUUUAAUACAUGGUUAGCGACAUUGUUUUCUUCCCGAAACAGCACUUGUUAAGUUUCUCUGAAUCAGACUGAAAAAGCCAAGAGAAGUUCAACAAAGCAGACUACUAACCUUCAACAAACUAAAGCUCCAAAAUUGCCAAUUUACUUCUAUAAUUCGCAGCCUAUAAGGUAGUACAAUUAACAAUUGAGAUCUCUAAGUGCAACCUGCAAUCAACUUGCUAAAUGAUAAUUCUUCAGUCCUUACUGUUACAUUACUAGACAACAUCUUGGAAGCAGACGUUUUAAAACUUCAGAUAUUUUGCAACUAAAUCAUCUUGCUGUACAAUUUUUAUCACCUGAUAUUGGAUGGAUUUAAAAAAAUUUAGUAAUGUUUUCACUGGAGUAUGUUGUUCUGAAGAGACAAAAAAACUAGAAAUUGACUCUUAAAAUCUUUGUCCAUCAUUGCCUACUUAUAAUUUUCUAUGUUCCGUCAAACUUUGAUUUAACAAUCUAUUUCAUAAAUGUAAACACAUUAUCAUUCUUUCCUAGCAAAUUGAUAACCAAAUGAACUUUUAGAGUACUUAGUUGGAUGAGGAGCUUUUAGAUUGAAAAUCUCAGGAAGGCAUGUUUGCCUGCAUUACAAUAAAGAUAGAAGAGCAAAUUCCAUGUCAUUUUUGAGCUAGGAAUCUUACAGAAAGAAAGGGUUUCUUUUUGUUACCUUUGUUCUAAGACUAAUGAGCAGGAAAUAAGACUUGAUACUUAGUACAUCUACUAAUCCAUUUAAAACAAAUUUGCUAACCUUACAGUACUUCUUGAAAAUUUUCAAGCUCCUCAUUGUCAAUCUGUUUCUCUAAUAGAAGCUCUAUCACCAACCAAACCCCCCAUGAUCAUUAGCAGAAAUUCAUGUUAAUGAUCGCUCUUGAUGUUGAAAGACAUUACAUAAGCUGGGUAAAGAAAUUCAGGUGGGUAGUUUGUAGAGGCCAGCUGACAAAGAUAGAGCAUUUUAUCGGGUUUUAGACACCAGGAAGAAAGAAAAGUGUGCCUGUAGUGUGCCAUCCUAAUCAUUUCUGUCCAAUUGAAACAGAAUUUGAUUCAACAAAGUUUUCAAAAGUUACAAGCUAUGUAAUUCAAUCAAUAAGUAAGUGCAAUUGUAGAUUCUAGUCCACAUUUGAGCCUGAGAUCAUUGCAGAACAGAAAACUCAAGUUGAGACAAUAUGUGAACAAGAAAGCUAAUCAGAAAGUUCAGAAAGUUCAACAAUAAUUUUGUUCUGUCAUUCCUACAAAAGGCUAAAAUAUGUCUUGUUUGUUAUCAAAAUAAAUAGAUAAGCAAGUACUAAGUCGUGUUUACAAUUACAGUAUUUUGGUUCCAACCACAAAGCAAGUAAUUACAACUCAUAAAAAGAAAAUAAUAAUGGACAAUUUGUAGUGCAGGCAAAGCAUUUCACAUUGAGGCAUUGAGAAACAAUAGAGGUGUGGGCCACUGAGGCACAAUAGAGAUCCACAUUUAAUUGCUACCAAAACACCAGUUAGUUCUAACUUCUAACUCUGAGCAGUAUGCCGGAGAUGACAAAUUGAGUUCUAAAACAUGUAAAUCAGCACCUCAUUAUCAUGACUACACAUCACUGAAUUGUUUCGAUAGUUUAAAAGAACCAUACCCCAAUGGAUAUCUCAGACUUUGACCAUCUGAGGCACAGAGAAAGAGAGAAUGCCAUCCUAGAUGUUGUUAUUCAGCCGAAGCAGGCUCUUGUUCAGCAACGAAUUGUAGGACUCUCAAAAAGUAAAGACAGUAGGUAAGAGCCAUCGAUGAGGUUCCCUGUUUGUGCUCAAAAUCACUGCAAAGCACAAAAACUCAAACUGAAGGCGGCGAAUAGCAUAGAAUAAAACUAAUGGAAAUUUUCAGAUAAUUGUAGCUUUUCUGUCAUUGUAACUGAAGCCCCAAAAGGAGAAACUUACCUUAAAAAAAGAAGCAACCAACAAUCAUAAAAGCAGAGAGAGCUUAAAAGCCUUUAUCAGUAGCAAUGCUUGUCGCAACAAGCAGGUGGAUUCAUUAACAGUAGCAAGUCGCAACAAGCAGACUUGACCAACUACCAGAAUGCUUCAAAACUUUGCGCUUAGAGUUAAAUGUUGGAAGAUACUCCACCAAGUUUUGUGCAACUUCAUUGCUCAAACAGUACACACCUUCCUUGGCUACCUCAAAAAUAUGAAAGUUCAUUUAUGACUCUGAUAAAGCAAUUACUAGUCAAAUAGUUCAGAUAAAUAUGCAGAGCACGUAAAAGUUCAUUAUCAAGAGGUAAAAGUUCAGUCCCCUUAGAAUUACAAUUUUAAACAGAGUGAGAUGACUUUAGCAAUAAUAACUUGAAAUCCACAGAAGCAGAGCACGUAAAAUAAACAAAAAUAGACUAUUUGUAGGCUAUGCAGGCCAAAAGUUGAUAGCCUAUGCUAGUUGUUCUAAACGUUGAUAGGCUAUUGCGGUCUAGCCAUAUAGACGGUGCUGAAGAAGCUUCAAAAUUCUAACCAGUUCGUGAAGCUAUUCUUCUAUCAAUCCUACAAAAACAAAGCAUAGAACAGAAUAUGAACAAAGAUACAGUAAAACAUCAAAGCACGAAACAGAACAGAGUAUUACUAUUAUGUUGUAAGGAGUAAAUGAAGAGCACCAAUAUUUUGGACCUAAUAAGAAAUGCUAAUGCCGCAGCUUUGAAAGAUAAUAAAUAGGACGAUAAAAAGGGAGAAGAGAAAACUGUACAAAUAACCACGGAGACUUUUUAGGUUUUCUCACGAGAAGGUUAAUCAGAGAGGGAGGUGAAGAGAAGGGGAGAUUGAUUGUAAAGCAAAUUAAGAAAGUUGGACAUAAUCGAGAACUUGAUUAGCGGUUAUGUAUAGGUCUUGAAUGUGAGAAACUUUGGACCACUGGGAGUCGGGGCCGCUGCUCUCAGGAGUGCAUCUUUCUUUUAACAGAGGAGAACCAUAAACCUCCAGACGUUUUAGUUUGGUGAGACUUCUCAUGGCAUCCUCAGAGGGUAGAUGUCCAAGCUCCGUGAAAUGCCGUAAAUGCAGGAAUUCAAGAGCAGCGAAGUUUCCGAACCAAUCUGGCAGAGCUUUUAUACCUCCAAAGUCGCGUAGCCAUAGUGACGUCAGAGUGGUCAAGUAUUGGAUCCGAUGUGGCAGGGACUCCAUGUGUGGCAACCCAAUUAAUGCUAAUUCAUGGAGUGCAGAUUACGAAGAGGAUAUCAAUCCAGACCAAUCAAACUCAUUGUAAAUUGAAGAAUUUUCAUGAUCAUCACCAUCAUCUGAGAAGGGACCAAUUACAAGCUUCCUUAAGCUGGUUAGGAAACCAAAUCCUUUGGGUGUCAUGCUUGUUUUCAGUUUGGGACAGCAGUAUAAUCCCAGCUCCAAGAGAGAAGGCGUUUGUUGCAAAUCAAGCGGAAAGGAGACAAGAUUGUCGCACCAACUCACCUGAAGCUUCUGGAGAGAGGCACAAGAGUGCAGCAAGUCACCGGGCAGAUUCGUCAACCCAUCGCACUCAUCAAUCACCAGCUCUUUAAGAGACGUAAAGUUUUGCAGGGGAAGGAGUUCUCUGCAUCUGUUGCAGAAAUUAAAUGCCAAACGCGCUAACUUGGGUGGUGGUGUUGUUGUUGACUCGGGGAGUGUUGUUGUUGUUGGCAAAUUCAUUAACCAUCGAGGAAAUUGAUUGCCCAUAAAAUUCCAAAUUAUCAACUCCUCCAAAUUUGGGUGGGGUAGAAGGCCAUCUAACACAUCUUCAUCGUUGUAGUUGUCACCUUCUCGAUCAGGGGCCCACUUAAGUUCCAGCCUAAAUAGAUUUGCCUUUUCAGAUAGUUUUGCUUCCUUAGCUCCUUCCUUAUCCUUUACUAGUUCCAGAUUGCGUAUCUCCAAUUUGCCUUUGAGGUUCUUCAAGCAUCCAAGCUCUCCAAUUUGUCGACCCUUCUCUCGACCCACGCUAAAGAACUCUAGAGUUUGAAGGCAAGUCAGCCUUCCCAUCUCUCGCAGCAUUUGAAAUUCUUCAUCAUAAUCUAUGUAAUAGUGGAGAUGUCUCAAGCUAAUCAAAUUGCACAUUCCCUUCGGAAGAUCUUUAACAUUUGAGCCACUUAGCGUCAAUGUCUGCAGAUUAUAAAGCUUGCAAAGGGAGUCUGGCAAAAUACUGAUUGAAGACCAUGAAAGGUUAACAUACCGCAAAUGUAUCAGUUUGCCAAUUGAGACUGGUAGCUCUUGAGUUCUUCUUGCACGAGACAAAUUCAAAACAUACAAGUUCUUCAACUUCAUUAACAUAUCACCAGAUAAGUCACCAUUUACGAUGAAUAAUGUAUGAAACGAAGUUGAUAGACUCUCCAAAAGUUUUUCUCUGUCUUCUCUGGCACCAGAUGAGUCUAUUGCAAGGUAACGAAUCUGAUCACCAUUGUCUACUAUAUGCGUAUUCCAAUCAUUAAUGACUUUGGUAGACUUUGACAUUGACUCUGCAAGGUCGUGCACCAGAUCAUGCAUCUUAUAAUAUGUUAUCCCAUAGCUUCCUGUUUCUUCAAACAAUGAACUCUGCAAUAAAAUUCUCAGAUAAUUAAUUCCAAUUUCCUCCAUCAUCGUUUGGCUGUUGACGUCUGCUUGGAGGAAGCCUUCAGCCAUCCAAAGUUCGAUCAGCAUAUUUCUUUCCAUCUGAGUAUCCUUAGGAAAUAUAGAACAAUAUGCAAAACAUUUCUUAAUGUAUGGAGAUGGCAAAUUAUCAAAACUCAACUUAAGUAUUUGCAUCACACGAUCUCCACCUACACUCAACCUCAGAAGCCUAUUGUCCAAAAUUGAUUACCACUCCUCUUUUCUCUUUAAACGUAACAGACCUCCCAUUACACUUGCAGCCAAUGGUAGACCGUCACAUCUUUUGAUUACUCUCUUUUUAAUUGCUUUUAGUUCAUCAGGUUCUCCUUCCCCUCCAACUACUUUUUCUUUUACGAUAGACCAACAAUGAUCAUCAGGUAGUUUUCUUAAUGGAUAGGCUUCAUUUUCCAUCAUCAAAACUCUAGACACACACUGCGCCACUGGACCUGGACGAGUAGUGACCAGACACCAGCUUCCAUUAGUUGGAUUGAGCCCCUUCAAGGUGUUGAAAAAGUCCUCCCACAAUGCUUGAUCAUCAUCCCACACAUCAUCAAGGACUAGGAAAUAUCUUUUUCCCCUAGGUUGCUCCCAAUUUUUCCAACGAUGACAUUCCUAUCAUCCACUUCAACCUUUUCUCCCGUCAAUUGCAAUAAAAUGAGUUUGAAAAGCUCCACUAUUGGAACUUUUCUCGAUACACAAACCCAAAUUUUUUUGUUAAAGUGUUCAUCAAUUUUCUUGUUGUUGUAUAUGGAUUUAGCCAAAGCUGUUUUGCCUAAACCUCCCAUACCAACUAUGGGAAGAACAGAAACAACCUUCUCGGACGGGCUCAACAACAUCUCUAGUAUAUUUAAUUCAUCAUCGGCUCUUCCAGUCAUUGGAACAAGAACAGAGUCGGUCUGCCGAUUUCUUGUGUCUCCAACAGCAGGAGCAGCAGGGAGGGCAGCAGGCACGACUGCCCUACUGACCAGUAGCAAUCCGUUGGCUUCUUGAUAGAUGCCAUUCAACUUACGUUUGAUGUCCCUGACCUUAGAGGCCAUUCUCCAACGAAAAGCAAGAUUAAUGUUAGAGCAGGAGAAGAAGCAGCAUACCUUGAGCUUGUGUCGGUUUCGGGACUCCACCUGGUGACGAAGAGAUUCAUAGUGGAGCUCAUCCAACACAUUCUGAGCAUCAUAAGCCACCUCAUCGAGACACUUCAACCAUCGUUGCACUCCUCUGCUUUGGUUUUGCCUUUCCUCAGCAUCAGCCAGGACAUCUUUGAUAAGGCCAAGAGAUUGUGCCAUGCUGGCCACGUCCUUCUUGAGCCCAACUAACAUACCAAUCCUAUCAGAGGCAAGAGACAGUGCCCUUUCCAAGGUGACCUGAAUUGUGGCACCGAUAACAGGGUCGGCCAUUUUUUUUUCUUUUGAAUAUACAACUUGGAUUCAGUCUUGCGAUCAAGAUGGUUUUUUAAAAUGGGAGGUUUUAGCAGCCAGAAAUUGGUAAUGUUACAAGUGGUUAAAAGGAGAAGAGCAUUGAUAUUUGGUCAGCUAAAAAAUGCAGAGUUAUUCUUAACUUUGAUGCCUUCCUUUGCAAUGGAAAUAUAUAUUCCUUGCUUGGCAUCUUCACUUUAAAUUUCUUGGAUGCUUUGAAAUGCAGCGUCAUUCUUAACUUUGAUGCCUUCCUUCGCAAUGGAAAUAUAUAUUCCUUGCUCGGCAUCUUCACUUUAAAUUUCUUGGAUGCUUUGAAAUGGAAAUUCCUGGCAUGGGAUUUUCACUUUAACUUUCUUGCUGGGGCCUUCAUCUUUAUUCCAAUUUCCAUUGAGGGCUGACAAUUACAUUUGCUGUUUACUUAACCUAUAUUGCAUUCAUUCGUUAAUCCUGGAAAGAUGAACUAAUUAGAACAUGAUUUGGUCUUAACGCACACCUUAUUCUGUUGGAUUUUUCUUCCUUGCUAGAGACAUAAGUUGUGUCUCAAUACAAAAAUCAAUUAGGCUUCUAAUUAUUUUGUUAUUCAGAAUCUGAUAUCGUUGAGCAUUGAGCCUUUUCAACUUUGCAUAAUCAAGAUGCUGAGUCUAAUUUGGUGGUGUUGCCAUCACAUUAUAUUCCUUGCUUGUGUUAAUACCUUGAAAUGUGGAUGAAGUUUGGCAAAGAAUAACUUGAAAUGUGGAUUUGCUUCAAACUUUAUAUUCUGAAAUGAAGUUUGGCACUAGACGCCUAAACAAUUAUUCAGCCUAACUGCUUUAGAAAAUUUAUCACAGUGCGAUGGUGAUUUAUAGAUUGAUUAUCACAUAAACAAACUAACUCAUUAGCUUGUAAUGCAUAUAAAUGAUAUUUAACCAAAACAUUUGAAUUCAGAACUUAUUUUUUCUCUCUAUCCCUACCAAACCUAAGAAAAAAAAAAGCCACUGAUUUGCAUCUUUAUUUACAAAGUUAAUUUAAUGUACACAUGACUGAGCGUUAUUACAUUCCCUUAGUAAUUAAAAAAAUUUAGUCAAUUGUCCUAAAUUUUCUUAAAAUUGGAAACAUUUUGGGACAAAAAUUAUUAUUGAUCAAAAUUUUAGAACUAAAAUAGUUCAAGUGCCAAAAAUUGAGGACCAUACUUGUUUUUGCUAAAACUUUAGAACUAAAACUGUGCAAGUGCAAAACACUAAGGACAAAAACAUUUUUUCCAAAAGUUAAAAGAAACUUCAAAAAACUGGAAAAAAAUAUUUGCAAUCGGGGAGAUGUGAAAUUUAAGAAACCAGAGUUUUGAGGUUCGAACUUCUAAUUCCUAUAAUCUCAACCUUAACUAAUUGACCAAGGCCUAUUCUGUGCAUAAAGGCUCCUCUAGUGAAGAAGAAUGCAAAUUAUUCGACAAUUUUCCAAUGUUAUAGGAUACCAAAUCCCCUUAUUCCUCCAUGAUUAAAUGCCAAUGCAAAUUUGCUGAAAGAAAGAGGAGCCGUGCAAGUCUGGUGUAGUUGUUUAUUUUUGGACACUUUUGAGGUUUUUUGCCAUGCAACUAUUACCCAAGUCCCUUAUUAAUUUUCUUUUCAAUCAUGUACAUUGAGUGUGCCAAUAGGCACCCAAAAUUCCUGCCUAAAUGGAAAUGCCACCCAUAUAGCUAUCAUUUCUGGGCAUUAACGUGAUUUCUUUCAGCUUUUGGACCUAAUCUUUGUGUUAAACAAUUUACAAAGUCAUCUUAGGGAGCAAAGUGUAAAUAUCUUCAGUUAAAAAGGACAAAGUGUUACGUCUUACUCCCAAGUUCAAGAGGGUAAAGCAUAGUUAGCCCUUAAAUUCAUUCAUCCUUCUCUUUGAAUCUUCUUGGUAGCUUCUCAAAGCAUAAAGAAGCAGGGCCAAGAAUCAGAACAAAGAACACAUAAGAUUGCUCUUUGCUAAAAUAUUUGAGAAGAUUGGGCAGGUUGGGCCGUAGCUCGUAAAUCCUCAACCAUAUAUGCUACAACAGCUUUCAAUUGAAGUUCAGAGAAGAAGUUUUACUUGAUCUUAGGCCUAGCUUCAGCAUUAAUACAGAUCUAGAGUCAUCACUAGCUAGAAGUAAGAAAUUCAAAGAAAUAUGACAAAACAUAUUAAUCCGGUAUUUACUAUGGGCACUCGUUGACAUACUUUUUUUUUUUUGGCAUAGCGACACAUCUAGCCUAGCCUAACCUACUCCUACUCCUAAGAGGGGGGACCUACUAUCUAAGGGAAGCGACUCUAGGGAGUGGGCCUAUAGAGUCGGAGGAACCUGACGGGGACUGAAUCACCAUCAGACCAAACGGGUGCACCACUCACCCACAUGGAUUUAGAGAGUCCUCAUAUUGAGGCACAGUGAUGGAAGGUAAGGUUUAAACCCUUGACCUCCCACCCCACUUGUUGACAUACUUAAAUUAAGCAUAACUUAUUAUGUUAAUACACACAAUCACAAUUAAUUUACUCCUUGUGUUAUAUGUUUUUUUGUAUUAACUACAUUUUUUUUAAAAGACUAACGCAUAAAACCACUCUAAAUGAGUGUCAAAUUGGCACCCAUUAGCCAAACUAUGUUAAUCCAAUUAAGUUAUACCAACAUACGAGCAACUUCAAGCCUUCAAUUAAUAAUGGGUGAAUGUGAAAAGGCUUCAUCAAACAUGAUUUAUAUAUAUAUAUAUAUAUAACAAGACAAUUUCAUUCCAAUAUUUAUACUAAUGGCAGCGAAUACAUCAAACAUGACAUAGAUUUAUAUAAAUCUGAAAAUCAAAUAAUAUAACAGAUUUAAAAAUCUAUAAAUUUGACCAUAACGUUGAAAUUUCAAGAAUAUCUUCCAUCAAAUAAAUGUCAGUACAAUUCGACGAAUCUAUAUCCAUGUCUUUUGACAGAUGCAUAGUCAGAUCUGAUAAAAACUAUUUCAAGUCUAAAGAAAAAUUUAGAUCUAACUUCUAGAUUUAAUUGGAGGAGUUUUAGAGAGAAGGAAGAGAGAAUGAGUUUUAGAGUGAAAAAGAAGAGAGCUUUUGUAAUAUCCAGAUAAUUUGCAGCUAGCACUUGGAGUUUGAUUAGUAUCAAAAGCAUAUUCAAUGACCUAAUUUGCAUCUAAAUACAUGCAGGUGACAUCUUUUCACACUGUUAAAGGACAUUCUGAUUGUUAUCUGUAUCCAUGCAAGCCAUCUUGACAGUUAAGAGGCACUAACAUUUUCAACAUUUGCAGCUAGUUUGGGAGUUUAAGAUAGAACAGAAAAGAAGAGAAAGCUUAAGUUAUGAAAGAAAAAAAAAGAAGAGAUUUAGUUUUGAUAUUGUUUGGGAGUUUAGUAAAAAAGAAAAUUGAUAUUGGAUACAUAUGCCAAAAAAAAUUUGUUUAAUAGACAUUUAAGUAUAAAUUUGAUAUUUUAAAAAUUUUUAGAAAGCUUGCUUCAACUCUGUUUUGUUGGAAAAGUAUUAUUAACUGUAAAUGCUAGAACGAUCCAUCCAAAAUCUUCCCAUUUUUUUUUUCAAUCGCUCCACAACUCCCAAACAUCAUAAAAGAGCUAUAUUCUCUCACUUUCUUCUCAUUUCCUGUCAAAUCUAAGCUCCCAAACAAAGUAUUGGUCUCCACAUGAUGUACAAUUAUCUAACAUAAGCUCCAGCGUGCAAAAUCUAAAAUCAAAGGAUGAAUUAGGUAAAUGUAACUUCAACGUAUACCAAUCUUUUAUUGCCUUUCUUUGAUUACUACCUCUAUUUGCAGCACCCUUCAUAUUUGAAAUUUUGCAAUUUUUGACAGCUAUGGUGAAAAAAAAUAAUGGCUCUAAUGUCACAACACAAAUUUUAUUUCCACAAUAAUAAUAAUUUGCCCUUCUCAAGUCCAAAUGUAGUUUGGACGUAAUGCGUCAUUUUAACAAAAUUUGCUCGGAAAAUAAAUUUUGAGCUAUGGCAAUAUGAUUUGUCCUAACUACUCAAGCAAACAAUGACUGCAAAUCAUUAGCUUGUCCUCCCUCAUCUGUUGAUACAUGUGUCAAAUAUCUUUAUCAUUCCAUUAUUCAAGAAUUAGAGUGAAAUAUAUGCUUUAGUUUGGUAUGAGGGACUCAAUCCGUGCAAACACAAACACUAGAGUAAAAUAUAUGCUAUAGGAUAGUAAUUUUUUUUGUAGGAAAAUAGACUGUAGCACUUGUUUUAAUAUGAUGCAUAUGAGCUAAAAAUAUAAUUAGAAAAUGUGUCAAGAUAUAUUCUUGGAAAAAUCUGAAAAAUUUUUCUACAAAAGAAUACAAUCCAAACAAGGCCUAUUGAUGCCUAACUGACAAGUAAGCUUUUUUUUUUUUUUUUUUUCAAAAACGAUAGGUGUUGUAUUGAUAAAAUCAGAACUUUACACUUGUAAAGCAACAGUUCUGAGAGGCUAUACAAAGGUGUUAAACACCUUGAGGAUUGUUUCAUUCCUCUUCAUCACAAAUACUUACUGCAUAAGUACUAAUAGAUUUACUUAUAUUGUCAUUUGCUAUAUCUAAACAAAAUGAGCAUUUUUGAAACAAACAACUUAAAUUGUUGAUGUCAUCCAUCAGAAUUGCCAGCCUAAUGUCUUUGGUUUUUCUGGACAUCAACGAUGAUAGAAGCUGCUCUUGAUCAAAGCUACUCUUACUGUCUCAGCUAAAUCCACUAUUGGUAUGCUUGUGCCUCUAUUCCUCAUGGCCAAACUGUCUUAACUAACUGACAAGUAAGCUAAUUUGGCACCAAAACCCAAUGUGGAUUUAAUCUGGCCCCAUGAACUGGUAGCCUUUUUUUAUUUGACUUGUCCAAGAAAAGAUUUGAAUGUUCACCCCAAAAAUGGUGGCGGAUCCUUGAGCAUCCGGAAGAAGAAGAAGAAGACUUAUUCCACGGUUGAAAGUUUAAACGUGAAACAAAACCAGAAAAAGCAACAGAGCACACGGUGCCAUUUCAGGGACUGGAAAUGAUAGAAGUUCGCCGCAAGCAGAAUCCAUGCUAUCACAGAGAAGGCCAGUUUUUUGUCUGGCUACUGCAAGUAGAGAAAAGGCACAUGCCCUUCAAGGAGGACCUUGUAAAUUUAGUUCAACAUAACGAGGAAAGGGCACAAGGUAUGAGAAACAAUUUUAGAUUCUAGUUGACAUUUGAGCCCGAGAUCAUUGCAAAACAGGGAAUUCGAGCUGAGGCAAUAUGUGAACAAGAAAGCUAAUCAGAAAGUUCAGAAAAUUUGACAAUAAUUUUGUUCUGUCAAUCUUACAAAAGGCUAAACUGUGUCUUGUUAGUUAUGAAACUAAAUGGAUAAGCAAGUACUGAGUCGUGUUUACAAUUACAGUAGUCUGGUUCCAGCUGCAAAGCAAGUAAUUACAACUCAUAAACUUGAAAAUAAUGAUAGGCAAUUUGUAGCACAUGCAAAACAUUUCACAUUGAGGAACAACAGAGCAGUAUGUGAGAGAUGACAAAUUGAGUUCUAAAACAUGUAAAUCAGCACCUCAUUAUCAUAGCAGAAGAGAAUGCCAUCCUAGAUGUUACUAUCCAACUGAAGCAAGAUCUUUUUCAGCAAGGAAUCAUAGGACUUUCAAAAUGUAAAGAUAGUAAGUAAGAGCCAUCGAUACAGUUCCCUGUUGAGCAUUGUGAUAUUAAAGACAUAAGUAAUAGCCAUCAAUGAGGUUCCUUGUUGAGCUUUGUGCCAAAUAUCACUGCAAAGCACCAAAAACUCAAGCUCAGGAUGGCAUUCAGGAUAGAAUAAAGCUAAUGGAAAUUUUCAGAUAAUUGCAAGUUUUCUGUCAUUGUAACUAAAGCCCUAAAACAAGAAACUUACCAUAAAAAAAAGAAGCAGCCAACAGUCAUAAAAGCAGAGAGAGCUUAAGAGACUUUAUCAAGGUGGAUUCAUUAAAAACAUGAAAUCGCAACAAGCAGACUUAAAUAGCUUAAGUAGGUUUGUACAACUUCAUUUCUUGAACGGUACAUCAUCCUUGGUUCCCUAAAAAAUAUCUCUGUGGCGACAAGAUUUCUUUUGUUUUAUACAUAAUAAAUUGGACAUUAAAGUGGUUAAAAGGCAAAAUUGAGUAAUGAACGAAGAGAAGCAUAUCUAAAAUUAUGGGAAUUUUUGAAUCAAAAGUUAAAAGUGAUGACCAACAUGUCUACAAAUUGCUGAAUCGGUUGGAAAGUUUAAAAUCACCACGCUGACAAGGAAGAUCUCAGGCUUUGGCCAUCCGAGGCAGAGAGCAAAAGGGAAUCUGAUCUAACUGAAACAGUGACAGGUGCCGAACCUGUGCAAUAAUAAAUACCUACUCAAGAAAAUUACAAAUUUUGUAUAUAGCGGUGAGUAGGGUCGAAUCCACAGGGACUGGGAAUAAUUCGUUUCUUCUCGAGUUCAGAGUAUGGGGGGUUUUUGAUGGGAGGAAAAUAAAAAAAAUGAAAUAAAACAAACAAAAUUCAAAACUAACUCACAAAGCACAAUUUACUAAAAAUAGCAAUUAAUAAAAGUUCUACCCAAAGGAUCAGCUGUUCAGACACGGUCCAAUUAAAUGAUCAUCGAUGCAAAGAUAUUUCAUCCAUUCAUUACUAGGUUGGUUAUAGUUAUCAACAAACUCUGACAACUAGUUCUUCCUUACUUUUUCGAUAGUCAAGGUACGACCAUUGACUGCUUCUCUAACCAGAUAACAACCCUAGGUACGACCGUAGGAAUUUAAUUAUCCAAUUGUAUUGAAACUAGAAGAACCCAACCCUAACUAAUAAACACGCUAAGAGGGUUUAUUUAAGUUAGAUCUUACGUUUUCCCAACAUAAACCCAAUUAUGGUGGUUGUCACUAGGUAUCGACUAAACGAACAAUUACGGAUUCAAUUUAGUUAAUAUGACAGUAGGCUAUUAAAUAAAAUCAAAUACCCGGCCGUUGAUAUUCAAUUAAUAAAAUACCCAUGAACAAUUAAUUCAGGAAACGUACGAAUAGCAACAAAUUGGAAAAAGUAAUGAAAGUUUGAUUAGAUCUCACAGAUGUUAUGGACCGCGCCUUCGCGUUAACCUUUGGGUAGAAGAAAAACCUAGCCACUCCUCAUCGUAUCAAUUUUGCGUGGGUUGGUUGAUUUCAUCCGCACAGUCAUCAGCGAAAUAUGAACGAUGGAGUGAUGACGAAAAGAAAGAAAAGAAAACGUCUUCCUUGUCUUUGCGUUAAUGUUUGUACUGAAGCCGAAGUACAACGCAAAAACCAACGAAAAUUGUACAGAGCCAAAGCCAAAGCCAAAGAGUCAAAAACGUGAAAGCCAAAAAGCAAGAGAAGAGUCUACAACGUCUGACGGCUAGGGAAAAAGAAAACUAAAGCUAUCUAAUUCCUAAUACGUGAAUCUGGCUUUCUUUUUGCCUUUUGUAGCCGCCGCCAGCCAAAGCAAUUAGGAGCAGGACUUGUCUAUGGGUUUUAAUCCCACGCAUCUGGUUCACAUGGAUCUAGUGCCUUAAUUGGGUCUCCUGCUAUUGGUCCUGCGGAUCCGGCUUUUCGAGAGCAUCUACCUUUUCUGGCGUGGCCACGCUCUGAGAUGAAGGGUCUUCUGGAAAUUUGCCUCAAGAGAUUACUUUUAACGCCAAUCAUCUGUAAUUCAUACAAAUAUGAAAUAUGAGCAAAACCUCAAUACUUAGCACAGUAAGUAGCUAAAAUUAGGACAAAAUAACAGUGCAAAAUGUGCCAAAUAACCGCUCUAUCAAUUCCCCCCACACCUAGACAAUGCUUGCCCUCAAGCAUUUCAGAGCUCAGAAGUACAACCAAGAGAGCAGAGGUCAUGUAGUAGUCUAUACUAACACAAGCAUUUCAGAUCCCUGACAAUAUCACCAAAAUUAGAACACACCGGACAGGUUGUAAUUCAAAGAAAAUAUAUGAAUACUAGGAACGCUCAAAUCAACAUCACAGAAUGGCAUUACCAUAGGCUUGCACAUUUAUCACAUCUCCACCACUCAAAGGUGAACUAAAUACACAAAUCAAAGGGAAUUUAAUAGGGUUGUAAUGGGGUUUAGGUAAAAGGCGGGAUAAGAAGGUAAAAAUAGGGUGUAAUGUGUCAAGAGAAUGUCCAAUAUCUACUACAUAACCACAAUGCUUUAUCGGGACAAUUUCUCAAGUAGGGCGUUUUCAUUUGCUGUUUUCAUUGUGCAAGUGUCGAAAAUCGUUCCUCUUUUUUUUUUUUUUUGGAGAGGACGUCUAGCAAGGCGUGGGCACGCUCUGGAAGACAGAGUCUUCUGCUCACCAGCUUUUUGCCGAUUUCUCCCUUUUUUUUUCUUCUUUUCUCUAUUUUUUUCUUGGCUUUUCUUUCGAUCUCAGAUGUACAGAAACAGCACCAUACAACAUCUUUUUGACAACACUUGCGCCCAUAGAUUUAUUUGUCUUGCACGAGUAAUGAAUUUCAGACAUCCCUUAAUGACACAAGGUUGAACAAGAAAGUCUAAAAAGGUCAUGGGUUAUCAAACACGGCUAACAAGCAAAAGUAAAAGAUAAAAGCUCAAGUUGGUUCACUAUUGGGAAAUAAGAUGAAGGCAUGGUUUGUAGAAAGUUAAAGAAGGUCAAAUCCUAAAUGCCCUUAUCAUUUCAAAUGCAUCCAGUUCAACAAAAUGUGGUCUCGACAUGUAUAAAAUAGCAAGUUCUAGAAUACCGAUACCAUGUGUGAUACCCACUCAAUCAAACAAUAAUAGAGCAAACAAGAAUAAUGUGCUCAUGCAUGACUCAAAAGCUCCCAAAAGUCACAAAAGUGGGUCAAGUCCAGUAUAUCCAACAUUCAACAAUACUGUCAAGGCAAAACGAAAUGCAUAGCUAGUAUAUCUAACCACAUGCCCGUGCACCUUGAUUGAGUUAUUCAUCAUAGCAAAGAAGUCAGCUAACUACACUCUUUUCCUUUUCCUCCUUUUUUUUUUCUUCAUUUUCCUCCUCUUUUUUUUUCAUUUUUUUUUUGUGUUUUUUUUUUUUUUGUUUUAAAAGCAAAGCAAAAGGAGAUAAUAAAGGAAGCCAUCCCCCCACACCUAAUACCUACAUUGUCCUCAAUGUAGAAAAGAUGAAUGAAGUAUAAGGAGAAAAGGAGAGAAACUUCCCUGACCACCGAGAGGGUGCUGUGAGACACUAAGGCGGAGGAGGGUGAGGUGACUGGAAUCUAAUGUGAGCAAAGAAAGCUAUCUGAUGAGAGAGAUAGUGACGGUGGGGAAGGCAGCGACGUGCGAUGGAUGGCGCGAGGAGAAGAGAGAGAGUUUCUAGCAGCGGUGGACAAAGGGGAAACCUUGGACUAAGACAAAACAAAGAAAAUUGAAAAGUAGAAGUUGAGACAAUGGAAAUUGAUAAGACCAUACAAGACAAGAAAAGAGAAAAGUAGAAAGUGGUAUUAGAGAGGAUCCUGGUCAAUCUUUGACUUUCGUUGGCGCAAAGGCUGGAAGGCGUGGGCACGCCUUGGAAGCUAUAGUCUUCUGACCGUCAAUUCCAAAACUUCACUGCUUAGGCGUGACCACCUAGCGUGGGCAUGUCUAACUUCCUGCUUCCUGCCAUAAAACAAAAAUCCAAUAAAUGACACUAACACUGAACAAAAAAUUUCAAAAAUAUAAGAAAACUAAAACAAAAGAAGCCUUGGGUUGCCUCCCAAGAGCGCCUUUCUUUAAUGUUUUUGGCUAGACAUCGUCAUAUUUAUUCACGGAGGAUAAAAUCGUGUAGCUCGUUUCAGCGCUUCAUCUUCUAUGUAGUCCUGAUAUCCCUCGUAAAUAGAGUAAUUCUUGAGCACACGAGCUACGGACUUCCAUGGAUCAGUAGAUGGCGCCAAACAAACAAGUGAUGACCUUAAAUCUUCACUCACUCCUCCAUCAAGAGCACUUAUUGGUCCGAGAUAUUUUGCCAUCAUGACUCUUAACUUAUUCCUGGCAUGAAAUUCAAAAUCAUCUGGUAUAAUAAAAUCAAUCUCACUAACAGGAAUUAAAGAAUAAGAGUCAGGAAAAUAUUGAUCAAGGAAUGGAGGAGAUGUCACCGCAUUUGGAGAUUGUUCACUGGAUUCAUUCACUUGCACCAUUUGAUGUUGGGGUCUCAAUUCUUGCGCUUCAACUUUCUUUUCAACUGCAUCUUUAGAUUCUUCUUCUUGAGACUCUUGCAGUACCAUAUCAUUUGUCAGAAUAAUUGCACUCUCGUCUUCCUCGUGGUCGAUAAUAGUCGGUGAGGGCAAUUCUUCAUAAAUUGGAGAAAUCAAUUUGCUCAUUUUAGAUGCCCAUUCACGCCUUCCUUCUUACAUCUCUUUACUCAUCUUUUGUGUCUCCUGUUGAAGUUGAUGUACCUCCUGUUGAAUUUGAUAUGUGUUAGUAGCUAUUAAUUCAACUAUUUCUUCAAGAGACAUACCUAACAUGGAUGACGGUUCUUGAGACUCUAACUGUUGUAAAUCUAUUGGUCUUUGUUGAUAAUUAAAAUUGGAAUCAUCCCACCAUCCUUGCUCAUACCCAUUUGAAUAAGGGUCAUACCAUGUUUGAGACCAGGGUGAAAAAUCUCCAUAAUUAUUGAGUGGGACACUCAGAUUAUCUUGAUAUUCGGGGCACAUACCGGUUGAAUGAUCCCUGGCGUAACAAAUUUUACAGGUUGCAGCAGCCAUUCUUUUUCUAAUAGAGUUUAGUGCCUCUGAAUAUGCAAACUUAGCAAAAAAACAAGCCUCAUUGCCUUCCCUGGAAACAAAAUCCAAUCUAUCACCAAAAUACGGAGUGUUAGCGGCCAUAAACUAGUAAAGAAAAAAAAAGAAAAAAAAAUAAGAGGGAAAAAAAAUGGAAAUGAAAAUAAAAUGAACUCAAAAAGAAACAAAUUAAACAGGCACCAGUCGCCGGCAACGGCGCCAAAAAUUGACAGGUGCCGAACCUGUGCAAUAAUAAAUACCUACUCAAGAAAAUUACAAAUUUUGUAUAUAGCGGUGAGUAGGGUCGAAUCCACAGGGAUUGGGAAUAAUUCGUUUCUUCUCGAGUUCAGAGUAUGGGGGGUUUUUGAUGGGAGGAAAAUAAAAAAAAUGAAAUAAAACAAAAAAAAUUCAAAACUAACUCACAAAGCACAAUUUACUAAAAAUAGCAAUUAAUAAAAGUUCUACCCAAAGGAUCAGCUGUUCAGGCACGGUCCAAUUAAAUGAUCAUCGAUGCAAAGAUAUUUCAUCCAUUCAUUGUGAGGACCCGUACUUUUCUUAAUUGCACGUUUUCUGCAUUUUCUUUAUUAGAAAAUUUUUCUAGAUCAAUUUUAUGAGUAAAUAUGGUUUUUAAAUAAUUUUUCUAGUUUCGGUUACUUUUUGAGAAAUUAAGAGCGUAUAUCGGACGUGGGACCCGCUAGUGUGGAAAAUUCGGAAAAAUUCGGCCAGUUCAGUUAAGUUUUGGAUACUGGGUUUAGUUUACCGGGUGUUAUGAGAUAUUUAGAGGUUGCCAAGUGGAUUGGUGUAAGAGAGACAAAAAGUUAGGCAAGCAAUUAAUGAAGAGGACAUGUGUCACUUGAGGAUUUAUUCUUACCUUUUUGACCUUUUGACCACUAUUCAUGCCUUUACCAUUUAAACCAAAAUUGACCCAAAAUUCUUCUUAUUUUGAAGCUCUUGGCCGAAUUUCUCGCUAGGAACAAAGGAAAGAAAACUCUCUCAAUUUUCAAGCUCCAAUCUUGCCCAAUCUUUCAAUUCAACCGUUUAAUCUUCAAAUUUCCAUAGAACUUCUUAGUUUGGUGAUAUUGAGGUUGGUUGUGGAGUUGUUUGGAAGAAUUUGGUGCUAAGUUGCUUACUUUCUUGAGCUUGCAAGGUGAGUAACUAGGGAAUUCUUUCUUUGAUCUUGCUAAUGUCAAAUUAAUGGUUUAUGUUGGUUAUAGAUGUGAUUUUAUGGAAGAAUUGGCACAUGAAUGCAUGAAUUUCCAGAUUAGGGUUCCAUUUUUCCCCUUUCUGCCCGUUUCUGUUUGACCGGGUUAGAAGCCAAAUUGGCCGUAGCACAAAACAUGAAAGUUGUAUACAAUGAUGUUUCCUAGUUGCCUGUAAAUUUUCAGCCCAAUCCGAGCUCAGGAACCUGAGAUAAGAUGGAAAUACCCAGACUGGUCUAGUAGGAGUUCAGGGAACAGGGUUGUCUUUUCACCCAAUCUGACCGGGACUUUUGCACCAUGAUCCUUACCGAAUUAGAUUUUGGCCAAAACAUAAAGUUGUAGCCAAUAGUAUAAAAUAGUUUCCUACAAAAUUUCAGCUUGAUCCGACCACUGUAUCAUGUGAAAUGACUGAAAUACCCUUGACUGUUCAUGAAACCUGUUUCGCGCCCAUAAUUCUGGUUUUGGUGUAGUUUUCCAUUUUUGAUCAUGCAAAUGCAUGAUUUGGCCUUGGAGGUCUUCAUAAUAAAUGUAGGGUUGUGUUUUAGCUUCGAAACACCAUAAGAUAUACUUCAAUCGGACUUCGGUAGCCUGAGUUAUUGCUGUUUAACAAUUGUGCGGUUAGCCAACCUGUUUGUGAGUUUCUGGUUUCAUAUAUGUCAAUUUUGACCUAGUUGUACUACAAACUGGACUGAGUGGCCUUCUUCAACAUUGUAGCCCUAUCUGUUAGCUUCGGAACGGUGUAUCUUGCACCUUCAUCCGAUAAUCGUAGCGCCAAUGGUGCCAAAAUCGCAAAAUGGUGUCAAAAACUGUUUUUAUCCGGAAAUGUUUUUUAGCUUGAUUUUUGUAUUUAUAUGACUUUAAGCCUAGUGAACGGCUUUUGGACAUGAGAUUAUUCUAUAUGAGAUGUUGGGACUGUUUUGAGGAAAAUAAUGAAGCCAUUAAUGGCUGGAAAAUAGGUAAACACAAGGGACAUGCCGUCCAUUUAUCUUCUUGUAAUGUGAACAAGUUAAAGUGAUUUUGCGAAUGUAUUUUGUGACGAAUUGGACGUAUUUACUGAAAAUGUUACCGGCUCUUUCAAAAGGUGGCCGAGGGCUAAAUUUCUAUUUGAACCUGUAUAUUUCCGCUUGGCAAAUAAAAUGAUCAUUUUACCAUUCUAAAACCUAAUACCUCUUUAGGUUGGUUUAUGAACCCUAGUAAUUCCCGUCCACGAAUCCAUAUGCUCUAUUGACACUUUAAAAGUCAUUUUAUACGUUUACUCGCGAGUAGUCGGGUAAUCCUUGAUUUCAUCCAAAUCAUGCUAGAUGGAUUGUAAUGUGUUCUUUGUUUACUUUUAGGUUUCAUUGGUGAUUGAGAAGUGGACGUUAUUUUGCGUGUAUAGGUGAGUGUUCCCUGUUUGAUAUGUUUCAUGAUUUUAUGGCUGGUAUGAAUGAUUGAUAACAUGUUAUAUGCUUUCAGUGAUUGUUAAAACGAGUUUUCUAGGCAAGUGUGUACUUUAUCGCACUCGGCCUAAACGAUUGUGAAAUUUUCAAUGAUUGAAUGAUUGAAAUGUUAUUUGUGCAUGAAUGUAAGCCUUUUGGCUGAACUGGCCAUUGCCCCUUGUUACCGGUCGUCUCGAGCCAGAAGCGGACUCGGUUGGGCGAUUAGGGACCUGGGUGAACGUUUUGGUAUACUCGAGUAUUACCUUGUAGAUUGGUGGAGGUUGGUGGAGCCUGGUGAAUGAAUGAAUGAACGAAUGAAUGAAUGAGGGUUUUACUUAUAUACAAAUGCAUUUUCAAAUGAUUGAAGGUAUAAGGGAACGAAAGGAGAAUGAAUGAACGAAUGAAUGAACGAAUGGCUCCUUGUGAGCACGUAUCCUUUUAAUGAAGGUGUUUAUCGCUUUCUUUUGUAUUUGAAUUAUUGGUAACAUGUAAUGAAUGCUUUGAACUUCUUGUUGCCUAUGUGUUCGGAACCUCACUGAACUUAUAGCUCACCCCUUUAGUUUGUUUUCCUUAACAGGGGAAGGCGAGCAAGGACGAGAGCCGAUAUAGACUAGCUGGGUCUAGCCCUUGGUUUUCUUUUGUCAUGGUUCUCGCCCUAGUGCUUGGCACGGGCUGGUUGUAUAGUGAUUUGAGAACCUCUGUAUAUUUGACGGUUGUACUUCUUCUUGAGAUAUUAUUGUAUAUACGUUUUGUUUUAAGUUGGAUCGUGGUUAGAUGUUCUUAUGGUUGCUUGAAGUGAUCGACUGAGUCCCGGCGAGAGCUGGGCAGGCAGUCCGCCGAACCCUUUGGUUCGCCUUAGGGGAAAGUGGGGCUGUCACAACCAUAAUUAGGUUGGUUAGAUGUUCUUAUUAGGUUGGUUAUAGUUAUCAACAAGCUCUGACAACCAGUUCUUCCUUACUUUUUCGACAGUCAAGGUACGACCAUUGACUGCUUCUCUAACCAGAUAACAACCCUAGGUACGACCGUAAGAAUUUAAUUACCCAAUUGCAUUGAAACUAGAAGAACCCAACCCUAACUAAUAAACACGCUAAGAGAGUUUAUUUAAGUUAGAUCUUACGUUUUCCCAACAUAAACCCAAUUAUGGUGGUUGUCACUAGGUAUCGACUAAACGAACAAUUACGGAUUCAAUUUAGUUAAUAUGACAGUAGGCUAUUAAAUUAAAUCAAAUACCCGGCCGUUGAUAUUCAAUUAAUAAAAUACCCAUGAACAAUUAAUUCAGGAAACGUACGAAUAACAACAAAUUGAAAAAAGUAAUGAAAGUUUGAUUAGAUCUCACAGAUGUUAUGGACCGCGCCUUCGCGUUAACCUUUGGGUAGAAGAAAAACCUAGCUGCUCCUCAUCGUAUCAAUUUUGCGUGGGUUGGUUGAUUUCAUCCGCACAGUCAUCAGCGAAAUUGGAACGAUGGAGUAAUGACGAAAAGAAAGAAAAGAAAACGUCUUCCUUGUCUUUGCGUUAAUGUUCGUACUGAAGCCGAAGUACAACGUAAAAACCAACGAAAAUUGUACAGAGCCAAAGCCAAAGCCAAAGAGUCAAAAACGUGAAAGCCAAAAAGCAAGAGAAGAGUCUACAACGUCUGACGGUUAGGGAAAAAGAAAACUAAAGCUAUCUAAUUCCUAAUACGUGAAUCUGGCUUUCUUUUUGCCUUUUGUAGCCGCCGCCAGCCAAAGCAAUUAGGAGCAGGACUUGUCUAUGGGUUUUAAUCCCACGCAUCUGGUUCACAUGGACCUAGUGCCUUAAUUGGGUCUCCUGCUAUUGGUCCCGCGGAUCCGGCUUUUCGAGAGCAUCUACCUUUUCUGGCGUGGCCACGCUCUGAGAUGAAGGGUCUUCUGGAAAUUUGCCUCAAGAGAUUACUUUUAACGCCAAUCAUCUGUAAUUCAUACAAAUAUGAAAUAUGAGCAAAACCUCAAUACUUAGCACAGUAAGUAGCUAAAAUUAGGACAAAAUAACAGUGCAAAAUGUGCCAAAUAACCGCUCUAUCAAACAGGAUCUGGUUCAGCAAGGGAUCGUAUACCAAGGAUAGUAAGCAAGAGCUAUCAAGUUUAAUGUUGAUCUUUGAGCGUAAACCUACUGCAAAACAUAGAAAAUCAAACUUAAGAAACUCGAGACAGCAUAUAGUCAAGAAUAAAGCCAGCACAUGGUUGCAUGACAUUUUUUUGUAUUUGAAACACUAAAAUAAGAACUUACCAUGAAGAGAGGAGCAACCCAACAAGUGUAGAAGGCAGAAUGAGCUUAAUAGCCUUCAUCACAGCUGAUGAAAUAAUUGCAGCAAGUGGCAGCAGCCAACAAGUACGCUUGGCAGUCUCAAAACUUGCACUCUAACAAUUCUGUGCAGAUUCACUGCAUGAAUAGUAUAUCUUCCGUGGCUGCUCCCAAAAACAUUUUCAUUAUGAGAAGAUUUCUCAAGUUUUGGUUGUAAUAUGUUCAGAAUCAAAGUAGUUAAAAGUCAAAUUUGAGUAGUAAAAGAAGAGUAGUAUAUCUGAAUUUACCAGACACUACAACAAACACCAAUUUGAUGACCAACAGCUCUGAAAACUCCUGAAAUCUUUCGUACUAGAAAAUCAUAACCAAGGAAAAGUGACACAUAAACCCAUCAUCUACGAGACUUAUCGAACAAAUCACUAAUCAAAUGGUUCAAGAAGCUUGAUAAAUGAGCCUUCAAGAGGCGAUUAAACUUUGGAGCAACUAUUUACUUUAGCAAUCACGUCUUACAUCCACAAAAGCAAAUAUAUAAAAUCAACAAAAUUAAACUUCUAGUGCUUAUUUCAUAUUGAUGGGUAACUUGUAGGAAAUGCAAAACAAAAAUUAAUUAAUACCAGCUAUAAAAAUCUAAUCUAAGUUCAUCUAGGGGAGAGACCUCAAAAAUCUGCUUGUUAAGUGCAGGAGAAAGGAGCUCAGUAGAGAAUUGGGGGUUUAAAGUCUUAUAGAAAAGGUUUGUAGAAUUGCUGCUUGUGGUAUCAAAUCUAAAAUGUCCAAUGCAUUUUCAACGUGUGAAACUUCAGAGAGAUCAAUCACUUCAUCCUGGUGAAAUCACAAGUUUACAGAGAGUGCACCGAUGUUAGCAAUCACAGUAACUGAUAUGCAUGAUAAACAAAACUAUGCAACUGAAAAACGUGAUUCAGUUAACCCAAGAAAAUCUCGGUCACUGAAAAAAAUAUGCAACUGAAGCUUUAAGUGUAGUACUGAAACAUGGAUGGUAUUGAAUUGGACCACCAUUUGCCAUGUUUGAUCUUUGCAACAGCGAAUGAGAUGUGAUACAACGGGAGAAAUACCAAUUUGACAUUUUAAAUUAACCAAAAUGAUUGUUUAGUUCCGUUAGUUUAGAUUGGUAUGGAACCGUGCAUGGUUUAUUAGUCGUAAAGGUUAUGAAAUAUUGCACUUAUUCAUGAUAAAGAGUUACUUGGCAGACCUACUCUGUUGCUGCUCCAAUUAUCACUUGAUAUACUUCAAAGGAAAGAAAGGACUUUGAAAAGUAAAGGCGGUGAUUAGGAGCCAUCAGGGUUCCCUACAGAGCUAUAAACCUACAGCAACUGCAAAACAGAAAACUCAGACUCAGGACUUCGCAUUAGCAAAUCAUGAGGCAAACACGAAAUUGCAUGACAUUUUUGUCUAGUCAAUUAUUCAGAAAGCUAAAUCAAUAUUUGUUUUUUUUCUUCUUUUCUAACGUAAAUCAGUAAGCAGGUAUCAAAUCUUUCUGUUCAGUCCACAAGUACCAGAAGCAUCACAAAAACUAUAUUAGCUUUUGUUCAAAACACUGAAAAAGAAAAGUUCUAUAACAAUAAUGACUGGUACCCACAAGCAGGAGAGGCAGAGAGUCCUAGAAUUGCCAUAAAAGCGAACUAUUUGAGACUGCAAGAUGCAACAAGUAGAGCUAAUAACUCAAAUCAUUGCAUUUGAACUUAAACUUCAGAAGAGGAUAGUCUACCAAGUCUCUGCUGCUUGAAAAUGUCUUAAACAUGACAAUUUUUUUAAGGUUUUAGUUAAUGCUUAAACUGCUUAAAACCCAAUAUUAAGUAGUGGAAGAAGAUAGUUGGUAUUAUAAAUUAUCAGACCACCAAUCCCACAACCAAGGGCAGUGAGAGUAAUUCGAUUGACCAUUGGAUUUAGGUCAAGAGAUCAAAGCUGAAGAAAGUAGAAUCCCAUCAUUUAAGAGACAUAAUAAGAAUACCAAUAAUCAGAUAAUUUGGAGCAAGAUGAUAAAUACAUUUCCAAGAGAUGGAAGUUCAGAACAAGCAUAAUUUGGAGCAAGAUGAUAAAUACAUUUCCAAGAGAUGGAAGUUCAGAACAAGCAUUUCCAUCCCGGUAGAAUCUCGAGUUUAAAGAGAAUUAGCUCCUUUCAGCAAUCAUGUUUAACAAGCAUGAGCAAAAGUAAACUGCUAUUUUUUAUUUAAAACAAAGAAUUUUGUACCGUAGAUGAAAAUACAAAAGUUUUCAGCUUUGACAUCAUGUUUAACUGUCCACAUCAAAUAAUCUCCUCUUGAACAUCUGUAUUCCAUAAUUGAAUUUAAUAUAUGGUUAGCGAUAUUGUUUUCUUCCCGGAACAACGCUUGUUGGGUUUUUUUGAAUCAGGCUGAAAAGGCCAGGAAAAGUUCAACAAAGUAGACAACUGACCUUACUGUUACAUUACUAGACAACAUCUUGGAAGCAGACGUUUUAAACAUUCAGAUAUUUUGCAACAAAAUCAUCUUAUUGUACAAUUUCUAUCACCUGAUAUUGGAUAGAUUUAAAAGAAUUUAGUAAUGAUUUCACUGGAGUAUGUUGUCCUGCAGAAACAAUAAACUAGAAAUUGACUCCUAAACUCUUUGUCCAUCAUUGCCUAUCUAUAAUUUUCUGUGUUCCAUCAAACCUUGAUUUAACAAUCUAUUUCAUGAAUGUAAAUGCAUUAUCAUUCCUUUCUAGCAAAUUGAUAACCAAAUGAACUUUCAGAGUACUUAGUUGGAUGAGGACCUUUUAGAUUGAAAAUCUCAGGAAGGUAAAGAUAGAAGAGCAAAUUCCAUGUCAUAUUUGAGCUAGGAAUCUUACAGAAAGAAAGGGUUUCUUUUUGUUACCUUUGUUCUAAAACUAAUGAGCAGGAAAUAAGACUUGAUACCAAGUACAUCUACUAAUCCAUUUAAAACAAAUUCGCUAACCUUACAGUACUUCUUGAAAAUUUGCAAGCUCCUCAUUGUCAAUCUGUUUCUCUAGUACAAGCUCUAUCACCAACCAAACCCCCCAUGAUCAUUAGCAGAAAUUCAUGGUAAUGAUGACUCUUGAUCUUGAAAGACAUUACAUAAGCUGGGGAAAGAAAUUCUGGUGGGCAGUUUGCAGAGGCCAGCUGACAAAGAUAGAGCAUUUUAUCAGGUUUUAAACACCAGGAAGAAAGAAAAGUGUGCCUGUAGUGUGCCAUCCUAAUCAUUUCUGUCCAAUUGAAACAGGAUUUGAUUCAACAAAGUUUUCAAAAGUUACAAGCUGUGCAAUUCAAUCAAUAAGUAAGUGCAAUUGUAGAUUCUAGUUCACAUUUGAGCCUGAGAUCAUUGCAGAACAGAAAACUCGAGUUGAGACAAUAUGUGAGCAAAUGUGAGCAAGAAAGCUAAUCAGCAAGUUCAGAAAAUUCAACAAUAAUUUUGUUCUGUCAUUCCUACAAAAGGCUAAAAUAUGUCUUGUUUGUAUGAAAAUAAAUAGAUAAGCAAGUACUAAGUCAUGUUUACAAUUACAGUAUUUUGGUUCCAACCACAAAGCAAGUAAUUACAACUCAUAAAAAGAAAAUAAUAAUGGACAAUUUGUAGUGCAGGCAAAGCAUUUCACAUUGAGGCAUUGAGAAACAAUAGAGGUGUGGGCCACUGAGGCACAAUAGAGAUCCACAUUUAAUUGCUACCAAAACACCAGUUAGUUCUAACUUCUAACUCUGAGCAGUAUGCCAGAGAUGACAAUUUGAGUUCUAAAACAUGUAAAUCAGCACCUCAUUAUCAUGACUACACAUCACUGGAUCGUUUGGACAGUUUUAAAGAACCAUACCCCAGUGGAUAUCUCAGACUUUGGACAUAUGAGGCACAGAGAAAAAGAGAAUGCCAUCCAGCAAGGAAUUGUAGGACUUUGAAAGAGAAAUCGAUGAGGUUCCCUGUUAAGCUUUGUGCCUAAAAUCACUGCAAAGUACAAAAACUCAAACUCAAGAUGGCGUUCAAAAUAGAAUAAAGCUAAUGGAAAUUUUUAGAUAAUCGCAGGUUUUCUGUCAUUGUGACUAAAGCCCCAAAAGGAGAAACUUACCAUAAAAAAAGAAGCAACCGACAAUCAUAAAAGCAGAGAGAGCUUAAAAGCCUCUAUCAUUAAGAUCAGCAAGUCACAACAAGCAAACUUGAGUUGAAUGUUGGAAGAUACUCCACCAAGUUUUGUGCAACUUCAUUGCCCAAACAGUGCACACCUUCCUUGGCUACCUCAAAAAUAUCUUCGUGACGACAAGAUUUCUCUUAUUUUAUAUGUAAUAUAUUAGAUAUUAAAGUGGUUUAAAGUCAAAAUUGAGCAGCGAAAGAAGAGAAGCAUAUCUAAAAUUAUCCGAAUUUUUGAACCAAAACAUGAAAGUGAUAACCAACAGCUGCGAAAACUCCUCAAUUGACCAUUGUCUUCAUGGAUAAAAAGCCAAAAUCAAGGAAAAGUGAGCCAGAAAACCAUCAUAUAUGACUCUGAUGGAGCAAUUACUACUCAAAUAGUUUAGAUAAGUAUGCAAGUUCAUUAUCAAGAGACGAGGUAAAAGUUCAGUCCCCUUAGAAUCAAGAUUGCCUUCAAUAACCUCUUGAGAGAUGAAAGUUCAGUCCCCUGAUUGAAUUUGAUCCAAAGAUGAAAGUUGGUUAUUAAUCAACUUAUGCAUAGGUCUUGAAUGUGAGAAACUUUGGACCACUGGGAGUCGGGGCCGCUGCUCUCAGGAGUGCAUCUUUCUUUUAACAGAGGAGAACCAUAAACCUCCAGACGUUUUAGUUUGGUGAGACUUCUCAUGGCAUCCUCAGAGGGUAGAUGUCCAAGCUCUUUGAAAAACCAUAAGUGCACGUCUUCAAGAGCCGCAAAGUUUUCGAACCAAUCUGGCAGAGCUUUUAUACCUCCAAAGACAAGUAGCGUUAGUGACGUGAGAGUGGUCAAGUAUUGGAUCUGAGGUGGCAGGGACUCCAUGUGUGGCAACCCAAAUAAUUCUAAUUCACGGAGUGCGGAUGACGAAGAGGAGGAGGAGGAGGAUAUCAAUCCAGACCAAUCAAACUCAUUGUAAAUUGAAGAAUUUUCGUGAUCAUCACCAUCAUCUGAGAAGGGACCAAUUACAAGCUUUCUUAAGCUGGUUAGGAAACCAAAUCCUUUGGGCGUCGUACUUGUUUUCAGUUUGGGACACUUCCAUAAUUCCAGCUCCAAGAGAGAAGGCAUUUGUUGCAAAUCAAGCGGAAAGGAGAAAAGAUUGUAGCAAUAAGUCACCCGAAGCUUCUGGAGAGAGGCACACGAGUGUUGCAUGUCACCGGGCAGAUUCGUCAACCCACCGCAAUUUGUAAUCACUAGCUCUUUAAGAGACGUAAAGUUUUGCAGGGGAAGGAGUUCUCUGCAUCUGUUGCAGCAAUUAAAUGUCAAACUCGCUAACUUGGGGAGUGUUGUUGCUGUUGGCAAAUCCAUUAACCAUCGAGGAAAUUGAUCACCCAUAAAAUUCUCAAUUACCAACUCCUCCAAAUUUGGGUGGGGUCGAAGGCAGUCCAACACUUUUUCGUCGUUGUAGUUAUGGCCUUCUCGAUGCCAAGGCCGGGCCCACUUAAGUCGCAAACUAAAUAGAUUAGCCUUUCAGAUAGUUUUGCUUCUUCAGCUCCUUUCCUAUCCUUUACUAGAUGAAGAUUGUGUAUCUCCAAAUUGCCUUUGAGGUUCUUCAAGCUUCCAAGCUCUCCAAUUCGUCGACCCUUCUCUCGACCCACUUUAAAGAAUGCUAGCGUCUGAAGGCAAGUCAGUCGUCCCAUCUCUUAACGGCAUUUGAAAUUCUUCAUUAUAGGUGUAAUAGUGGAGAUGUCUCAAGCUAAUCAAAUCGCGCGUCCCCUUCGGCAGAACCUUAAGAGCCAAGCUGUUUAGCCUCAGUGUCUGCAAAUUAUAAAGUUUGCAAACAGAUUCCGGCAAAGUUUCGCUUUUAGAACCCUCAAAGUUAAUGUACCUCAAGUGUAUCAGUUUGCCAAUUGAGAUUGGCAGAUUCUGAUUUUUUGCACCGGACAAAUUCAAAACGUGCAAAUUCUUCAACUUCAUUAGCAUAUCAUCAGAUAAGCUACCCUGACUCAGAAACAAUGUAUGAAGCAAAUUUGAUCCACUCUCAAAAAGAUUUAUUGUGUCUUCUCCAAAUGAGUCUAUUACAAGACAACGAACCUGAUUACUAUUGUCUCCUGAACCAGUCUCCGAAUUAAUGAAUUUAGUAGACUUUGACAUUAUUGAUUUUGAGACUUCGUGCACUAUAUCAUGCAUUUUAUAAUACCUUCCCCAAGCGUCUCUUAUUUCUUCCAGCAAAGAACUCUGCAAUAAAAUUUCCAAGUAAUAUUCUCCAAUUUCCUCCAUUGUUUUGUUCUCGAGACCUGCAUGGAGGAAACCUUCUGCCAUCCAAAGUUCGAUUAGCAUAUCUCUUUCCAUCUCAGUAUCCUUAGUAAACAUAGAACAAUAUGCAAAACAUUUCUUAACGGCUGGUGAUGGUAAACAAUCAAAACUCAAUUUAAGUAUUUCCAUGACACCAUCUCCACCUGCACUCAAACUCGAAAGCCUAUUCUCCAAAAUUGAUGGCCACUCUUCUUUUCUCUUUAAAGAUAAUAGACCUCCAAUUACACUUGCAGCCAAUGGUAGACCAUUACAUCUUUUGAUUAUUCUCUUUUUAAUUGCUUUUAGUUCAUCAGGUUCUUCUUCCCCUCCAACUACUUUUUCUUUUACGAUAGACCAACAAUGAUCAUCAGGUAGUUUUCCUAAUGGAUAUGGUUCAUUUUCCAUCAUCCCCAAAACUCGAGACACACUAUGUGCCACUGGACCUAAACGAGUAGUGACCAGACACCAGCUUCCAUUAGUUGGAUUGAGCCCCUUCAAGGUGGUGAAAAAGUUAUCCCACAAUGCACGAUUAUCAUCCCACACAUCAUCAAGAACUAGGAGAUAUCUUUUUCCCCCAAGUUGAUUCUGAAUGUCUUCAACGAUGACAUUCCUAUCAUCCACUUCAACUUUUCUUUUCAUCAAUUGCACUAACAUGAGUUUGAAAAGUUCCACUACUGGAACUUUUUUCGAUACACAAACCCACAACUUUUUCUCAAAUUGCCCAUCAAUUUGCUGAUUGUUGUAUAUCGAUUUAGCCAAAGUUGUUUUGCCUAGACCUCCCAUACCAAAUAUGGGAAGAACAAAAACUACCUUCUCAGAUGGGCUCAACAAUAUCUUCAAUAUGUUUGAUUCAUCAUCGGCUCUUCCAAUUAUUGGAACAAGAACAGAGUCAGUCUGCCGAUUUCCUAUGUCUCCAACAGCAGGAGCAGCAGGGAGGGCAGCUGUCAUCACUAACCUACUAACCAGUCCCAAUCCGUUGGCUUCUUGAUUUAUCUCCUUCAACUUCAGUUUGACGUCCCUGACCUUAGAAGCCAUUCUCCAACGAAAAGCAAGAUUAAUGUUGAGAAGGAAAAGAAGGAGAAUACCUUGAGCUUGGGUCGGUUUCGGGACUCCACCUGGUGACGAAGAGAUUCAUAGUAGAGCUCAUCCAACACAUUCUGAGCAUCAUAAGCCACCUCCUCGAGACACUUCAACCAUCGUUGCACUCCUCUGCUUUGGUUUUGCCUUUCCUCAGCAUCAGCCAGGACAUCUUUGAUAAAGCCGAGAGAAUGUGUCAUGCUGGCCACAUCCUUCUUGAACCCAACUAGCAAACCAAUCCUAUCAGAGGCAAGAGACAGUGUCGUUUCCAAUGUGACCUGUAUUGUUGAGCUGAUAAGAGCGUCAGCCAUUUUUGCUGCCUUGGAUUCAGUGUUGAGAACAAGAUGGUUUUUUUUUUAUGGAAGGUUUUUUGCAGCGAGGAACUGGUAAUCUUAUCUAGGCUAGUAUAAUUGGUUAUGAAAAAAGGAGCAUUAAUAAUUUUUCCGCGUAGACGUGGAGUUCUUCUCUGACAAAUUUGUAAGCUUUUGCAUUGGCGUGUUUACAGAGUAACUUUCUCAAUUAUUGUAGUUGUUGGGGCAUCAUGUUUUCUGAUUAAAAGGUGGGGCCUUCAGAAUUUUUGGUUGUGGACCAUAUUUGUUUUUGUCCACGAUCAAAUCGUAAAAAGGAGAGUGAGAUUCUGUUUUGGUUACAUGCAUGUCAUUAUUGUUAAUCCUUGGAAAAUGAAUUUAUGACAUACAGUAUUUUGGUCCGAAUUUUGUUCGGUUUUGGGAAGCGACCACACUGGGAAGCAAUAAUGUUCUCUGUUUUCGCACUAGCUAUGACGCAUUUUGCUUCUUGGCUUUUAAAUUACCUUUUGUACUUUAGCUAGAGUGUUAUUUGAAAUAUUAUUUGAAAUAAUUACUGUAAUACUUUUUAUGAUGUGAUAUAUGUGAGAUAAAAAGGUGGUUAAGAAUAUAAAAGAUUGAGUUGAAAAAUGUAUUUAUGAUGCAAGCGAAAUAUUAUUUAGAAUAAUAUGGAUAUCCAAACAAACCUAUAUAUUCUCUGUUUUCGCACUAGCUAUGAUGCAUUUUGCUUCUUGGCUUAGUAAUCAGGCUUGAGAUUUUAAAUUACCUUUUGUACUUUAGCGUUUCAAACAUAUAUAUAACAUGAUCGGUAUGAAACCCCUAGCCUUCUACUCCUCUCUUUAAAAUCUGAUAGUCUUUAAUUCAGAUCGGUAUUAAUCUUUUUUGUUAUUUUAUUUCUUAUUACUUUCUUUUUCUAGUUGAUUUUGGAUCCUUUUUUUAUUACUUUUCUAAUUUUUUUUCUUUAGCUUUUGCUGACGCGUAUAUUGGUUUCUCCUCAAACUGGAUGUCUCUCAAUCUCUCUUGUGGGAAUUCAACAUACUUUAAGAUGAAUUUCAUUUUGCCAUUAUCAAGUUUGCACUUAAAGAAUUAAAGUUCAUAUGGGGCUAAGUCAUACUAAUUUCAUAUCUUUGACAUUUAUUUAUCACAAACCUCAAUUCUUCUUUCCUCCAGUGUUUCUUUUCUAUAUCAACUCUCCUUAAUCCCAUUAUUGUCUCACAGCAUAAUCCAGAAAGUGUCAGUAUAUAAGAAUUCUUUUGAAGUAAUUAUUACAAAUAUAUAGUUCCCGUUUCUUGUGGAAUGUUCUGAAUCUUUCCUAAAGAAACAUUUUCCAAUUUGAGUUCCAGAAUUGUUGCAAACUUUUUCGGUUUGCGCAUCACUUUGCAUGUAAGAAUUCAAAAUUUCACCACCAAUUAAAUAUAUAGUUUUCCUCGCAACUUGUCCCAUUUGGAUUGCUAUUUUUAGAAAUUUUUUGUAGAAAAAUAUACUGUAGAGAUUUGAUAUAUGUGAGAUAAAAAUGUGAUUGAGAAAUGUAUUUACAAAAAAAAUGUUAGUUUCCUUUUCUCUUCUAUUUCGAAUUUCUCCCAACUUAUGUUUCCUUGUUGCAAAUCUUGCCAAACUUUAUAAGAUAUGUCUUAUCAAUUUCUUUGAUACCUGAAACACUAGAAAUUUCUCAUUCCUUAUGUGUAUUCUUGUUUAAUUAUUUAAUUUGGUUCCUGAAACACAAGAAAUUAGUAAAGAAUUUCGAUCCAAUUUGGUGCAACGCUUCUUUGACAAAUUGAAUCUGAUGCUUCUGCAAUGGAAGUGUUUUUUUUUUUUUUUAUAGCAACAAUAACUUUCCUACAACCUAAUCUAUUCUAUUCUAUAGAGAGGGGGAACUUAAUUUAUUCUAUUCUACAAGAAGGGAAGCCUAAAAAGACUAUAUAAGGGAGUUGAUAUACAUACCUAAUUAGAUCGUAUUUUGACGCUUUCUUAAAUUUUUUUUCAUUAUGUAGAGUUCGAACUCCACAUUUACGAUCCAAAAAAAAUUAAUCUCUUUUUUGUUGCCGCUGAGCCAAAUCUCCUUUGUUGCCGGGAUUCUUCAGCUGCCUUUGAUCCACAUUCCACAUGCUUGUGUGUGUCUUGGGGGGGGCAUCGGAUGUGGAAAAUUCCACCCAAGAAGGAAAAGAAACGUGUUGAAUGAUGAAGAAAAGAAAAUGGCAAUCAUCAUUGAGACUCUAAUAAAUCUCACUCCUCAGUUCUUGGGACGUGAACGUACAAUUAAUAAUUCCAUCUAAAUUGCUGAUCCUAAGUGGAUCAGAUUUGAAACAUAUUUUAUCCUUUGGGGACUCCUUAGUUUGUUUGCUUUCUGCAGGGGAUUAUGCUCCAAUUUCUUUAAAAUCCACAGACCCCCAAAGUUCUCCAUUUCCGUGCUAGCUAUGUAUUUUCCAUUUUUGUUUAGUUCAAAAUAGCUAGAAAUUUACAGUGGAUGCUUUUGUUUGCUCUUUAACCACCGGUAGAAAGAAGUGCUGCAGUAGUACAUCUUUGACAAACUUGGAUGCCAUUAAUUGCCAUGGAGAAGUUUGCAUGCCAUUAUUGACUUGGCCUUUAUUGAUCAAUGCUUGGCUAGGUAUUUCAUCUUUUUCUGAUUGAAAGCUGGCUGGCGCCUUUGGCUGUGGAAAAUAUCUCAAUGGUUUGUCGGAGUAGUGGUUUGACCCAAGACUGACCCCCGCAAAAAAAAAAAAAGAAGAAAAAAAACUAUGUUCAACGAUAAAAAUGUAAAUGAGAAAGAAGAAAUGACAGCCAUAGCUGGUGACUUUGCAACAUUAAUUGCCUCAGUCAUUAAUCCUUGGGAAAUGGACUAAAAACGUUAUUUUGUGGGGGAAAAACUUUAAUAAAAAAUAAUCCGUGGUUCACUUAUCAAAAACAUGAAGUGGAGUUAGCAAUCAGGUUUGGCAUGUAGCGACAUAAUUGGCCAAUGGUUGGGUGCUUUCUUAGCUUUUACACUUGUGAAAUUGCCAAAAUAGUCACUCGUAAUUCCACAAGCUUUCUAGCACUUUAAAAAUUCAAACAUUUUGUUUCAAAAUGUCUUGUUUAUGUACAGCAUACAAAAUUUAAGUGGUGAAAGUUUAAGGAGUUUCUUUAUUACUAUUUCUUUUUUUGAAGUACAAUGUACAAUCAAUUGAAGUUAGAAGUGAAAUAAACCUUUAGUUCACACUAUGAUUAUAAAAUUUGACUGAAUUGGAUGUUUUGGGAAGGGGGAAAUGAGCGUGUUCUUGCGGAUUUUAAUUUUUAUAAUUGAAUUAUUUGCCUAUGAUAUGAUCACAAGUUUAACUUAAAUAGAGUUGCGAUAAUAGAAGAUUCUCGAAAGAAGACUUCAAAAGGUGGAAAUUGAAAAUGAGUGGAAAUUAAUGGGGAAUUAACCAGUUAUUUGGAUACCUAUUUUUGUAUCCGACUCUUUUAUAAUUAGUUUUUCUUAUAGUUUUUCUCGUUCCUAACAAAUUUGAAUUAUUUGUUCUUAUGGUUCCUCUCUCUUCUAACAAUAUGAUAAAUUUGUAUAAAUUUUUUUAUCCAUAUGGAUUAACUUAGUGUUAAAAAAUUUUAACUGUUAGCUGAUAGAUUUAUCAAUAUUGCUGGAAAUUAAAUAUUUUUUGAUGUAGAAAACAAAUCGCAAAAUCUAUUGUACUCGGUUAAGUAGGAAAAUGUAACUAGGUUUAUGGUUAUUAUAAAAAUUGUAAUUAUCUAAAAAAUAUCCGUACACAAAAAGGUAGAAUAUCUAUUGAUUUUUUUAUAUUUGUUAUCAUAUUUGAUGAAUAUUAUUAUAUUAUAGUAAAAGUAUGUAAAGAAGUAUUUAAAAAUUAGUAUGACAGUUAAGUAUAAUUAUUCUAUUAAUUUUCUAAAAUUAAUAUGAAUGAACUUGUAAGAUCAUCAUUAAUUUUUUAUUUAAAUUAUUCAUGCUUGCACGAAUUCAUUAUAAAGUUUAAAAAAAUAAACAUGCCAAGGCACAUGCAAGACGCUAGUUCAAAUUAAUGUUGUACACGUAUAGGAGUCACAAAAUCGGUUUGGUGCACUAGCAAACAGAAGGGGACAUCCAAAGUAUUGGGACAAGUUUUACAUUAAAGGGGGAGAUUUGUAAAGCAAUUGAGCGAAAACAAAUGAGGUUGAAGAAAAUUUUAUAUCAUUUGCAAUACAUUCAUAAAAGCUAUGACACAUUCGUUAAAAUAAGAAAUAUUUAUUAAUUUGGUGCAAUGUAAUAGCAAACCAAGGAAAAAAAAUAUGAAUGAUCCGUAAGAGGGAAAGAUGUCAUUUGACUUAAAAUAAAAGUGUGAUUGGAUAGAGGUUUAGUUGAACAAAAAAAUUAGAUUAAUGUCAUAGCACUUUUUGUUGCUUGAUAUAAUAUAUAUGAGAUAAAAUGAUGGCUGAUAAAAUUAAAAAAAUGAUUCAGGUAAAUAUAAAUAUUUUUUUUCAUAUAUUUGUGUAAUGAUGACAAUGACAGGGUGAAAACAGUGCAUGCAAAGAAUAAUAAUAAUGAUAACUCUUGUGAGAUGGAUAGCAAUUGCAAGUUGCACACCUUAGAUUGAAAGAUAAUAAAUAGGACGAUAAAAAGGGAGAAGAGAAAAUUGUGAAAAUAACCACGAAAGGGAGACUAUUUAGGUUUUCUCACGAGAAGGUUAAUCAGAGGGGGAGGUGAAGAGAAGGGGAGAUUGAUUGAUUGUAAAGCAAAUUAAGAAAGUAGGUAGGAGGCAAUCUUCUGAUUGAGAGAAAUUGUUAGAAACCUCAAGGGAGGUUUAUGAAAUUAUCCUAAAUAAUUGAUUUUCUAAAAAUUUUAAAGGAGAAAUAUCUAAAAGUAUCAGGUUCACAUGCAAAGCAUGUGCUCCCAUUACUAGUGAGAUAAAAAGGUAUGAUCGGAAAAUGUGAUCAUAGAAAACGUAAAAACUUUAAUCCAGAUAAAUAUUUAUACAAUCACUAAUUAGUUAUUGCUAUUAUUAUUGCUACUUUUUAUACUGUUAUAGAUAUAAGAGGAUUUACUUAUAUUGGCCUUCGAAGUCUUAUAGGCAUGGAAAUGUAGAAAUGCUUUUCUUGUAACAUAUCGCUGAGCUAUCAAGGAAAAUAUUUCAAGCCAAGAUGUGUAAGAUCGAUGUCACAUUGCUGCUUCGUGGAACAAUAUGCACAAGUACUAGUUCGCACGAAAGCAAUUUUGCAAGUAGACACCAUGUAAAAUGUCAGUUUGAUGGACUAAGGUUGACCUUAUAUGUUCCCAUUUAAUUCUUGUAAAAUUGAUUGCCAUAAUUUUAUCUUUCCAACGAUCCCGUCCACCAACUGGGAUCCUUUUUUGAAUACAAAAUUGUGCCUUAGCAAUUCAGUUUUCUAAAUUGCUCUCUGAUUAACAUAAAGUAGAAGGGCUCAAGCUGAUUGAUUCUUGUGCUCUGAGUCCUGUCCUGAGCUUUACAGAUACUAGGAGCAAUGGACAAGUAUCAUCGGACACAACCUGUAGUCAACUGCAGAACACUGAGAAAAAAUAUGUUGCCUGUUAUAGAGCUAAGAUACAACUUCAAGAAGGAUGCAAGCAUCUAUCAGGGUUCAGCUAAUCCACGUUUUCCUGCUACAAAAUACUGCUAGUUUGAACGAUGAGCAGUAUGGAAGAUAUGGCAAAUUGAGUUCCAAAAGAAGUAAAAUAGCACCUCAUUUAACAUAUCUACAAAUUGCUGAAUCGGUUGGACAGUUUAACAACACCAGACAGACAAGGAACUCAAUCCCGGAUGUUUUCAUCUGAUCUGACUGAAACAGGGUCUGGUUCAGCAAGGGAUCAUAGGACUUCAUUACAAAUGAUAGUAAGAGCGAGUUAUCAAGGUUAAUGUUGAUCUUUGAGUGUAAAAUCACUGCAAAACACAAAAACUCAAACUUAAGAAACUCGAGACAGCAUGCAGUCAAGAAUAAAGCCAGCACAUAGUUGCAUGACAUUUUUGUUGUAUUUGAAACACUAAAAUAAGAACUUACCAUGAAGAGAGAAGCAACCAACAAGUAUAGAAGGUGGGGUGAGCUUAAUAGCCUUCAUCACAGCAGAUGAAAUAAUUGCAGCAAGUAGCAGCAGCCAACAAGUACGCUUCAAAACUUGCAGCUUAGUCUUGAUUGUGUCAGAAGAUGCUAUAACAAGUCUGUGCAGCUUCACUGCAUGAGCAGUACAUCUUCCGUGGCUGCUCCCAAAAACAUUGUCAUUAUGAGAAGAUUUCUCAAGUUUUGGUUGUAAUAUGUUCAGAUUCAAAGUAGUUAAAAGUCAAAUUUGAGUAGUAAAAGAAGAGUAGUAUAUCUGAACUUACCGGACUCUUAGAACCAAACACCAAUUUGAUGACCAACAGCUCUGAAAAGUCCUGAAAUCUUUACUCCUAGAAAAUCAUAACCAAGGAAAAGCGAGACACAAACCCAUCAUCUACGAGACUUAUCGAACAAAUCACUAAUCAAAUGGUUCAAGAAGCUUGAUAUAUGCGCCUUCAAGAGGUGAUUAAACUCUGGAGCAACUAUUUACUCCCUCUAGAAUCAAGAGUUAGGGAGCUGAUCACUUUAGCAAUCACAUCUUACAUCCACAAAAGUAGAUAUAUAAAAUCAACAAAACGAAACUCCUAGUGCGUAUUUCAUAUUGAUGGGUAAAUUGUAGGAAAUGCAAACCAAAAAUUAAUUAAUACCAGCUAUAAAAAUCUAAUCUAGUUUCAUCUAGGGGAGAGAACACAAAAAUCUGCUUGUUAAGUGCAGGAGAAAGACGUGCAGUAGAGAAUUGCUGGUUUUAAGUCUCGUAGAAAAGGUUUCUAGAAUUGCUGCAUGUGAUAUCGAAUCUAAAACGUCCAAUGCAUUUUCAACAGGUGAAACUUCAGAGUGAGCAACCAUUUCAUCCUGGUGAAAUCACGAGUUUAAAGAGAGUGUGCUGAUGUUAGCAAACACAACGUACAAAGGACAGUAACUGCCAUUAGUGCAUUUCAUCCAAAACAUGAUUCAGUUCACCCAAGAAAAUCUCAUUCAUUUGCCAUGUUUGAUCUAGUACAGAAACAUGGUAUUGAAUUAAGCCUCCAUUUGCCAUGUUUGAUCUUUGUAUCAGCAAAUAAUAUGUGAUAGAACGUGAGCAAUACCAAUUUAACAUUAGAAAUUAACCAAAAAGACUGUUUAGUUCCAUUAAUUGAUAUGGAGCCGUGCAUGGCUUACUAGUGGAAAAGGUUACGAAAUAUUGUGCUUAUUCAUGAUGAAGAGAUUGAAAUGACUGACUCUGUAUCCAACUUGGCAGACCUAAUCUGUUGUUGCUUCAAUUAUCAGUUGAUAUACUUUCAAGGAAAGAGAGGAUUUUCAAAAGUGAAGGCGGUAAUUAGGAGUCAUCAGGGUUCCCGACUGAGCUUUAAGCCUACAGUCACUGCAAAACAGAAAACUCAAGACUCAGGACUUCACAUAGCAAAUCAUGAGGCUAACUGGAAAUUGCAUGACAUUUUUGUUUAGUCAAUUAUUCAGAAAGCCAAAUCAAUAUUUGUUUCUGUUGUGCUUUUCUAACCUAAAUCAGUAAGAAGAUAUCAAAUCUUUCUGCUCAAUCUACAAGUACCAGAAGUGCCAUAGAAACUAUUAGUUUUUGUUCAAAACACUGAAAAAUGAGAAGUUCUAUAACAAUAAUGAUAAUAAGCAGCACCCACAAGCAUGAAAGGUAGAGAGCUCUAGAAUUGCCAUGAAGGUGAACUCUUUGAGACAGCAAGAUGCAACGAGUAGAGCUAAUUACAACUCUUUGACUCUUAAAAUCUCAAAUCAUGGCAUUUGAACUUAAACUUUAGAAGAGGAUAGUCUACCAAGUCUCUGCUGCUUGAAAAAGUCUUAAACAUGAUAAUUUUUUAAAGGUUUUAAUUAGUGCAUUGGAUAUUAAACUUCUUAAAACCCAAUAUUAAGCAGAGGAAGAAGAUUAUUGGUAUUAUAGUCAGAGUCAGAGUCAUCGAUGAGGUUCCAUGUUUAGCUUUGUGCCUAAAACCACUGCAAAGCACAAAAACUCAAACUCAAGAUGGCGCUCAGGAUAGAAUAAAACGAAUGGAAAUUUUCAGAUAAUUGCAGGUUUUCUGUCAUUGUAACUAAAGCCCCAAAAGGAGAACUUACCAUAAAAAAAGAGGCAACCAACAAUCAUAAUAGCAGAGAGAGCUUAAAAGCCUUUAUCAAGGUGGAUUCAUUAACAGUAGCAAGUCGCAACAAGCAGGCUUGACCAACUACCGGAAUGCUUCAAAACAUUCCGCCUAGAGUUGUUCAGUUGGAAGAUACUCCACCAAGUUUUGUGCAACUUCAUUGCUCAAAUAGUACACACCUUCCUCGGCUACCUCAAAAAUAUCUUUGUGACAACAAGAUUUCUUUUGUUUUAUAUGUAAUAUAUUAGAUAUUAAAGUGGUAAAAAGUAAAAAUUGAGUAGUGAAAGAAGAGAAGCAUAUCUAAAAUUACCAGAAAUUUUGAACCAAAACAUGAAAGUAAUGACCAACACCUGCGAAAACGCCUCAAUUGACCAUUGUCUUCAUGGCUCAAAAGCCAAAAUCAAGGAAAAGUGACCAGAAAAACAUCAUAUAUGACUCUGAUAGAGUAUGCAAGUUCAUUAUCAAGAGGUAAAAGUUCAGUCCCCUUAGAAUCACAAUUUUAAACAGUCAGAUGACUUUAGCAAUAAUAACUUCAAAUCUACAGAAGCAGAGCACGUAAAUAGACUGCUAGUUGUUGUAAACGUUGAGGAAAUGCAGGCCAAAAGUUAUUGAGGUCUAGCCAUAUAGAUGGUGCUGAAGAAGCUUCAAAAUUCUAACCUCUGUUCAUGAAGCUAUUCUUCUAUCAAUCCUACAAAAACAAAGCAUAGAACAGAAUAUGAACAGAGAUACAGUAAAACAUCAAAGCACGAAACAGGAUAGGUGCUUGGGGUCAUUCUAAUUGAUAGUUACAAGAGUAUUACUAUUAUGUUGUAAGGAGUAAAUGAGGAGGACGAUAAAGAAAUGCUAAUGCCGCAGCUUUGAAAGAUAAUAAAUAGGACGAUAAAAAGGGAGAAGAGAAAAUUGUGAAAAUAACCAUGGAGACUUUUUAGGUUUUCUCACGAGAAGGUUAAUCAGAGGGGGAGGUGAAGAGAAGGGGAGAUUGAUUGUAAAGCAAAUUAAGAAAGAGGUUAUUGAAGGCAAUCUUACAUGAUUGAAUUUGAUCCAAAGAUGAAAGUUGGUUAUUAAUCAACUUAUGCAUAGGUCUUGAAUGUGAGAAACUUUGGACCACUGGGAGUCGGGGCCGCUGCUCUCAGGAGUGCAUCUUUCUUUUAACAGAGGAGAACCAUAAACCUCCAGACGUUUUAGUUUGGUGAGACUUCUCAUGGCAUCCUCAGAGGGUAGAUGUCCAAGCUCCGUGAAAUGCCGUAAAUGCGGGAAUUCAAGAGCAGCGAAGUUUCCGAACCAAUCUGGCAGAGCUUUUAUACCUCCAAAGUCGCGUAGCCAUAGUGACGUCAGAGUGGUCAAGUAUUGGAUCCGAUGUGGCAGGGACUCCAUGUGUGGCAACCCAAUUAAUGCUAAUUCAUGGAGUGUGGAUGACGAAGAGGAGGAGGAGGAUAUCAAUCCAGACCAAUCAAACUCAUUGUAAAUUGAAGAAUUUUCAUGAUCAUCACCAUCAUCUGAGAAGGGACCAAUUACAAGCUCCCUUAAGCUGGUUAGGAAACCAAAUCCUCUGGGCGUCAUGCUUGUUUUCAGUUUGGAACACCUGUAUAAUUCCAGCUCCAAGAGAGAAGGCGUUUGUUGCAAAUCAAGCGGAAAGGAGAUAAGAUUGCGGCAACCAAUCACCCGAAGCUUCUGGAGAGAGGCACAAGAGUGCAGUAUGUCACCUGGCAGAUUCGUCAACCCAUCGCAAGCAUAAAUCUCCAGCUGCUUAAGAGACGCAAAGUUUUGCAGGGGAAGGAGUUCUCUGCAUCUGUUGCAGAAAUUAAAUGCCAAACGUGCUAACUUGGGGGGUGUUGUUGCUGACUUGGGGAGUGUUGUCGUCGUUGGCAAAUCCAUUAACCAUGAGGAAAUUGAUCGCCCAUAAAAUUCCAAAUUACCAACUCCUCCAAAUUUGGGUGGGGUCGAAGGCCAUCUAACACAUCUUCGUCAUUGUAGUCGUCGCCUUCUCGUUCACAGGCCCACUGAAGUACCAGGCCAAAUAGAUUUGCCUUUUCAGAUAGUUUUGCUUCCUCAGCUCCUUCCUUACCCUUUACUAGUUCCAGAUUGCGUAUCUCCAAUUUGCCUUUGAGGUUCUUCAAGCUUCCAAGCUCUUCAAUUUGUCGACCCUUCUCUCGACCCACAUUAAAGAACUCUAGCGUCUGAAGGCAAGUAAGUCGUCCCAUCUCUAGCGGCAUUUGAAAGUCAUUAUCACUUAUGUCAUAGUGGAGAUGUCUCAAGCUAAUCAAAUCGCGUAUCCCCUUCGGAAGAUCUUUAACUUUUGAGUAACUUAGCGUCAAUGUCUGCAGAUUAUAAAGCUUGCAAAGGGAGUCCGGCAAAAUGCCGAUUGCAGACCGCUUAAGGUUAACAUACCGCAAAUGUAUUAGUUUGCCAAUUGAGACUGGAAGCUCUUCAGUUGUUGUAUAAGACAAAUUCAAAACAUACAAGUUCUUCAACUUCAUUAACAUAUCGCCAGAUAAGUCAACAUUUACAAACAAUGUAUGAAGCGAAGUUGAUAGACUCUCCAAAAGUUUAUCUCUGUCUUCUCCACCACCAAAUGAGUCUAUUGCAAGGUAACGAAUCUGAUCACCAUUGUCUACUAUACAUGUAUCCCUAUCAUUAAUGACUUUGGUAGACUUUGACAUUGACUCUGAAAGGUCAUGCACUAGAUCAUGCAUCUGAUAACAUGUUUUUGACGGAUAAUCUGAUUCAUCAAUUAUUUCUUCAAACAAUGAACUCUGCAAUAAAAUUCUCAAAUAAUUCAUACCAAUUUCCUCCAUCAUCGUUUGGCUUUUGACAUCUGUUUGAAGGAAACCUUCUCCCAUCCAAAGUUCGAUAAGCAUAUUCCUUUCUAUCUUACUAUCCUUAGGAAAUAUACAACAAUAUGCAAAACAUUUCUUAAUGUAUGGAGAUGGCAAAUUAUCAAAACUCAACUUAAGUAUUUGCAUCACGUGAUCUCCACCUGCACUCAAACUCAAAAGCCUAUUCUCCAAAAUUGAUCGCCACUCCUUUUUUCUCUUUAAACGUAACAGACCUCCUAUUACACUUGCAGCCAAUGGUAGACCAUCACAUCUUUUGAUUACUCUCUCCUUAAUUGCUUGUAGUUCAUCAGGUACUUCUCCCCCUCCAACCAGGGGCGGAGCCAGAAAAAAAUUUUAGUGGGGGCAAAAAUAACAUCAAAAUUUUUUAUCUACUCUUUUUCUAAUUUUUUAAGCAAAAAAAUAAUAAAUUCACCAACAAGUAUAAAUGGGGGAAGAAAGAAGAGCCGUCGGUUGUGAAGGGAAAAUGGGGACCAGAGGAGGAAAGGGAAUUGGGGAGUGGGGACCAAAAGAAAAGACUGAUAUAAUUGAUACUUGGCUCUGUUGGGGGAAAAAAUGGGAGACCAGGGGAGGAAAGUGAAUGAUAUAAAAUUUGUGAUCUAUUUUUUCACAUUUGUUCUAAAAAAACUCUGGGGGCACCUUUACGAUUAUAUCAAAAUUGUAUAACUAUUAUACAAAUUUGAGGGGAGGCAGUGGGGGCCCAUGCCCCCAGUGCCCCCACCUUAAAUCCGCCCCUGCCUCCAACUACUUUUUCUUUUAGGAUAGACCAACAAUGAUCAUCAGGUAGCCUUCCUAAGGCAUAGGCUUCAUCAUCCAUCAUCAAAGCUCCAGACACAAUAUCUGCCACCUGACCAAUACGAGUAGUGACAAGACACUAGCUUCCAUUGGUUGGAUUGAGUCCCCUCAAGGUGGUGAAAAAGUCAUCCCACAAUGCCUGAUCAUCAUCCCACACAUCAUCAAGAACUAGGAAAUAUCUUUUUCCCCCAAGUUGAUUCCCAAUUUUUCCAACGAUGACAUUCCUAUCUUCCACUUCAACCUUUUCUUCCACUUCAACCUUUUUUUCCGUCAAUUGCAAUAAAAUGAGUUUGAAAAGAUCCAGUAUCGGAGCUUUUUUUGAUACACAAACCCAAAUUUUUUUGUUAAAGUGCUCAUCAAUUUGCUUGUUGUUGUAUAUCGAUUUAGCCAAAGUUGUUUUGCCUAGACCUCUCAUACCAGUUAUGGGAAGACCAGAAAGAACCUUCUCAGAUGGGCUCAACAGCAUCUUCACUAUCUUUGAUUCAUCAUCGGCUCUUCCAAUCAUUGGAGCAACAACAGAGUCGGUCUGCCGAUUUCUUUUGUCUCCAGCAUCAGCAGCAGCAGGGAGGGCAGCUGCCAUGACUGCUCUCUCGAACAGUCCCAAAUCACUGGCUCCUUGGUUGAUCUCAUUCAGCUUAAGUUUGAUGCCCCUGACCUUAGAAGCCAUUCUCCAACGGAAAGCAAGAUUAGUGUUAGAGAAGGAGAAGAAGCAGCAUACCUUUCGCUUGUGCUGGUUCCGGGACUCCACCUUGCAACCAAGAGAUUCGUAGUUGAGCUCAUCCAACACGUUGUCAGCAUCAUAAGCAACCUCCUCGAGACUCUUCAGCCAUUCUUGCACUCCCCGGUCCUGGUUUUGUUGCCUUUCCUCAGCAUCAGCCAAGAGAGCAUUGAUAAAGCGAAGAGAUCGAGUCAUGCUGGCCACAUCCUUCUUGAACCCAACUAACAUACCAAUCCUGUCAGUGGCAAGAGAUACUGCCGUCUCCAAGGCAACCUGAAUAGUGGCACUAAUGACGGGGUCGGCCAUUUUCCUGUCCUUGUAUGGGGCUUAAUUGCUAGGAUGCUUUGUUGAUAUCAGAUUGGUGAUUUCCUUGUAUGUAUGUAGCUUGCUAGGAUGCUUUUUCCUAUCAGAUAAUAAAGAUGGGGAUGGACAAAAGGGUAGAGGCUUUCAUCAAAGUUUUGGUGAGAACCGAUUUAUUUAUUUAUUUUUCAAAUUUAGAAUGGGAUCGUGGGUUCCCGGUGGUAUGAACGGAAGUAUGGUGGAGCCACUAAGAGAGUUAUGUAAUUUAAUCCAAUUUAUAAAGGGAGCCACAUGCUUCUUCCUCGGUUUUAGUUAAUUACAUUGUUGCAGCUAGUGCUUCAGUUCACGCUAAUGCCAGGCCAGGCCCUUGGGUUGCUGAAAAUAUGUCUAAUCCUUGAUUUUAUUUAUUUUUUUAAAAAAGAAAUCCUGGAAAAAAUCGUGGAAGGCACAUGCAGUACAAGUUACAACUAACAUUUCCAUCUAAAAUAUUACUAACAAUAAAACUACUAGAAAAGUAGUACAUAGAACUGGAUGGGACGCGUUUGCGUCUCAAUUGUUAUUAUAUUACUACUAGAAAAACUUUGAAGAAUCUCAAUUAUUGCACCUGCACCAACAACAAGUGUGUCAAGAAAAAAAAAAUCUAAAGAAAUGAUCCAAUGAGGUUUCACGAUCUGCCAUUUUUGUUCCUUUGAAACGAUAAGAGUGAGUCUUCUCUAAUAUUAGCUCGAUUUUAAAUAUUUUUAAUAAUUAUUAUUGCAUGCUUUUCUCUAAUUUUUUUUCAUUUAUUAAAGUGAAAUGUUCAAUUUAUCUAUUUUAAAAUACAGAUAAUUUCACAAUCUUCCCCUGAGAAUUUUGACAAUUUUAUUGAGCUUCUUCAAAGUUUUUAUGACUUACACUUACCUAGAGCUGUUAAACGAACCGAGCUGUUCUGUAGCUCGGUUCGUUUCGAAUCAUUCGUGUUCGUGAAAGGCUCGUUCGAAACCUUAAACGAACCGAGUUCGAACGAAUUUUUUUGUUCAAUUAAUAAUCGAGCGAACACGAGCAUGUUCGCGAACAUGAACAUAAUUAUCAUUUGACAAAUUUUAGGGUUAAUUUUAUAGCUGGACUUUUAUAUUUGGAGGGCAAAUUACUUUGUUUUAUUUGUUGUUUUUAUGUUAAUGUUAGUUAUAUAGUUAAUAAAUAAUAGAAUUUAGUCACUUAGUGCUUUAAUUGUUUUUGAGAAUGAGUAAUGAUUUGCAUGGCAUAUUUAAGGCUUAAAAUAAUUUGGAUUCGAGCAUUUCGAUCAUGUUCGCGAAUGGCUCGUUUAUGUUAUACGAGUUGAAUACGAACUCGAACUCGAACACGAAUUUUGCUUAACGAUCUGAACACGAACACAGGUUUGGAGUUCGAAAAUUAACGAACGAAUACGAACGUUGUUCGAAUCGCUUAACGAACAGAGUUCAAACAUGAGAUACUCGGUUCGAUUCGGUUCGUUUAUAACUCUACACUUACCUCCUUUAUCCAUAUAAAAGGACAAUACCAAUGUUAACAUUUUAAUAAAACUCCCGUAUUGGGUGUGCAUAUACAAAGAAUGGGAUUUGUAAUUAUUUUUUGUUUUCUUUUUCCUUUUCUCUUCUUAUUCCUUCUUUUUAUAUUUUUGCUAGCGAAACCAUAGGAAAAUAUAAUCACCGACUCUAAAUGUUGAAUUAGUGACUUUUUUUUUAACAACUUUGAAUGCCAUCCAAUUUUUAUUUGUAAAAAAAGAAAUGGUCAAAACUACUUGUACCAAAAUGUGGUAAUUCCAUCAAUCUAAAAAUUCACAAACCUUAAAAGAGUAUGACGACAAUAAUUUCAUCUCCAAUUUAGAAAGAAAAUGUAUCCCCUGUAAAGUACCUUGAAAAGCAUUCUAUCAUAAGGAUUUGGUAUUGAAAACUUGACACUCUUUUCUUAUAUUUGUGCUAAGAAUUGCUUUGCAAAGUAAUUAAAGUUUAUAAUCUAAGGGUAUUUGUUGACAAAAUUUAAACCAAGCUAUUUAUAAGUUUAUAUAGUAGUUUUAGAACUAGAUUUAGUAGAUAGUAACUAGAUUAAAAUUGGUAUCAAACUUGGUUUAGAAAAUAGAAUUGAGCUAUAUUUGGGUAUUAGAGUUAGAAUAGAUUUAGUAAUAUAUGUAUCUAUAUGAGAACUUGGAGGAGUCGUACAUUUAUAAUUGGGGAAAAUUAGCAUCAAGAGAAUAAAAUUCUAAAUCCUCCCUGCCUACUUGUUCGUUCGUUAUUUAUACUUCUUUGUUCAUACUUGAGAUUUUGUCCAUUGUUUUUUUUUUUUUAGUUGCUAACAUUAUUGACAGUUUGAAGGCCCAUAUUCACAGCAACAAAUCACAAGCUUAGGCCAGCGGAGACAGAGAGUGUCAAAGGAGAUUGCCAUGAUGUAUUAUUUCAACAAGGAAUCCAAGGAUUUUCAAAUGUAAAAAAAUACUGGAAAAAAUGGUAUGUACAAGUACAACUGGCAUUUCCACCCAGAAUAUAGAAGUGGAUGGCUCAACUCUCAAUGCUGCGACGUUGCUUGAUCUCAAUGCCGAUUUAUUUAUUUAUUAAAUUAAGAAUGGGACCGUGGGUUGCAGGUGGUAUUAACUGAAGUAAGGAUGAAGCCACAUGCAUGCUUCUUCCUCGAAUUUUACAGCUUAUUGACAGAUUGAAGGCCCAUACAUAUUCCAGCCACGAAUCACAAGCUUAGGCCAGCAGAGACAGAGAGAAUCGAAGGAGAUCGUCGUCAUGAUUCAUUGCAACAAGGAUUUUCAAAUGUAAAGGCAGUAAGUAGGAGUCAACAAUGUUUCCCAUUGAGCUUUAAACCAAAUGUCUAUGCAAUACAAAACCACUCACAACUCAGGACACCAUAGAGCAAAUGAUAAGGCUAACUGGAAAAUGACAUGACAUUUUUGUUCAGUCAAUCAAUUAUUCACAAAGAUAAAUCAAUAGUCGUUGUUCUUGUGCUUUUCUAUCCUGGGAUUAGUAAGCAGAUACCGAUUCUUUCUACUCAGACUGACUAGAGAGAAAAACUGGACGAAGAUGGAGGAGGACAAAAGAAAAGGGUUGAGGUUUUGGUCAAAGCUUCUUUUUUUCCCCACCUUACUUGGUGUGAAUUAUGAAGCCACUUGCUUAAUUAUUCACAAAGCUAAAUCAAUAGUUUUCUCUUGGAUAUUAAGAAAGACAUGUUGCUACAUAAACAAUUUUUUUUUUUUUACUUGGAUAUGAAUUAUGAAGCCACAUGCAUGCUUCUUCCUCGAAUCUUGCUUGGUUUUAGUUAAUUAUGAUUACAAAGACUACUUAGUUUACGGUAAUGCUGGGGCCUUGGGAUGCUCAAAAAGUCUAAUCCUUGGUAUUUAAAAAAAUGCUGAAAAAAAGGUAGGUACAGAAAAACUGGCAUUUCCGCCUAAAAUAUUAGCAAUAACAAUAGUAGAAAAAUUAUAGAAGUGGAUGGCUCGGGUUUGAGUUCCCAAGCUCUCAAUUGCUAUAUUAGGGCGGCUUUGCUUUCUCAAUUAUUGCACCUAAAACACCAACAAGUGCGUGCAGAAAACAUCUAAAGAAAUUGUUGCAUCUGCUGCAAGAAGAGGUUUUCUUCAGCGUAGAAGAAGAGUGCGCUUCUUUUGACAAACUUGAAUGCAUUUUCCACCAAAACUGAUUGGCGUUUUACUAGAAUGUUUCUAAAUCAAUGCUGGAUUUUUAUUUUUUUUGUUCUUUAUUACCUUUUUUUUUUUGGAAAAAUCAUUUAACAUGUACCUUACAUUUCGUUAGAUAAAUUAUUUAAAAUAUUGAUUUUAGGUUUCUUACAAAAUCAAGGCAGCUAAAUUUAGUCCCAACUUAAAUUUUUUAUCACUAAGUACACGAAGUGAUCCACGUGCGGUCAUUGUUUUAGGUGCAAAAUCUAUAUUUUUUCCAAAACUAAAAGAAACUUCAAAAAACUGGAAAAAUAUUAAUAAGGGGGAUUGAGAUGUAAGAAACAUUUAAGAAUCGAAAGUUUAAAAGUUAGGACCUUAAUUCUGAUAGUCUCGACUUUAACUAAUUGAUCAAGCCCUUUUCCCCACAUAGAGGCUAUCAUUUCUAGGCAUUAAUGUGAUUUCAUUAAAUUUUUCUUAAACAUUUUAUACAUUCAUCUUGGGGAGCAAAGUGCAUAUAUGUUAAGUUCAAAUGGAUAAAGUAUUACUUAUGUCUCACUCCCAAGGCCGAGAUGUCAUCAAAGUGUAAUGAACCCUUGAAUUCAUUCAUCAUUUCUCUUUAUUCACAACAAGAAGUCACAAGCUUUGGCCAGUUGAGACAGAAAAUUAAAAAACAGUGUCGUGAUGUGGUUCAGCUAAGAUCAAAUGAAUUUCAAAAGUUAAGGCAGUCGUUAGGGGCCAACAAGGUUUCCCAUUGAACUUUUUAAGCCAAAAGUCACUGCAAAACAGAACCCUCAAACUAAGGACACCAUAUAUAGCAAACCAUAAAGCUAACUGGAAAUUGCAUGACACUGUUUAGUCAAUUGUUCAGAAAGCUGAAUCAAUAUCCAUCACGAACCAAUGCUCAAUUUGUUAAUCUUGAAUGUUGCUUGGUCUAGUAAAUUAAUAUUAAUAUUCCAGCGAGUACUUAAUUUCGGCUAAUGCUGGAGGGGUGGAGGGGCUGGGGUUGUUUAAAAGGUCUACUCCUUGAUAUUUAAAAAAUACUGGAAAAAAUGGUGGGUACAGCUAACAUUUCCAGCUAAAAUAUUAACAACAAUACUAGCAGGAGAAAAUAUACAUAGAAAUGGAUGGGUCAUGUUAUAUUAGGGCAGCUUGGCCAUCUCAAUUAUUAGCACUGCACCAACAAGUGUAUACAUAGAAAUCCUAAAUAAAUUAUCCAAUGAGGCUUUCUCAGCUUAGAAAAAGAGCACUGCUUCUUUGGGCAAACUUGCAAAUGCAUUUUCCACCAAAGUUCCUUGGCGUUUCACUUGAAAGUUUCUAAGUCAGAGCUGGGUUUUUCUUCUGUUUCUUUUUUUUUUUGAUAGAGCGGUUAUUUGGCACAUUUUGCACUGUUAUUUUGUCCUAAUUUUGGCUACUUACUGUGCUAAGUAUUGGGGUUUAACUCAUAUUUCAUAUUUGUAUGAAUUAUAGAUGAUUGGCGUUAAAAAUAAUCCCUUGAGGCAAAUUUCCAGAAGACCCUUUAUCUCAGGAUGUGCCCACGCCAGAAAAGGUAGAUGUUACCGAAAAGCCGGAUCCGCGGGACCAACAGCAGGAGACCCAAUUAAAGAACCCGGUCUACGUGGACCAGAUGCGUGAGAUCAGAGCCCUUGGACAAAAAGCCUUGUUCCUAAUGCUUUUCUCCUGCGGCGGCUAUAAAAGAACAGAAAAGCAGAUCCAUGUUACAUCACUACAUUAGUUUUUAGUUUUCCACAUUUCACAGCGGUCAGACGCUUUCCUUUCUCUGAUCGGCAGCAAUUGGGAGAAGCCGGAUCAUGUGGGCUUAGGAGUUCACUUUUUCAAUUCUUCCCUGUAGACACUUUUGACGUUCGCUUUUGAUUUGCUACGAUUUUCCAUCGCUUUUAUCCCUUUUCUUGACUCUGCUCCAGUAGGGACCCAAUAUAAGAAAAGGAACUAAGGGAAUUUCUCAUUUGUUCCUUUGUUAAUUCGUCUUGCUCAACUCCUUGGAAUUAAUUGUUUGGCAAUUGUGCGGAUGAAAUCAAUCAACUCACGUGAGCUUGACAUGAUGAGGAACGGCUAAUUUUCUCCUCUACCUAAAGGUUGACGUGAGGGCACGAUCCAUAAUAUCUGUGAGAUCUAAUCGAAUCUUCAUUAUUUCUUCCAAUUUAUUGCUAUUCGUGUGUUUCCUGAAUUAAUUGUUCUUGGGUAUUUUAUUAAUUGAAUAUCAACGGCCGGGUAUUUGAUUUAAUUUAAUAGCCUACUGUCAUAUUAACUAAAUUGAAUCCGUAAUUGUUCGUUUAAUCGAUACCUAGUGACAACCACCAUAAUUGGAUUUAUGUUGGGGAAACGUAAGAUCUAGUUUAAAUAAACCCUCUUAGCGUGUUUAUUAGUUAGGGUUGGGUUCUUCUAGUUUCAAUGCAAUUGGGUAAUUAAAUUCCUACGGUCGUACCUAGGGUUGUUAUCUGGUUAGAGAAGCAGUCAAUGGUCGUACCUUGACUGUCGAAAAAGUAAGGAAGAACUGGUUGUCAGAGCUUGUUGAUAACUAUAACCAACUUAGUGAUGAAUGGAUGAAAUAUUUUUGCAUCGAUGAUCAUUUAAUUGGACCGUGCCUGAGUAGUUGAUCCUUUGGGUAGAAUUUUAUUAAUUGCUAUUUUUAAUAAAUUGUACUUGUGGAGUUAUCGUUUGAAUUUUAUUUAUUUUAUUUUAUUUUCAGUUUCAUCCUAAUAAUCAUCCCCCAUUUUAUUGAUUUGGAAAGAAAUAAUUUCCUACCCGCUCCCUGUGGAAUCGAUCCUACUUGCCAUUGUAUGCAAAAUUAAUAUUUGUAUAGACAAAUCUGGUAUAUCGGAUCAAGCAAACUCUUCGGGAAUAGGGUGAAUCAAGUAACCCAUUGCACACCUAGAGUCCCUGCUCCAAUACUCGGAUUUGUUCUAUAAUUAAUUGUGGUGGUAAUUAGGACUUUUUAGUAUUUAUUAUUGCACAGGUUCGGCACCUGUCAAUUUUUGGCGCCGUUGCCGGGGACUGGUGCCUGAUUAAUUUGUUUCUUUUUGAGUUCAUCUUGUUUUUAUUUUUAUAUUUAUUAUUUCUUUUAUUUUUCUCUUAUUUUUUUUAUAUAUAGUUUAUGGCUGCUAAUAUUCUGUAUUUUGGUGAUAGACUGAAUUUUAUUUCUAGAAAGGGUUAUGAGGCUUGUGCUUUUUCUAAUGAUCAAUGGGCUGCUGCAAAUUGUGGAACUUAUUUUGUCUCAAAUCAUUCAAUCGACAUAUGCCCUGCAUUUCAAGAUGUCUAAGUGAUCCAAUAGAUACUUUUGGAAAUUUUUUGCCUCAAUAUUAAACAUGGUAUGACCCUUAUUCAAACGGGUAUGAUCAAGGAUGGUGGGAUGAUUCCAAUUUUAAUUAUGAACAAAGACCAAUAGAUUUUCAACAGCUAGAGUUUUAAGAACCGUCAUCCAUGUCAGGUAUGUCUCUUGAAGAAAUAGUUGAAUCACUAGCUACUAACACAUAUCUACUUCAACAGGAGACAAUGAAUCUUCAUCAGCAGACAAUAGAUUUUCAUCAGGAGACACAAGCGAGCAUGCGUAACCUGGCAGAUCAAAUGGAUCAAUUGACAUCUAGGAUAACGCAAUUGACUUCUCAAAUAAGUGAAGAAUUGCCCUCACAGACUAUUAUCGACCAUGAGGAAGAUGAAAGUGCAAUUAUCCUGACAAAUGACAUGGUACUGCGAGGAUCUCAAGAAGAAGGAUCUAAAGAUGCAGUUGAAAAGAAAGUUGAAGUGCAAGACAUGAGACUCCAAUAUCAAAUUGUUCAAAUGAAUGAAUCCAGUGAACAAUCUCCAAAUGCGGUGACAUCUCCUCUAGUUCUUAAUCAAUAUUUACCUAACUCUUAUUCUUCAAUUCCUGUUAGUGAAAUUGAUUUUAUUAUACCAGAAAAUUUUGAGUUUCAUGACAGGGAUAAGUUAAGAGCCGCGAUGGAAAAAUAUCUCGAACCAAUAAGCGCUCAUGAUGGAGGAGUGAGUGAAGAUUUAAGGUCAUCAUUUCUUUGUUUGGCGCCAUCGACUAAUCUAUGGAAGACCAUACCUCUUGUGCUAAAGGAUUACUCUAUUUACGAAGGAUAUCAAGGAUACAUAGAAGAUGAAGCACUGAGACGAGUUACAUGAUUUUAUCCUCCGUGAAUAAACAUGACGAUGUCUAGCCAAAGACAUUAAAGAAAGGCGCUGCUUGGGAGGCAACCCAAGGCUUCUUUUGUUUUAGUUUUCUUAUAUUUUUGAAGUUUUUGUUAAGUGUUAGUGUCAUUUAGUGGGUUGUUAUUUUGUGACGGAAGUUGGCAUUAGACAUGCCCACGUUAGGUCGUCACACCUUAGGAAUGGAGUUUUGGAAUUGACGGUCAGAAGACUAUAACUUCCAAGGCGUGCCCACGCCUUCCAACCCUUCCGAAAACGAAAGUCAAAAAGAGAAAAAAAAAAAAUUUUCUCCUAGCCCCACUUUUCUACUUUUUUUUUUAUCCUGUCUUGUCUAAUCCCUUUUCACUUUGUUUUAGUUUCAGUCUUCUCCUUCCUGUUCGUGUUGCGUCCGUCGCCGCCUCACCCUCCUCCGCCUUAGUGUCUCGUUUUCCCUCCCCGGUGGUCAGAAAAGUUUCUCUUCUUUUCUCCUAAUAUUUCAUUUAUCUUUGCUACAUUGAGAACAAUGUAGGUUUUAAGUGUAGAGGGGACGGCUUUUAUUAUUUGUUUUUGCUUUGUUAAAAAAAAAACAAAAAAAAAUGAAAAAAAAGGAGAAAAAGGAAAAUAGUGUAGUUAGCUGACUUCUUUGCUGUGAUGAAUGACAUAAUCAAGGUGCGUGGGUAUGUGGGUAAAUAUACUAGCUAUGCAUUUUAUUUUCCCUUGGCAGUGUUGUUGAGUGUUGAAUACGCUGGACUUGACCCAUUCUUGAAACUUUUGGGAGCUUUUGAGCCAUGCAUGAGCACAUUAUUCUUGUUUGCUCUAUUUUUGUUUCAUUGAGUGGGUAUCACACAUGGUAUCGGCAUUCUAGAACUUGUUAUUUUAUACAUGUCGAGACCACAUUUUGUUAAACUGGAUGCAUUUGAAAUGAUAAGGGCAUUUAGGAUUUGACCUUCUUUAACUUUCUACAAACCAUGCCUUCAUCUCGUUUCCCAAUAGUGAACCAAUUUGAGCUUUUAUCCCUCUCUUUGUUUGUUAGCCGUGUUGGAUAACUCAUGACCUUUUUAGACUUUCUUGUUCAACCUUGUGUCAUUAAGGGAUGUCUGAAAUUCAUUACUUGUGCAACGCAAAUGAAUCUAUGGGCGCAAGUGUUGUCAAAAAGAUGUUGUAUGGUGCUGUUUCUGUACAUCUGAGAUCGAAAGAAAAGCGAAAAAAAAUAGGGGGAGAAAUCGGCAAAAAGCUGGUGAGCAGAAGACUAUGUCUUCCAGGGCGUGCCCACGCCUUGCUAGAUGUCCUCUUCUAAAAAAAAAAAAAAAGAGGAACGAGUUUCGACACUUGCAUAGUGAAAACAACGAAUGGAAACACCCGACUUGAGAAAUUGCCCCGAUAAAGCAUUGUGGUUAUAUAGUGGAUAUUGGACAUUCUCUUGACACAUUACACCAUAUUUUUACCUUCUUAUCCCGCCUUUUACCUAAAUCUCAUUACAACCCUAUUAAAGUCCCUUUGAUUUGUGUAUUUAGUUCACUUUCGAAUGGUGGAGAUGUGAUAAAUGUGCAAGUUUAUGGUAAUGCCAUUCCGUGAUGUUGAUUUGAGCGCUCCUAGUAUUCAUAUAUAUUUUCUUUGAAUCACAACCUGUCCGAUGUGUUUUAAUUUUGGUGAUAUUGUCAGGGAUCUGAAAUGCUUGUGUUAGUAUAGACUACUGCAUGACCUCUGCUCUCUUUGUUGUACUUCUGAGCUCCGAAAUGCUUGAGGACAAGCAUUGUCUAGGUGUGGGGGGAUUUGAUAGAGCGGUUAUUUGGCACAUUUUGCACUGUUAUUUAGUCCUAAUUUUGGCUACUUACUGUGCUAAGUAUUGGGGUUUAACUCAUAUUUCAUAUUUAUAUGAAUUAUAGAUGAUUGGCGUUAAAAAUAAUCCCUUGAGGCAAAUUUCCAGAAGACCCUUCAUCUCAGGGCGUGCCCACGCCAGAAAAGGUAGAUGUUAUCGAAAAGCCGGAUCCGCGGGACCAACAGCAGGAGACCCAAUUAAAGAAUCCGGUCUACGUGGACCAGAUGUGUGAGAUCAGAGCCCUUGGACAAAAAGCCUUGUUCCUAAUGCUUUUCUCCUGCGGCGGCUAUAAAAGAACAGAAAAGCAGAUCCAUGUUACAUCACUACAUUAGUUUUUAGUUUUCCACAUUCCACAGCGGUCAGACGCUUUUCUUUCUCUGAUCGGCAGCAAUUGGGAGAAGCCGGAUCAUGUGGGCUUAGGAGUUCACUUUUUCAAUUCUUCCCUGUAGACACUUUUGACGUUCGCUUUUGAUUUGCUACGAUUUUCCAUCGCUUUUAUCCCUUUUCUUGACUCUGCUCCAGUAGGGACCCAAUAUAAGAAAAGGAACUAAGGGAAUUUCUCAUUUGUUCCUUUGUUAAUUCGUCUUGCUCAACUCCUUGGAAUUAAUUGUUUGGCAAUUGUGCGGAUGAAAUCAAUCAACUCAUGUGAGCUUGACAUGAUGAGGAGCGGCUAAUUUUCUCCUCUGCCCAAAGGUUGACGUGAGGGCACGGUCCAUAAUAUCUGUGAGAUCUAAUCGAAUCUUCAUUAUUUCUUCCAAUUUGUUGCUAUUCGUGCGUUUCCUGAAUUAAUUGUUCAUGGGUAUUUUAUUAAUUGAAUAUCAACGGCCGGGUAUUUGAUUUAAUUUAAUAGCCUACUGUUAUAUUAACUAAAUUGAAUCUGUAAUUGUUCGUUUAGUCGAUACCUAGUGAUAACCACCAUAAUUGGGUUUAUGUUAGGGAAACGUAAGAUCUAGCUUAAAUAAACCCUCUUAGCGUGUUUAUUAGUUAGGGUUGGGUUCUUCUAGUUUCAAUGCAAUUGGGUAAUUAAAUUCCUACGGUCAUACUUAGGGUUGUUAUCUGGUUAGAGAAGCAGUCAAUGGUCGUACCUUGACUGUCGAAAAAGUAAGGAAGAACUGGUUGUCAGAGCUUGUUGAUAACUAUAACCAACUUAGUGAUGAAUGAAUGAAAUAUUUUUGCAUCGAUGAUCAUUUAAUUGGACCGUGCCUGAGUAGUUGAUCCUUUGGGUAGAAUUUUAUUAAUUGCUAUUUUUAAUAAAUUGUACUUGUGGAGUUAUCGUUUGAAUUUUAUUUAUUUUAUUUUAUUUUCAGUUUCAUCCUAAUAAUCAUCCCCCAUUUUAUUGAUUUGGAAAGGAAUAAUUUCCUACCCGCUCCCUGUGAAAUCGACCCUACUUGCCAUUGUACGCAAAUUUAAUAUUUGUAUAGACAAAUCUGGUAUAUCGGAUCAAGCAAACUCUUCGGGAACAGGGUGAAUCAAGUAACCCAUUGCAUACCUAGGGUCCUUGCUCCAGUACUCGGAUUUGUUCUAUAAUUAAUUGUGGUGGUAAUUAGGACUUUUUAGUAUUUAUUAUUGCACAGGUUCGGCACCUGUCAAUUUUCUUUCUCGAAUUGUUUGCUUGUUUUGUUCUUGAAUGUCGAGCCUUCGAUUGUGGAAAAAUAGGUUCAAGAUUAAUUAAUCAUUUUUUAAAAGAAGCUGAGAAACAAAAUUGCGUCUUUGCUUGAUCAUUGGUGUAAACUUGAAACAUAGAUUUAUUCGUUUUGAAGGGGACCAUAUAUAGUGAGUAAAAUUCCAGCACCUGGAUUUCAUAAUCAAAGACUCGAGCGUUUUGGUGAUUCUUGGAGUAGAAAUCAAAGGAAAAAGUAUUACUUCGAUCCUUAAUUAAACUAAGUACAAUUAUCCUGAUUUGUGAGAAAUUUUAAGUGGCAUAGCACAAAUGUUCAAAUCCAAUGUUCCGCCUCAACUUCCAAUUAAUAGUAACUUGUCAUGUCCUUUGUAUGCGAUUGUAUUAAUCCAAUAUGUAAUAUAAUAGCAUUGAAAUACUAAGUUCUUAAUUAAAUUUUGACUGUAAACAUCAAAAUAGAGUAAUUCUUUUAUUUUUCAGUUUCUUUAACCAGUUCUUCGAAAAAUACUAGUUUAGCUGUACAUAUGUUGCACACUGCAUACCUCCCUAUUGCAUUCCUCCCCAGUUGCCAUAACUAAUAACUUAUUCAAAGUUCUUUAAAAGAUUGAACUUUGAGUAAACGAAACAAACCUUCAACGAAGAACUCAAACUCAUAUACAAAUCAAAAUGCUCUCUUCUAGUGACCAAUCCAACACUAUAUAGCCUUGUCAAAUAGACCAUAGAAUUCAAACAGAACAGUAAAAUGUAAUAAGAAAUAAAUGGGCUAAGGAGGUUCUGAUUUAAUGAUUAAAGUACUUCAAGAAUAAAAGGUCCUAGAUUCAAUUCUCUGAAUUUUUGCUUCUCAUGUCUGAGAAUAAAGUAUGAACAUAAAAAUGAGCUAACCUAAUGUUUAAAAAAAAAAAAAACAAGAAAUCACGUUAAACUACAAAGGAUCUUUGUAUUCUCUUAAAACUUAUGCCUAUAAUUUCUUCUUGUUGAUUUGCAACCUAACCUUUUAACUUUUUGACUAUCUUUCCAUUUCAAAAAAAUUGGAGAUCCUUGAUAUUUGUAGUGGUCUUGACUGAUUCAAUUUCCUUCCUCCAUUUCAUAAUUAGUUUGCAUGCAUUUUAAUGGUGAUUUAUCCACAAUUUGUAUAGAAUACACCAAGGGCUGUCAAUCCGUCUUUGAGCUUGGGGUUGCUUGAUUAAUUUUAAAAAAAAUCUUAGGUCGAAUGAACUUUGGCAAAGAAUAAUUUGAAAUAUGCAUUUUCAACCCCGUUAAAAAUUUAUCUUCAUACCUUUUGCAAGGUCAUUGAAAACACACAUUGAAGGUACUUGACGUUAACCUGUUUUUAAUUAAAAUCAUUAGACAUUAGAAAAUAUAGAGGCAAGAAUUAUUAAAGCCGAAAAUUUAAGAGGUACUUUGAAAACAUCAAAAAUAUGCUUUGAAGGUACUUGAGGAAAACCUUUUUUUUUUAAAAAAAAUAAAUCAUUAGCAUUAGAAAAUUAAGAUGCAAGAAUUAUUAAAAAUAGAAAUAUUAAAAACCCUACCUCACAUUCGUUUUAGGAUAAAUUUUGUGCACACAGACAGUGUAUAUAUAAGCGAGGCUAAAUGCAUGCUACCUUUAUUGUGGAAGCAAUAAGUACAUCAGCCAUUCUUUUUGUUCCUUGGAUACGUUUUGUAGUGGGAGACGUUGCUACUUGGAUCCGGGGCAUCACAAUUUAUGUUUCGUAUGAUUUCGUACAAGUUGAUCUUUGAUGUAAAUUAGUCAAAUUUUGGUAUGAGUUAGGUCCAGUUUAAUAUAAAUCAGGUGCAGUUUAGUGUAUAUUAAUUUGAUAUUAUUUGGUGUAAAUUAGAUACAUUUGGAUAUAAGUUGAUUAUUAUCAUUUAGCGUAAGUUAAGGUCAAUUUAAUGUAAAUUGAGAGUAAAUUGUUAAUUUUUACACCAAUUUAUGCAUAAUGCAACUUGUGAGGCCCUAUUUCCUGCUUAGAAUUUUCACUUGAAGUCUUCAAUACUUGUCGUUGCUCGGCCUUUGACGAGCGCGGGGUAUACAAAUAAUAUUUAAUUUAUCUACAGUCAAGUUUUACAUUUAUUAUAUUCUAAAUACCCUGCACGCAAUUUUUCUGCAAGUAUACAGGUUGUGAGCAAGUAUAGGAUAUUAAGGGCCGAACCCACAGGGAAAAUUUUUAAUUACCAUUGAUUUUCGAACUCCUUUAUUGUUUAGACUGUCAUAAGUGCAAGAAAUUGAAUCUACACUAUAAACAUGAAAUAAAAUAUUAAAAAUACAUUAGAAAUCUUCUAGAGGAAUGGAAUUCCUUUCUACUCUUACAAAUGAAAUUACCAGUUAAGUGAAUGCUAUUAUCUUGGCUAGUUAUGGUGUAAUUUCUUAAUGUAUGUGAAACUUAUUCUUUUAGUGAACCAAGUAUACUUGUAGAUAAGUUAUACAUACUCUCAUGGUUAUGAAAUCAACCACAAGGUCAUUUCUUCUAUAAAAUUACAUGAACAAAUCACUAAAGUCACAAAGGUGCACCUCUACUCUCGUAAGUGUACUCCCUAGAUUUAUCACUUUCUUGAAUUAGUGUUAAAUUUCAAUUCUUAUUGCAAACUUAACACUUUAAAAUUAUCACAAUUAAUGGCUAGUUAAUCAUGAUUAGAUAAGCAAAAGUAUUAAAUAACUUGCUCAAUAUAAUAUCAUCAAAUAACCAAUUAAAUAUCACAAGCAAAAUAUAGAAAGUUCAUCCAUAACUCUAGGCAUAAACUUUAGAAACACAUAUAAAAACACAAAUCCAAACUUGUAUUAUAGAUUAACACGAACUCAAAUACAAAAAAGAAAGUGAUAGGAGAGAAUUCACCCUUGUCACAUGAAUUCCAACUCACCAUCUUUGCCCCUCCAAUUUUCAUUUAAGUCUAACUACAAAUACAAGAAGGAAAACUAAAGAAAUUCUACUGAAAACUACAUUUUUGUGGAGUUUCUCUAGCCGUCCAAAGUUAUGAAAAUGUUCUCCAAAGAUUGCUGUUUAUAGAGAAUUCAAGCUCAAGGUGAGUUGUUUCUGGGUUGAUAAAGUUGGCUUUUAAACUCAUCAAGAGCUGUUCUCCAAGUUUUCACACUCUUGUUGGUCAGAUAGAGCCGAAAUUCUGAGUUGUAGAUGAGUUGGAAAAGUUGUAUAAAUGCAGAACAAGUUGUAAAGCAAGUUGCAGCAAAAAAACUAGAAUACGUGACCUCGAAUACACGACCUUAGGUCGCAUAUUUCACCUCACAUUUUCUCCAUUACAGGUUUGCACUUUUUGGGCAGAAUUCAUUCUUGCUCUAUUUUUGUACCAAUUUCAACUGAUAAUUUCUUGAUGAUGGAGGCUGAACUAGUUCUUGUGAAAAAUAUGAAAGUUGUAGCUUUUUGAGUUAGUUUUUCAAUGCAUCAAAAAUCAUCUAAUUUUCAGCUUUGUGGACUCAGAAAUAGACAAAAUACCCUCAACUGGUCAAUCUCCUGUUUUAGCUUUCGACAAUGAAAUUUCACUUCGGUAUUUCAACUUUUUGACAAUGAAAAUGACUAAACUGGACUUCAAUGUCUUCAUAACAAAUAUAGGUCUAUCUGUAGCUUCAAAAUGGUUCAAGAAUCAUCUCAAUCCAAUGCCUGUAGCUCUGCCAAAAUACGAACAAAUGUCAAUGCUGUCAAACUUGCAUUUCUUCCAUUGAACAUUUUACACUUCAUAUCUUCUUUAAAUCACUUCAAAUCAUCAAUAAUCAUCCAAAUAUCUUCUCAAUAAAAACAUGAAAUUUUCACCAUUUAAACAUGUAGAAAUGCAAUUUUCACAAUUUAAACCAUAAAAUGUACAUUUUCACUAAUUCAUUAGCUAUCAAAAUGACUAAACCACACCAAGACCAAUUAAUAAAACACACUUAAAACACACAAAAUAUGCACUCAUCAGCCUUCAUCUGCUUUUGAUCCACAUGCGAGGAGCCUUGGGUUGCAUAAAAUAUGACAAUCAAGGAUUUAAAAUGCGACAAAAAUGGAAAAAAGAAAGGGAAAAUGGCAAUCAUAAAUUAGUACUAUUCAACUAAUGCCAAAUAUAAAAUUCUCUUAUAACCCAAAAUGUUUUAAAGGGUGACUUAGUAGUCUUAUUAUUUCAUUUAAAAAGUUUGACUAUCUUCCUUUGACUGUUAAAUUUGAUGGCAAAUUUAAUACUUUCACUUUCGUAAUUUCCAUAAGGAGGGAAAAUGUAGGUUUCUAAUCCACAGGGAGUUAAUGUAAACGUUUGCUUAAUCACAAGGAGCUAUUUUAUAUUUAGCCCUUUUUUUAAUCUAAUUUGUUAAUUCUUACGACAUAAGGAUAGAAUUGACUUCAUGUAAAUUAAUAGUUGCAUGACAAAUUUGGAUGCUAUUAAUUCCACAGAAGAUGCUUGGCAAUUUCACUGCGGUCUUUCGUAAUCGAUCCACGAGGCUUCUUACACAUUUGACAAAUUUGAAAGCUAUCUCAAAGGCUUCUUGAAAUAGUGGUAUGACCCAAGAGGGGAAAUGACAAUCAUAGUUGAUGACAUUGGCAACAUCAAUCAUGCCAUCUGUUAAUCCAGACAUAAAUUAUUAAAAAAUGAUUUGGUCUUACUAACUAAUCCUCGAGAAUUAGACUGACAGCAUAAUUAUUAGGGCAAUUUACAUCUCUUAUGGUUUGCCGUUUUACCGCAUAACCAUUUUGUAGUUUAAAAACCUAUAAUUAGUUUGGGCAAAUUAUCCAAUUGGUCCUUGAACUCUUUGUCUAGGUAAAAAUAAGCCCCUCAUCUAUUUUUUACUGACUUUAAGCCCUCGAACUUGUAAAAUUGGACACCCGUGACCCUUUUAGCCAGUUUCUCCGGUUUUGCAACCGGAAGGCCAAUUCACACGAAUGCCAGCGUGCUUCUUCAAAGGGUAUUUUUGUCCGCAUCUUCUAAACAAAAAUGGAACAACUCCUCCACCUUCUUCCCUCCAUUUCUGCAAAACCCUCGUUGCCGCCGCUUUCUCUCUUCUCAUUCUCUGCAGGAGAGUGAUACCACCACUCUCAGGAAUCUCCCCACUAGCAGAAUCAUAGCUAUUCCUUCGACUGCCCAAUUCUCCCCCACUCUAGACACCAGUCCUAUCAAAAUUAGACGCUAAAACACUAUUCUCAUCCAAACCUUCCAGUGGAGAUGCCAUUGCAGUCGCUAUUCUCGGCGAGACCACCAUAGUUGUCUCCGGCGAGACCACCAUAUCCAUAAGCGCAGGGAGUAGGAGCGAGUUCAAGUGAAGAGAUCACACAGCAAUUGCAAUGAACCAGCCCCAAACUCGGAUUAUAUGCUGCAGACUCGAUAUAUGAUCCCCUGUACACUUUCCCUUCGGGAUCCAUCAGGGCCACCCCGGAUAGGCACCCGCUAUACGGUGCAUGUGACUUGUUGGCAGCCUCCAAGGCUUCUAUCCUCAGAAGGGCCUCACUUUCUUCCAACGCUCCCUAAAACCCAUUGCUUAAAUUUUUAAAAUUCCCAUCAAGUUCAGAUUCUUUUGAAUAGCCAUUGCACAAAUUUGCCUGUUUUCGGGAAGUAUCAAAAGAUAGCCCAGUGCUAUGGGGUUCGAGGAGGAGGGGAGAUUCUUUAUCCAACAGAUCACAUGGGCCAAAUGGGUUGGUUAAGAAUUCCGGCAAUGGCUUAAAGAGGAGGGGAAAUUUUGAAAAGUUUUGAUUUGGGUGGUCAGAGGUGAUGAGGAUUUAGAGAGAGGAAGAAUCCCGGAGUUCUUGGAAGAACUGGCGGCAGUGGCCACAAGGGGCGGCGGAGACGGCGAGAGCAAUGAGGCGAGGGCAGCCAUGGACGGCGAGGUUGUUGCAGAGGAACUGCUCUGCGUGGACAGAUUGAUGUAAGGGGAGACCAGGGAACUCGAGAUCGACGCCUAUAAAAACGUGGCUGUUGGAGCCGAGGUCGACGGCCCUGACGGAGAAUUUGGAGAUGGGAGGACGAGCAAGGGACUGGGCUGGUUGAACCAAGGUGGGGAGGAGGUGGAGGAGUUGUUCCCUUUUUGCUUAGAAGAUGCGGACAAAAAUGUCCUUUGAAGAAGCACACUGGCAUUCGUGUGAAUGGACCUUCCGGUUGCAAAAUCGGAGAAACUGGCUAAAAGGGUCACGGGUGUCCAAUUUUACAAGUUCGAGGGCUUAAAGUCAGCAAAAAAUAGAUGAGGGGCUUAUUUUUACCUAGACAAAGAGUUCAAGGGCCAAUUGGAUAAUUUGCCCAAUUAGUUUUGACACUCUUCUAUUAGCCUCCUAUCCCAUUUAUAAUUAGUUUCCACACUCAAUAUGUCUUGGUUAUGUUUUAUGUACAAGAUUUAAGUGUUGAAAAAUUUGAAGAGUUUGUUUAACUAAAGUAUAAUAUGCUUUUCCCAGGGAAGUCACUUGUCUUUUCACUGGAAAAAAUUUCCCAGGUUCAUGCUCGGAUUCUUCUUCUUCUUCUUCUUUUUUAAUCGCUUGUUUGUGUUGUCAUCUCCAUUACUUAAAACAUAUAUUAUUUGUUUUGAAGGGACCAAAAUCCUUCAUUGGAUUUUGACUCUUGGCUAGCUUGUUCAAACUUCCAAGUUUCUUAAACACAAGUACCUCCAAGGAUAGAGAAAAUACCAAAUUGAGGGUUGACUUCUACUCUGUAUAUUAUCAGCAAUCAGGUUUGGUUAGGCAGAGCCAAAGAAGGAGGAGGAUUUACAGCAAUUAGUAGGCAUUGUUCUGAAGCCGCGGUUUAAAACGCAUACACAGAGUCAUGCCAGUAAAGAGAGAAUAUCUGAGAGCAUUGGCAAUCAAAUAUCAGGGGGUAAAUUACAUACAAUCCCCAUGAAAUUUUGAAUAAUACCACAUUCAAAAUAGUCAUGUAAUUCCAUCAAUAUACAUGGCUAUAAGUGAUGUCCUGAUCGAAAAAUGAUGGAGGAAAUUGGACUGCGAUGUGGAUUGAUAAGAGAAUCAGAUGCGUGAUAAUUAUUGAUUUCUUGCAAAAUCUUGUACAUUUCGUUACUUGAAACAGGGCAUUGAUAAACAUCAAAUGAAAACGCGAAUCCAACAAAGAAGGAUUGAUAAGCUGUGAUUAAAAAUGCCAUAUCAACUAGAGUUUACUGAUACGAAUUCAAUCAGGAAGUUGAUGUCAGUUUCAUUAAAUUAACAGAGAAUGGGCAUCAUAAUGGGAGGCAUGACAGUAACAUUUAGUUAACGACAUUCAACACGAAUAGCCAAAUAUCUGAGGAAAUGAUAGCAAUUGUUGCAGUAGUCAAGCAAUAGCAAUGGAAGGGCGGCUACACAUUCAAAAGAAGGCACAGCAAUAUGAUCAGUGUGGAACAAAGUUUGCAUUAUAAACUAAUUCAGAGCCAGCUACAACGUCACAGAAGAGCAGGCAAUAGACAUGAAACUUCCAAUACUAGGCUAAUAUGCAAGAAAUUCCUGGGAAGUGUUUUGAAUGAUUUUUUUAUAUAAUUAUUUUUCAAAUUGUCAUUUCCUCUACUUAUUUAUUUAUAUAUUUGUAAAUUCACAUGAAAAAAAUAGAUGAAUUAAGGUUUGAUGCUAUGUAAAAUAUCAGUUUGAUGAAUUACGGUUGACCUUGUAUGUUCCCAUUUAAUUCUUGAUCCUGUUCAAUUGAUUUCCAUAAUUUCAUCUCUCCGACGUUCCCAUCCACCAAGUGGGAUCCUCUCUUGAAUAGAAAUUGGUGCCUCAAUUCAGUUUUCUAAAUUGCCCUCUGAUUUAACAUAAAUAGAAGGGCUCAAGCUGACUGAUUCUUGUGCUCUGAGUCCUGUCUGAGAUUUACAGAUACAAAGAGCAAUGGAAAAAGUAUCAUCGGGCACAACUUGUAGUCGACUGCAGAACAGUGAGAAAAAAUAUGCUGCCUGUUAUAGAGCUAAGAUACAACUUCAAGAAGGAUGCAAGCACCUAUCAGGGUUCAGCUAAUCCACAUCUUUCUGCUGCUUUGAACUACAAGCAGUAUGGAAGAUAUGGCAAAUUGAGUUCCAAAAGAAGUAAAAUAGCACCUCAUUAACAUGUCUACAAAUUGCUGAAUUGGUUGGACAGUUUAACAGCACCAGACAGACAGGGAAGAUCUCAGGCUUUGGCCAUCCGAGGCAGAGAGCAAAAGGGAAUUCCAUCCCGGAUGUUUUCAUCUGAUCUGAUUGAAACAGGAUCUGGUUCAGCAAGGGAUCAUAGGACUUUCAUUACAAAUGAUAGUAAGACCGAGCUAUCAAGGUUAAUGUUGAUCUCUGAGUGCAAAAUCACUGCAAAACACAAAAACUCAAACUUAAGAGACUCGAGACAGUAUGUAGUCAAGAACAAAGCCAGCGCCUAGUUGCAUGACAUUUUUGUUGUAUUUGAAACACUAAAAUAAGAACUUAACAUGAAGAGAGGAGCAACCAAGUAUAGAAGGCAAAAUGAGCUUAAUAGCCUUCAUCAUAGCGAAUGAAAUAAUUGCAGCAAGUAGCAGCAGCCAACCAGUAUGCUUGGCAGUCUUGACUAACCAUAGCAAUAUGCUUCAAAACUUGCAGCUUAGACUUGAUUGUGUUAGAAGAUACUAUAACAAGUCUGUGCAGCUUCACUGCAUGAACAGUACAUCUUCCAUGGCUGCUCCCAAAAACAUUUCCAUUAUGAGAAGAUUUCUCAAGUUUUGGUUGUAAUAUGUUCAGAAUCAAAGUAGUUAAAAGUCAAAUUUUAGUAAAAGAAGAGCAAUCUAUCUUAACUUACCGAACUCUUAGAAUCAAAAAACCAAUUUGAUGACCAACAGCUCUGGGAAACUCCUAAAAUGUUUACGACUUGAAAAUCACAACCAAGGAAAAGUGAGACAGAAACCCAUCAUUUACAAGACUUAUCGAACAAAUCACUAAUCAAAUGGUUCAAGAAGCUUGAUAAAUGCACCUUCAAGAGGCGAUUAAACUUUGGAGCAACUAUUUAUCCCUCUAGAAUCAUAAGCUAGGGAGCUGAUCCCUUUAGCAAUCACAUCUUACAUCCACAAAAGCAGAUAUAUAAAAUCAACAAACUAAACUUCUAGUGUGUAUUUCAUAUUGAUGGGUAACUUGUAGGAAAUGCAAAACAAAAAUUAAUGAAUACCAGCUAUAAAAAUCUAAUCUAUGUUCAUCUCAGGGAGAGACACAAAAAUCUGCCUGCUAAGUGCAGGAGGAAAGAGUGCAGUAGAGAAUUGCUGGUUCAAAGUCUUAUAGAAAAGGUUUCUAGAAUUGCUGCAUGUGGUAUCGAAGGUAAAAUGUCCAAUGCAUUUUCAACAAUGAACUUCAGAGAGAGCAAUCUUUUCAUCCUGGUGGAAUCACAAGUUUAAAGAGAGUGCACCGAUGUUAGCAAUCAUGACGCAUAAAGGAGAGUAACUGACAUGCAUGAUAGACAAAACUAAAUUCUUAAAUUCCACCCACAUUAGUGCAUUUGUUUCAGUGCUGGUUCAUCCAAAACAUGAUUGACAGGUGCCGAACCUGUGCAAUAAUAAAAAUAGAACCUAACAACCACCUGUCAAAGAAUUCAAUACCUCCACCUGUCAAAGAAAUUUGACAGGUGGCUUGCGCUGUGUGGACUGGCGGUGGAGCUUGGCGGUGCUGAGGUGGAGUUGGCUGGAGGGAGGCGCGGCGUCGAUGGGUCAGAAUUGGUGGCACACGAGGUUGAUCGCAGGUGGAGGUGGCCGACAGCAGCGUGGUGGCGUGCAACCUGGCUGAGAGCUGGUGGUGGCCGCGAGCGCGCAGGUGGAGGGCCGGCCAGGACAAGGUCGCGCGAUGGAGGAUCAUGUCGUGGGCUGUGGCGGCGCUGGGGUCGGUUUGGCCACGCGCGGCGAAGUGAGGUCGAGGGAGAGGAGACCGCGCUCGAGGGCUGUGGUGGCGCUGGGGUCGCACGGUGAAAGCGAAGAGAGGCGCGGCGAGCUGGACUGCUGGUCGAGAUGGAGCUUGGCAGAGAGAAGCCGCAAGGGCCGAGCGCGGGAGCAGCUUGGGCUGGCUCACGGGCGGCGUCCAGUGGAAGUCGGCGAUGGAAGAGAAAGGGCUAGCGGCGGCUGGUUGCGUCGGAUGGAGGUGGCCGCGAGCUCUGGAAGAGGAGCCAGCGGCGGCGGCGGACGAACAAAGGAAAAGAAGGAAAAAGGGAAAGCAGGGGCAUCGGAGAAGAAGAAGAAGAAGAAGAAGAAAGAAAGAAAAGAAAAAGAAGAAAAAGAAGAAAAUAGAAAAGGGAAUUUUUUUUUUCCAAAAAUUAUUCCAGCGUAAAUCGUCCAAAUUGGAAAUUGCCCCCUUUUUUUUAAAUAAUUUUUUUUUUGUAAUAAUAAAAUAAAUUUUUUUCUUUUUUUUUCUUUGGAUUGGAAAGAAAAUAAUCUUUUCUUUUUCUUUUGAUGCUAGUAAUAAUAAUAAUAAUAAUACUGAAUAAUUAAUAAAUUUUUUUUUUUUGCAAAAACAUGGUUUGGGUCGUCCAACACCGCGUGGGCAUGCCAAGAUUACAAAACAUCCUCUGACCUCAGGAGACACAAACACCGCGUGGGCACGCCAACCGCGUGGGCACGCCAAGAUUGGUCUUCGUCCUCUGACCUCAGGAGACACAAUUACCGCGAGGGCACGCCAAGAUUUCACUUCCUGGUCACAGUGGAGGAGAUAUUAGCAUUUAUACUACCCAACGGAGAAACGACAAAACGAAAGAAAUAAACAACUAAAAACAAUAAAAUCAAUAUUCGGAUUGCCUCCCAAAAGAGCGUCUUUCUUUAGUGUUUUUGGCUAGACAUAUCCCAUAAUUUGCUUAAACCAAGCAAAUCGGGUCCUCCAAAUGCAUCGUCUCUACCCGUUCAACCGGAGCCCCAUCAUAAUAUGGUUUGAGACGAUAACCAUUCACCACAAAUUUCUUCUCCGUCCUUAGACUCUGGAUCUCCACUGCACCAUAAUCAAAGACAUUAGUUACAACAAAGGGACCGAUCCAACGAGAACGUAACUUACCUGGAAAUAACUUCAAUUUCGAGUGGUACAGUAAAACUUUUUGCCCACAUUCAAACGUCUUCCUAGAGACCUGCCGGUCAUGAAAUAUCUUAUUCUUCUCCUUGUAAAUCACAGCAUUCUCAUAUGCUUCAUUGCGAAUCUCCUCCAAUUCUUGUAAUUGUAACUUCCUUUGACUUCCGCCCUCCUCAAUAUUCAAGUUGCAUUGCUUGACCGCCCAAAAUGCUCUAUGUUCGAACUCGACGGGGAGGUGACAGGGCUUUCCAAAUACCAAACGAUAAGGGGACAUGCCGAUUGGCGUCUUGUACGCCGUUCUAUAUGCCCAUAAGGCAUCUUCAAGUCUCAUACUCCAAUCCUUCCUAUCGGGUCGAACCAUCUUCUCCAAAAUCGACUUGAUCUCCCGAUUUGAUGCCUCUGCCUGACCGUUUGUCUGAGGAUGGUAAGAUGUUGAGACUUUGUGCAAGACACCGUACCUCCUGAAAAGUGCAGCAAUCGUCUUGUUGCAGAAAUGGGUACCCCUAUCACUUACAAUUGCUCGCGGCAUCCCAAAGCGGACAAAAAUAUUAGAUUUUACAAAUUCUGCAACCACUUUGAAAUUAUUAGUACGGGUGGGUUUUGCUCCCACCCAUUUCGAAACAUAGUCUACGGCAAGCAAUAUAUACAGAAAACCAUAAGACGAAGGAAAAGGGCCCAUAAAGUCAAUACCCCAAACGUCAAAAAUCUCAACAAAAAUCAUUGGGGUUUGGAUCAUUUGAUCCCUACGAGAAAUAUUACAUACUCGUUGACACUUAUCACAUGACUUACAAAACAAGUAGGCAUCCUUAAAGAGGGUCGGCCAAUAGAAUCCACUCUCUAGAACCUUACGAGCCGUCCUCUUUGGUCCAAAGUGAUCUCCACAUGCAAAAGAGUGACAAUAAACUACAAUAGAUUUGAAUUCAUUUUCACUUACACAUCUACGAAUGAUUUGGUCGGCACCAUGUUUCCAAAGAUAGGGAUCAUCCCAGACAUAGUCCUUUGCAUUGCUUUUUAGUUUGUCCCUUUUCGCCUUGGGCCAACCUGCGGGCAAUUUGUCAGUAACCAAAUAAUUCACAAUAUCUGCAAACCAAUGAGGGGAUGAAUUAAUAGAAAGUAAAUGUUCCUCAGGAAAAGACUCCCUUAAUGGUAAUUCCUCCUCCGCUACCAGUAUUCGACUUAGGUGGUCAGCUACUAGAUUCUCUGCUCCUUUUUUAUCUCUGAUUUUCAAGUCAAAUUCCUGCAGGACCAAUAUCCAUCUUAUCAAACGGGGUUUAGCGUCCUUCUUGGUCAGCAAAUACCUCAAAGCUGCAUGGUCAGAUUACACAAUUACUUUAGCACCUAGCAAAUAAGGUCUAAACUUUUCUAAAGCAAAAACAACAGCUAAGAGUUCUUUCUCCGUAGUGGAGUAAUUUAGUUGGGCGCCAUUUAAAGCUCUAGAGGAGUAAUAUAUUGCGUGCGCCGCUUUCUCCACCCUUUGUCCCAAAACUGCUCCCACGGAGUGGUCGUUGGCAUCACACAUAAUUUCGAAUGGGAGAUUCCAAUCAGGGGGUUGGAUGACAGGUGAAGAAGUGAGUAGUUUUUUCAACUUCUCGAACGCUUCUUUGCACUCCUCGUUGAAUUCAAAACUGACAUCCUUUUGCAAAAGCCUGAAAAGUGGUGCCCCGAUCUUUGAGAAAUUCUUGAUAAAUCUGCGAUAGAAACCUGCAUGUCCUAGAAAAGAACGAACUUCCCGUACAGUUACGGGGUAAGGUAAAGCAGAUAUCACAUCUAUUUUAGCUUUAUCAACCUCAAUUCCUCUAGACGACACUACAUGUCCUAGAACUAUCCCGUGCUCAACCAUAAAGUGGCAUUUUUUCCAAUUGAGCACUAAGUUAGUCUCAAUGCAUUUUUUUAAAAUCAAUGUCAGGUUAUCUAAGCAAUCGUCAAAACUAUCACCAUAGACACUGAAGUCAUCCAUGAAUACCUCGAUUAUUCUCUCCACAUACUCAGAAAAAAUGCUAAUCAUGCACCUCUGAAAUGUUGCAGGGGCAUUGCACAAUCCAAAUGGCAUUCUUCGAUAGGCAAAAGUGCCAAAGGGGCAAGUGAAAGUUGUUUUCUUUUGAUCCUCUGGUGCAAUUGCUAUCUGAAAAUAACCAGAGAAACCAUCUAAAAAACAAUAAUAGGCACGACAAGCUAACCUUUCAACCAUUUGAUCGAUGAAUGGAUGAGGAAAAUGAUCCUUCUUGGUCACCGCGUUCAAUUUGCGGUAAUCGAUGCACUGGCGCCAACCCGUAGGCUUUCGAAUUGGAACGAGGUCCCCUUCAUGAUUUUCUUCCACAGUUACUCCUGCUUUCUUUGGCACCACUUGGACUGGACUCACCCAUGGGUUAUCUGAGAUAGAAAAAAUAAUUCCUACGUCCAGAAGCUUGAUUACCUCUUUCUUGACCACUUCCAUCAUGAUGGGGUUCAAUCUCCUUUGUGGUUGUCUUAUCGGCCUAGCAUCCUCUUCCAGGCGAAUUCGAUGCAUGCACACGGAGGGGCUUAUACCCUUUAUGUCCGCAAUUGUCCAACCUAUAGCUUCCUUAUGCUCCCUUAAAACCCGUAGCAGCUUAUCCUCCUCCCUGGGUGAUAAUUUGGAUGGGAUUAUCACUGGUAACGUCUCUUUUUCACCUAGAUAGGCAUACUUUAAAUGCUCGGGCAGAGGUUUUAACUCCACUUCAGGUGCCUGCAUGAUAGAAGGUAAUAGCUUUAGGUGUGGUUCAGGCACAAACAUAGGAGCGACAUCAUACCUUAGAAAACUUUGGCCUAGUGAAUGCAAGGCUCCAACCAUUCUUUGCAAACUGACACCUAACUCCAUUUCACAGGUUGCUUCCAGAUCCAAAUGUUUGGUGAUUGCUAUCUCCAAUUCAUCCCUGCUAUUAAUCUCAAAUACUUCUUGCACCAAAGGGUCAAUUACACUCACAGCAAAAAUAGCAUUAGAAUGACACGGAUAUUUCAUGGCCUCAAAAAUACUAAAAUGAACUAUUUUUCCAUCAAAUUCCAUCGUUAGGGUGCCCUCACUAACAUCAAUUUUUGUACGAGCCGUGCUCAAGAAAGGCCUCCCCAACAAAAUUGGUGAUGGAUUUGGAGAACGUUCAUCACCCAUAUCAAGAAUAUAAAAAUCAGCGGGGAACACUAAAUUGUUCACUUGCACUAACACAUCUUCUAUCACUCCAUCGGGAUAAGCAUUAGUCCUAUCAGCCAAUUGAAUUAUAAUGCCAGUUUCCUUUAAGUGACCCAAAUUUAGAGAAGCAUAAAUAGCCUUGGGCAUCACAUUUAUAGAGGCUCCUAGAUCUAACAUGGCAUUCCUAAUGCUAGUGUUCCCUAUUUUACAAGGCAUAGUGAACAUACUUGGGUCUCCAUAUUUAGGCGGAAGUUUUCUUUGAUGCACUGCAGAUACGUUCUCUCCCACAAUUAUCCUUUCAUCUCCCCUCAAUUUCUUCCUAUUGAUGCAUAGGUCCUUCAAAAAUUUGGCAUACCGGGGUACUUGCUUAAUUGCGUCAAGUAAGGGGAUAUUUAUCUCCACCUUUCUAAACAUCUCCAGAAUUUCCUUUUCCUUGUCUUGCUUUUUAGGCCUUUCCAACCUGCUAGGAAAAGGUGGUGGGUUAGGCUUAACUGGAACCACUGGGGUACGUAUUACCUCUUUAUUUAUGCCGGGCAUUCCUUCUUCCUCAAGCUCCUUCUCAAUGCGGUCCUCAUUCUUGUCCUUCAGAGCCACUGGUGCUGGUCCUUCAACCUCUUUCCCACUCCUGAGGGUCAUUGCACUUACAUUCUUGGGAUUCACCUCAGGUUGGGAUGGAAGUUUUUCCUUUCCCUGGGAGUCCAGUCGGUUGACAAUUGAGGCCAAUUGACUCAUCUGAUUUUCCAAGUUUUGCAUACUUCAUCUCUUGACUGCUGGCCUCAGUGUCCUGCUGAAAUUUCAUAGUAUUAGAGGCUAUGCUCUUAACCAUGUCUUCUAGGGACAUACCCGAGGCAGAGGAGGGUUGGUUCCUUGUUUGAUAUUGUUGCUGGAAGCCCUGCUGUUUAUUAGGGAUGAAAUUUUGUUGCUUAUUUCCCCUAUAGCUCAGAUUUGGAUGAUCCCUCCAACCCGGAUUGUAUGAGUUGGAAUAGGGGUUAUACUGUCUACGUGGCAUGGGCAUGUUACCAGCCAUGUUUGCUUGCUCAGUUCCCUCCUCUUGUAACUGUGGGCACGAGUCAGUGGUAUGACCAAUGUUCGUACAAAUCCCACACACUUUGGCCUGCUGUACAUUUCCUACAGCUAUCUGUCGAACAAAUGAGGUUAAUUCAGAUAACUGCUGUUGAAUGGAAGAUGAACUUACCUCGUUGACCUUUCUUGUAGGAAUAUCCUCCCUCGUACCAAACUGUUGGCAGUUCUCUGCCAUUCGCUCGAUUAGUUCCCAAACCUCUUGGGUAGUCUUAUUCACCAAUGCACCUCCACUCGCUGCAUCAAUGAUAUUUCUAUCGUUCAUCAGUAGCCCCUCGUAGAAGUAGUGAAUCAGCAGUUGAUCACUUAUCUGGUGAUGAGGACAUCGGGUGCGCAGCCUGGUGAACCUCUCCCAAUAUUCAUACAAGGAUUCCCCGUGAAAUUGUUUGAUGCCACAUAUUUCCUUUCGCAAACUAGCAGCUCUGGAUGCAGGGAAAUAUUUCUCAAAAAAAAAUUUCUUCAUCUCUGGCCACGUGGUGAUAAUGCCUGCAGGUAGACAGUAUAAUCAGUCCUUUGCCGAAUCCUUGAGAGAAAAAGGGAAGGCCCUUAAUUUAAUUUGUUCAUCAGUUACUCCCGAAGGCUUCAUACUCGAACACACCACAUCAAAUUCCUGCAUGUGUUUGUGGGGUUCCUCUCCUGGCAGACCAUGAAAAGUAGGUAACAAAUGUAUUAGACCAGGUUUUAAUUCAAAAGCUGCAUUCUCACUAAGGCGAGGAAAAGUUAUGCAAAGAGGUUGUUGGCUCAAGUUUGGAGCAGCCAACUCCCUUAAUGUUUGUGUGUUUGCCAUGGCGACGUUCUCUUGGUACGAAUCACUCGAAUUUUCGCCACGUAAAUCUGUCAACUCAGCCUCUGGAUCUAGUCUUUGAGAUGCCACACUGGAUUGCUCCUCUCUGAGCUGUCUGGUCUCUUUCCUAGUUCGGCGCGCAGUCUUCUCUACUUCAGGAUCGAAAAUUAGUUCGCCUGUACGAGAAGAACGAGGCAUAAACUAGAAAAAUACCAGAAAGAAAGCAAAAACAAAUUAGAUUUAAAAAGGGACAAAUAAAUAACGCCGGUCCCCGGCAACGGUGCCAAAAAUUGACAGGUGUCGAACCUGUGCAAUAAUAAAAAUAGAACCUAACUACCACUAAAAGCAGUCAAAAAUUAAUCCUAGGUACUGGAGCAGGGACUCUAGGUGUGCAAUGGGUUACUUGAUUCAUCCUGUUUCCGAAGAGUUUGCUUAAUCCGAUAUACCAAAAUUAAUUAAUUGACGAAAUUUACUAAAUAGUAGACAGUGGCAAGUAGGGUCGUCUUCUCAGGGACUGGAGAUAUUUGUCUCUUUUAAAUUCCAAUUGGUAAGAGGGGGAUUUCACCGAUAUGCAACUAAAAACAAUUAAACAAUCAUUACUAUAUAAAAAGUAUGAAUGUUGGUAUUUGGGAGUGCAAGUGUAAGCACUUUUUUAUCUUAGUUUUUGUUAUUCCUAAAUUACCCUCAUGUCUUUUAAUUAGAAUUAUUGCAUUUUAAGUGGCACUAAUUAAAAUAAAUAAAACACUUCAAUUGAUUACAUUUUAAUGGUAUUGGUAAAAAGUAUGAAUGUUGGUAUUAGGGAGUGCAAGUGUAAGCACUUUUUUAUCUUAGUUUUUGUUAUUCAUAAAUUACCCUCACGUCUUUUAAUUACAAUUAUUGCAUUUUAAGUGGCACUAAUUAAAAGAAAUAAAACACUUCAAUUGAUUACAUUUUAAUGGUAUUGGUAAUUAUAAUUAAAAAUUACUCAUUAAAAACUAUUUACCUACCCUUGGACUCCAUCUCCUAUUAUUAUAACAUAUCAAAAUUUCUUAAUUGAAGCAUGAAAAAUUUCUCAUUAGUCAUUAGUUGAGAUUGUUAAAAAAAAAUUAAUUUCAAAAAAUAGAUAUUCUCUAGAAAAUGGAGAAACAUACAAUGACAAGAAAAAUCCUUAUUCAUCUAUAUAUCUUCACACAAAUAUCAUGAGUAAAUUUUACAAUUAUGCACUUUUACCAAUAUGAAGAAUUUUUCACGUUGCACCUAAUAAAAUUUCAAUAUACAAAAAAUGAUGACACUUUUAUAAAUAAAAUAGCAGUAUUAAACAAGAAAAAAGAAAUCUAAAAUAGCACCAUACAAACCACUAUUAUCAUUAAUAGCAACCGAUCAAAACAAGAAAAACUAAAAUAAGAUUGAAAACUAUUUAUAAAAUGACAUAAAAUAAAUAGCAAAUGAAUUAAAAAGUUAGAAUACAAUUCAAAUAAUACCAAAGACAACAUCCAAAUCACUGAUAUCCAAGGGAAGACAAACAUUGUUAUUGACAAUAAUAUAGUAAUAUUUCAUUUGUAUUGGUUUGAACAAACCAAAUCCAUCCAUCAAGUCAGAAACCAUCUCCAAUGAUAAAAUAAGAAUUAUAAUAAGAGUAAAUAUAAAAUGAAGAAUGAUAAAAUGAAAAUGAUAUCCAAAUUAUUUUUGGUGAUAUCCAAAAUACCCUUAUUUUUCUAAUGAUUACAUAUAUUUAUUGUAUUGCAAUAUUAGUGACUAAUGGAAGCGGUUAUGAAAUGAAAAACUUUAAAAUUAAGUAAAUUUCAUUUAUGGUGACAAUUGUAAUUAAACAAAUUUAAUGCAUUCCAAUAAUUGAUAAUAAUGAUAGCAGUUAUGGAUUCAAAGUUGGCAAUUAAAAACUAAAACAUUGAAAUAUACAAAAAAUUAAUAUUAAAAUUAUUAAUUAGCCACAAUUCUCAUUCCAAUUUCAUGAUCAUAAAAAAAACUAAUAUUAAAACCAAAAAUAUUGUGCUCAUAUGAAAAAAGUAGACUUGUUGCUCUUGUUUCGCAUUGGAUUGUGCUAAAAACAUGAAUAAAAGAAAAGGAAAAUAGAAAAUCUCCAACUAUCUCUAUCUAUAAAAUUUCAAUUGUUAGAAUGUACAAGCCAAAAAAAAUUUACGUGAUGGAUCAUUUAUACUCCAUUAUUGACAAAAAUAUAAUUAACAUAAUACAAAGAAUUCAAAUUCAAAUUACAUUUAUGUUUAUUUUUCUAACUUAAUUAUAUUCUUCGUUUAUAAAAAAUUGUGAUGAUUGUGGUUUAUAUGCAAUAGAGUCAUGAAUAUACAAUAAUUUUGGUAAAACAUGAUAUUAUCAAUAUUUGGUAUGUUAGAGUUCAAGCUAUAAAUCAAAAAGUGUUUGGUUCAUGAUUUCAAAUUGGGCAUAUUACAUUUUACCCCCCUGUGGUUUAGCAUUUUUUUACAUAACCCCAUAUAGUUUCAAAAGCUAUACAUAACCCACUCAUGGUUUGGAUUAAAGUGCCAAAGUGACGGAAAUAGUCACUCGUUUGGAACUUCUAAAAAUGUCGAAAUUACCCUUAUAAAUACGUGGCACAUUAACCCCGUAUGAUUUUUAUAUUUUACUAUAUAACCCCCUUAUGGUUUAAUACUUUACUAUAUAACCCCCUUAUAAUUUUCAAAAUAUACACAUAACCCCCCUUAGUUAAUAAAUAUUCAACUUUACAUAAGGGUACUUUUAACAUUUUAGGUGACUCCGUUACAAAUGGUCAUUCCCGUCACUUUGACAUUUUAAUCCAAACCAUAAGGGAGUUAUGUAUAACUUUUGAAACCAUAGGAGGAUUAUGUAAAAAAACGUUAAACCACAGGGGGGUAAAGUAGAAUUUGCCCUUUCAAAUUCAAUCUUAAGGGAUAUGUCAACUAUAUUGAAAUGUUUUCCGUCUCUUUUCUUUUAAUAAAAUUUUUAAAAGUAACUAGCUUAAAAAAAUAAAUAACAUAAAAGUACUAUAUUAUGAUGUUGAUCAUCAAAAUUUCAUAAAAAAUUUUAGUAUCUAAAAAAUAAUAUAUUUUAAGAUAUUACAAUCACGUGCAAAGCACGUGAACUAUUACUAGUCCAACUAAAAAUAAAUAAUUAACUAGCACAAAUAUAGCAGGAAUUAAAUCAAGAAUAAAUAAAUUCUAGCCAAGGAUACAACUACUCAGACACAGUCCAUUUAUCCGAUCAUUGAUGCAAGAAAGGUUCACUUAAUUUAUUAAUAGGCUAGUUAUAGUCGUCGAUGAACUCCAACGACUAAUUUUUCCUUAAUUUAUUGAUAACCAAGGUACGACCAUUGAUCACCCCUAACCAGAAAAUACUCUUAGGUACGACCGUAGGAAUCAAUUUCCCAAUUGCAUUAAUAACUAGAAAAACCUAGCCCAAAUCAAUAACACGCUACGAGGGUUAUUUAAAUUAGAUUGCACGUCCCCCUAAUGUGUAAACACACCAGUUGCCACUAAUAUUAAUCAAUCAAACAAUUACGAAUUUAAUUGACUAAAUUGGCACGAGAUUAAUAAAUUACAUUGAACAUCGGGCCCUUGACAUCCAAUUAAUAAAAUAAUCCCAAGAAAAUUCAAGCAGACAACGUGCAAAUAUUAAUAAACUGAGGAACGUGUGAAAACUAAUUAGAUCUCACAGAUUUUCGGGACUGCGCCGUCGAGUUGACCCUUGACUAGAUGGAAGGCUUAGCCACGCCGCAUAAUUAAAUCACCAUACGAAUUAAUGGAUUGCAAAGGCAUUGCGUGUUUACUAGAAAGUAAGGAAUAAAAGAUGUUUUUCCCGUUGGGGAAUAUUGUCGAACACCUGGCGUGUGUCAGAGGUUAGUCAAAAGAAAGAAACUAGAACUAACUAAAAGCUAAAACUCAAAAGCCCCCCUUUUGCUUCUGUACGUUGUCCCUUUUAAAGAGCCAAAAGAAAGAUGACUAAAAGCUAUCUAGGUGGUCCCCACACAUGUGGACAAAGCCUCCAAAUUACUUCUUGUUCCAAGUCUCUCUACGUUGCUUUCUUUGAAGAGCCUAAAUGACUAAAAAUCUUUCACUAGCUUUGUGGUCCCCCACCAAUUCAAGGGCCCAAGGAUUGAAGCCCUUAGAAGUCUCCAUUUUCUCCAUAAAGUCCCUCCUUUUUGGUAGUUUUCUGUUUCAUUCCUGAAAUUAAGUCCAGAUACCAAAUAUAAGUAGAUAUCAACAAUUAACGCAAUAUUGGGCAGGGAUAAAAGGGGAAAUUGAUAAUAAAAUUACUAACAAAUGAUACCCUAUCAAUGAUUCAGUUAACCCAAGAAAAUCUCGCUCAUUUUGGUCACUGAAACAAAUAUGCAACAAAAGCUUUGAUGGUAAAGGUUAUGAAAUAUUUUGCUUAUUCAUGAUAAUAUUUACCUAUAACUUUCAAUCGUGAUAAAGAGGAAGAAAGGGCCGACUCUGCAUCCAACUUGGCACUUGGCAUACCUACUCUGUUGUUGUUCCAAUAAUCAGUUGAUAUACUUUCAAGGCAAGAAAGACUUUCAAAAGUAAAGUCAUCCCAAACAAAACUCAGACUCAGGACUUCACAUAGCAAAUCACGAGGCGAACAGGAAAUUGCAUGACAUUUUUGUUUAGUCAAUUAUUCAGAAAGCUAAAUCAGUAUCUGUUUGUUUUUGUUGUUCAUUUCUAACCUAAAUCAGUAAGCAGAUAUCAAAUCUUUCUAUUCAGUCCACAAGUACCAGAAGUAUCAUAGAAACUAUAUUGGUUUUUGUUCAAAACACUGAAAAAAAAGAAAGUUCUAUAACAAUAAUGACUGGCAUCCACAAGCAUGAGAGGCAGAGAGCCCCAGAAUUGCCUUGAAAGCGAACUCUUUGAGACUGCAAGAUGCAACAGGUAGAGCUAAUCACAACUAUUUUACUCUUAAAAUCUCAUAUCAUCGCAUUUGAACUUAAGACUUCAGUAGAGGAUGGUCUACCAAGUCUCUGCUGCUUGAAAACAUCUUAAACGCGCGUGACAAUUUUUUAAGCUUUUAGCUAAUGCAUUGGUUAUUAAAGUGCUUAAAACCCAACAAUAAGUAAUGGAAGAAGAUUGUUGGUAUUAUAAAUUAUCAGACCACCAAUCCCACAACCAAGGACAGUGAGAGUAACUCGAUUGACCAUUGGAUUUAGGUCAAGAGAUCAUAGCUGAAGAAAGUAGAAUCCCAUCAUUUAAGAGACAUAAUAAGAAUACCAAUAAUCAGAUAAUUUGGAGCAAGAUGAUAAAUACAUUUCCAAGAGAUGGAAGUUCAGAGCAAGCAUUUCCAUCCCGGUAGAAUCUCAAGUUUAAAGAGAAUUAGCUCCUUUCAGCAAUCAUGAUAUACAACUGGAAGUAGCAGACAUAUGAGAUGAGCAAAAGUAAACAGCUAUUUUUUAUUUAAAACAAAGAAUUUUGUACUGUAGAUGUAAAUACAAAAAGUUUUCAGCUUUGACAUCAUGUUUAACUGUCCACAUCAAAUAAUCUCCUCUUGAACAUCUGUAUUCCAUAAUUGAAUUUAAUAUAUGGUUAGCGAUAUUGUUUUCUUCCCGGAACAACGCUUGUUGAGUUUUUCUGAAUCAGACUGAAAAGGCCAAGAAAAGUUCAACAAAGCAGACAACUGACCUUACUGUUACAUUACUAGACAACAUCUUGGAAGCAGACGUUUUAAACCUUCAGAUAGUUUACAACAAAAUCAUCUUAUUGUACAAUUUCUAUCACCUGAUAUUGGAUAGAUUUAAAAGGAUUUAGUAAUGAUUUUACUGGAGUAUAUUGUCCUGAAGAAACAAAAAACUAGAAAUUGACCCCUAAAAUCUUUGUCCAUCAUUGCCUAUCUAUAAUUUUCUGUGUUCCAUCAAACUUUGAUUUAACAAUCUAUUUCAUGAAUGUAAACGCAUUUUCAUUCUUUUUUAGCAAAUUGAUAACCAAAUGAACUUUUAGAGUGCUUAGUUGGAUGAGGAGCUUUUAGAUUGAAAAUCUCAGGAAGGCAUGUUUGCCUGCAUUACAAUAAAGAUAGAAGAGCAUAUUCCAUGUCAUUUUUGACUAGGAAUCUUACAGAAAGAAAGGUUUUUGUUUUUUUUUUUUGUUACCUUUGUUCUAAAACUAAUGAGCAGGAAAUAAGACUCGAUACUAAGUACAUCUACUAAUCCAUUUACAACAAAUUCGCUAACCUUACAGUACUUCUUGAAAAUUUGCAAGCUCCUCAUUGUCAAUCUGUUUCUUUGAUACAAGCUCUAUCGCCAACCAUACCCCCCAUGAUCAUUAGCAGAAAUUCAUGGUAAUGAUGGCUUUUGAUCAUGAAAGACAUUACAUAAGCUGGGGAAAGAAAUUCUGGUGGGCAAUUUGUAGAGGCCAGCUGACACAGAUAGAGCAUUUUUUCAGGUUUUACACAUUAGGAAGAAAGAAAAGUGUGCUUGUAGUGUGCCAUCCUAAUCAUUUCUGUCCAAUUGAAACAGGAUUUGAUUCAACAAAGUUUUCAAAAGUUACAAGCUGUGUAAUUCAAUCAAUAAGUAAGUGCAAUUGUAGAUUCUAGUUCACAUUUGAGCCUGAAAUCAUUGCAGAACAGAAAACUCGAGUUGAGACAAUAUGUGAACAAGAAAGUUCAGAAAUUUCAGCAAUAAUUUUGUUCUGUCAUUCCUACAAAAGGCUAAAAUAUGCCUUGUUUGUUAUGAAACUAAAUAGAUAAGCAAGUACUAAGUCGUGUUUACAAUUACAGUAGUUUGGUUCCAACCACAAAGCAAGUGAUUACAACUCAUAAAAUGAAAAUAAUAAUGGACAAUUUGUAGUGCGGGCAAAGCAUUUCACAUUGAGGCAUUGAGAAACAAUAGAGCUGUGGGCCACUGAGGCACAAUAGAGAUCCACGUUUAAUUGCUACCAAAACACCAGUUAGUUCUAACCUCUAACUCUGAGCAGUAUGCUAGAGAUGACAAUUUGAGUUCUAAAACAUGUAAAUCAGCUCCUCAUUAUCAUGACUACACAUCACUGAAUCAUUUCGAUAGUUUAAAAGAACCAUACCCCAAUAGAAAUCUCAGACUUUGACCAUCUGAGGCACAGAGGAAAAGAGAAUGCCAUCCUAGAUGUUGCUAUUCAGCCGAAGCAGGAUCUUGUUCUGCAACGAAUUGUAGGACUUUCAAAAAGUAAAGACAGUAGGUAAGAGCCAUCGAUGAGGUUCCCUGUUGAGGUUUGUGCCCAAAAUCACUGCAAAGCACAAAAACUCAAACUGAAGGCGGCAAAUAGCAUAGAAUAAAACUAAUGGAAAUUUUCAGAUAAUUGUAGUUUUUCUGUCAUUGUAAUUGAAGCCCCAGAAGGAGAAACUUACCUUAAAAAAAGAAGCAACCAACAAUCAUAAAAGCAGAGAGAGCUUAAAAGCCUUUAUCAAGGUGGAUUCAUUAACAGUAGCAAGUCGGAACAAGCAGACUUGACCAACUACCGGAAUGCUUCAAAACUUUGCGCUUAGAGUUAAAUUGUGAAAAUAACCACGGGGACUUUUUAGGUUUUCUCACGAGAAGGUUAAUCAGAGGGGGAGAUGAAGAGAAGGUGAUAUUGAUUGUAAAGCGAAUUAAGAAAGUUGGUAGGAGGAAAUCUUACAUGAUUGAAUUUGAUCUGAAGAUGAGUGGUUAAUCAACCUAUGUAUAGGUCUUGAAUGUGAGAAACUUUGGACCACUAGGAGUCGGGGCCGCUGCUCUCAAGAGUGCAUCUUUCUUUUAACAGAGGACAACGAUAAACCUCCAGAGAUUUUAGUUUGGUGAGACUUCUCAUGGCAUCCUCAGAGGGUAAAUGUCGAAGCUCUUUGAAAUCAUAUAAAUACAGGUAUUCAAGAGCAACGAAGUUUCCGAACCAAUCUGGCAGAGCUUUUAUACCUCCGAAGUUACUUAGCGAUAGUGACGUGAGAUUGGUCAAGUAUUGGAUCUGAUGUGGCAGGGACUCCAUGUGUGGCAACCCAACUAAUCCUAAUUCACGGAGUGCGGAUGACGAAGGGGAGGAGGAGGAGGAUAUCAAUCCACACCAAUCAAACUCAUUGUAAAUUGAAGAAUUUUCAUGAUCAUCACCAUCAUCUGAGAAGGGACCAAUUGCAAGCUCCCUUAAGCUGGUUAGAAAACCAAAUCCUUUGGGCGUCAUGCUUGUUUUCAAUUUGGGACACCUGUAUAAUUCCAGCUUCAAGAGAGAAGGCGUUUGUUGCAAAUCAAGCAGAAAGGAGACAAGAUUGCCGCACCAACUCACCUGAAGCUUCUGGAGAGAGGCACAAGAGUGUAGCAAGUCACCGGGCAGAUUCAUCAACCCAUCGCACUCAUCAAUCACCAGCUCUUUAAGAGACGUAAAGUUUUGCAAGGGAAGGAGUUCUCUGCAUCUGUGGCAGCGAUUAAACUCCAAACUCGUUAACUUGGGGAGUGUUGUUGCAAACUCAGGGAGUGUUGUUGUUGUUGUCAAAUCCAUUAACCAUCGAGGAAAUUGAUCGUCCAGAAAAUACCAAAUUACCAACUCCUCCAAAUUCGGGUGGGGUUGAAGGCCAUCCAACACAUCUUUGUCGAUGUAGUCGUGGCCUUCUCGAUCCUGGGCCCACUUAAGUUGCAGCCUAAAUAGAUUUGCCUUUUCAAAUAGUUUUGCUUCCUCAGCUCCUUCCUUAUCCAUUACUAGUUCCAGAUUGCGUAUCUCCAAUUUGCCUUUGAGGUUCUUCAAGCUUCCAAGCUCUCCAAUGCGUCGACCCUUCUCUCGACCCACGUUAAAGAACUCAAGUGUCUGAAGGCAAGUCAGCCGUCCCAUAUUCAGCGGCAUUUGAAAUUCUGUAUCAAAGGUGUAAAAGUGGAGAUGUCUCAAGCUAAUCAAAUUGCACAUCCCCUCUGGAAGAACUUUAACAUUUGAGUUACUUAGCGUCAAUGUUUGCAGAUUGUAAAGCUUGCAAAGGGAGUCCGACAAAAUACUGAUUGGAGAAUACAAAAGGUUAACAUACCGCAAAUGUAUCAAGUUGCCAAUUGAAAUUGGUAAUUUUCCAACUGUUGCAACCAAAACAUACAAGUUCUUCAACUUCAUUAACAUAUCACCAGAAAAGUAAUAAUUUACAAACAAUGUAUGAAGCGAAGUUGAUAGACUCUCCAAAAAUUUUUCUGUAUCUUCUUCAACACCAAAUGAGUCUAUUGUAAGGUAACGAAUCUGAUUACCAUUGUCUACUGUAUGUGUAUCCCUAUCAAUAAUGACUUUGGUAGACUUUGACAUUGACCCUGCAAGGUCGUGCACCAAAUCAUGCAUCCUAUAAGAUGUUAUCAACCGAUCAGUUAUUUCUUCCAACAAUGAACUCUGCAAUAAAAUUCUCAAAUAAUUCAUUCCAAUUUCCUCCAUCGUUUGGUUUUUGACGUCUGCUUGGAGGAAACCUUCUGCCAUCCAAAGUUCGAUAAGCAUAUUCCUUUUUAUCUGACUAUCCUUAUGAAAUAUAGACCAAUGUGCAAAACAUUUCUUAAUGUUUCGAGAUGGCAAAUUAUCAAAACUCAACUUAAGUAUUUGCAUCACACCAUCCUCACCUGCACUCAAACUCGAAAGCCUAUUCUCCAAAAUUGAUCGCCACUCCUCUUUUCUCUUUAAAGAUAACAGACCUCCAAUUACACUUGCAGCCAACGGUAGACCAUCACAUCUUUUGAUUACUCUCUCUUUAAUUGCUUUUAGUUCAUCAGGUUCUUCUUCCCCUCCAACUACUUUUUCUUUUAUGAUAGACCAACAAUGAUCAUCAGGUAGUCUUCCUAAGGCAUAGACUAAUUCAGUUUCCAUCAUCAAAACUCUAGACACACUAUGUGCCACUGGACCUAAACGAGUAGUGACCAGACACCAACUUCCAUUAAUUGGAUUGAGCCCCUUCAAGAUGGUGAAAAAGUCAUUCCACAAUACCUGAUUAUCAUCCCACACAUCAUCAAGGACUAGGAAAUAUCUUUUUCCCCCUAGGUGAUUCCCAAUUUUUCCAACGAUGAGAUUCCUAUCAUCUACUUCAACCUUUUCUUCCGUCAAUUGCACUAAUAUGAGUUUGAAAAGCUCCUCUAUUUGAACUUGUCUUGAUACACAAACCCAAAUUUUUUUGUUAAAGUGUUCAUCAAUUUGCUUGUUGUUGUAUAUGGAUUUAGCCAAAGUUGUUUUGCCUAAACCUCCCAUACCAGUUAUGGGAAGAACAGAAACAACCUUCUCAGACAGGCUCAACAAAAUCUUCACUAUCUCUGAUUCAUCAUCGGCUCUUCCAACCAUUGGAGCAACAACAGAGUCGGUCUGCCGACUUCUCGUGUCUCCAACAGCAGGAGCAGCAGGGAGGGCAGUUGUCAUGACUGCCCUACUGACCAGUCCCAAUCCAUGGGCAUCUUGAUAGAUGCCAUUCAACUUAAGUUUGAUGUCCCUGACCUUAGAAGCCAUUCUCCAACGAAAAGCAAGAUUAAUAUUAGAGCAGGAGAAGAAGCAGCAUACCUUGAGCUUGUGUCGGUUUCGGGACUCCACCUGGUGACGAAGAGAUUCAUAGUGGAGCUCAUCCAACACAUUGUCAGCAUCAUAAGCAACCUCCUCGAGACUAUUCAACCAUCGUUGCACUCCGCUGCUUUGGUUUUGCCUUUCCUCAGCAUCAGCCAGGACAUCUUUGAUAAAGCGGAGAGAACGUGUCAUGCCGGCCACAUCCUUCUUGAACCCAACUAGCAAACCAAUCCUAGUAGAGGCAAGAGACAGUGCCCUUUCCAAGGUGACCUGAAUUGUGGAGCUGAUAAGAGCGUCAGCCAUUUUUUUUUUUUUAAUAAAUGACUUGGAUUCAGUCUUGAGAUCAAGAUGGUUUUUUAAAAUGGGAGGUUUUAGCAGCCAGAAAUUGGUAAUGUUACAAGUGGUUAAAAGGAGAAGAGCAUUGAUAUUUGGUCCGCUUAACAAUGCAGAGUUAUUCUUAACUUGGAUGCCUUCGUUCGCAAAGGAAAUAUAUAUUCCGUGCAUGGCAUCUUCACUUUAAGUUUCUUGGAUGCUUUGAAAUGCUGAGUUAUUCUUAACUUGGAUGCCUUCGUUCGCAAAGGAAAUAUAUAUUCCUUGCUUGGCAUCUUCACUUUAAAUUUCUUGGAUGCUUUGAAAUGGAAAUUCCUGGAUGGGAUUUUCACUUUAACUUUCUUGCUGGGACGGGGCCUUCAUCUUUAUUCGUUAAUCCUUGAAAGAUGAACUAAUUAGAACAUAAUUUCGUUACACCUUAUCCUGUUAGCUUCCACACUAACUCUGUUGGAUUUUGCUUCUUAGCUAGAGACAUAAUUUGUGUCUCAAUACAAAAAUCAAUUAGGCUUCUAAUUAUUUUGUAAUUCAGAAUCUGAUAUCGUUGAGCAUUGAGCCUUUUCAACUUUGCAUAAUUCCUUGCUUGUGUUAAUACCUGUGGCUGUGGUGGAUGAACUUUGGCAAAGAAUAACUUGAAAUGUGGAUUUGCUUCAAACUUAUAUUCUGAAAUGAAGUUCGGCAAUUAAUAGAGGCCUAAACAAUUAUUCAGCCUUACUACUUUACAAAAUUUAUCUAAAAAAUUCAACCACAGUGUGAUGGUGAUUUAUAGAUUGAUUAUCACAUAAACAAACCAACUCAUGCUUGUAAUGCAUAUAAAUGAUAUUUAACCAAAACAUUUGAAUUGAAGAUAAAGAAAAAAAUUUUUGAACUUCAUUAGAAUCGGGAGGUAACAUUUAUGUCCUCCUCCAUCUUAUACUUAUUUUCAAGUGACUUAAUAAAUUUUAACUUUUAUUUGGAAAAAAAAUUUAAGGAGUACAAUUACCCUAAUCAGUGAGAAAUUUCAAGUGGCAUGGCAUAGAUGUUAAAAAUAAAUUUCAACCUGUUGAUCUUGAUCCCUAUCUUUUGAUGUUUACAAAACAAAUGGAUGAUACUAAUAUUUCUUCAAGAUAUACUUUCAGUUUUGAAGUUGUUUGAUUCCAUGAACAAGUGCAAUUGAAAGGCAAAGUUUGCUGAAGCUGUCGGACGUUCAAGAAGUCAGGAUCGGACGUCCGAAAGGAUGAAGAACAUCAAGAAGGAAACUCUGUCGGACGCUCGUGAGGAAGCAUCGGACGUCCGGAAGUAUCGGACGCACGCCUCGGACGCACAUCGAUCGCAUCGGACGUCCGAGAAAUUUCGCAAAGAUUUGAUGACUCUCUGACGACGCUCGGACGCAGGGUUCGGACGUCCGACAGGUGGUUUGGACGCAGGGUUCGGACGUCCGACAGGUGGUUCGGACGUCCGACAGGCCAACGGCUAGUUUUGACAGCAUUUAAUAUUUGACCGUUGGAGAGCCUUUUGGAGCCAUUUCUCACCUUCUAUAAACACCCCAAAGCACAAGAAGACAAUGGACUUUUGCCAACACAAAAUACAAGCUUACAAGUGAGAUUUUUGAGUAGAAAGAUUCUUUGUUGGUUGUAUAAGGGGUUGGGGAAGUUGGGUUGUGAGGUUGCUCAAGUGAAGGUUACUCUCUAGGAGGAGUAAAACCUUGGUGAAGGUGAACCUAUCACUUGAAGUGGUAAAACCUUGGUGAAGGUUGCCUCAUUUGUAUAAAAUAGUUCUUAAUUGGGUGAGUGAUCUUUCAAGUGUAGGUUGUUGAGGGUUAACUAGAAUAGUUGUAAAACUCCUUGGCUCAACCAAAGAGUGUUUGGGGUGAGGAAGGAGUGAGCCUUCACUUGUACAUCUUGGUUAGCAUCGCCAUCUAUUGAAGAGGCUAUUGGAUUGAUAUUUGGUUUGCAUUUCUUAUCUUUUCUCUUUAAUUAAGUUUUCUUUAUUGUGCUUAAAUUUGAUAUAUCUUUGUGCAUCAUUGUGAAAUUGUUUGUACUCAUUGGGUUGUACCAGGCCUUACACAACCAAGAUAAGUAAGUGCUCUGUACAACAAAUCCUUCAGAAAUAAAUAUUUACUGUACUCUCAACUUGGGCAUACCUGCAACUUGCCACCCUGCGCAAGCAUGGUGAACAUCUCCUAGUUUAAUAAGAUCAGAUUAGAAAGAUUGUUUUGUGGAACUACACAAAAUAAUACGAUACAUAAUUAUAUCUCUCACAAUCAUUUGUUUAGGAAGAUUGUAAUCAUGUAGGACUCAAACAGAAGCAUUAGAAAAAUUAGAUUAGAUGACCAGUAUGAGGAAGGGUAUUUUAAGCAUUGCAAAAAAAAAAAAGGAAGAAAUACCAUUAUAUAUAGCUCCAGUCCUUAAAGUUUUGACAAAAACAAAUUUAGUCCUCAAUGUGCAGCACAUGCACAAUUGUAGUCCCUAAAGUUUUUAUAAGAACAACUCUGGUCUCUAAUGUAUCCAAUAUAAAUUAGAUUUAGCAUAAAUGAAUAUUUUUACAUUACUGACAAAAUUUAAAUAUAACAAUAAAGAAAAAAUAGUGGCUAACUUUAAACUACAAUAUUAAGGACUAAUGACUCACGUGCUAACUAAUUAAUUGGUUAAAAAUAUUGUCAAAGUACAAAACUCAAACUAGUCAGAGCAUUUAAUUCAUCAAUUUAGAACUCAUUUUCUUUAUCUAUCCCUACCGACCCUCAGGAAAAAAAAAGAAAAGAAAAGCCCCAACACUUGGUUUUUGUGCAUAAUUAAAUAAAUUUCCUUUUUUCCUAUUUUCUUGGUUAAUUAAUAACUCACGUGUCAUCACAUGAGUUGCUCUUGCUGUUUAAGGUUAUCCGUUGAUUUGCUUCUUUCUUACAAAAUUAAUUUAAAGUACACAUGCAUGACUGAACAUUAUUAGGUUCCAUUAGUAAUUAAAAAAUGUUAGUCAAUUGUCGUAAAUUUGCUUAAAUUCAGAAACUAUUUGGAACCAAAAUUAUUUUUGAUCAAAAUUUUUGCCAAAAAUUGAGGACCAUACUUUUUUUUUUUUUUUUGCUAAAACUUUAGAACUAAAACAGUACAAGUGCAAAACACUAAGGACAAAAACUACAUUUUUUUUUUUGAAAAAUUAAAAGAAACUUCGGAAAACUGGGAAAUGAAUAUCAGUAGUAGGAAGAGGUGAGAUUUAAGUAACUAAAGUUUUGAACCUAGAUGAACAUCCAAUUCCUAUCAUUUCAACCUUAACUAAUUGUCCAAGGCCUAUUCUGCGCAUAAGGGCUCAUCUCAUGAAGAAAAAGCCAAAUUAUUAAAUGCCAAAAAGAAAGAGGAGCCGUGCAAGACUGGUGUAGUUGUUUAUUUUUGGACACUUUUGAGUAGGGGUGUGCAAAGUCGAAAAAUUUCGAUUUCGAAUUGAAUUCGGAAGUUCGGUAAUUCGGAAGUGAAUUCGGUAAUUCCGAUUUCGAAUAUGUCGAAAUCGGAUCGAAUUCGAAAAUAAGAAUUUUGAAAUCGGAAUUACCGAAUUCGAAUUGGGAAUUCGAAAUAGGAAUUCGAAAUUGGAAAUUCGAUAUCGAAUUCGAAUUAAUAUAAUUAAUAUAUUAUAUUCGAAUUAUAUAUAUAUACAUAUAUAUUAUAUAACAUAAAAUAAGUUAAUAACUGAAAUUAAAAUUGAAACCCAAAAACCCUACUCUUUUCAGUUUUCACUUACUCACGCCAGUCACCUUGGCUCUUCCGCCGCCCUCUUCCUCAUCGCCUCUUCCUCCGACUCAGCUUACUCUCUCACUCUCUCAGUUUCACCUUCAUAUUUCUCCCCUUCUUCAAGCCCGACAGAGACAUAAAGUGUUGGCACACGUUCUUCUCUACGAGACUCCCUCGGCAUCUGGAUUCUGGAAGAUACCUCUGCACCGACUGCCGAGAGCGUUCUUCAUCGUGGUGAAGUGGUUGAAAUCUUGGCCAAACUCUUUCCAAAGUAUCUGAUUCCAACAAAGUAAGUUCACUUGCUCAAUCAUUCUGAUUCUAGUCCAAUUCACUGUAACAUUAUUCAUUAUUUUUAGGUAAAAGUAAAACCCAAAAAAGCGAAAGUGGUAAAUCAAAUUUAUGCUGUAGAAAAUUGAUGAGCCCACAAAUUAAUUUGGUGGCCGUUUGACUAAUGUUAAGUGAAAUGGUUUACACCUAAGAUUUUUUUUCACUAGUUCGAAUUAUUCUUUUGAAUAUGCAGAAAUUUAGCUCUUAAAAAAACUUAAAUAAGUUCUUGAAAGUAGGUAAUCUGGACACGAUACCUGAAAAGUGUGCCCAGAUAUGAUUUGGGAGUGUUGGGAGGUUAACUAAGGUAGCGGAGGUCCGAGGAGAAUUGAGACUUGGAAGGUAUAAGUGUCCUGUAGUGUAGUGUUGGUAAAAGUUGUAUUAUACAAGAAGUAUGGUCCAGAUAUGAUUGAAGCUUCAUUUCGACACCUUGCUGUUUCUUUAAGUUGUCAGCUGUGAAAAUCUUAUCAACAUACUUUUUGCACCAAGAAGCAAUUUGUCACACGGUGUGGUGUUGAUUAAUUUGCCAAGUUUUUUAUGCUUGUUGUAAUAUAAAUGCAAAGGCAAAAGUACAAACAUGACUGGGUGCAAAGGAUUCCUCUUUUUUUUUUCUUUUUUUUUGGGGGUUUUGUUUAUCCUGUUGACCAUGGCACAUCUUGUAUCUGGUAGUUAUGGUACCAUACACUUAUAAGAGGUGCUUGGCAAAAAGAAACGGGAGAGAGUGUGUUAGUUAAAAAAUGUAAAAACAUCCUCUAUGACUAUAAAUCCUUUAUAUAAAAUAACUUUUUUUCUUGAAAAGCAUUUAUCUGCAUUGAUUUCACUAUUUUGAUGAGGUUCAGCUGAAGAUAUUUUAGUUGUAUACUGAAUUUAUAAAUCGCAAAACUUUAUAUUUGCUGCUAUGUUUGGCUCCAUCUUCUUACUUUCUAUGCUAAAUUGGAAACAAGUUCUCCAGGAAACUGCAUUAUGUGAUUCAAACUCUCAAUAUUUCUUCAUUUUAUUGUCUAAUCUAUUGCAUAUAUUGGGAAACAUAUCUUCAUUUUAUUUCCAUUUUCUUUUGCAUAUCAGUAAACAUGUCCACUUUUGAGAUAGAAGGUUCAAGUGAUUCAACACCAUCUUCAAGUCCAGCUCCUAUUUCCGGCAGCUGUGAAGAAUCUGGCCUUGGUGUUAAGAAAAAGAGAGGCGAGUACAAGAAAAGGUCACCAGCUUGGGAUCAUUUUCAGCCUCACUAUGUCCAAGGUGUUCGUCAUGGCAUAUGUAAUUACUGUACGAAAAUGAUAGCUGCUGAUCCGAAGUCUAAUGGUACUAGUCCUCUCUUAUCCCAUGUUAAAUCAUGUGAAAUGAAUCCUACAAAUAAGUCUAAGGGGCAAGGUACAUUAUGCUUGGGUGAGGUUGGUGGUCUUGGGGGGGAUGUUAAGAGUGCACUUAUUAGUUGGAAGUAUGACGCUGAUGCAAUUAGAAAAAGCAUUGCUUAUAUGUUGAUUGUUUAUGAAUUGCCAUUCAAACAUGUAGAAGGUAAAGGAUUUCAGCAUGUCAUGAGAACUGCUUGUCCUUCUUUUCAAAUUCCUUCAAGGUGGACAAUUACUAGAGAUUGCUAUCAACUUUAUUUAGAUGAAAAAAUUAAGUUGAAGAAUAUGUUGAGGCGUAGAGCUGUUAGAGUUUGUCUUACCACUGAUUGUUGGACAUCUAUCCAGCGAAUAAAUUAUAUGUGUUUGACAGCUCACUUUAUUGACUGUGAUUGGCAAUUGAACAAAAUAAUUUUAAAUUUUUGUCCAAUUAGUAGUCAUAAAGGGACUGAAAUUGGGAAGAGUAUUGAGAAAUGCUUAUUAGAGUGGGGGAUUGAUGAUAUUUUCACAGUAACAGUUGACAAUGCUGCUUCAAAUGACACGGCUGUGCAAUAUUUGGUUGGAAAAUUGCAAAAUUGGGGUAAAUCUAUAUUAGGAGGAAAGUGGAUUCAUAUAAGAUGUGUAGCUCACAUAAUCAAUUUGAUUGUGAGUGAUGGCCUAAAAAAAUUUGGGGGGUCCGUUGAUUCUAUCCGAACAGCUGUGAGAUACAUUAGGCAAUCACCUUCUCGUUUGAAAAAAUUCAAGGAAUGUGCUGAAAUUGAAAAAAUUGACAGUAAAAGGUUACUAAGUUUAGAUGUGGCAACUAGGUGGAACUCAACCUACUUAAUGUUAGACAGUGCUCAUAGGUUUGAGAGGGCAUUUGAGAGGUUUGAGGAGCAAGAUCCAUAUAUGCUGCAUGAGCUAGAGCACUUGCCAACAAAAAGUGAUUGGGAAAAGGCAAGAUUCUUAACUUUAUUUUUGGAGAACUUUUAUGAUCUCACAGUAAAGGUUUCUGGUUCCAAAUAUGUGACAUCUAAUAAUCUUAUCAAUGAGCUUAGUCACAUUAAUGGCAUCCUAAAGGAAAUGGCAGAAAGUGCUAAUCCCGACUUGUGUGGAAUGGCAAAAAUAAUGAAAGAAAAGUAUGAUAAGUAUUGGGGAAGAUUGGAGAAAAUGAACAUGUUGAUUUUCAUUGCUUACAUGCUUGAUCCUAGGACAAAGUUUGAGUACUUUGAAUUCAUUGCUUGUAAAAUGUAUGGUGAUACCGAAGGUGCUGUUGUGGCUCAUGUAGCCAAGGAUGCAAUGUAUGAAUUGUUUAAUGAUUACAAGAGACUCAAUACUCCUGCUGGAUCUUCUCAAUCCUCUAUUUCUUCACUUUCUAGUGGAUCUGAAAAUAGCAUCUCUUCCUCUGAUGGAGAAGUCUCCAAAAAAAUAAAUGAUAGAUACAGAAUUGAGUUCAAGAAAAGAAAAGUUGAACUUGGAGGAAAGAAUGCUAAAUCUGAACUUGACAAAUAUUUGAGUGAGGAUUGUGAGGAUGAGGAUCCCGAGUUCGGUAUCUUGAAUUGGUGGAAAGGUAAUAGUCUUCGGUUGCCAAUACUUUCGCAAAUGGCUCGUGAUGUGUUGGCUGUCCCGGUCUCUACGGUUGCUUCCGAAUCUGCCUUUAGUACCGGAGGACGUGUUCUUGACCCAUUCAGAAGCUCUUUAACUCCAAGGAUUGUGCAAGCCUUGAUUUGUGCUCAAGACUGGUUUCGGGCAUCCGAAAAUGAGUUGAAUGUAGAAGAAAAAUUGGAGGAUCUUGAGGAAUUUGAAUCUGGUAAAUUAUCUUCGUUUUUAUUGACAAACUUGAAAUAUUUUUUCUAUUCAUAAAUGCAAUUAAGCUACUUCAUUAUUUUUUUCUUUCUUGAAUAAUAGGUUUGAUCAAAGGAGGUGCAGAAGCCACAAUUGUUGAUGUUUGAAUUCUCUAAUGGUGAUUCUGAUUUGGUGCUCAUAGAAAUUCAAGUUUGAAAUGUUGUCAAACUGAAAUGUUGUCUUAUUUGUUUGAAAGGCACUUUGGUUACAUUUGUAUAACAGUAUAAGUAUUCUCGUAUGAAAGACUGGAAUUGUUUGAUAAUAGUUGAUUUGUAUUAUUUACUGGAAUUGUUUUGUAUUUCAAAUUUGGACUGGAAUGGUUGUAUAAGUAUUCUCGUAUGAAGUGGUAGAGUUCUUGUGAUUUAUGGUAUUGAAUAGGCACUCUAGAAUGUGGAGUUGAAUGUGGAAUUGUUAUUCAGCUUCAUCCUUUCCUCUUGAAUUUGAGACAGCUGACCUGUGGAAUGUGGAAUCCAAGGGGACUGCAUUUACUUUGAACAGAUUUUCUGUUUUUGAUUUGUUAUUAUCCUUAUGACUGUUUCAUUGUGGGUCUUGAACGAAUUUCAUUUCAUUCCAAGUCACAAAAUUGAAACUUUAAUUAGAUUGAAGAACUUUUUUGGUAGAUGGUCUGUUGUUUCCUUGAUUUGUGGUUUAUAGUAUCUACAAAUGCUUUGAGUUGCUUUGUUCAAAGCAUAUCCUAAGCUUUAUUUGGCUUUUUGAUUGUUUGGCCUAUUUUUAAGUUGAUUAGUCGUGGAAUAUGUGCUGAAGGUGUUCUAUGACUUUAUUCUGGUUAACAACCUGUUUUGGUUUGGAGGAGGAACGGCUUUCAAAUCUCCUAUUAAAUAGAGGCGAAAUUAAGUUUCUUGCAAGAAAGGAGAGGGCAAAAAAAAAUAAUAAUAAUAAUAAUAAUUCGGUGAAUUCGGAAUUUACCGAAUUCCGAAUUCAAUUCGGUAUCGAAUUCGAAUUCGGAAUUCGCCAUUACGAAAUCGAAUUCGUUCGGUGAAAUUGAAGCCAAAUUUUUGAAAAAUUCCGAAUUCAAACUUCCGAAUUACCGAAUUCGAAUUCGAUGCACACCCCUACUUUUGAGGUUUUUUGCCGUGCAAAUAAUUACCCAAGUCCCUUAAUAAUUUUGUACUUUCUUUUCAAUCAUGUGCACCGAGCGUGCCAGUAGACACCCAAAAUUCCUGCCUAAAGGUAAAUGCCACCCACAUAGGUAUCAUUUCUGGGCAUUAAUGUGAUUUCUUUCAGUUUUUGGACUAAUCUUUGUGUUAAACAUUUUAUACAGUCAUCCUUAGUGAGCAAAGUGUGUAUAUCUUAAGCUCAAAAGCAUAAAGUGUUGCAUCUCAAUCCCAAGUUCAAGAGUGUAAAAUGUAGUUAGCCCUUAAAUUCAGUCAUCAUUCUCUUAGAAUCUUCUUGGUCAGCUUCUCAAAGCAUAAAGAAGCAGGGCCAAGAAUCAGAACAAAGAACACACGAGAUUUUUCUUUGCUAAAAUAUUUGAGAAGGUUGGGCCGUAGCUCAUAAAUCCUCAAUCAGAUAUGCUACAACUGCUUUCAAUUGAAGAUCAGAGGAGAAGUUUUACUUGUUCUUACGCCUAACUUCAGCAUUAAUACAGAUCUAGAGUCAUCACUAGAAGUAAGAAAUUCAAAGAAAUAUAACAAAACAUAUUAAUCCGAUAUUUACUACGGGCACUCGUUGACAUACUUAAAUUAAGAACAACUUAUUAUGUUAAUACACACAAUCACAAUUAAUGUACUCCUUGUAUUAUAUGCUUUUUCGUAUUAACUACAUUUUUUUAAAAGACUAACGCAGAAAACAACUCUAAAUGAGUGUCAAAUUGGGCACCCAUUAGCCAAAGUAGGUUAUGCCAAUUAAGUUAUACCAAAAUGCGAGCAACUUCAAGCCUUCAGUUAAUAAUGGGUGAAUGUGGAAAGGCUUCAUCAAACAUGAUUUUUUUUUUUUGAUAACAAGACAAUUUCAUUUUAAUAUUUGUACUAAUGGCAGCAAAUACAUCAAACAUGGCACAGAUUUAUAUAGAUCUGAAAAUCAAAUAAUAUAACAGAUUUAAAAAUAUAUAAAUUUGACCUUAACGUUGAAAUUCCAAGAAUAUCUUCCAUCAAAUAAAUGUCAGUACAAUUCAACGAAUCUAUAUCCAUGUCUUUCGAUAGCUGAAUAGUCAGAUCUGAUAAAAACUACUUCAAGUCUAAAGAAAAAUUUAGAUCUGACUUCUAGAUUUAAUUAGAGGAGAUUUGGAGAGAAGGAAGAGAAAAAUGAGUUCUAGAGUGAAAAGGAAAAGAGCUUUUGUAAUAUCCGCAUGAAUUAGUACCAUUCAAACCCAAAAUCUUAUGACCCAAAAUGAUGGCGUCUUCAAAAUUUUAGAAAUGGAUGGAGUGCUUGAUCUACUUCUUCAUUUGUGCAUAUAUGAUAUUUCUGCCCAUGGCGCCAGCCUAUAUAUGUCAAGUAAUUCCGUGCGGUGGCUGCUUGCGGUGCACAGGAGCGGUUAUCUGGAGAAGAUGAUAUGAGAAAAGAUGAUCAUACCCUGUGAUUUGGUGUUUUACUACAUAACCCUUCUAUAGUUUAAUAAUUUAUAUAUAAUCCCUUCAUAAUUUGGAUUAAAGUUUUGCCAUUAUUUUUUUCCGUUAAAACUAACAGUCAAUAGCAAAAAUCAAGGUCAAACUAAUAAAUAGACAAAUUCACCUUUUCACUACAUUUUUUUCCUUUCUUUCUUUUUCUCUUUUCUUUUCUUUCUUUCGCUCUCUUUUUUUUUGGAAGAGAAGAGAUGAUUUAAAAUCUGUACUUUGGCCUAUAAAAUCUUAAUUUUCUCCGGAUGCAAAAAAAAGAAGGGAAAUGAAAAAUAAAUAAAUAAGAAAUAGAAAAGAUGGAAGGAAAGUGAAAAAAUUAAAUUAAUAAGAAACCAAAAAUGGAAGGGAAAUAUAAAUCAAAUAAAUAAGAAACAAAAGAUACCAAAUCUUUAUUGAAUGCAAAUACCAUUAUAGGCUUUUAGACCAAAUCUUUUAUGGUAUUUUCUAUUUAUUAUUUAUCUAUUUUUACUUAAAUUUAUUUGGAGGAAAAAAAGGAAAGUAGUGAAAGAGUAAUUUUGUCAAUGUAUUAUUUUGAUUUUGAUUAUUUUACUACUGAUAGCUAGUUUAAUAGAAAAACUAACGGUGACGCGUUAAGUCAAAUCAUGAGAAUGUUAUAUAUAGGUAUAUUAAGUCAAGCCAUGAGGGCAAAAGGUAAUUUAUCCUAAUUAGUAUUUUGUUUGCUUAAAAUCUUUGAGAAUUUGGUCAAAGCCAAGAGACCACAAAGUGAUCAUUUCCAUACUAAGAAUAUGUGUACUGGAUGUCCACCUCAAUACUCAGACUCGGUCAUACAUCAUGUAAUUGGCCACGAAUUGGAUUCUUUUCUUUGCAUUUUAACAUGUGAAAAUUGUUCAAAUAUUCUCUCAUACUUUAGGAAGUCUUCUAAAGCAUCAAUGAUACUUGAAAGAAGGAAUUUAACAACUCAUACCUUAGAACGUACUCUUCUAUUAGCCUCCUACCCCAUUUAUAAUUAGUUUUCGCACUCAAUAUGUCUUGGUUAUGUUUCAUGUGCAAGAUUAAGUGUUGAAAAAAGUUUGAAGAGUUUGUUUAACCAAAGUACAAUGUGCUUUUCCCAGGGAAGUUGCAUGGCCUGUUACUGCAAAAUAAUUUCCCAGGUCAAUGCUGGGAUUCCCAUUUUUAUUUUAUUUUUUUGAAGUGGCUUGUUUGUGUUGUCAUCCUGCACUUGGUUUUGUGAAUUGGAUUUUCACUCUUGGCUAGCUUGUUCAAACUUCCAAGUUUCUUAAACACAAGUACCUCCCGGAAUAGAGAAAAUACCAAAUUGAGGGCCGACUUCUACUUUGUGUAUUAUCAGCUAUCAGGUUUGGUUAGGCAGAGCCAAAGAAGAAGGAAGAUUUACAGCAACUAGUAGGCAUUGUUCUGAAGUCGCGGAUUAAAAUGCAUACACAGAGUCAUGCCAGUAAAGAGAGAGCAUUGGCAAUCAAAUAUCAGAGGGUAAAUUACACACAAUCCCCUUGUAGUUUUGAAUAAUACCACAUUUCAAAAUAGUCAUGCAAAGCAAUAAGACGUUCAAUUCCACUAUAUAUAUGGCUAUAAGUGAUGUCCUGAAUCGAAAAAUGAUGGAGGAAACUGGACUGCGACGUGGAUUGAUGAGAAUCAAAUGCGUGAUAAUUGUUGAUUUCUUGCAAAAUCUUGUACAUUUGGUUACUUGAAACAGGACAUUGAUAAACAUCAAAUGAAAACGCGAAUCCAACAAACAAGGCUUGAUAAGCUGUGAUUAAAAAUGCCAUAUCAACUAGAGUUUACUGGCCCCCGCAUAAAUGGUCUAGCGGUAGCGCCUCUCACAGGUGACCCUUAAGGUCCCGAGUUCGAGUCUCCGCUCCGCUGGAUUCCUCCGCGCACUUAUCGCGUUCGGGUCGGGUUUGAUUCCUUUAUAUUGGGUCAUGGUUAUUUAAGGAGCAUGUAUGAUAGUUGUGUUUACUCCCGGAAGUUAAAUGAUGGUUCUUUCAUUUACUUAUUGUUAUAUGUUGAUGACAUGCUCAUUGCUGCCAAGAAUUUAUCAGAAAUUCACACUUUGAAACUUCAGUUAAAUAGUAAAUUUGAAAUGAAAGAUUUGGGAGUAGCUAAAAAAAUUCUUGGUAUGGAUAUUAAGCGAGAUCGAGGAGUAGGGAAAUUGUUCUUGACCCAGAAAAAUUAUCUUGAAAAAGUCUUGGAGCGUUUUGGCAUGAAAGAUGCUAAACCAGUAUCUACUCCUCUUGCUAGCCAUUUUCGACUAUCUGCUGCUCAAUCACCAAAAUCAGAUGAAGAGGAAGAUUAUAUGGCACGGGUUCCUUAUUCCAGUGUAGUCGGCAGUAUUAUGUAUGCAAUGGUUUGUACUCGUCCAGAUAUUGCACAAGCAGUCAGUGUUGUUAGCAGAUAUAUGUCUUGUCCCGGAAAAACACAUUGGCAGGCUGUGAAGUGGAUUCUCAGAUACUUGCGAGGUACUUCAAAUGCAUGUUUGGAGUUUGGAAGAAAUAAUAACACUUUGGUUGGUUUUGUAGACUCAGACUACGCUGGGGAUCUUGACAGGAGAAGAUCACUUUCAGGCUAUGUAUUUUGCAUUGGCGGUUGUGCUGUUAGUUGGAAAGCUACUCUACAACCUGUCGUAGCUUUGUCUACUACAGAAGCAGCAUAUAUGGCUGUGACCGAGGCAGUCAAAGAAGCCUUGUGGUUGAAGAGUUUAUUUAGCGAGCUUAGUCUACAUCAAGGUGUUACUGUUAUUCACUGUGAUAGUCAAAGUGCCAUACACUUGACUAAAGAUCAGAUGUAUCAUGAGAGGACGAAGCAUAUUGAUGUGAAAUAUCACUUCAUUCGGGAUAUCAUUGCUGAAGAAAGGUCCUUGUUCGGAAAAUCAAUACUAAGGACAAUCCUGCCGAUAUGUUUACGAAACCUCUUCCAGUUUACAAGUUCAAGCAGUGCUUGGACUUGGUUGGUGUUCGUUGUUUGUGAUUUAAGUCCAUUGGGGCUUAUGUGGAGAAGGUGGAGCAGUUUUUUGGUGGGACUUAAAAUUAUGCCAAGGUGGAGAUUUGUUGAGCCGCAAUUGUUGACGCCCACAAUGGUGGAAUUUGGUGGCAAAAUUUCCUCAUCCCACAUCGCCUAAAGUAGAAGGAAAGCCUCCCAAAUACAACUAUAAAUAGGGGGCUCAUAUGAAGGAAUUGAUUGCACCACUCAAGAGAGUUAUAUGGACUAUUAGCUUCUUGAGUCAUCUAGCCCAUUUAGUCAAAUAUUUUAGACUCUCUUGUAUUGUGUUUAGGAAUAUUUCCUAAACCUUUUAUAAGUGCCUUUUGGCCUAGGAACCACUUUCUUACGGCUUUUGUAUUUCUUCUUCAAAGUCGAAAUAUUGCUCCUUCUCUGCCCGUGGACGUAGGUCAAUUUGACCGAACCACGUAAAUCUUCUGUGUCUUUUAUUUGCUUUAUUAUUUGUCUUUAUUGGGUUGCCACAACUCUUUUAUAUGGCCGGUUUUACCGCCUAAUUAUUAUAUGGCUGGUGUCUACCGCCUAAUCUUUAUAUGGUCGGUUAUACCGCCUAAUUUGUGCUAACUUUAGUUUGUUUAUUCCUGGGCCAGUCCUAACAAUAAUUUCUUCUUGUUAAUUUGCAACCUAACCUUUUAACUUUUUGACUAUCUUUCCAUUUCAAAAAAAUUAGAGAUCCUUGAUAUUCGUAGUUGUCUUGACCUAUUCAAUUUCCUUCCUCCAUUUUAUAAUUAGUUUGCAUGCAUUUUAAUGGUGAUUUAUCCACAAUUUGUAUAGAAUACACCAAGGGCUGUCAAUCCGUCUUUGAGCUUGGGGUUGCUUGAUUAAUUUUAAAAAAAAAUCUUAGGUCGAAUGAACUUUAGCAAAGAAUAAUUUGAAGUAUGCAUUUGCAACCCCGUUAAAAAUUUACCUUAAUAACUUUUGCAAGGUCAUUGGAAACACACUUUGAAGGUACUUGACAUUACCCUAUUUUUAAAUAAAAUCAUUAGACAUUAGACAAUAUAGAGGCAAGAAUUAUUAAAGAUAGAUAUUUAAGAGCUACUUUGAAAACAUCAAAAAUACACUUUGAAGGUACUUGAGGAAAACCUUUUUUUUUAAAAAAAAAUAAAUCAUUAGCAUUAGAAAAUUAAGAUGCAAGAAUUAUUAAAAAUAGAAAUAUUAAAAAAUCUACCUCAUGUUUGUUUUAGGAUAAAUUUUGUGCACACAGACAGUGUAUAUAUAAGCGGGACUAAAUGCAUGCUACCUUUAUUGUGGAAGCAAUAAGUACAUCAACCAUUCUUUUUGUUCCUUGGAUACGUUUUGUAGUGGAAGACGUUGCUACUUGGAUCUGAGCCUCACAAUUUAUGUUUCGUAUGAUUUCGUACAAGUUGAUCUUUGAUGUAAAUUAGUCAAAUUUCGGUAUGAGUCAGGUCCAAUUUAAUAUAAAUCAGGUGCAGUUUAGUGUAUAUUAAUUUGAUGUUAUUUGGUGUAAAUUAGAUACAUUUGGAUAUAAGUUGAUUAUUAUCAUUUAGCAUAAGUUAAGGUCAAUUUAAUGUAAAUUGAGAGUAAAUUGUUAAAUUUUACACCAAUUUAUGCAUAAUGCAACUUGUGAGGCCCUAUUUCCUGCUUAGAAUUUUCACUUGAAGUCUUCAAUACUUGUCGUUGCUCGGCCUUUGAUGAGCGCGGGGUAUACAAAUAACAUUUAAUUUAUCCACAGUCAAGUUUUAUAUUUAUUAUAUUCUAAAUGCCCCGCACGUAAUUUUUCUGCAAGUAUACAGGUUGUGAGCAAGUACAGGGUAUUAAGGGCCGAACCCACAAGGAAAAUUUUUAAUUACCAUUGAUUUUCGAACUCCUUUAGUAUUUAGACUGUCAUAAGUGCAAGAAAUUGAAUCUACACUAUAAACAUGAAAUAAAAGUAAUAAAAAUACAUUAGAAAGCUUCUAGAGGAAUGGAAUUCCUUUCUACUCUUACAAAUGAAAUUACCAGUUAAGUGAAUGCUAUUAUCUUGGCUAGUUAUGGUGUAAUUUCUUAAUGUAUGUGAAACCUACUCUCUUAGUGAAUCAACUAUACUUGUAGAUAAGUCAUACAUACUUUCGUGGUUAUGAAAUCAACUACAAGGUCAUUUCUUCUACGAAAUUACAUGAACAAAACACUAAAGCCACAAAGGUGCACCUCUAUUCUCGUAAGUGUACUCCCUAGAUUUAUCACUAUAGCUUUCUUGAAUUAGUGUUAAAUUUCAAUUCUUAUUGCAAACUUAACACCUUAAAAUUUCACAAUUAAUGGCUAGUUAAUCAUGAUUAGAUAAGCAAAAGUAAUAAAUAACUUGCUCAAUAUAACAUCAUCAAAUAACCAAUUAAAUAUCACAAGUAAAAUAUAGAAAGUUCAUCCAUAACUCUAGGCAUAAACUUUAGAAACACAUAUAAAAACACAAAUCCAAACUUGUAUUAUAGAUAAACAUGAACUCAAAUACAAAAGAGAAUUCACUCUUGUCACAUGAGUUCCAACUCCCCAUUUUUGCUCCUCCAAUUUUCAUUUAAGUCUAACUACAAAUACAAGAAGGAAAAGCUAUACUAACUAUACUAUACUACUCUAACUAAUGAACUACGGAAAUUCUAGUGAAGACUACAUUUUUGUGGAGUUUCUCUAGCCUUCCAAAAUUAUGAAAAUGUUCCCCAAAGACUGCUGUUUAUAGAGAAUUCAAGCUCAAGGUGAGUUGUUUCUUGGUUGAUAAAGUUGGCUUUUGAACUCAACAAGAGUUAUUCUCCAAGUUUCCACACUCUUCUUGGUCAGAUAGAGCCAAAAUUCUGAGUUGUAGAUGAGUUGGAAAGGUUGUGUGAAUGCAAAACAAGUUGCAGAGCAAGUUGUAGCAGAAAAACUAGAAUACGUGACCUCAAAUACAUGAUCUUAGGUCGCGUAUUUCACCUCACAUUUUCUCCAUUACAGGUUUGCACUUUCUGGGCAAAAUUCAUCCUCACUCUAUUUUUGUACCAACUUCAACUGACAAUUUCUUGAUGAUGGAGGCUGAACUAGUUCUUGUGAAAAAUAUGAAAGUUGUAGCCCUUUGAGUUAGCUUUCCAAUGCAUCAAUAAUCAUCCAAUUUUCAGCUUUGUGGACUCAGAAAUGGACAAAAUACCCUCAACUGGUCAAUCCCCUGUUUCAACUUUCGACAAUGAAAUUUUGCUUCUGUAUUUCAACUUUUUGACAAUGAAAACGACUAAACUGGACUUCAAUGUCUUCAUAACAAAUGUAGGUCUAUCUUGUAGUUUCAAAAUGAUUCAAUAAUCAUCUCAAUCCAAUGAUUAUAGCUCAGGAUAUUGCCAAAAUACGAACAAAUGUCAAUGCUGUCAAACUUGCAUUUCUUCCAUUGAACAUUUUACACUUCAUGUUUUCUUUAAAUCACUUCAAAUCAUCAAUAAUCAUCCAAAUAUCUUCUCAAUAAAAACAUGAAAUUUUCAACAUUUAAACAUGUAGAAAUGCAAUUUUCACAAUUUAAACCAUAAAAUUCACAUUGUCACUAUUCAUUAGCUAUAAAAAUGACUAAACCAUACCAAGACCAAUUAAUAAAACACACUUAAAACACACAAAAUAUGCACUCAUCAGCCUUCAUUUGCUUUUGAUCCACAUGCGGGGAGCCUUGGGUUGCAUAAAAUAUGACAAUCAAGGAUUUAAAAUGCGACAAAAAUGGAAAAAAGAAAGGGAAAAUGGCAAUCAUAAAUUAGUACUAUUCAACUAAUGCCAAAUAUAAAAUUCUCUUAUAACCCAAAAUGUUUUAAAGGGUGACUUAGUAAUCUUAUUAUUAUUUCAUUUAAAAAGUUUGACUAUCUUCCUUUGACUGUUAAAUUUGAUGGAAAAUUUAAUACUUUCACUUUCGCAAUUUCCAUAAGGAGGGAAAAUGUAGGUUUCUAAUCCACAGGGAGUUAAUGUAAACAUUUGCUUAAUCACAAGGAGCUAUUUUAUAUUUAACCCUUUUUUUAAUCUAAUUUGUUAAUUCUUACGACAUAAGGAUAGAAUUGACUUCAUGUAAAUUAAUAGUUGCAUGACAAAUUUGGAUGCUAUUAAUUCCACAGAAGAUGCUUGGCAAUUUCACUGCGGUCUUUCGUAAUCGAUCCAAAGGCUUCUUACACAUUUGACAAAUUAGAGGGGGCCAAACCUGACCACUGUUGAAGUAAAAAAAACACACGAACGAAAUCAACCACACGAGGGAGCCCCACAUUUGUGAGACUGUGCGUGAGUAUGGGCCUUUGGUUUAACAUCUUGACGUGUUUGCAUUGUUUUACCUUGCUUUGAGAGCUGCUUCCUCGUUUUCUUUGAUAUCACUUGGGUAAACUGCUCGUGAAUUAGAGUCUGGUCGUGAUAUUCGUCUUUAUCACGUUGUGAAUCAUCCUUUCCCUCUCCAUUUUGGUUAUCAUUUGUACCUGAAUGAAGAAAAGGUUUUAGAUGAACGAGAGGAAUCUUCCCAUGUAAUUUCUCCCAUUGAAACUCUUCGAACACAUCUUUAAACUGUGGCACAUUUUCAAACCGGGACUUUUCCGUUUCUGUUCUUGUAAUUGUACCCACAAGGGGUGUGGCUCCAACUAAUACCACAUUAUGUGGAUCAUGACUUUUGGCUACCUUCCCAAGUGCAUCGUUUCCCACCUUAGAUGUAAUUUGCUUACGUUCCAUCGCCUUCUCUGUCGAUGCAGCCACUGUGAAGGUUCCAUUAGCUGGUGAAUGGCCAUCCUCAGCCUCCGACUCAGUGAAUUCCCCCUCAUCAAGUUGGUUCGUAGCUUGGGGCUGUACCGACCGCAUCUCUUCUGUUUCCCGAACCACCUGAUCAGCCAACUUAUGAAUGAUUUCACCUGCGGUAGAAACAAUGGUCUCCUCUACUAACGCAGCGACAGCCAACCCAGGCUGCUGGGGUUGGGUCAAGACGACAGUCCCUGCCGAUGGAUGCUCAACCCGCAACUCGCCCUCUUCCAGCGCGCUUUCCAGAGCUUCCUCUAAGGCAUUGCCCCCAGGUCGCUGCACCUCCGGAGUCAGAGUAGGAGCCCCAGGCCUCUCCGUGGGAGUCACCGCAUCUCCCAAAGUUAUCUUGUCCAACUCCUCAUUGCCGUUUGUCUCCUCGAUAGCUGCUGUCGUACCCUCGCCAACCGCAUCUGGUUGCUGAAGGAGACGCUGUGGACCUGCUGUCACCGCCAUCCUUCCCAUUUCUGAAAUCACCCGUGGAACAUAUCUCCGCCGCUGCUGCUGGCCAUUAGCCACUGGCCGCAGAGAUGGGUCCUUCCGAAAGCACGAACCAACCCCGUGGCCAAACAUACUACAAUAGGAGCAGUACUCAGGCAAUCCCUCCAACUCCACCGGCUGCCAAAACCCAUAGUUAUCGUCACCUAUCCAGACCCGCUGCACUGGCGGCGCCGAGAUGCAGAGCUCCACCAGUACCCGCGCUACCGAGGGGCGCCUAAGGUCACUGGUAGCAGCGUCUACUCGCAACGGCCUCCCCAAUGUUGCAGCAAGCCGCAGCAGUUGUUGUUUUUGAAAAAAGGGUAGGGGCAACUCAGGAAAGGCCACCCACACCGGAGCAAUUGCCAACUCCUGAUUUGCUUUGAACUCCAAAGACCAUUUGGAUAUUGACAUCGGAGAACUGCGUACGUACCACACCCUCCUUGCGAAAAGCCUGGUGUAAUCUUCCUCCAACGCCGGCCGAAGCAGCACAUGUUUUUGAUCCAGCAAUCCCACCGCACACUCCCCUUUAAGGCCUAGAGAUGUGAUGAACUUUCUGAUGAGUUCCAUUGAAGGCCUGGUGAACGCAAACCUCCCAACAAGAGCAUUCUGGAAAGGUUCGGCAAGCUUGGCGAUGUCCUGUUUGGAGAGGCGGAGAGCAGGUUCUCCCCUGAAGGUGGAGACCUCCCCCAACGCACCUGAGGCUGCAACCGCAGCCCUACCUGAGACAACCGCCGCAAACGACCUGCCCUGCGGCGGCCCUCCCUCUGGAGACGACUCCGACGACCCGUUGGCCGCCAUGCACUAGUUAGGAUAAACCCUAGCUGCCUGCUGAGAUCCGAGAUUUCCGCUCAUUCUUGUUAAUUGCUCUUUUCACCCAUUGGCUAGAAGAUCCCCUUUUUGCUAGUUUAGUAACUUUUAUGGCCACUAAAGAAUUUUAAUUCUCAAAGGCUUCUUGAAAUAGUGGAAUGACCCAAGAGGGGAAAUGACAAUCAUAGUUGGUGACAUUGGCAACAUCAAUCAUGCCAUCUGUUAAUCCAGACAUAAAUUAUAAAAAAAUGAUUUGGUCUUACUAACUAUCCUCGAGAAUUAGACUGACAGCGUAAUUAUUAGGGCAAUUUACAUCUCUUAUGGUUUGCUGUUUUACCGCAUAACCAUUUUGUAGUUUAAAAACCUAUAAUUAGUUUUGACACUCUUCUAUUAGCCUCCUAUCCCAUUUAUAAUUAGUUUCCACACUCAAUAUGUCUUGGUUAUGUUUUAUGUACAAGAUUUAAGUGUUGAAAAAUUUGAAGAGUUUGUUUAACUAAAGUAUAAUAUGCUUAUCCCAGGGAAGUUACUUGUCUUUUCACUGGAAAAAAUUUCCCAGGUUCAUGCUCGGAUUCUUCUUCUUCUUCUUCUUCCUUCUUCUUCCUUCUUCUUCUUCUUUUUCUUUUAAUCGCUUGUUUGUGUUGUCAUCUCCAUUACUUAAAACAUAUAUUAUUUGUUUUGAAGGGACCAAAAUCCUGCCCUUGGUUUUGUGAAAAAGAGACCUCCUCCACAGUUUUCCGUGUGCAUUGGAUUUUGACUCUUGGCUAGCUUGUUCAAACUUCCAAGUUUCUUAAACACAAGUACCUCCAAGAAUAGAGAAAAUACCAAAUUGAGGGUCGACUUCUACUUUGUAUAUUAUCGGGCAAAUUACAUUUUAUCUCUCUGUGAUUUAGCAUUUUUUUACAUAACCGUCCUAUGAUUUCAAAAGCUAUACAUAACCCCCUCAUGGUUUGGAUUAAAGUGUCAAAGUGAAGGAAAUAGUCACUCGUAAUGGAACUUCUAAAAAUAUCGAAAUUACCCUUAUAAAUACAUGACACAUUAAUCCCGUAUGAUUUUUACAUUUUACCAUAUAACCCCCUUAUGGUUUAAUAUUUUAUCAUAUAACCCCCUUAUGAUUUUCAAAAUAUGCACAUAACGCCCCUUGGUUAAUAAAUAAUUUUUAACUUUACAUAAGGGUAUUUUUGACAUUUUAGGUGAUUGAACAGUACAUCUUCCUUGGCUACCUCAAAAAUAUCUUCAGGAUGACUAGAUUUCUUUUGUUUUGUGCAUAAUAUAUUAGAUAUCAAAGUGGUUAAAAGUCACAAUCGUGCAGUGUAAGAAGAGAAGCAUAUCUAAAAUUACCAGAAUUUUUGAACCAAAACAUGAAAGUGAUGACCAACAGCUGCGAAUACUCCUUGAUUGACCAUAGUCUUCGUGGCUAGAAAAACAAAACCAAGGAAAAGUGACUCAGAAAACCAUCAUAUAUGACUCUGAUAGAGCAGUUACUAAUCAAAUGGUUCAGAUAAGCAUGUAAGCUCAUUAUCAAGAGCUAAAAGUUCAGAGAAACCAUUCUUUCCCUUAGAAUCACAAGUUCAAAUAGAGUGAGCUGACUUUAGCAACAAUAACUUACAAUCCACAGAAGCAGACAUGUAAAAUCAACAAAACUAGACCGCUGGUUGUUUUAAACGUUGAUGCGCUAUUUGUAGGAAAUGCAGGCCAAAAGUUAUUGAGUUCCAGCCAUAUAGAUUGUGCUGAAGAAGCUUCAAAACUCUAACCUCUGUUUGUCUAAGCAAGAGACCACAAAAAUCAGCUUGGAAAGUAUUGAAGACAGGAGUGUGGUCAGAAUUGCUAAUUUAAAGACAGAGAGAAAAAAUUCCACGAAUUUUCUGCAUACGCUAUGGAAUAUAAAACGCAAUUGCAUUUUCCACAGGUGAAAGUUCAGAGAACUCAUUUCAUCCUGAUGCAAAUCACGAGUUUUAAGAGAGAGCUAAUCUUAGAAAUCAUAAUGUACAACAGGUUGGCUGACAUGCAUGAUAAACAAAGUAAAGUCAAAUCUUAAUUUCUUUUAUAUUGUUACUUCAUUAGUUGCUUUGUUUCACUUCUCUUUUAUGCAAAACUUGCUUUGGUUAUCCAAGAAAUCUUGUGCAUUUGGUUAUUAACUACGGAAACAAGAUAUUAACUCAAGCUUCCAAUGAAGACAUGUAACUGUCGCCUAUCGAUGGUAAUGUUUAUGAAGUACCUAUGACUUUCAAUCACGAUACCGAAACCUAAGAAAGACACCAAACAAAAUUGAAAAGAACUACUUCAUGCAAUUCUUCAUUUUUGGUUAAGCGACUACUAACAUAAGAUGUAGUACUCAACAUCAUAUAGACCAGGUAAUAUUGGAAUAACAACAAAUCUUUAAGUAACAGAAUCAUUCUAGACAUGCCAUUUUUAACUGGAGAAUGAGAACAUGAAAACUCAGAAAAUCAUGUUGCAUGUAAUGGUGCAAAGAUACAGCUUCAAGAAAGGUGGCAAGCUACUUGUGGAGGAUAAUAGGCAGUCACAAGGCAGACCAAUAUUUUUCUGCAACUAAGUUGCAGCUAACUUGAGAGACAAGCAGUCUGAGACAGAAAAACAAAUUGAGGUCCAUAACCAGUGAAUUACUACCUCAUGUCAUAAGCACAAAAGCUACAGCUGAUUUACAGUUUGAAUCACCACAUUCACAAUGUAGAUCUCAAGCUUUGGCAUUGUUUUCUAACAUAAACUGGUACACAGAGGUGAAAUCUGUCUGCUCAGUCUGCAGAUAAAAGCAGUGUCACGAGAACUAUCCUAGUUUGUGUCCGAAUGAUACGUUCCUCGAUCCACGGUCGAGACACGUAGCACGUUUGCCCAAGGAUCUAGCGGGGAUGUCCAACGCUUGGAUUGCGGAACCCUUACUCAAACGGACAACUCGAUUUGAUUGGAGGUGGUAGACGACACUCCAAUGAAGGUGAAUACUCCAGGGGAAUAGGUCGGACGAACAAUCAAGGACAGGACGCGAGAUUGCUCAAUAACCCUUGCCAAGCAAGUUGAAAGGCACGAAUUCUUUAUGAAAGAAAACGAAUGCACUAAUAAUUUUAAUUCAUCAAAAACUAGUUUUUAACCUUACAAGGCUAGCCUAUUUAUAGGCUUAAUGAAACAACUAAAAACCCUAAAGAAACCUAAAGGGGAGGUCGGCUACCUUGUCAUCAAGGUGGGCCGGCCUCAAGCCUUCUACGGACAAUUAGUCCAAACAAAAUGGAAACAACGACUAAGGCCCUACUCGGCCGAUUCGUAAGGAGGCCCACUAGAGUCUUCCUGGGCUUGGACCAAAGUGCAAGUUGCUUGAUUGAUCCUUUCCAAGCCUUCAAUAUCUCUAUAGCCUCCAUGUUGAUCGUGGACAACUUGAACAAGGGCUUGGAGGGAUUCCUUGAAUAGCUUGGCCCGUGCACGUGUGACUGGGCCUAAUGGGACUUGGACUGGGCCCUGGUUCAUGCACACAUCAGUCCCCUCCUCUUGUGAAGGAUUUGCCCUCAAACUGGAUCCUCCUCACCAAGAAACGGGCUCAAGUCUGCGACAUUGAAGGUCGCGCUAACAUUGUACUCCCCAGGUAGCUCCAAUUUGUAGGCGUUGUCAUUAACCCGGUGGAGCACACGAAAAGGUCCAUCCCCUCUGGGGGAUAAUUUGCUUUGUCGCUGCUUGGGGAACCUCUCUUUGCGUAAGUGUAACCAAACCCAAUCACCAGGCUCGAAGAUCAUUUUGCGGCGGUGCUUGUUAGCCUGCUGGGUGUAUUGCUGAGUACGCCUUUCAAUGUUUGCUCGAACAGCUUCAUGUAACCUGCGCACAAAAUCGGCCUUCUUUUUCCCAUCUAAGCUUGUGUGCUCAGAGGAAGGUAAGGGUACUAAAUCAAGAGGGGUUAGCGGGUUAAAACCAUAAACAAUCUCAAAAGAUGAGUAGUGUGUAGCACUAUGAACAACUCGAUUGUAGGCGAAUUCAACAUGAGGCAAACACUCUUCCCAAGUCUUAAGAUUCUUUUUAAUCAAUGCCCGAAGUAGUGUGCCAAGUGUGCGAUUGACAACUUCAGUUUGUCCAUCGCUUUGUGGAUGACUAGUGGUGGAAAAUAGUAACCGGGUGCCAAGUUUAGACCACAGAGUCUUCCAAAAAUAACUCAGAAAUUUCACAUCCCUAUCACUAACAAUGGUCCUAGGCAUACCAUGCAGACGGACAAUUUCUUUGAAGAAUAGAGUAGCAAUAUGAGAGGCAUCGUCAGUUUUGUGACAUGGAACAAAAUGAGCCAUCUUAGAAAACCUAUCAACCACCACAAAGAUGGAGUCAUUACCUCUUGGUGAUCUAGGCAAACCUAGAAUAAAGUCCAUAGACAAGUCAACCCAGGGAUGGUGAGGGAUAGGUAAUGGGGUAUACAAGCCAUAUGGAUUUGUUUUGGACUUUGCCUUGUGGCAAGUAGCACACCUACCAACCAUGCGGUCAACAUCCCUACGCAUAUGGGGCCAGUAAAAGUGCUCUUGCAACAUAGCCAGUGUCUUGGCAAUGCCGAAGUGGCCCAUGAGACCACCACAAUGUGCCUCUCGAAUCAAAAGAUCACGAAUGGAAGAGUUAGGCACACACAGUUUAUCUACAUGGAAUAGAAAUCCAUCAUGCAAAAAGUACUUUCCAUGCGGAUUCUUAACACACACGGCAUAGAUAUCACCAAAGUUAUGAUCAUUAGUGUAGAGGUCCUUUAUCAUUUCGAACCCAAGCAAUUUGGCAUCAAGAUAGGCAAGCAAGGAGUGUCUACGUGACAAGGCAUCAGCUACCACAUUUGUCUUGCCAGUUUUGUACUUAAUCACAUAAGAAAAGGUGUCAAUGAAGCUUACCCAUUUGGCAUGUCUCUUGCUUAAUUUAGGUUGCCCUUUGAGGUACUUCAAUGACUCGUGAUCAGUGUGUAUCACGAACUCUCGAGGGCGAAGAUAAUGUUGCCAGGUCUCCAAGGCCCUCACUAAGGCGUACAACUCCUUGUCGUACGUGGGGUAGUUCAAUGCAGCUCCUCCCAACUUUUCGCUAAAGAAGGCACACGGCCUCUUGUCUUGCAUUAGGACUGCGCCAAUACCUACACCAGAAGCAUCACAUUCAAUUUCAAAGGUAUUGUUAAAGUUUGGUAAUGCUAACACAGGGGCAUGCGUUAGUGUGUCCUUGAGGGCGAGAAAUGCUUGGUCUUGUGAUUCUCCCCAAAGGAACUUGUCAUGCUUCUUUGUCACGGCGGUCAACGGGGCGGCAAUAGUGCUAAAAUUCUUGACAAAUCGCCGGUAAAAGCCCGCCAAUCCAAGAAAGCUGCGCACGUCAGGGACGGAUGUGGGGGUUGGCCAUUGCUCGAUGGCGUCAAUCUUGGAUUUGUCCACCUUGAUGCCCUGUGAACUUACUACAUAGCCUAAAAACACAAGCUCGUUAGUACAAAAGGUGCACUUCUUGAGGUUGGCGUACAGACGCGCCUGUCGAAGUGUCUCAAGAACUAAUCUCACAUGCUCUAGAUGCUCAUGCUCACUACGGCUAUAGAUCAGGAUGUCAUCAAAGUAAACAAUGACAAACUUGCCAAUGAAAUGUCUCAACACAUGGUUCAUUAGUCGCAUGAAGGUGCUAGGGGCAUUAGUUAAGCCAAACGGCAUGACUAACCACUCAUAGAGACCAUGUUUGGUUUUGAAGGCCGUUUUCCACUCGUCGCCUUCUUUCAUCCGAAUCUGAUGAUAGCCACUCCUCAAGUCAAUUUUGGUGAAAAUAAUGGCACCAUCGAGUUCAUCAAGCAUAUCAUCAAGUCUAGGAAUGGGAUGACGAUAUUUGAUGGUGAUAGCGUUCACAGCCCGACAGUCAGUGCACAUACGCCAAGUACCGUCCUUUUUGGGCACAAGUAUCACUGGCACAGCACAAGGACUUAGACUUUCCUUUACCCAACCUUUACCUAAGAGGCCAUCAACUUGCCUUUGCAGCUCCUUGGUCUCUUCAGGACCCAUGCGGUAGGCAGGUUUGUUGGGUAGUGGUGCCCCAGGAAUGAGGUCGAUUUGGUGCUCAAUCCCUCGAAUAGGUGGUAAGCCAUCAGGGACUUCGUCGGGGAAAACAUCCUCAAAUUCCUGCAAAAGAACAACCAUACUCGCAGGCAAUGCCUUAUCGAGUUCAGCAACAUCUAAAAGCACAUGUUUGCAAAUCAUGAGAAGGACGGGCUGAUCAGAAUUGACAACUUUCCUAACGUCCUUGGCCUUAAUGAUCAUGUUUUGCUUCCUAGUGGUAGGUGGCGUAAGUGAUUUCUCACGCGUCACACUAGGUGUGCUUCCUUGAUCCUUGGUCAAUGACUCACUUGCAGGGGUGGAGCCGUUGCCAGGGUCGACCGCCUUUUGUCUCCUUCUUUGACGGUCUUGUUCACACUCUCUUUGUAGCUUAAGUUGGUCCUCAUAUACUUGUGCAGGUGUAAGUGGUGUGAGAACCUUGCGUUUGCCAUCAUGCAAGAGAGUGUACUUGUUGGCCCUUCCGUCGAACGUGACGUGUUUGUCAAAUUGCCAUGGUCGACCCAAGAUAACAUGGGUGGCAUGCAUAGGUACCACGUCACAAACAACUUCAUCGGUGUAAGUUCCAAUGGAAAAAGGGAUGCGUACCCGUUUGAAGACACGUACCUCUCCUUCCUCGCUUAACCAUUGGAGGCGAUAAGGGUGUGGAUGUCUAGUGGUUGGAAGUCCUAAGCUCUCAACCAUGAGUAAGCUUGCCACGUUUGUGCAACUCCCACCGUCGAUGAUGAGACUACACACCUUGUCACCUACUUUGCAACGAGUGUAAAACAGGUUUUCCCGUUGUAAUUGCUCAUCCUCCUUAACUCGGGCUGUUAGCACUCGUCGUGCCACCAAACACCCGACGUCCCCUUGUAUAGGCGAGCAAUCUUCCUCAGUAAAGUCGUCAUCCAGGCCGUCGCCUUUGGUCAACUCGGGUAGCUCCUCACAGUCGUCGUCAUCGGACACAAUCUCGCCAUUGUGAGUGAUUAGCAUGACCCGUUGGUUUGGACAUUGAGAUUGAAUAUGCCCAAACCCUUGGCACUUAAAACAUUUGAUGUCCCUGCUCCUUGCCUUAGGAGUCUCUUGUGGUGCCUUAGAAGUAGACCUGGAUACAUCGGGACCCUUGUUAGGUGUAGAAUAGGCAUUACGAUUAGAGGUGUUACCUUGGAUGCGGUUAGAAGAGGUUGGUAUCGCCGCGUUUCCAACUUCGUGGGUCGCCCUUCGUGGUUGGUUGCCCCUCCAUGAAGUGGUGUUAGAAGAUUGGAAAGGACGUGCUCCUCGUCUGAGCUUCUUUCCCCGCUCGGCCUUGAUAGCGAGUUCUAGAAGGUCGUGCAUGUCCAGGUAAUGUUGGAGCUCCAAGGCUUCUUGAAGGUCGGGAUUGAGACCUCGAAGAAACCUAGCCAUUGUGGCUUCAUUGUCCUCUUGAAUGUUGGCCCUCAUCAUGGCCAUCUCGAUCUCUUUGUAGUAGUCUUCCACACUCAUGUUGCCUUGAGCGAGGGUUUGAAGUUUAGAAUGGAGAUCGCGAUUGUAGUAGCUAGGAACGAAUCGUUUGCGCAUUAGUGCCUUGAGUUCGCGCCAAGUCCGGACACGUGGUUCGCCCAUCCUUCUCCUAUGGGUCCGUACUUGGUCCCACCAGACUAGUGCGUAGUCGGUGAACUCCACGGUGGCAACUUUAACCUUUUGUUCCUCGGUGUAAUCGUAGCAGUCGAAGACCAUCUCGAUACGGCCCUCCCACUCCAAGUAAGCCUCAGGGUCACUUUUGCCUUUGAAUGCGGGGACUUGAAUUUUAAGCCCCUUGAGUUCGUUCGUAGGCGUGUCCCGUCGCGGCCUCUCGGGUCGCUCGUCGUCGUCACUGGCGGAGUAGUCCUCACUGGGUGCUCCUUUGCGGUCACGACCACUCCGAUUGCGUGAUCCAGAACGGGAGCCUGGGGUGAGACUCUUGGUGAGCUCGUCAAACCGGUUGUGCAACUCUUCCAUUUGUUGCUCACUAAUGCGUUUGAGCUCAUGUCUCAUGGCGGUGAACAUCAGAGAAAGGUCUUUGGAAGGUGGUUGUUGAUCUUGCUCCAUGUGUCUCGUGAUGCCCCCCCCUGCAAAGGUUAGUAACAAGCAAAGAAAGUGCAAAUAUAAUCCUCACUUCACUCCCUAAGUGUAUCUCUCGCGCUCGUGUGUAGUGCUCAAGUCACUCUAUAAAACUUACCAGGUACCUUUACCUGUUGGUUUAGGUAGUUGAGUAAUGUUGCUCGAGCCCGAUUAGCGUCACCAACUUGUCCCCCACAAGAGUAAGCAAGAGAUUUGUUUUGAUGAAGGGAAGGACGGUUUUGGAAAGCUUAAAGGUGGUGGACAGAUUUGGAAAAUAUUACCAAUAAAGGAAACUCUAAGAAUGCCUAAGAUGUAGGAGUAGUUUCCUAAAGUGAAUGAGGAAAUGUAGGAGAAUAUCCCAAAAAUGGAGGAGAAAAAGUAGGAAGGUGUCCAAGUUUUAUCCAAGUGUUGUACUUAGUCUCCUAAACUAAGUUGGCAAACAAGUUGGAGUUGAAAACUUCCUUUGAAAACCUUGCUUAAGCAACUUCCUAAUUCUUCUCAAAACAGAUUCGGUUCCCUCUCUCUCCUCUUGACCGUAAUUUUCCAGAAAUCUUCCCUUUAUUCCCUUCCCAAAGUCGGCUAGAAGACCCUUAUAAACCCUCUCAAGCAGCCGCCCACUAUGCUCACAACAAAAACCAGAAUUGGGCCACCGAAAUUUCCAGAUUUCUUCCUUCUUGAACCCCUCCCAAGGUCGGUUAUUGUUCCCUAUUAACCUCCCCUCACAGCCGCACACUUCACCCAAGAAGUUCGGCUCUCUCUCUACUCUCAAGUCACAACCAGUUCGGCUCCUUCCUUCGUGCCAAGAGUAAGACAGUUUCGGUUGUUGUGCCAAGUCAAUGGCGUCUCAAGACAGCGUGAACCAAGUCUCUCAAGGUUCUUUCCCACGGGUUGCUCAAGAAACUCCCAAGGAUUUUAUUCCUAAACCAAGGAAACCCCGUAUGGAUGCAAGAACUUACAAGAAACUCUUUAUUCGAAGAGAAGUGCAAGUCUUCAAAACUCUUGAUGGUCAAGAACCUCAAGAAUCCCAAAAGGUAGUGCAAGUAAUCAAAGUUCAAGGUGUUCAAGAAUUUCAAGAAGAGGUUGGUCAAAACUUUUGAAUUUUUUUUUUCUUCUACUUGCUGUAAUUUUCUGGUUUGGGUACAAGAUGCAAUAAGACAGAUUUGGCAAUAAAAAGUGCGAUUUUCCUUCUUGGUUUUCUUGCUACCCGAUGGCUCUUCUUGUUUCUUUUUCGGUUCUUUUUUUUUUUUUUUAUACUUGGUAAUAGACUACACCUGGCCGAAAGGGUUUCAAACCAGAUUCUGAUCAAGUCCUAAUUUACUACAACCAACAGCCCCAAAACUCCAAGUUUUUUAUCAAGAACUUCCAAGAACUUCAAGAUUAAGUUCAAGAAAGUCAAGAAUCCUAAAACUCACGUAGAUUUCCUUCAAGAUUCACAACUCCAACAAGUUUGGUCCACAAAUCAGUUUAGGAAACUAACUAAACAACUUAGAUAAGCGACUAACACUUGGACAGAUUUGGCAAUCACAAAAACUCUAGCCGCACCAAAACCCUAGCCGCGGUUUUUUUCUUUCUUCUUUUUUUUUGUGUUUUUUUUUUUCAGUUUCGGCUAGGACCAAUUGCUGGGCAGAAUGGUUGUAAUACGAGGAUAAAAUCUGGGCAGAUUGGACUAGCAACAAAAACACACAACUGUCCAGAAAUUUACGCGACCAAGAACAAGAAUUAGCGAACAGAUUUUUUUUUUGACUCACAACGGACAGAAAUUUCUAUUUUGUUGGUUGUCUCCUUUUUUUUUUUUUUGAUGAAUGCGGACACCAAUGGACAGAAAGGAAAGACUCACGGCAAGGCACAAGACAAGACACGGACAGAAUGUUUUUUUUUUUGACAAGCGAUGCAAACAGAUUUUGUUUGUUUUUUUUUUGACUAGCAAAGCAGCAACGGACAGACUUGAAGACACAAACGAACGGGUAUGGAUACGAACUCAAUCAAUAAAACAACGACCAGAAUUUCUAGAUAACAAACGAAGGAAAACGGCACAACGAAGCAACAAAGCAAACGAACAGUUUUUUUUUUUUUUUUUUCAAAACACAAGGCAGCGGAAAUAAUGAAACUAAGACACAACUAUGGAUAUAACGGAAGAUACCUCCACCAAAGCUCUGAAGCCAACUGAUACGUUCUUCGAUCCACGGUCGAGACACGUAGCACGUUUGCCCAAGGAUCUAGCGGGGAUGUCCAACGCUUGGAUUGCGGAACCCUUACUCAAACGGACAACUCGAUUUGAUUGGAGGUGGUAGACGACACUCCAAUGAAGGUGAAUACUCCAGGGGAAUAGGUCGGACGAACAAUCAAGGACAGGACGCGAGAUUGCUCAAUAACCCUUGCCAAGCAAGUUGAAAGGCACGAAUUCUUUAUGAAAGAAAACGAAUGCACUAAUAAUUUUAAUUCAUCAAAAACUAGUUUUUAACCUUACAAGGCUAGCCUAUUUAUAGGCUUAAUGAAACAACUAAAAACCCUAAAGAAACCUAAAGGGGAGGUCGGCUACCUUGUCAUCAAGGUGGGCCGGCCUCAAGCCUUCUACGGACAAUUAGUCCAAACAAAAUGGAAACAACGACUAAGGCCCUACUCGGCCGAUUCGUAAGGAGGCCCACUGGAGUCUUCCUGGGCUUGGACCAAAGUGCAAGUUGCUUGAUUGAUCCUUUCCAAGCCUUCAAUAUCUCUAUAGCCUCCAUGUUGAUCGUGGACAACUUGAACAAGGGCUUGGAGGGAUUCCUUGAAUAGCUUGGCCCGUGCACGUGUGACUGGGCCUAAUGGGACUUGGACUGGGCCCUGGUUCAUGCACACAUCACCGAAACUCUGAAAGAUGACCAGUUGAGUAAUUUAGAAAAAGAGAUGCGGCAGCCAACAAGUAUGACAGGCAGAGAAAGCUAAAGAAUCUUCAUGAAGUGAAUUCCUAGAACAGCAACCAAUUAUUACCAUUUGAUGCUUCAAAGUUCAAAUCAUCACAGUUAGACUUAAACUUCAGUAAAGGAUAAUCUGCCAAGUCUUUGCAGCUUCAUUGCUAGAACAAUACUAUUUUCCCUUGCAACCUCAAAAAAUGACUUGAACAUGUCCUUUUUUUUUUGAAAGGGGGGAGGGGGCGAGGGGUUAGUUAACAAAUUGAGAAUCAAACUGCUUAAAACUCAAUAUUACAUAGUUGAAGAAGAAAGUUUAUCAUGGAUUAGGAGCAUUUCUUAAAAAAAAAAAAUUGGUAUUGUAGAUUACCAGUCCAUUUGGCAUGAUGAUAAGAAUAAGAUAAUAACAUUUUCUAGAGGUGAAAGUUCAGAGUAACCAUUUUUUCCUCAUAGAAUCUCAGGUUUAGGAAUCAAUGUACAGCUUGCAGUAGCAGACAUAUGUGAUGAGCAAAUAUAAACUGCUACUCUUUAUUGAAAGAUAGCGCAGGCAUAAAUCUGAGGGCAAAUGGUCUUUAACUAUCAUAUUAUGUUUGACUGUCCGCAACAAAUAAUUUGUUUGUAAAUAUCUGCAUUCUAUGAUUGAGGAAGGAAAGGAUAGAAGUGAAGUGGGACUAUUUGCCAGAAGCAAAAUACAAAAUGCUCAUCAAAUGGAUCCUUUACAUUUGGACAAGGCACCUAAACCACAAUUAUACCAAAAAGGAUAGAUUGGAUGAUGAGGUCAGUCUCUCAAGGAGUGCUAUGUGUGAGCCGUGAUGCGUAUUCUGUGUGUGUGAGUGUGCAGUUUGUGUGUCGAGAUGCUAUAGUAAGUGAUAGUGUUUACUUUGAUGACUGCAGUUGAACCUUUUCAGACCGCCUAAGACAAGAGAAGUUCAUCAAAGCAGACCUCUGCCUUCAACAAAGUGAAGUUGAGCAGUUACAUCAUUUCCAAGACUGGCAAUUUACUUCCAUGAUUAAAAUAGCUUACAAGAUAGUACAAUCAACAAUUGAGAUCUCUAAUUCCAAUCUAUUAUCAAUUUGAACGUGCACAGCAGAAUCCUCUCAAAUCCUUGCUAUUACAUGGCCAAACAACAUUCCUGGAAGCAGACCCUCGAAAACUUUCAAACUCUUGUUACUAAUCAUUUUAGUCACAAUACAUAUAUCACCUCACCUCAGGCAAUAAAUAAAAAUCUUCUUAAGAGUUUCACUGGAGUAUGUUCUCCUACAGAAAAAAAAAAGGAGAAAAAAUCCUAUAAGUUAAAUAGUUUGAAAUCUUUCUGUGUUAGAAAAUCCACAAAUUUCUGUGCUGGGACGUACUUUCAUUUGACACUUUAUUCCAUGAAUGCAAAACAAUAAGUAAAUAAACUUUUCACACUAAAUGGUGGCAUGUGUACCUGAGUUGGAUGAACUCAGAUUUAAAAAUCUGAAGAAAGCAUGCUGCCUGCAUUAUAAAUAAGAUAGAACAAAAAGUUCCAUUACGUUUUCGAGUUGGAAACCUUAUGGAAAGUAAGAGUUUCUUUUUGUCAGUUUUCUCCCUAAAAAUAAUGAGCAGGCAAUAAGACUUGAUACUAUGUACAAAUAUUUAUUUGGUUAAAAUAAAUGUGCUAACCUGAGUGUUAUUCUUGAAAGUUGGCAAAACCUCUGAUUGUUAACGUGUAACUCUAGUACGACCCAAUAAGAUGCCAAUAAUGAUCAUCAGAAGGUCAUGGUAAUGAUGGUUUCAUAAAAGACUUCAGAUAAGUUGGGGCAAGAAAUUUUUGGCCAGCAGCUCGUACAGGCCAGUUGCAGUCAUUGAGCAAUCAAAAUCCAGGCCUGCAACUUGUGCAAUUUAGUGUCAGUUAGUUUCAAAGACAAGAAGCCUGGAAAAAAUAAGCAAAUGCAUAGUAUUAUAGCAUGUCAGUUCGUACUACUGCACCUCAUGACUAAAAAGGCACAUUGAAAGUGUGCAAGCUCCCAAGAUCAGUACAUCAGGUUUUGGCCAUCUGAGGCACCAAAGUGAAAGAAAAGAGUGCCAACAUAAACAUUUCAGCCCAACUGAAACAGGAUCUGGUUCAACAUGAUUCUCAAAUAUGCAGGCUCUGUAAUUAGUAAUUACCAGCCAUUAUAGAUUUCCAGUUGAGCUUUGAACCUAAGGUCACGGGAAGACAGAAAAUUUGAACUCAGAUAGUAUGUAGUGCGAGAUAUUUCAAAUAGUUUAGUCAAUCCAAUGAAAAGCCAAAAGCUGUGUCUUGUUGGAUUUUAAGCUAAAUAAAUAAGCAGUCGCGUUUACAAGUUGCCCUACUCUUAGUCCAUUCUUGUUCCAAGCAAGAAGCAAAUCAUUAAAACUCAUAACCUGAAGAAACGGUGGGCAAUUUGUAGCACAAUCAUAGCAAAAAUAAUUUAAUAAGCCAUAUAAAUGGUGCUGAAGAAGAUUAAAUAUAACAAGAUUUACUUUAUUUCUGUAGGCACUAGACAAUCAAAAUCAACUUGGCAAGAACUGGAAAAGAAGCAAAAUCAAGAAUGGCUGGUAUGAACUGGAUGUCUUACUCUGUGACCAAAAAGAAAUGUGCUACUGCUGCAUGUGAUGGGAAUAUGAAAUAAAAAAUAGAUCUUCAAGAUGUUAAAUAUCAAAGCAACCAUUUUCCCCCUGUAGAAUCUCAAUUUUGAAGAGAUUAUUAUGAAGUUGUAGGUUGAUUUCCUUGACCACUUGUUUAUGCAUAUAUCUUUGGGGUGACCCAUGAAAAUCUUGUGCAUUUAGAUAUUAACUAAUUUAGAACAUGUAAUGCAGACAUUCAAUUUAUUGGGCCAUUACUUGCUGUAAAGCAUGGAAUUGGAACAGUUGCUUGUUUUCAUGCUAAUUGAUGGUUACAGAGUAUUAAGUUGUCAAAGGGAGAACUUAAAAAGCACCAAUGUUUUCAACUGGAUAAGAAAUGCUAAUACCGUAGCUUUGCUAGAUGAUGCUAGGACGAGAAAAAGGGAAAACAGAAAAUUGUGAAGAACAAUGACACAGAACUUUUUCUCUCUUUUCUAUUUUUCCCAGGAGAAGGUUAAUCAGAGGGAGUGGUGAAGAAAAGGCAUAUCUCAAAAUGACAAAGAGAUUGGUUAUAAGGCGCGGUAAGAGGCAUUCUUACAUGAUUGAGAUCAAGAAGCACUUGAGAUUGAGAUUGAGAUUGAGAUUUGAUUUGAUGAUGAACUAUUAACCAGAUAUGCAUAGGUUUUGAAUAUGUGAAACCUUGGACCACUUGGAGUUGGGGCCGCUGCUUUGAGGAGUGCACCUUUCCUUUAACUAGUAAUGGAGCAUGUGCUUUGCACGUGAACAUGAUGCUUUUAGAGUUUUUUUGCUUUAAAAUUUCUAGAAAAUUAAUUAUUUUGAAGGAAUAAAUGUAAUUGAGACAAACAAAUGUAAUAUUUAAUAUUUAUAUUAUUUGGAACUUAGUGUGCCCUAACCAAUACAAAUGUACAAGCAAUAAACCAUUCAUUGUUCCAAAAGCACUUUUAUUUUGUAACAAUAUCAAUAUUUUUUGUAUUUUGGUUAAAUAUAGAUGACCUAAAUGUUCAUUUUUAUGCCAUUUGUGUUUAAUUUUUUUUAAUAAUUUGUUGCUCCCCUUUAAAUCAGUCUAUGAAAUGUUUAUUAGUUUUAGUGAGACUUUCUAAUUAUUGCUACUUUUUUGCUAGCUGUGGAUUGUAAAAUGAUCAAUUGUACUAUUGUAAUUAUAAUAGUAUCUAAACAUAUUGAAAUUCCAUUGUUCGAAUUUAAAUAGCUUAACUUUGAAGAGAAAUGUUUUGAUUUAGUGAAACUUAUUUGCAUUUCUUAUUGAUGACAUGCUUUAUGAUUAUAGUGUUUAUAUGAUUAAAAAUUGUAAGACAUUAAAAUUAUUUAUUAUAUUAUAGUCAAACUGGACUUGGAUAUAUUUUUAUUCAUCUUUGAAGUACUCCUUGAAAUUGAUAUUUAUAAAAAAAGUUUUUUUGGCUUAAUUCACCAUAAUUCAAAGGGAUGUUUCACCUUUGUAAUUAUUAUUAUAAUUGGCGUUGAUGAAUAUAAUAUUCAUAAAUUAUAGUUUAAUACUGUUAGUUGUUACAGGAAUAUGACUGAUAAAAUUCAUUAAAUUUAAUCUUUAUUACAAUUUAAAUAAAUAAAUUCCCAACAUUAAACUCUUUGCCUACCUUGGUACUCCAUUUGCUACUAUAUAUUGGAUUAAUGUUUUUUAACUCAGUACCAAUAUACAUAUAUUAAAAAGGUGCUCUUAAAGCUUAAUUUACUUAUAUCCUAAAAAUGAAAAGGCUUGCAAUACUUUUUAGGAGACUCAUAGUACCAAUUUGUUAUGUUUUGUUCCAUAUUUGAAAUACUCUCUAAACUUGGAUUUUGUAAAUAAAUUUAUUCUUCUUUCUUUUGAUAAAUAAAAAAAAAGUAAGGAAUCUUUCAUUUUUGUAACUGCUUGCAUGUUUGAUAUUAUUUAUUAAUGAUGAAAUGCAACGCAAUUUGUUCAUUUAUUAGAGAGGAGUGUAAUUUUGGCAUCACAAAAACUAAUAUCAUUUUUCGCUUACACUAUUAACCACUAAGAUUCACCAUAUUUUAUUAUAAUUUAUAAAUAAAAUUUAUUCUUCAUUUUUUGAUUUAAUUCUCUAUAACUCAAGGGAAUGUUGUUCAUUCUUGUAAUUGUUAGCAUAACAGAUAUUAAUUAUUGAUGAAAUGCAAUGAAUUGGUUGUUUCUUUUUUGGUUUAAUUAACCAGAAUUAUCACAAUUCAAAAAAUGUUUCUUUGUAACGGUUAGCAUAAUUCUUAUUAAUUAUUAAGGAAAUGCAAUGUAAUUUGUCCACUUAUUGGUGUCAAGGGUAAUAUUGGUAUCACAAAAACUAAGACCAAUUUUUACUUACACUCACACUAAAGGUUCAUCAUGCUUUUUAUAUAGUAAUAACCAGAAUUAUCACAAUUCAAAAAAUAUUUCUUUGUAACGGUUAGCAUAAUUCUUAUUAAUUAUUAAGGAAAUGCAAUGUAAUUUGUCCACUUAUGGGUGUCAAGGGUAAUAUUGGUAUCACAAAAACUAAGACCAAUUUUUACUUACACUCACACUAAAGGUUCAUCAUGCUUUUUAUAUAGUAAUAAUAAUAAUAGAUAGAUAGAUAGAUAGAUAGAUAGAUAGAUAAUAGAUAGAGAAGAACCACAAACGUACAGACUUGUUAAUUUGGUGUGGCCAGAAUUGCGGGUCUAAGGAGUGGAAGAGGGUUCACAAAUUUACUGCACAUGAUAUGUAAACUAAUCUGAAAAGUGCAAUUUGAAUGAAUAGGUGCAAUCAUAACGUACGACAGAUUAGCUGAUAUACAUGACAAACAAAGUAAAGUCAAUUCUUAAUUUCUUCCACAUUGUUACCUUAUUAGUUGAAUUGCUUGACUUCUGUUUUAUGCCAAACUUGCAUUGAUAACCCAGAAAAUCUUGUGCAUUUGGUUAUUAACUGCUGAAACAAUAUAUUAACUAAAUCGUCCAAUGAAGACAUGGAACCGUUUCCUAUUGAUGGUAAUGUUAUUUAGGACAUAUGACUCUCAAUUAUGACACAAAAGCAUAAGAAAGACACCAAACAAAAUUGAAAAGAACAACAUCAUGCUUUUUUUUCAUUUUUUGUUUAAGAUUUAAGAGACUACUAACAUAAGUAAUAUUUACUCAACAUCAUAUAGACCGAGUAAUUUUGAGAUGGGUAUCAACUGUGGGAUUAGUGUAGCGGCUAGUGUCUGGUUCUCUUAAGGAAUAACUAUGAAUCAUAAAGUAACAGCAUCAUUCUAGACGUACUAUGUUUAACUGCAAAAAGAGAACAGGCAAACUCACAAAAUCAUGUUAUAUGUAAUGGACCUAAGUUACAACUUCAAGAAGGGUGGUGAUCAGCUUGUGGAGGCCAACUAACAGACGAUAAGUAGUCACAAGAUAGACUGACAAUUUUCUGCAACUAAUUGCGGCUAAUUUGAGAGGCAAGCAGUCUGAGACAGAAAAGCAAUUGAGGUUCAUAAUCAGUGAAUUGCUACCUCAAAUCAUGACCAACAGUUUGAAGGCACCACAUUCACAAUGUAGAUCUCAGACUUUGGCCAUCUCAGUCACUUAGAAGCAAAAGAGAGUGCAUUCUAUACAUAUGUCUUCAGUUUGAAAAUGAUGAAGAAGGAAUAACAGGAUAUUGACAGGUACGGAAGUAAUUAGGCCAUUGCAGAAAACUCAAACUCUGGACAGUGUAUAGAAGAUCAUAAAGCUAACAAGAAAUUUCAGAUAAUUGCAUGACAUUUCUGUUCAACAGAUCUUACAGAAAGCUUAAAAAAAGCUUUUAUCUUUGUUUUAAAACCUAAAUUUGGCAAGCAGAUAUGAAAUCUUUCUCCUCACACUAUAGAAACCAAGUAGCGUCUUGAAAAUUGUUCUAGUUCGUGUCCAAAACUCCAAAAAAAUGAAAAGAGAAGGGGCAGCUAGCAAGCAUGACAGGCAGAGACAGCUCAAGAAUCUUCAUGAAGGCAAAUUCCAAGAGUUGCGAAUUAUACUAUUUGAUGCACGAAAAUUUAAAUCAUCACAGUUAAAAUUAAGUUUUCAACAAAUGAUAAUCUGCCAAGUCUCUGGAGCUUCAUUGCAGGAGCAGCACUAUUUUCCUUGGCAAUCUCAAAAAAUGACUUGAAUAUGUCCUUUUUUUGUUGGUUUUAGUUAAAAAAUUGAGAAUCAAACUGCUUAAACUUCAAUAUUACAUAGUUGAAGAAAUGUUGAAUCAUAAGUUAGGAUAAUUUUAAGGGAAAAAAAGUGGUAUCAUGGAUUACCAGUCCCUUUGCCAACACCAAUUCAACAAUCAAGGGGCAGAGAGAAUUUGUCGAUUGACAAGUGUCCUCAUGUUGAGAGAUCAUAACUAGGGAAAGUUGAGUUGAAUCCCAUCUCUAAGAGAUGUUGUAGAGAAGAUCAAAUCUCAGAUGGUUUACAGCAAGAUGAUAAAAUGACAGGUGCAUUUUCAAGAGGUGAAAGUUCAGAGCAACCAUUUUGUCCCAUAGAAUCUCAACUUUCGGAAUCAAUGUACAAAUCACAGUGGCAGACAUAUGUGGUGAGCAGAUAAAACUGCUAUUUUUUAUUGAAAGAUAGCAAAGGCGGGAAACUCAGUGCAAAUAUUCUUAAGCUAUCAUAUUAUGCUUGGCUGUCCACACCAAAUAAUCUGUUCUUAAAUAUCUGCAAUCUAUAAUUGAGUUAGAAGUGAAAUGGACCAUGUGCUAGAACCAAAAUAUCAAAAUGCUCAUCAAAUAUACUCUUUACAUCUGGAAGUGGCUCUUAAAAAAGCCAAAAUUAUACCAAAAAGAAUUGAUUGGAAGAUGAACUGAGUUUCUCAGGGAGGAGCUAGAAGUGCCAACUGUGAGCCGUGAUCCGUAUUCUAUGAGGUAUGUGUCUGUGUAUUGAGUGUGUGCUGUGACAUUAUAGUAAGUGGUAGUGUUUUCUUUGCUAACAGCAGUUAAACAUUUCAGACUCUCUAAGACAAGGAAAUUUCAGCAAAGCAGACUUCUACCUUCAACAAACUAAAGUACAAUCAACACUUUAGAUCUCUAAUUGCGACCUGUGAUCAAAUUGAAGGUGCACAAUGGAAUCCUCUCAAAUUCCUGCUAUUGUAUUGCUAGACAACAUCCCUGGAAGCAGAUCCUCAUAAACUUUCAAAUUUUUGUAACUUAAAUCAUUUUAGUUACCAUCUCACAUAAGGUAAUAAAUAGAAAUCAUCAUACGAGUUUCAUUGGAGUACGUUCUCCUACAGAAACAAAAGAAGCUAUAAAUUAAAAAGUCUAAAAUCUUUGUCUGCGGUUGCUAGUUCACAAUUUUUUGUGCUUGGACAUACUUUCAUUUGAGGCUUUACUCCAUGAAUAUAAUGCAUUAUCUUUUCUUUUUUACAAGCAAAUUUAAAAGUAAAUAAAUUUUUCACAGUAAAUGGUGGUGUGUAUACUUGAGUUUGAUGAAAGCCGUAGAUUUAAAAUCUCAAGAAAGGUUGUUCCUGCAUUAUAAUUAUGAAAAAGGAAGUUCUAUUACAUUUUCUUGAGCUGGGAAUCUUACAAAAGUAAGUUUUUUUUUUUUUGUUGCUUUUACCCUAAAGAUGAUGAGCAGGUAAUAAGACUUGAUCCUAUAUACAUAUAAUUAUCCGGCUUAGAUAUGCUAACUUGCGGACAAUCCUUGAAAGUUAGCAAAAACUCUAAUGGUCAAUCUGGCUCUCUAGUAAUGAUCAUUGUCGCGCCCCACUUUUCGAAGAUGAUGAGUUGUGGUGUGUGUGUGGUGUGAGAUGUGAGUGGUGUAAUGGAAUGUGAACGUGUGUAAAUGAAAAGUAAAAGGCCAUGGGACUUGAUAAUGCGACGGUUUGGCCAUAUAAAGUUCAAAAAGGGUUUUUUGUAUCAAAAAUGGAGUCGCCACUUGGUAUAGGGUUAGGGUGUACCAAGUCACCCAAAAAAUGGUUUUUUGUUUUUGAAUAAAAAAAGUAAAUAAACCCUUUUAAAGAACUUUUGGGUCUACGUAACCAAAAAGAGGGAUCGGGGGUCACAUUUGACGAAGGGGAAGGCAAGGAUAAAAAAUCCAAGGCACCCCUUCGACCUAGCCAAGGCUAGUUGCGUGACUUAAACCAAUUUUUCCUAAUUUUUCUACCCAAGGUAUGUAUCGCGUGUUGGAUAUGUCUAUAUGAAUGCAAAACCCUAGACCUAGGGGUAUUGGGGGAAAUUUCUCUUCAAAGGUUGAGUGGUGCCAAUCACAUUAAUUGUGAAGCCCAAUAAUGAUCCUUUGGAGAGGUCACACGUAAUCCUAAAUGACGUAAAAAUGAAUGGGGUGCAUGUCAUGUGAAAAUGUAAGUUUAUGUGAAGUGAGAAAAGUGGAGGUGUGCAAAUGUAUUUACAAGGUAAGGUGAGUAAAGAAUGAUAAUGUGAAAAUAAUAUAAAGUGCAUGUGUGCGAGUGAUAUGGCAUAGAGUGUGAGUAGUUAAAUGAAAACGUGUAAAAGUAGUGUGAAGUGAGAAUGUGGAAAAAGGGUUAGAAUAUAAAGUAAGUGUAUGUGAUAGUGAAUGAAUAGAAUGCAUGAAUCCUAUAGGAAUGCAUCAAGACGGGAACGGGGAGUCCUAACUUUGUGACUUAAUCUUCCCUUUGAUUAGAAGGCGAAACUAGCGUGCUAAGGCUAUCGAGUAGCCACACUCGCUCGUUUCCCUUAUCAGAAGGGGACUCUUCAGGCAAAUGAACCCUAUAACUAGCAUGAAAUGCAAAAAUCCUAAAAUGAGGGGAAAGGGGAAUCGAGGAGCAUGCCAGAUGAUAAAACUAAGGAAAAAUGCAUGAUAUGUAGUGAACAGGCAAAUAAUGCAUUAAUGAAAAACAAAGGAAAAAUCCUAUUGGGUCUAGCGUUGGACUAGCCCUUUCCAUGAAUUCCUAAUGAAAUAAUGAACCACAACUAGCAUUGGACUAGUGUGGUGACGUACAUUCAUCCAUCACAUUUAUUCAGGCUAUGGAAAGCGAGUAGACAUGCCAAACACUUAUAAACACAUAGCACAUAACAUUUUGCAUGCUCGACUAGAUGCAAGGCCCUAGCAAAGCAAAUUAACACGUAGCAACUAAGCAUGCAAGGCACAUGAGACAAUUAAAGCCCUAACUAUUACAUUUGCUAGCUAGGCACAAGUCUUCGAUAGGUCUUCAUUGAAUGCUCCUCCAAGCCUUAUCUAUUACAUUAGGGGGACCCUACUACAAUCUAAAAGGGGGAAAGGGAAUAAAAUAAUUGAAUCCCUAACUAUUACAAGCCAAGAGGUGUACACAUACCCCAUAAAGAAUAAUUUAAAUAAAAAGCAAAAGUAAAUGAAAUAAAUGAAAUAAAUGAAAGGAGUUAAAGGAAUGGCAAGGAAAGCAACGUAGACAUGCAAUUCACACUUAGCACGUUGGAUCACAUAGGAGAAAUAAAAAUCAAGGAGAUAUAGGUUACCUCCCUUGUAAUUGGGCCCCACUGAAGUGAAAUCACUUAUUUAUCCUCCAAAAUAAAAGAAAUGGUCAAGGCACCAAUUUAUUUGGCAAAUAAUCACAAAGGAUAAAAAUAAACAUGAAUUUGAAUCAAUUAAAUCAUGUCAACAAACCACAUUUAAGAAGUCAAGAGAAGAGAGGACUUGAUUGCAAAGAUUGAAAAAAAUUUUGGGGCCAAAAUUAAAGAAAAAUAAAGUUCAAGGGCCUAUUUGCAAUUAAACCAGGGACUCAAUUGAAAGGAAUGGAAAUGUCUAGGGCCACAGUAAAAAUAUCCAAAAGUCAGGGGACUGGAAUGAAAUUUCGUCAUUGGGCUACUGGACUUAACAGGCCAUUGGGCCCUUCUCUCUAUUUGUUUGGGCCAAGACUCCUUAGCCUGCCACAAAGCCCAGAGGCUACAUCUGGGCUGGCCUCUACUUAUCAAUAAAACAAACCCAACAAAAGAGUGGGCUUUAGCCCCCCUUAAGCCCAAGCCAAAAAUCCAAACAAAAUAAACUAAACCCACUUUCAUAAAUCCAAACAAAUUAUUAUUACCCACAACCCAAAUCAUAAUAUCAAACCUAACAAGAUUAGCAAAUCAACUAAAAUUAUUAGGCCAUAAUUAUAAUCCAAAUCCCAGAAUUAAUCUAUCCAACAAAUCACAUAAAAUAUGCAAACAGAGGAAUAAGCUUAAAAGGGCAAAAUUAGUUUGAUUUUUCCAGAUUUUGGGCCGUAAUGAAAUGAGACAGAAAAUGAGGGAUUAAAUUGCAAUUUUAGACAUUUCUUCACUCAUGUUUCGCAGAGGCUUUCCUCUUCAUUGCUGAUACCAGUUAAGCAUUUCAGCUUUCCUUUCGAUUAGCAAAACCAGAAAUUUGGUUUCGAUUCCAAUCAUUCCAGCAAACAAUGAAACUCACAACAAUACUCCCUCUCAACAUCGAUUCGGAUUCAAGCAUAGAGAUAAAAAAACAGAAAAAAAAAACAACGAACCAACACAGCUUCUAUCAUGGAGAAUCGUUCAUUAUGUUCGGACAAGCAAAAACCAUCCGAAUGUUCCAUUUUCUUCGUACGUAAAGCAAACGAAAUCAUCUUCAAGUAGAAGGUUCAUUCGGGCAUUUUAGCAAACAGCAAAUGGGCAUGAAAAAACUCAACAGAUUUCUGCUUAAAUUACAUUACAACCGGCCCCAAAAUUAUCAGAAAAGCAAGGAAUUCAGUCCAACACACGCAGAAAACAUAUGCGAACAAAAUUACCGACCCUCAACAGAAAAAAAAAAUCAUGAUGACAGACCCACGGCAGCCAUGCUUCUGAAAUUCAUUCUUGAAGAAAAAAAAACUGAAAUGUAAAAGGGAAAGAAUAGCUUACAUCGUUUCUCACGGUGAAGAUUCACGAGCGGCAGCGGUGAAUUCCGCUGAUGCGGUGGCGAGCAAUGGUGAUUCCAGUGAACGGCAGCAGCUACAAGCUUUUCGAAUUUGCCCUUUAUUUUUGCUGAAGCUUUCUUCCUCUGCUUCCGUUCGCGGCCGGGGACUUUUCCUCUAUUCUUCAUGUCGCUCUGUUCUUUUUGGCCAAAACCUCCCCUAUUUUCCCUUUUGCUGUUUUUCGUUGAUUGUUUCUUCCAUUUAUGCUCAGCCCGCCGCCCGGUUCCUCUUUUUUCCUGCUUUCCUUUCUUUUGCUCUCGGACGAAAUUUUUCUGUUUUUGUUCUUUUGCCCCUGCUCGGCAAUUCCGCCGCCCCUGCCCUCUCAGCUCUCAAGCCUUUUUGCUUUUUGCUCUCCCUUUUAGCCGCCACCCUCCUCGGCCUUUUCUCCGUGUUUUUUCCCUUUUUUCCUCAGAUUCUUAGCCCCCAGCUUCCCCUUGUUUUGUCUAGCCUCUGUUUUUUCCCCUUGCCCGCUGCUUGGCCCCUCUAUUUUUAGCUCUUUUCUCUUCCCCCUGUUUUCAAGCCUCUUCGAGGGUUUUUUCUUCCUUUUUUUCCGAUGCCCCCCAAAAAACCCCCCAAGUGUCCUUGACAGCUACCCCCUAUACACUUGUCCUACCAUUCCUCAACCACUUGUCUAAUGCUUAUUUGCACACUUGUUCAACAUGCAAUUGACACACUUGUUUAACAUGCUUAAUUUUUAAAAAUUACCUUGCAAAAUGCCUUAGCAAGAAAAAAUCAAAUUUUAAAAAGAUAAAAUGGAUCUUUAUUCGGGAUUUUCCUAAAAUUUAGUGUAAAAUUGCUUUAAAAAGAAAAUGAUGAAUUUUAAUGCAUUUAAAAUAAGAAUGAACAUCAAUUACCAUUUGCAACCUCCAAUCAAUUAAAAAUAAUAAAUAUGAGACAAGAAUAAAUAAUAAUAAUAAAACUAAAAAUUGAAUCAAAGGAAGUCAAAAUUGAAUGAAUAAAGCUAAAACUGAAUCGAUGAAAUUUUUGGUGUCUACAGUUUGCCCCUCUUUGUCUGAGUUUUGAAAAAACUUGAGACAAAGAAGUAGACACCAAAUGCUUACCUGUACCAUUCGGUUGCCCCUAUUCGGAGGGCUGACCUAAACAAGGAAUUUCAAACAUGGGACUGGCCUGAACAGAAUUGUAAACGGGAUAGACCCGGACAGGAAUGUAAAUGCGAUAGACUCGGAUAAAAAUGUAGAUGGGACAGACCCAUGGGAUAGACCCGAACAGAAAAUUAAAUAGAGAACUGUAUAGGACUUGUUUGAAAAAUUAUCUAAAAAAUUUGCCCCAGUGUGAUGAAUUGGUCGGUGGGAUAACAUCUGAGACCGACGGGGUGUGGACGGUCAGCGGGAUAAAACCCGGUCCUGCAGAGGUGAGCGGUCAGCGGGAUUAGACCCGGUCCUGCCGAGGUGAGCGGUCAGCGGGAUUAGACCCGGUCCUGCCGAGGUGAGCGGUCAGCGGGAUUAGACCCGGUCCUGCCGAAGUAAGCGGUCAGCGGGAUUAGACCCGGUCCUGCCGAAGUAAGCGGUCAGCGGGAUUAGACCCGGUCCUGCCGAGAUAAGCGGUCAGCGGGAUUAGACCCGGUCCUGCCGAGAUUGGCGGGAUAAAACCCGGUCCCAAUGUGACUUUUGUAAUGUUGGUGGCACUAAAUCCAAGCCCAACGUGACAAAGCGAAGUUGGUGGCACGAAAACCAAGCCAGGCCCAACGUGAUAAAGUGAUGUUGGCGGCACCAAGUCCAGGCCCAACGUGAUAAAGUGAUGUUGGCGGCACCAAGUCCAGGCCCAACGUGAUAAAGUGAAGUUGGCGGCACCAAGUCCAGGCCCAACGUGAUAAAGUGAUGUUGGCGGCACCAAGUUCAGGCCCAACGUGAUAAAGUGAUGUUGGCGGCACGAAAUCCAGGCCCAACUUGAUCUUUGGAAUGUUGGCGGCACCAAGUCCAGGCCCAACUUGAUUUGGAAUGUCAAGAGAAGGGGGGAACAGAAUGAUGCGCGGCGUGCAUUGGAGCUUCGCCCACAAGAAAUCAAAUUUGAUUUUUCAAGAAACAAGAAUUUGAACUUGAUUUUUGACUUUUUGAUUUGAUUUUUGGUUUUUUCUCUUUUUUUCUUUUUUCCUUCUUUUUUCCCUUUUUUCAAAAAUUUUAAAAAAAUAAUUUGCCCCAAGUGUAGUGUCCAUUUUUCCUCCUUCUUCUUGCUUCUCUUUGCAGUAUCGGCCUUCCGCCUUACUGGAUGCCUUUCGUCAUUUUGAAUCAUGAAUACCUGUACAAGGGGUUCAUCAAAGUAUGACAUGCACUUAAAUUCCAGGAAAAGAGCAGCGGGAUUGUUUCGAAAAAUGUUAUUAUUUGAUUUUUGGACACAAAUCUCAAAUGUAUUACAAAAAAUUUGCCCCAGUAUGGGCUUAUUUCAUGAAAUCUCACAAAUAAAAUUUUUGCCCCAGUGUGGGCUCCCUUAAUUGCAAAAAUUUGUUCAGAUGAUUUCCCAUUGAUUUGAACAAAGAAAAACCGCACUUUCUAAAAUUUAGAAAAGAGUGCACAUAUACAACAAUGUGAAGAAACUUUAAACGUCAAGUUUGAAACUCAUGCAGAAAUUUCAUGAUGAAUUCCUCGAAGUAACACCAAAUUCAAGAAGAUUUCUUCCUCACUUUUAGCAUUGGUGUUUAGGGUAACGGGUCACCACUUCUGGUUGGCUCAUUUUUCAGGACCAAUCAAGUGACUUUAUUUUUGAUUUGGAAGUGGCUGAAGGAAAAUGAGAGGUCAGAAUCUGUCUCAUUUUUGUGCCCCAAUUGUAUGUAAUCCAUUCAAUGUCACAUCUUAGUGAAAGCAAAGAGUUUGUCACCCUUAUUUUUCAAGAAAACUUAGUCAACAUACCAGCUUUCUAGGCUUGUAACGUAUGGACAGAAGUGAUAGCUAAACAUGUGGAAACGGGUUAUACCCUUAUGAUCACAAAUGAUUUGAUGAAUUUCUUAUGAGCAUGAUCCUCACUUUGGAUUGUCAUGAAGGAAUAAGUCAACGAUGGACUUUCUUAGCUUGUAAUUUGGCUUGAAAAACGAUAGCUAAAGAAUAAAACUUUCAAGGACAUUGCACCGAAGAUCACAUUUUUCCAAAAUUGCCCCUAUUUUGAACUCAAAAGAUCUCAGACUUUGUUUGCAUUUUUCUCAUCAUUUACCAGGGACUUCAGCGUCGAAUUUUUCUGUAUUUUCUUGCAUUUACUUUUCUUGCUUCGCUUUUUGCCUCUUUUUCCUUUCCCUCAACUUGGUGGAUUUUCACCUGGUAAGUAGCGUCAACCCCAUACCCAGGCAAUUCAGAAAUACAGCUGAAAUUUUCCGGCAUCAGAAAUUUUCUUGCCAGGGCCAUUGCAAAGAACAGAAGUCAGGACUUUCGGCUUUUGUAAUGGGGUCAGGUGGGGUGCUUAGAAAAGUUAAGGCUUGAAAGCGGAUUUCAAAAGUGGUUUGAAAAAUCUGAGAUCGCAUUGUUGCUCCAGCCCCAUUUUUAGGGUUAAAUCAGAAUUUGCCAGAGCUUGUGUUCAAUUGGGGCUUUUUCUCUUUCAUUUUCUUUCUUCUUUUGAUUUUUCGGCAUUCUGCCAUCUUUGAACUUUCACAAAAUUUGCCCCAGUUUAUUUUUAAACUGAGGUUCUCUUUUCUUCUUUUGCUUUUUGAUUUUGUGACUUUACCUUUUCACUUCUUGAAAUUUUUUCCUUUCAACUCAAACUUGCCCCAGUGUGGGGUUUGCGAUUCUCAGGGGUUGCCAAACGAAGUAUUUCAUUCUGAAGGCUCAAAAGGGAUAACUAGGGAUAGAUGCUUGAUCGGAAAAGAAGAUGGCCUGACUUGUAUUCCGUUCCUUACAUUAACUCUGAAAAGAAAUUUUCAUUAAUGGGAAAUUUUUGGCAUGUAUCCGAAUUAACUGACUGAGGAAGACCCUUGCUCAUUCAUGUCUAUGAAACAUAAGUGAUCCACCGGAUAGAACUUGUUUUCUUCUUUUUCUUUUCUUUUUUUUUUUCAAAAUUGGAACCCAAGUGAAAUCAAAUUCCCCAAAUUUGCGGUUCCCUCCUUAUUCUAGCAUUUUUUGCUUUUCCCCUUUUCUUUUCCCUUUUUUCAAAAUUUCCCAAUCUCCUUCCCCAAUGUGGGGUGCGAUCAUAUGUGCACUCGAAAAGAACCACCAAUUUAGCUCAAACGAGGAUGCAAGGGAUGAUCAGUGUUUAGAUUGUAGAACUGACGGCCAAAGUAUCAUUCUUAUACCUCAUGACAACCGAAGUAGCGAAAUGGUCAUUGAAAACCCAUUCUUCUUUUGAUAUUUGAAAAUUUUUCAAUGACGGGUAGUGAUCAUUAAGACCCUUAUUUGAAACGAAAUUAUUCUUUUAGAAGCUCAAAUGGGAGAGCAAAUGAUAAAAAUCUGUACAGGUAAUGAAACGAAUGCUUGAAGUAUCAUUCCAAAUUUUCCAAACAAAUAAGAAUAAUGCACAUUUUUGCUUUCACUUAGAUGUGAUUGAACCAGAUUAGACGCCUUGAACAUUUUCAAGCAAAAGUUGCCCCAAUUUACAAUUUAUCAAUCAAUGUGACUGAUUUUAUUUUGGAAUUAAGUGAAGGAGAAAGGUAUCUCAUAGGGCCUUUUGAGUGACCGUUCACUCUCUUUCUUUCUGAGCACUCUUAUUGUACAGGUUGGAACACCAAUCGAGUGUAAGGAUUUUAGGAAGCAUACACUUGUGAAAUUCAGGCUAUAGGUUGAAAAAUCUCAAAUUGGGUCUUAUUUCUCAAAAAUCAUCAUGAAAUCUCCAAUGAGUAAGAAUAAAGAAUGAAAUGUACAUAAAUAUACACAAAACAAAAAUUAUCCAAAAAAUUUUAUUGUUGAAAAAGUUUGAAACAAAAUUGCUCAAUCAAAUAUGAUACAAAUGAGAAGAGAGAAACUCGUAAAGAGCUCAACACAUACACUUUUUGUCUCCUUUUCUUUUGGAACAAAAUGUAUUAACAAAUCAAAUAAAUAGAAUUUCCCCUUUAUGCUUUCGCGGCAAUGUCUACCUAAAAAUCAAGUAAUACUUGUAAUCUUCAAGCUUUAUUGGAUCAAAAUUAUCAGAUAUAGAAGAAUAUUCUCGCCUUAUUGAAACAUUUUUAUAAAUGCAGGGGGAGGGGAAAACAAAAAGAAAAAUACCCAGAGUCAGUAAGUAAGAAUAAAAAAAAUCGGUAUGCAUGUCCUAUGGGGGAACCCUUUUUAUGCCAAGGGUAAGCCUAGCAUGAAAAUGCAAUCCUCUAGGGAAGCACUAUACCAUACCUGACGGAUCUGAUCAACUCAUUGAGUGAAAAAUAAUUUGAAAAAUUUGGCCAUUGGAGUGGCAAGAGAUUUGUCAAAAUGAGGACAACGUCCGAAUAGAUUGAUCACCUUUGAUUUGCAAAACGCAUGGGUUUGACCUUGACGAACUCCUAUCGAAGAGAUUGGAAUUCGUUGAUAAAAUUUCUCAGUGAAUUACGGGUCAAAAACCCUAAUUGAUCAAGUGAUUGGAUGCAAUGGACGGUUUUCUUCAAAAUUGACUAGAUUUCCCAAUUUGGAAUUCGACAUUGAAAUCCUAAUUGGUCAAAUGAAAUUGACAAUUUAUUGAAAAUCGACCGGAUUACCCUAGAAGGGAAACAGGUCAAAAACGGCUCGGUUGCCCUAAAAAAAGGUAAAUUGGCCAAAUGAAUGAAAUUGAAUUAGUGACUUGUUCAAAAAUCGGCCGAACGACCCUAAAAAGGGUAAAUCGGUCAAAUGAAUUGAUGAUUUAUUCAAAAUCGACCGGAUGACCCUAAAAAGGGUAAAUUGGUCAAAUGAAUUGACGAUUUAUUCAAAAUCGACCAGGUGACCCUAAAAAGGGUAAAUUGAUCAAAUGAAUUGAUGAUUUAUUGAAAAUCGACCAGGUGACCCUAAAAAGGGUAAAUUGGUCAAAUGAAUUGACGAUUUAUUCAAAAUCGACCGGAUGACCCUAAAAAGGGUAAAUUGAUCAAAUGAAUUGAUGAUUUAUUGAAUGAAUGGGUAAAAUGGAUUGGUUGUGUCGCGCCCCACUUUUUGAAAAAUAAGUGUGAAUGUGUGAUGGUGUGUGAGUGUGUGUGAUAUACAUGUGAACGUGUGCGGAAUGAAAAGUAAAAGGCCAUGGGACUUAGAAUGCGACGAUUUGGCCAAGUGAAGUUCAAAAGGGUUUUGGUAUCAAAAAAUGGAGUCGCCACUUGGUAUAGAGUUAGGGUGUACCAAGUCACCCAAAAAUGAUUUUUGUUUUUGAAUAAAAAAAAGUAAAUAAACCCUUUUUGAGAACUUUUGGGUCUGCGUAACCAAAAGAGGGAUCGGGGGUCACAUUUGACGAAGGGGAAGGCAAGGAUAAAAAUCCAAGGCACCCCUUCGACCUAGCCAAGGCUAGUUGCGUGACUUAAACCAAUUUUCCUAAUUUUUCUACCCAAUGUAUGUUCGCACGUUGGAUAUGACUAUAUGAAUGCAAAACGGAAAGGAAAAUGCAAUCCUAAAUUCUACGAUGUCUUUCGUGAGGCUUUUGGUCCCAAACCACAUGAAUUGUGGCGGCCAACAAAGGAAAACCCCCAUAGAGGUCGAUUAAUGCAAAUGAGACUCAAAUGUGCAAGUGUGGAAGUGUAUGAAAGAAAUUAAAAAUCCAAGUGUUUGUGUGCAAGUGUAUGAAAAGGUGCACGUGUGCAAUUGUAUGAAAAUUCCAAGUGUUUGUGUGCAAGUGUAUGAAAAGGUGCACGUGUGCAAUUGUAUGAAAAUUCCAAGUGUUUGUGUGCAAGUGUAUGAAAUAUAGUGAUAAGUGCAUAUAGGUGUAAUUAAAUGCAAUUUUGUGAAGUAGAAAUCAAAAUGAACAACAAGGAAAGGAAAAUGUGAAUUGAAAAGAAUGAGUGAGUGAUAAAUGAGAAUGAAUGAACCUAAGGGAAUGCAUCAGGUCGGGUAUGGGAAUGACUCCUAACUUGUCGACUUCGAUUUUCCCUUUGAUUAGAAGGUAAAACUAGCGUGCUAAGGCUAUCGAGUAGCCACACUCGCUCGUUUCCCUUAUCAGAAGGGGACCUUCAAGCAAAUGGACCCUACAACUAUCAUGAUAUGCAAAAAUCCUAAAAUGAAGGGAAAGGGGGUUCGAGGAGCAUGCCAAGUGAUAAAACUAAGAAAAAUGCAUGAUAUGUGGUGAACAAGCAAAUGAUAUGCUAAUGAGGGGAAAUCCCUAAGGGUCUAGCGUUGGACUAGCCCAUUCUAUGAAUUCCGACUAGCGUUGGACUAGCCCAUUCUAUGAAUUCCGACUAGCGUUGGACUAGCGGAAACGUACAUUCAUCCAUUCCAUUCAUUCAUGGCUAUGAAAGCAAGUAGACAUGCCAAAAUACUCGUAAACACAUAGCACAUAGCAUUUAGCAUGCUCGACUAGAUGCAAGAGCCUAAUAAAGCAAUUAAACAUGUAGCAACAAAAACAAGCAAGCAAGGGGAAGGGGAAGUGGACCAGAUGCUCUCCGAGCCCUAUCUAUUACAAGCCAAGAGGUGUACACAUACCCCAUAAAAGCAUAAAGGGGAAGGGGAAGUGGACCAGAUGCUCUCCGAGCACUAUCUAUUACAAGCCAAGAGGUGUACACAUACCCCAUAAAACUUAAAUAAAAGUAAGGCAAGUAAAUGCACGCAAGGAGGUAAGGAAAGCGAAGUAGACAGGCAUAUUCACAUAACACAUAAGGUCACAUAGGAUCAAAUGAAGUGCAAAUGAGGGAUAGAGUGUACCUCCCUUGGAAUGGAGUCCAAAUGAAGUGAAAUUAUUCAAUUACCCUCCAAAAUAAUAAAAAGGUCAUGGCACCACUUUAUUUAAGAAAAAUUAAAAGAAAUGGGCAAAACAAGGCUCACCUAGUCAUAAAGUCCCUAAAGUCAUAACUUAAGUGCAAUUUAAGCAAAGCAAGGUGGCUAAUUGGAAUCGAACAAACAAUGAAAUUGCAAAAGUUAAAACUACCAAGGACCAAGUUGAAGACAUUAUUCAAUUAGUUGGGUCAAAGUAGCAUUAGUUAGAAGCCAAGGGGUCAAAAUGCAAUUUUAGAAAAUUAUUUCAUGCAAUCUUCAUGCAAAGAACGUAGCUUAUAUUCUGCAACAAAGUUUCAGCCAUUUCUAAAGCCUUUUGCACUAUUCUAGCCGUAGCUUGCGUUUCAAUUCAUUGUCUUAAAUGAAACAAAAAUGUAAUCUUCAUCCGAACACAGCCCAACAUCCCAAUCCAACAUCAAACCGCAAUUUCUAGCAAGAAAACAAAGCUAAACAUUUGAAUAUACAAACAGCAAGAGAAAUUCUGCAUUUUUCGACAUAUGAUUUCAGCAAUGAGACUUGCUGCAUUUUCUUUCAACCUCUGAUUUCUAAUCCCAGCUUUGAUUAGAUAUUUUCAACCCAACAUCACCACUUUAGAUUAAGCAAGCAAAAAACUACACAGCCUCCACGAUUCAAACAAGCAAACUCUUAGAAAAAGCAACAUCAUGCGAAAUUCUGGACAGCAUGCUUGAAAAACAAAAGUUUCUGCAAUAAAAAAAAAAACAAAGCUUGCGGCCCUUUGCCAAGCUCAACGCAAUUUUCCAGGUUCACAGCUUCAAACUAGGCAAUAUACUACAUCAUUAACAUCAUCCUAGCAAACAGAAAUCUUAGCAACAUCCCACGCAAAAAAAAUCCAGGCAAUUAUGCAAGCAUUUGAUGAACUAAACUAAUGCAACCUUUCUAGUUUUACCCUCCAAAACCAGAUUUCAUAGCCAAGCAUAUGCACUUUUGGACCAUAAAAUCCUUAUGUUUAAGCACAAUAAAUUGAACAAAAACUGUAUAAGUAUCGAAGAACAACAUUCUGUAAUUUGGAAGCAGAAAAAUUCAUGUCAAACUUCGAACCAAAACCAGCAGACCCAUCACUCGAAACCUUUAACAAGCUGAACAUUUUGAUGAACGCAAACCAGUUGCAAAACCAAACCAUUAAAAACCAAACGAGGAACCCAACGAAUAGCACAGAAACAACAACCAGAUUUCUGGAUUUUAUCUUUAAGAAAUUAUCCUAACAAAAGGAUCGGCAAAUUAAGCUAACAUGGAGGAACCAGAAAUGAAUUCCGAUUUGAAAGCGUAGACAGCAACAAUAAACAGAAAGAAAAAUCAAAAUGACGAUUCAACAAAGAACAAAAAGGAAAGGGACUAAGACACCAAUCUAGGAGAGUACUUGCCCAAACGUUUUUGGAUCAAAAUCUGGACAGGAAACGUCAUGAAAGAGCGGCCGAAGCUGUCCCGUUCGGCUCCGAAACCGCACCAGCAAAAUUAAGCAGCGAUCUUUGGGGGCGAAUUCAAAGGAUCAUUCGAUGUUUUCUGCCAACAAAUUCUGAACGAAACCUCCUCCCCUUACUUCCUAGUUAGUGCAGAAACUGAGAGUUACUUAAAAGAACCAGAGAUCAAAGAGAAAUCUGAUCCGGAACAUGGCUCAUAGCCGGCCUUUGGUCAGAAAAAUUGCAGCUUUAUCACUUCUGUUCCAAUUUUGUUCGUAGCCUUCUUCUCCUCCGUCCAUUGCUCAUUUCCUCCUUGCUUAUCACGGUUCCUUCCCCAAGCUCUUCCUCUCUCUGCUUUCCUUCUUCCUUCUUCCAGAACCCACGCCGUCAAUCUCUUUCUUUCUACAUCUAUUUGCUUCAGCCGCCACCUUGCCCUUUCUUUUCUUUUUCCUCUCAAAGCUCCUCCUCUCCGUUUUUCUGGUUUCUUUCCUUAGCCCACCGAAGCCUCAGCUCUCCCAUUGCUCUCCCCUCUGUCCAGUUUUGCUCCCGUUUUUUCUUUCCGCUCCCGUUAGCUGCAAAACUCUCCCCACGAUGAAGCUCUCCUUGCGGCUGAUGUCUUCUUUCCUUUUUGUACCAUCUCCCAAUCCCCUAAACCUGCUCUCAAUGGCCAGCAAUCAACCUCCUCUCAGCCCCUUAUCUUAGCCAUCCGAUGGGCAUUGAGGUUGUGCCUCGCACGCUGCAAAAAAAAAAAAAUGCAGCGUGCACGCUGCGGUAAUCUCUUUUUUUUUUUUUUUAUAAAAAGAAUGCAUAUAAAUGAUAAUAAUAAUAAUAACAAAAUGACAGAACCAUGCAAUAAUAAUAAGAACGAAAACAAAUAAAUAAAUAAUAAAAAAAACAAACUAAAUAAAAACGACAAAAUGUCCAUUUUUCAAAUUUUCUACAUUUUCUUUCUUUUCAUUUUCAUUCAUUUUCUUUUUCUCAAAAUAACUUAAUAAAAAUAACUAAAGUGCCCAAAGAUUGAAUAAACAUAUUUUGUGAACAAAUUUUCCCUUUUUUUCUUUUUUUCAUUUCAAGAAUUUCUAUGCUAAAAACUUAAAAAUAAAAAUAAAACUAUAAACUAAAAACUAAAAAUCGAAUAAAACUAGCAUGACAAAUAAAAACUAAAAAUAAACAGUAAAUGAAAUUACACCAAAAAUUUGGUGUCUACAGGUUGAAUUGUCCGGCCAUUGGUGAUUUCAAAAUGAUUGAGAUGCAUUAGUCUAUGAGCUUCUAAAAAUCAAAUUUUGGCCUCAAUUUAUUUAUCGUCUCAAUAGAAGGAAUCAUUUGUGAAUUUCUUCAAAUUACUGUCCUUCACGCAAGGAAUUUUUACCAAUUUUUGAUAAAAUGGCCAAAAAGUGAUUAUUAGAUGCUCAUAUUCCAAAGAUCACUCUAUGAAAAUGAUCGGAUCCUACCUUACCUUGUGCACUACCCCCUUUGGAUGGUACAAAAUGUAAACGUGCAAGUCUCACUGGAUUAAGUAUCCGAGACACAAGGUGGCUUAUUCCUGACACGGGAUCCCCUAAAUGGCAUUCCCUUUCUAGGGUUUAUGCAUGAUGUCAUUUAUUAAAGCGAUGUAAAUAUGUGACAAAUAUGACCUAAGGGACAUAAAUAAUGCAUCGGGGGAAAAAAGGUCUAAAAUGAAAUGUAUUUAUUAAGUAUAAUGACUGAAAUUUAAACAUGUGAGUUAUCUAGUGGAUAGGUCACUAAAAGAGUGCCAAAAGGGCCUCUUAUUGCUAGGGCAUAUGAAUGCAAGCCAAGAAAACAAAAGAAUGGUUAGUGCAAUUGGUAAUACACAUAACAUAUUGGGAGCAAUUAAGAAAAAGAAAUACAAUAAAGCAAGUAAGAGGGGUGGAACCCCUUCCCUCGUGCCUAAUGUGUUUAAAAUAGGGUGAGGCUGACUCUAACCUAGGAAAAUUCUAACAUGGAUGCAUGAGGCUGGGGUUCACUAAUGCAUCUAGACUCGAUAAGGUUUCGGCUCCCAAGCCUUCAGACCUAAAGGCGAAGGGUCAUCACUCCCAGGGCCUUUGAUCGGUGGCUCGAGUGAUCCCUUAGGUAGCGCUAUGGGCGCAGAGCACACCAGCCGCCUACCCAAGGCGCCUACCCAAGGCAAUCGAUCCUAAUCCUACAAGGCGGUGUGGGAAACGCCCACGAAAAAUAAAAUAAAAUGGGAUAAAAGCAAGUAAACGUGCACGUAUGAAGUGUUUUCCUAUUUUGAGGGAAGGGGUUGAGAACCACGAGAGGCUCUAAAGGUGACACACCCCCUCCCAAAUGCAAUGCAAGCGCGAGAUAAACAAGUAAACAUACAUCCAAUCAACCAAUCACACGUACGUGAGUGAGGGAAUAGUUUGAUACGCGCGUGAGGAAAAGGGUCCUAAAAAGGGAAAAUGCAACCCUAAUAUCCACAUGCUAUACAUAAAAAAGGUAGAAAAAAGGAAAAGAACGGCUAAAUCAAAUGCUCGGACCCACUUAGGAAGUCCCCAGUGGAGUCGCCAACUGUCGCGCCCCACUUUUCGAAGAUGAUGAGUUGUGGUGUGUGUGUGGUGUGAGAUGUGAGUGGUGUAAUGGAAUGUGAACGUGUGUAAAUGAAAAGUAAAAGGCCAUGGGACUUGAUAAUGCGACGGUUUGGCCAUAUAAAGUUCAAAAAGGGUUUUUUGUAUCAAAAAUGGAGUCGCCACUUGGUAUAGGGUUAGGGUGUACCAAGUCACCCAAAAAAUGGUUUUUUGUUUUUGAAUAAAAAAAGUAAAUAAACCCUUUUAAAGAACUUUUGGGUCUACGUAACCAAAAAGAGGGAUCGGGGGUCACAUUUGACGAAGGGGAAGGCAAGGAUAAAAAAUCCAAGGCACCCCUUCGACCUAGCCAAGGCUAGUUGCGUGACUUAAACCAAUUUUUCCUAAUUUUUCUACCCAAGGUAUGUAUCGCGUGUUGGAUAUGUCUAUAUGAAUGCAAAACCCUAGACCUAGGGGUAUUGGGGGAAAUUUCUCUUCAAAGGUUGAGUGGUGCCAAUCACAUUAAUUGUGAAGCCCAAUAAUGAUCCUUUGGAGAGGUCACACGUAAUCCUAAAUGACGUAAAAAUGAAUGGGGUGCAUGUCAUGUGAAAAUGUAAGUUUAUGUGAAGUGAGAAAAGUGGAGGUGUGCAAAUGUAUUUACAAGGUAAGGUGAGUAAAGAAUGAUAAUGUGAAAAUAAUAUAAAGUGCAUGUGUGCGAGUGAUAUGGCAUAGAGUGUGAGUAGUUAAAUGAAAACGUGUAAAAGUAGUGUGAAGUGAGAAUGUGGAAAAAGGGUUAGAAUAUAAAGUAAGUGUAUGUGAUAGUGAAUGAAUAGAAUGCAUGAAUCCUAUAGGAAUGCAUCAAGACGGGAACGGGGAGUCCUAACUUUGUGACUUAAUCUUCCCUUUGAUUAGAAGGCGAAACUAGCGUGCUAAGGCUAUCGAGUAGCCACACUCGCUCGUUUCCCUUAUCAGAAGGGGACUCUUCAGGCAAAUGAACCCUAUAACUAGCAUGAAAUGCAAAAAUCCUAAAAUGAGGGGAAAGGGGAAUCGAGGAGCAUGCCAGAUGAUAAAACUAAGGAAAAAUGCAUGAUAUGUAGUGAACAGGCAAAUAAUGCAUUAAUGAAAAACAAAGGAAAAAUCCUAUUGGGUCUAGCGUUGGACUAGCCCUUUCCAUGAAUUCCUAAUGAAAUAAUGAACCACAACUAGCAUUGGACUAGUGUGGUGACGUACAUUCAUCCAUCACAUUUAUUCAGGCUAUGGAAAGCGAGUAGACAUGCCAAACACUUAUAAACACAUAGCACAUAACAUUUUGCAUGCUCGACUAGAUGCAAGGCCCUAGCAAAGCAAAUUAACACGUAGCAACUAAGCAUGCAAGGCACAUGAGACAAUUAAAGCCCUAACUAUUACAUUUGCUAGCUAGGCACAAGUCUUCGAUAGGUCUUCAUUGAAUGCUCCUCCAAGCCUUAUCUAUUACAUUAGGGGGACCCUACUACAAUCUAAAAGGGGGAAAGGGAAUAAAAUAAUUGAAUCCCUAACUAUUACAAGCCAAGAGGUGUACACAUACCCCAUAAAGAAUAAUUUAAAUAAAAAGCAAAAGUAAAUGAAAUAAAUGAAAUAAAUGAAAGGAGUUAAAGGAAUGGCAAGGAAAGCAACGUAGACAUGCAAUUCACACUUAGCACGUUGGAUCACAUAGGAGAAAUAAAAAUCAAGGAGAUAUAGGUUACCUCCCUUGUAAUUGGGCCCCACUGAAGUGAAAUCACUUAUUUAUCCUCCAAAAUAAAAGAAAUGGUCAAGACACCAAUUUAUUUGGCAAAUAAUCACAAAGGAUAAAAAUAAACAUGAAUUUGAAUCAAUUAAAUCAUGUCAACAAACCACAUUUAAGAAGUCAAGAGAAGAGAGGACUUGAUUGCAAAGAUUGAAAAAAAUUUUGGGGCCAAAAUUAAAGAAAAAUAAAGUUCAAGGGCCUAUUUGCAAUUAAACCAGGGACUCAAUUGAAAGGAAUGGAAAUGUCUAGGGCCACAGUAAAAAUAUCCAAAAGUCAGGGGACUGGAAUGAAAUUUCGUCAUUGGGCUACUGGACUUAACAGGCCAUUGGGCCCUUCUCUCUAUUUGUUUGGGCCAAGACUCCUUAGCCUGCCACAAAGCCCAGAGGCUACAUCUGGGCUGGCCUCUACUUAUCAAUAAAACAAACCCAACAAAAGAGUGGGCUUUAGCCCCCCUUAAGCCCAAGCCAAAAAUCCAAACAAAAUAAACUAAACCCACUUUCAUAAAUCCAAACAAAUUAUUAUUACCCACAACCCAAAUCAUAAUAUCAAACCUAACAAGAUUAGCAAAUCAACUAAAAUUAUUAGGCCAUAAUUAUAAUCCAAAUCCCAGAAUUAAUCUAUCCAACAAAUCACAUAAAAUAUGCAAACAGAGGAAUAAGCUUAAAAGGGCAAAAUUAGUUUGAUUUUUCCAGAUUUUGGGCCGUAAUGAAAUGAGACAGAAAAUGAGGGAUUAAAUUGCAAUUUUAGACAUUUCUUCACUCAUGUUUCGCAGAGGCUUUCCUCUUCAUUGCUGAUACCAGUUAAGCAUUUCAGCUUUCCUUUCGAUUAGCAAAACCAGAAAUUUGGUUUCGAUUCCAAUCAUUCCAGCAAACAAUGAAACUCACAACAAUACUCCCUCUCAACAUCGAUUCGGAUUCAAGCAUAGAGAUAAAAAAACAGAAAAAAAAAACAACGAACCAACACAGCUUCUAUCAUGGAGAAUCGUUCAUUAUGUUCGGACAAGCAAAAACCAUCCGAAUGUUCCAUUUUCUUCGUACGUAAAGCAAACGAAAUCAUCUUCAAGUAGAAGGUUCAUUCGGGCAUUUUAGCAAACAGCAAAUGGGCAUGAAAAAACUCAACAGAUUUCUGCUUAAAUUACAUUACAACCGGCCCCAAAAUUAUCAGAAAAGCAAGGAAUUCAGUCCAACACAUGCAGAAAACAUAUGCGAACAAAAUUACCGACCCUCAACAGAAAAAAAAAAUCAUGAUGACAGACCCACGGCAGCCAUGCUUCUGAAAUUCAUUCUUGAAGAAAAAAAAAACUGAAAUGUAAAAGGGAAAGAAUAGCUUACAUCGUUUCUCACGGUAAAGAUUCACGAGCGGCAGCGGUGAAUUCCGCUGAUGCGGUGGCGAGCAAUGGUGAUUCCAGUGAACGGCAGCAGCUACAAGCUUUUCGAAUUUGCCCUUUAUUUUUGCUGAAGCUUUCUUCCUCUGCUUCCGUUCGCGGCCGGGGACUUUUCCUCUAUUCUUCAUGUCGCUCUGUUCUUUUUGGCCAAAACCUCCCCUAUUUUCCCUUUUGCUGUUUUUCGUUGAUUGUUUCUUCCAUUUAUGCUCAGCCCGCCGCCCGGUUCCUCUUUUUUCCUGCUUUCCUUUCUUUUGCUCUCGGACGAAAUUUUUCUGUUUUUGUUCUUUUGCCCCUGCUCGGCAAUUCCGCCGCCCCUGCCCUCUCAGCUCUCAAGCCUUUUUGCUUUUUGCUCUCCCUUUUAGCCGCCACCCUCCUCGGCCUUUUCUCCGUGUUUUUUCCCUUUUUUCCUCAGAUUCUUAGCCCCCAGCUUCCCCUUGUUUUGUCUAGCCUCUGUUUUUUCCCCUUGCCCGCUGCUUGGCCCCUCUAUUUUUAGCUCUUUUCUCUUCCCCCUGUUUUCAAGCCUCUUCGAGGGUUUUUUCUUCCUUUUUUUCCGAUGCCCCCCAAAAAACCCCCCAAGUGUCCUUGACAGCUACCCCCUAUACACUUGUCCUACCAUUCCUCAACCACUUGUCUAAUGCUUAUUUGCACACUUGUUCAACAUGCAAUUGACACACUUGUUUAACAUGCUUAAUUUUUAAAAAUUACCUUGCAAAAUGCCUUAGCAAGAAAAAAUCAAAUUUUAAAAAGAUAAAAUGGAUCUUUAUUCGGGAUUUUCCUAAAAUUUAGUGUAAAAUUGCUUUAAAAAGAAAAUGAUGAAUUUUAAUGCAUUUAAAAUAAGAAUGAACAUCAAUUACCAUUUGCAACCUCCAAUCAAUUAAAAAUAAUAAAUAUGAGACAAGAAUAAAUAAUAAUAAUAAAACUAAAAAUUGAAUCAAAGGAAGUCAAAAUUGAAUGAAUAAAGCUAAAACUGAAUCGAUGAAAUUUUUGGUGUCUACAAUCAUCAAACUGUAAAUAAGGAUCAUCAGAAACUCCUAGCAAUGAUGGCUCUUCAAAAGCAUCCGAUAAGUGGGGGCAAGAAAUUUUUUCCGAGCAGCUCAUAUAGGCUAGCUGACAGUCAUUGAGCAAUCAGAACACAGACCGAAAACUUUCUGCGAUUAAGUAACAACUAGUUUCAAGGACAAGAAGCCAGGAAAAAAAGAGCAAACUUGUAGUAAUGUACUAAUAUAGCAAGUAAAUUCUUACUGCUAGACCUUGUGGUUGAAACGAUAGAUUGAUAGUGUACAAGCUCCAACGAUAAGGAUAUCAGGUGUUGGCUAUCUGAGACAGCAAUAUGAAAGAAAAGAGUGCCAUCAUAAACAUUUCUGUCCAAGAUACUGGCUAUGCAAUUCAACGAGUAAUUAGUAGCCAAUGGAGAUUUCUAGUUAAACUUUGAGCCUAAGUUCACCGCAAAACAGAAAAUUCGAACUCAAAUAUUAUGUAGAGAGCAAGAAAUCUAACAAGCCAAUUCAGAUAAUUUCAUGAAGCUAUUGUUCGGUCAAUCCUACAAAAACAAAGCAUGGAACAGAAUAUGAACAGAGUUAUAGUAAUACAUCAAAGCAGGGAGCAGGAUAGGUGCUUUGUUUCAUGCUAAUUGAUGGUUACAAGAGUAUUAUGUUGUUAGGAGUAAUGAAAAGCACCAAUAUUUUGGACCUGCUAAGGAAUGCUAAUGGUGUAGCUUUGAAAGAUAAUAAAUAGGACUAGAAAAAGGAAGAAGAGAAAAUUGUGAUGAAGGUUAAUCAAAAUGGGGUGGUGAAGAGAAGGCAAAUCUCAAAACGACAAAGAGAUUGAUUAUAAGGCAGGAGGCAGUCUUACAUGAUUGAAUUCGAUUUGAAGAUGAACUGUUAACCACUUAUGUCUAGUUAUUGAAUAUGAGUAACUUUGGACCACUGGGAGUCGGGGCUGCUGCUCUCAGGAGUGCAUCUUUCUUUUAACACAGGAGAACCAUAAACGUGCAGACAUUUUAGUUUGGUGAGACUUCUCAUGGCAUCCUCAGAGGGUAGAUGUCCAAGCUCUUUGAAAUCAUAUAAAUAUAGUUCUUCAAGAGCAGCGAAGUUUCCGAACCAAUCUGGCAGAGCUUUUAUACCUCCAAAGUAACCUAGCGCGAGUGACGUGAGAGCGGUCAAGUAUUGGAUCUGAGGUGGCAGGGACUCCAUGUGUGGCAACCCAUAUAAGUAUAAUUCACGGAGUGCGGAUGAUGAAGAGGAGGAGGAGGAGGAUAUCAAUCCAGACCAAUCAAACUCAUUGUAAAUUGAAGAAUUUUCAUGAUCAUCACCAUCAUCUAAGAAGGGACCAAUUGUAAGCUCCCUUAAGCUGGUUAGGAAACCAAAUCCUUUGGGCAUCAUGCUUGUUUUCAGUUUGCGACACCACAAUAAUUUCAGCUUCUAGAGAGAAGGCGUUUGUUGCAAAUCAAGCGGAAAGGAGAUAAGAUUGUCGCAACAAACCACCCGAAGCUUUUGGAGAGAGGCACAAGAGUGUAGCAUGUCACCUGGCAGAUUCGUCAACCCACGGCAACCCCAAAUCUCCAGCUGUUUAAGAGACGUAGAGUUUUGUAGGGGAAGCAGUUCUCUGCAUCUGUUGCAGUAAUUAAAUUCCAAACUCGCUAACUUGGGGAGUGUUGUUGGCAAAUCCAUUAACCAUUGAGGAAAUUGAUCGCUCAUGAAAUUCGAAAUUGACAACUCCUUCAAAUUUGGGUGGGGUCGAAGGCCAUCUAACACAUCUUCGUCGUGGUUGUCACCUUCUCGAUUGUUGGUCCACUCAAGUCGCAACUUAGAUAGAUUUUUCUUUUCAGAUAGACAUGUUUUUUCAGCUCCUUCCUUAUCCUUUACUAGUUCAAGAUUGCGUAUCUCCAAACUGCCCUUGAGGUUUUUCAAGCAUCCAAGCUCUCUAACUUGUCUACCCUUCUCUCGACCCACAUUAAAGAACUUUAGUGUUUGAAGGCAAAUUAGUCGUCCCAUGUCUAGCGGCAUUUGAAAUUCUUUAUCACUUUUGUAAUAAUGAAGAUGUCUCAAGCUAAUCAAAUUGGACAUGCUCUUCGGAAGAUCAUCAACCGCUGAGUAACUCAGCGUCAAUGUUUGCAGAUUAUAAAGCUUGCAAAGGGAAUCCGGCAAAAUACGGAUUGCAGAUUCCGAAAGGUCAACACACCGCAAAUGCAUCAAUUUGCCAAUUGAGAUUGGCAACUCCUCAAUUUCUCCACGAGACAAAUUCAAAACAUACAAGUUCUUCAACUUCAUUAACAUGUCAUCAGAUAAGUCACCCUUUACAAACAAUGUAUGAAGCGAAGCUGAUAGACUCUCCAAAAGUUUUUCUCUGUCUUCUGCACCAACAAAUGAGUCUAUUGUAAGGUAACGAAUCUGAUUAUCGUUGUCUACUGUAUAUGUAUCCCCAUUAUUAAUGACUUUGGUAGACUUUGACAUUGACUCUGCAAGGUCAUGCACCAAAUCAUGCAUCUUAUAAUAUGUUUUCCAAUCAUAUCUUAUUUCUUCAAACAAUGAACUCUGCAAUAAAAUUCUCAGAUAAUUCAUUCCAAUUUCCUCCAUCAUCAUUUGGCUGUUGACAUCUGCUUGGAGGAAACCUUCUGCCAUCCAAAGUUCGAUAAGCAUAUUCCUUUCUAUCUCACUAUCCUUAGGAAAUAUAGACCAAUAUGCAAAACAUUUCUUAAUGUAUGGAGAUGGCAAAUUAUCAAAACUCAACUUAAGUAUUUGCAUGACACGAUCUUCAUCUCCACUAAAACUCAAAAGCCUAUUCUCCAAAAUUGAUUGCCACUCCUCUUUUCUCUUUAAACGUAAUAGACCUCCGAUUACACUUGCAGCCAAUGGUAGACCAUCACAUCUUUUGAUUACUCUCUCUUUAAUUGCUUUUAGUUCGUAAGGUACUUCUCCCCCUCCAACUACUUUUUCUUUUAGGAUAGACCAGCAAAGAUCAUCAGGUAGCCUUCCUAAGGCAUAGGCUUCAUCAUCCAUCAUCAAAGCUCCAGACACAAUACCUGCCACCUGACCACUACGAGUAGUGACAAGACACCAGCUUCCAUCAGUUGGAUUGAGUCCUUUCAAGGUGGUGAAAAGGUCAUCCCACAAUGCAUGAUUAUCAUCCCACACAUCAUCAAGAACUAGGAGAUAUCUUUUUCCCCCAAGUUGAUUCUGAAUUUUUUCAACGAUGACUUCCCUAACAUCUACUUCAACCUUUUCUUUUGUCAAAUGCACUAAUAUGAGUUUGAAAAGCUCCUCUAUUGGAACUUUUUUUGAUGCACAAACCCAAACCUUUUUGUCGAAGUGCCCAUCAAUUUGCUGAUUGUUGUAUAUCGAUUUAGCCAAAGUUGUUUUGCCUAGACCUCCCAUACCAAUUAUGGGAAGAACAGAAACAACCUUCUCAGACGGGCUCAACAGCAUCUUCACUAUCUUUGAUUCAUCAUCGGCUCUUCCAACCAUUGGAGCAACAACUGAGUCGGUCUGCCGAUUUCUUGUGUCUCCAGCAGCAGGAGCAGCAGGGAGGGUAGCUGUCAAGACUGGCCUACUGACCAGUCCCAAUCCAUGGGCAUCUUGAUAGAUGCCAUUCAACUUAACUUUGAUGUCCCUGACCUUAGAAGCCAUCCUCCAACGAAAAGCAAGAUUAAUGUUAGAGAAGGAGAAGAAGCAGCAUACCUUUUGCUUGUGUCGGUUUCGGGACUCCACCUGGUGACGAAGAGAUUCAUAGUGAAGCUCAUCCAACACGUUGUCAGCAUCAUAAGCAACCUCCUCGAGACUCUUCAACCAUUCUUGCACUGCCGUCUCCUGGUUAUGCUGCCUUUCCUCAGCAUCAGUCAAGAAAGCUUUGAUCAAGCGUAGAGAACGGGUCAUGCUGGCCAAAUCCUCCUCGAAUCCAACUAACAUACCAAUCCUAUCAGAGGCAAGAGACAGUGCCAUUUCCAAGGUGACCUGAAUUGUUGAACUAAUAAGAGCGUCAGCCAUUUUUGCUGCCUUGGAUUCAGUGUUGAGAUCAAGAUGGUUUUUUUGAUGGAAGGUUUUAUGCAGCCAGGAACUGGUAAUCUUAUCUAGGCUAGUAUAAUUGGUUAUGAAGAAAGGAGCAUUAACAAUUAUUCCGCGUAGACGUGGAGGUCUUCUCUGACAAAUCGUAAGCUUUUGUAUUGGCAUGUUUACAGUAACUUUCUCAAUUAUUGUUAGUUGUUCGGGCAUCAUGGUUUCUGAUUAAAUAAUUUAAAUGCUGGGGCCUUCAAAUUUUUUGGUUGUGGACCAUUGUUUUUGUCCGCGAUCAAAUCAUAAAGCAGGGGCGGAUUUAAGGUGGGGCAUUGGGGGCACGGGCUCCACUGUCCCCCUUAAAUUCCUAUAAUACAUAUACAAUUUUGAUAUAAUUUUAAGUAUGUUUUCAGAGUUUUUUUAGAAAGGAUAUCAAGAAUUACGUAAUUUUUUAAGUUAGUUUGUAAACUAAAAUUCUAAAAAAAUACGUGGGGGUAGGGCACAAAUUCCGUUUGAAAUAAGAGAAAAAAAAGCCUUUUUCAUUUCAACUAGCAACUACCAAUCAUAUCAUUCAUUUUUUUGAACUCCACUCCCCAAUUUCCCUUCCCUCCUCUGGUCCCCCAUUUUUCCCCCACAACCGAGAGCCACUACCUUCCACAACCAAGCAGCUAGCUACUGUUUCUCUUAAUCAAUUCAUCCAAUCAUAUCAUUCACUUCCUUUGUCCCCAUUUCCUAAUUUCCCUUCCCUCCACUGGUCCCCCAUUUUCCCUCCACAACUAAGAGCUAUUCUUACUUCCACAACCAAGUUAGUUAUCAAAAUAUAAAAACUCGCAAUGAGUAAUUGUAAAUUGUUUAGUUUGUUUUUGAAAUAAAAUUAUUAUUACAUUAAUAAUUUUGAAUUUGUCUUUUUAUAUUUUUCAUGGAAUAUAUGCAUCAUUUGUACUUGUUGGUGAAUUUUUUUUUUGCUUAAAAAAUUAUAAAAAAAUAGGUAAAAAAUUUUAGUAUUAUUUUUGCCCCCACUAAGAAUUUUUUCUGGCUUCGCCAUUGUCGUAAAGGGAGAGUGGGAUUCUGUUUUGGUUACAUGCAUCAUGCAUGUCAUUGUUAAUCCUUGGAAAAUGAAUUUAUGACAUAAUUUGGUCUGAAUUUUGUUUGGUUUUGGAAACCGACCACACUGGGAAGCAGUAAUGUUCUGUGUUUCCGCACUAGCAACGAUGCAUUUUGCUUCUUGGCGCAGUAAUCACGGUUCAGAUUUUAAAUUACCUUUUGUACUUUAGCAUUUCAAGUAUAUAACAUGAUCGGUAUGAAAUCCCUAGCCUUCUACUCCUCUACUUAAAAUGUGAUAUGUUUCGUUUGGAUUAGCUGUUUUUGGAAAUGUUUUUGAAAAAUUUUAUUGUAGCAGAGUUUUUAGAUUAUAUCAUAUAUAUAUAUAUAUAUAAUAAAGUCGUAUUCUCAUACUUAUCCCUUCAUGUUUUCUCUUUCCUACGUGGCUUAACGAGACGGCAAGUAGUUUCCUACGUGACUUGCUCCUUUUUGUUUAGAUAUAUAUCAAUUCUUAUUUCCUAUAAGAAUUCUUAAUAUUAUAUGAUUCUUAUUUCCUAGCCAAAAAAGGAACUGAAAAGUAAUGCAAUAUAAAUAAAAGAGACAUAAAUAUCUCUAUUAGAUAUAUCUCCAAAUUCAUGCCAAUAAUUUGUGUACUGCAUAGGGAACCGAAGUAAAUAAGAAUUGUUAUCACUACAAGAAGUAGAAAAGUAACUAAUUUCAAAAGGAACCAUUAAUAACAGAAGUCAAUAUCUGAUGUUGGAAAUAGGAUUCUUAAUAGAUUUUAUUAUUAGGUGCGUUGUCAAGACAUAGUGCAUAGUACAAAAUUUAUGGAAAAGAAAAAGUUAAUUGAAUCCAAUUAACUAUAUGUAUUUGACCCGUACGGUCAAAUAUAAAUUCCUAUUUGAGCACGGGUUUGUAAAUUCUUAUAAACCCGUUCGUUGUUAAUCAAAACAUGCAGGUUAUACUCAUUGCUAGAUUAUAGGAUUCACAAUACAUCUCUGCUCAGAUAGUGGGGGGUAUUUAGUGUGUGGACCCACACCAUAGGAGUCCAUGCACUUAAAGAACUCGAUAUAGUUGAGGUGGUCUUUUACGGUAGGUAAAAUCUGUCUUGAGAACGCACUUUUAUUUCCUAUAAGAAUUCUUAAUAUUAUAGGAUUCAUAUAUAUAUAUAUAUAUAUAUAUAUAUACAUAAAGUCGUAUUCUCAUCCUUAUCCUUUUAGUUUAUCUCUUUCCUACGUAGCUUAUUGAAAUAGCAAGUAGGUGCAACGCGCUCUAUGAGUUAACCCUCUAAUAACCUACGCUAUUCUAUCCCUCUUUUUUCUCUUGACUUUACAAUUCUAGAUAAUCCUUCCAUAAUUAUCUCUUCCAUUCUCUCACCCUUUUUUUCCUUAACCCUAAUCAUCAAGCCUAAAUUUCUUGGGAAUUAGUAUAAAUAAUUUUGAAUUAUGUUUUUAACUCUCUCUCAUCUUCAACUCAAAAGUUCGAAAUAUCAAUUCAAAUAUUAGAUUAUCUUUAUCAGAUUAUCGCUAUUGAAGAUGCUCUACAUUUUUACUCAUAUAUAUGGUUAUCGAUCUAUUACUCAUCACUUUAUCAAGCAGUGCACAUGUUUACACUUUUCCACAAUGUUUUUGGAAAGUUCUUUUUUUUUUACUUCAAUGCAAGGACCGGAUUUGGAACUUUGUUUUUAUUCCCUUCGCUGUAUGUGGUCUAUAAUUUCCUACACAUUCUUCAUAGCUAGGUCAUUGAAUUUGAAUUUUCUAAAUCUUCAAAAGUUACAGUUUGGUUUUUAUUUCUAACAAAGUUUUUGUAAUUAAUUUGUUAUUUCAAUUUAUAGAUUCACUCUUCAAUUCAAGUAUAACACAUAUUGCUUUUUUGGUUAGUGAUUUAAAAGUGGCCUUUUGAACUAUGUGUUUUCACAUGAUUUUUUAAUUGCCUUUGACAAUUUAUUAAUUGUCUUCAACAAUGUAUUAAUUUUUUUUUGUUUUCUAGGUUUCUGGGGUUAAAAAAAUUUUGUGCAGUUUUCAAUGUUUUUUUUUCAGACUUUGGUAGAAAUCUUCUAAAGAAUAAGAAGGUGUCACUGAUUACAUAAAUAGCAAGGCAUCAAGUUCAUUGUCAUACAGCAGUUCACGUCAUGCAAUAUACAUUAGACUAUUUAGAUUUUUUAUGUUUUUGACUUUAUAGCAAACUACAUCUUAUGUUUUCGUUUGGGUUUCUAUUAGCCAUGAAUAGAUUUAGAAGGUUGUUGUAUUCCUAUGACUUGAUUGAUUCUGAAUUCUUAUAUUUUAUUAAUAUUUCAUUCGGCUUCUUUUCUUUUCACAUUAACCUUUAAGCCAUUUAUAUUAAGUACCAAAAUUGAUGUUUUGGUAACGGGUUGGCCAUUAUUUUGUUUACAGAAGAUCAGCCAAGAUUUGAUCUUCCCUAUUUUCAAGUUUUUGAAUGUCAUCAUAUUGUCGAUUUUUUUCUGCAUUUUUUGAAUUAUUAAUCACUGAAUUAGAUGUUUAAAUUUACAUUAUACGACUAUUUUUGAAUAAUAAUGUAUUUAAGAAAGGUUAUAAUAGAUUAUACAAUAAGUUUGUAUUUUAUGCAAAUAUUUUUAUGAACUACACUAAAUAAUUUAUUAUUUUUAGACAAUUCCCAUUCAACGAAUGUGUACAAAACUAGUUUUGGGAUAUUUUCAGAAAAUAUUUUGGGAUAUUUAAGAGUAGAAGAGUUUCUAGAAUAUAUUUUGAAAUAUUUUUUAAAAUUUUUAAAAAAAUUUAAACUAAUUUUUAGAUUACCUUUUAGAGUACUUUUUAAAAAUUUUUAUUGUAUUUGAAAACUAGUUUUUGAAAAACACUCCCAUAGUCUUUAUAAAUUUAAUUUUUUAUUAUAUUAUUUCUUAUUACUUUCUUUUUCUAGUUGAUUUUGGAUCUUUUUUAUUACUUUUCUAACUAUUUUCUUUGACCUUUUCCUUUAGCUUUUGCGGACGCAUGUACUGGUUUCUCCUCAAACUGGAUGUCUCUCAAUCUCUCUUCUGGGAGUUCAACAUACUUUAAGAUGAAUUUCAUUUUGCCAUUAUCAAGUUUGCACUUAAAGAAUUAAAGUUCAUAUGGGGAUGAGUCAUACUAAUUUCAUAUUUUUGACAUUUAUUUAUCACAAACCUUAAUCCUUCUUUCCUCCAGUGUUUUUUUUCUAUAUCAACUCUCCUUAAUUCCAUUAUUGUUUCACAACAUAAUCUAGAAAGUGUCAGUAUAUAAGAAUUCUUUUGAAGUAAUUAUUACUAAUAUAGUUUCCAUUUCUUGUGGAAUGUUCUGAAUCUUUCCUAAAGCAACAUUUUCCAAUUUGAGUUCAAGAAUUGUUGCCAACUUUUUUGGUUUGCGCAUCACUUUGCAUGUAAGAAUUCAAAAUUUCACCACCAAUUAAAUAGUUUUCCUCGCAACUUGUCCCGUUUAAAUUGCUGUUUUAGGAAUUUUUGUAGAAAAAUAUACUGUAGAAAUUUGAUGUAUAUGAGUUAAAAAGGUGAUUGAGAAAUUUAUUUACAGAAAAAAUUUUAGUUUCCUUUUCUCUUCUAUUUCGAAUUUCUCCCAACUUAUGUUUCCUUGUUGCAAAUCUUGCCAAAUUUUAUAAGAUGUGUCUUAUCAAUUUCUUUGAUACCUGAAACACAAGAAAUUUCUCAUUCCUUAUAUGUAUUCUUGUUUAAUUAUUUAAUUUGGUUCCUGAAACACGAGAAAUUAGUAAAGAAUUUAGAUCCAAUUUGGUGCAACGCUUCUUUGACAAACUGAAUUGGAUGCUUCUGCAACGGAAGUUUUUUUUUUUUUUUUUAUAGGAACAAUAACUUUCCUACAACAUAAUCUAUCCUAUUCUACAGGAAAGGGGAGCCUAAUCUAUCUUAUUCUAUAGGGAGGAGAGGUUAAGAAGGCUGUAUAAGGGAGCCGGUAUACAGACCUGACUAGAUUAAAAGGGUAUUUUGACACCUUCUUUAAAUUUUUUCAUUACAUAUAGAGUUUGAAUUCCAGAUUUACAGUCCAAAAAAAAAUUUAGUUUCUUUUUUAUGGCUACACAGCCAAAGCUUAGUUGGCUCCGUGGUUGCAACGGCAGUUGCUUGGCAUUUUCAAUUCACCUUUCUUUGUAGUAUAGUAGUUGCCGGGAUUCUUCAUCUGCCUUUGAUCCACAUUACACAUGCUUUUGUGUGGGGGGGGGGGGUGGGAUGUGGAAAAUUCCACCCAAGAAGGACAAGAAACCGUGUUGAAUGAUGAAGAAAAGAAAAUGGCAAUCAUCAUUGAGACUCUAAUAAAUCUCACUCCUCAGUUCUUGGGACGUGAACGUACAAUUAAUAAUUCCAUCUAAAUUGCUGAUCCUUGGUGGAUCAGAUUUGAAGCAUAUUUGGUGGACUCCUUAUUUUGUUUGCUUUCUGCAGGGGAUUAUGCUAACACAUCGUUGCUUAAAAAAAAUCCUCCAAUUUCUUUAAAAUCCACAGACCCCCAAAGUUUUCCAUUUCCAUGCUAGCUAUCUAUUUUCCUCUUUGGCUAGUUCAGAAUAGCUAGAAAUUUACAGUGGAUGCUUAUGUUUGCUCUUUAACCACCGGUAAAAGUACUGCAGUAGUACAUCUUUGACAAACUUGGAUGCCAUUAAUUGCCAUGGAGAAGUUUGCUUGGCAAUUUCACUUGGCCUUUAUUGAUCAAUGCUUAGCUGGGUAUUUCAUCUUUUUCUGAUUGAAAGCUGGCUGGGACCUUUGGUUGUGCAAAAUAUCUCAAUGGUUUGUCGGAGUUGUGGUUUGACCCAAGACUGACCCCAGCAAAAAAAAAAAAAAAAAAAAAAAACUAUGUUCAAUGAUCAAAAUGUAAAGGAGAAAGAGGAAAUGACAACCAUAGCUGGUGACUUUGCAACAUUAAUUACCUCAGUCAUUAAUCCUUGGGAAAUAGACUAAAACGUUAUUUUGUGGGGGAAAAUCUUAAAAAAUAGUCCGUGGUUCACUUAUCAAAAACAUGAAAUGGAGUUAACAAUCAGGUUUGGCGUGUAACGACAUAAUUGGCCAAUGGUUGGGUUCUUUCUUCGCUUUUACACUUGUGAAAUCGCCAAAAUAUUCGCUCGUAAUUCCACAAGCUUUCUAGCACUUCAAAAUUUCAAACAUUUUGUUUCAAAAUGCCUUUUUUAUGUACAGCAUACAAAAUUUAAGUGGUGAAAGUUUAAGGAGUUUCUUUAUUACUAUUUUUUUUUUAGAGUACAAUAUACAAUCAACUGGAGUUGGAAGUGAAAAAGACCUUUAGCUCACACUACGAUUAUAAACUUUGACUGAAUUGGGAUGUUUUGGGAAGGGGGAAUGAGCAUGUUCUUGUGGGUUUCAAUUUUUACCAUUGAAUUAUUUACCUAUGAUAUGUUCACAAGUUUAACUUAAAUCGAGUUAUGAUAACAGAAGAUUGUCUAAACCCGAAAGAAAACUUCAAAAGAUCGAAAUUGAAAAUGAGUGAAAAUUAAUGGGGAAUUAACCAGUUAUUUGGAUACUUGAAUUUUACCUAUUUUUGUAUCCAACUCUUUCAUAAUUAGUUUUUCUUAUAGUUUUUCUCGCUCCUAACAAAUUUAUCUUUUCAGAUAAAUUUGAAUUAUUUGUUCUUAUGGUUCCUCUCUCUUCUAACAAUAUGAUAAAUUUGUAUAAAAUUUUUUUAUCCAUAUGGAUUAACUUAGUGUUAAAAAACUUUAACUGUUAGCUGAUAGAUUUAUCAAUAUUGCUGGAAAUUAAAUAUUUGUUGAUGUAGAAAACAAAUCGCAAAAUCUAUUGUACUUAGUUAGGUAGGAAAAUGUAACUAGGUUUAUGGUUAUUAUAAAAAUUGUAAUUAUCUAAAAAAUUCCAUACACUAAAAGGAAGAAUAUCUAUUGAUUUUUUUAUAUGUGUUAUAAUAUUUGAUGAAUAUUAUUAUAUUAUAGUAAAAGUAUGUAAAGAAGUUUUUAAAAAUUAGUAUGACAGUUAAGUAUAAUUAUUCCAUUAAUUUUCUAAAAUUAAUAUGAAUGAACUUGUAAGAUCAUCAUUAAUUUUUUAUUUAAAUUAUUCAUGCUUGCACGAAUUCAUAAUAAAAUAAAAAAAUAAACCAUGCCAAGGCACAUGCAAGAUGCUAGUUCAAAUUAAUGUUGUACACGUAUAGGAGUCACAAAACGGUUUGGUGCACUAGCAGGCGAAAGGGGACAUCUAAAGUAUUAGGACAAGUUUUACAUUAAAGUGGGAGAUUUGUAAAGCAAUUGAGCGAAAACAAAUGAGGUUGAGGAAAAUUUUAUAUCAGUUGCAAUACAAUCAUAAAAGCUAUGACACAUUCGUUAAAAUAAGAAAUAUUUAUUAAUUUGGUGCAGUGUAAUAGCAAACCAAGGAAAAAAAAUGUGAAUGAUCCGUAAGAGGGAAAGAUGUCAUUUGACUUAAAAUAAAAGUGUGAUUGGAUAGAGGUUUAGUUGAACAAAAAAAAUUAGAUUAAUAUCAUAAUACUUUUUGUGGCUUGAUAUAAUGUAUAUGAGAUAGGAUGAUGGCUAGUAAAAUAAAAAAAAAUGAUUCAGGUAAAACAGUGCAUGCAAAGAUGAAGGUUGAUAAUAAUAAUGAUGAUAAUAAUAGGGUGAAAACAGUGCAUGCAAAGACGAAGGUUGAUAAUAAUAAUGAUAACUCUGAUGAGAUGGAUAGCAAUUGCAAGUUGCAAACCAUGCAAUUAGUGUUUUAGAUUAGGUAAAUUUGCACACCAUUAUUGCAAAUAAUUCAGUCAAUAAGAGAGAGGAAAGCAUAAUGCACGAAAUCCAACUUUUAGAAUUGUGUUAUAGUUUAGUGAUGACUGUGUGGUGUUUUUGUAGGCAAAUAAACAGAAAAACAAAUAAAUAUACAAAUUUGAUAAAAUUUGGAUUGUAAAUUAUUUGAGAUAUUUUUACUGUAACAUUUUUUGUGAUGUGAUGUAUGUGAGAUAAAAAGAUAAUUGGGAAGAUAAAAAGGUGUGUUAGAAAUUGUAAUGAUGAUGUAAGCAAAUAAAUUUUGGCAAAUAAUCCUCUAUCCAAACAAACCUGCACUUCUACAGGACCGAAACUAAUUGCUCUUAGGUCCCAUUUUGUACAGGACCAAAACUAUUUUUUAACGUGAUCAUCUUCUCCAAUGGAGGGAGAUCUUCGCUAGCUCGGCUAAAGCAGGUGCUAGAUGAGUACAGCAGGGCUUCAGGGCAGCGGAUCAACUCCCAGAAAAGCUGUUUUUUGACCCACUCGGAGUUUCCGCCACGGCAGGCGGCAGCGGCAGGUCGGAUCCUGGGUUUCCAGAGACAAGCGUUCCCGGUACGGUAUCUUGGCUGUCCGUUAUAUGUGGGCAGGAGGAAAAAGGUCUAUUUUACGGAUAUGUAUAAUGCGGUGGUAGCUCGUAUUCUAUCUUGGAAGAACCAGCUAUUAUCUGUAGGAGGCCGUAUUGUGUUGAUCCAAAGUGUUUUAGCAUCAAUGCCGAUACAUUUACUUGUGGCUGCGUCCCCUCCUCAAGGGGUGAUGGGAGCCUUGGAGAGGUUGUUCGCUGAUUUCUUGUGGGGGCCAUCUGACUUUGGUUCACAAUUCCAUUGCAUUAGGUGGAAGGACAUUUGUUGCCCUCGGGAGGAGGGAGGGAUUGGGUUGCGGAGCCUGAAGGGGGUGCAUGAUUGAUAGGGUGUUAAUUAUUAGUAAUUUUAUUGUUAAUUUUCCCUUUUAUCCUUGCCAAAUAUUGCUUUAAUUAUUAAUAUUUACUUAUAUUUGGUAUUGGACCCAAUUUCAGGAAGUGGAGCAGAAAAGUACAAAAAGGAGGGACUCUCCGGAAUAAAAUGGAAGACUUCUAAACACUUCACAAGCCUAGCCCACGUUGCUGAGAAGAAACGGAUUCCCAUUUCCCUUUUGGCUGACUAGGAGUCCUGCCACCAAGAGAAAAAGGAAAUACAAGGAAUCUGGCAAAGUUUCCUCUUUGUACCUGGACUCCCAAUUCAUGGGGGACCACGGGAGCAUUAGACUUUCUUUUGGCUUUAAAAGUAGGAAAAAAGCGGACAGAGGCUGGACAGUUAGCUUUUUAGCAUAGUUUAGUUGUUCUUUUUUUCUUCUUUGCCGUCUCUUCUAGGAGGACGACGGAAACAUAUCUUUGUUUUAGAAUAAUUACUUCUGCAAUUUCGCAUGGGAUUUCCUCCAUGUAGAUGAACUAAGCCUCUGAUCUAGUCAAGGGACAACGGAUGUUUUGGGUCGCCUAAAAUUGUGAGAUCGAUUUAAUUUUAUCUUUUUCUUUUAUUUAUUGGUAUUCGCAUAUUCCCUGGUUACAGUGCUUAUGAUUGUUUAAUUAAUUGAUUGUCUUGGAUCCGGAUAAUUAGUUAAUUUGAUAAUCUAUUGUCAAUUGGGACGUUAAAUCCGUAAUUGUUUAAUUGUCUCAAAAUAGUGAUGACCGGCAUGAUUGGGUUUGUGUCAAAGGAAUAAGCGGGCUAACAUAAAAUAACCCUGGUAGUGUGUUAUUUGGUUAGAAUAUGGCUCUUCUAAUACGUAAGGCAAUUGGGGAAUUAAAUCUUACGGGCGUACCUAAGAUUAUUUCCUAAUUAGAGCAGUGAUUAAUGGGCGUACCUUAAUCACCGACACAGUAAGGAGGGGUUGACUGCCAUCGCUUGUUUGGUAAUUAUAAUCUAUUUAUUGAUAAAUAAUUGGAAUUGCCUUUGCUUCGAUGAUCAAUUAGGUGUACCAUUGCUGAAGUUAUUUCUUGGCUAGAUCCUUAAUUAUCACUCAUUUGAUUUUAGUAAAUUGUUAUUUAAUUUCUAGUUGGCUAUUUCAUUUUUAUUAUUUUACUUUUAGUUGAAUUGCUUAAAUUGUCGCCCCUGAUAUAAAACACCCCCCCUUUGUUACUGUGGAUUUGAAAAGAAACAGUUACACCCAGUCCCUGUGGAUUCGACCCUGCUUACCACUAUCUACAGAAAUUAACUUUAGUUGAGCAGGUUUUUAUUAUUGCACAGGCUGACAACCUGUCAAUGAUUCGCUCUUGGUUAAACUAUGGUGGAAGUUCAGACAGCAGCAAUUGCUUUGGGCGGAGUUCAUGACUAGGAAGUAUUGUGCGGGUCUGCACCCGUGUCUAGCGGAUGAUGGCCCGAUGUGUUCUUCUACGUGGAAACGGAUGGUAGCAGUUCCGCAGGUUGCGGAGGACAACAUCGGUUGGGUAGUACGCCAGGGUUCGAUGGACUUUUGGCAUGACAAUUGGUUGGGGACUGGAGCGCUUUGUGGUAAGGUUGAGGUUUUCUUCGAUCAUUUGGUUGCGGAUUUUGUGGAAGGGGGGGCAUGGAAUGUCGAUAUGCUUCGUCAGUACUUAGAUGCCGGGCUAGUUGGUCGGGUUCUGCAGGUGGCCCCCCUUCCUUUCGAGGCCCAGAUCGUAUGAUUUGGAGACCUACGACGGCUGGUGUUUUUUCCACAUCCUCAGGCUAUUCCCUCGUCCGCCAUGUUGAUAAUCGUUCUUGGAUCUAUGCCUCGGUCUGGCGGCAAGGUCUUCCGGUUAAAAUUUCUUUCUUCAUGUUGAGGCUGAUGCUGGGCAGGGUUCCUACCAUGGAUAAAUUGGCGAGGUUCGGCCUCUAUGGCCCGUCCCGAUGCUGGUGUUGUCAAGAACCACAGGAGGAGAGUCUGGAACAUGUGUUUUGUUCUGGAGAAGGGGCGCGGACACUUUGGCGGUACUUUGAGAUUCACAUAGGGCUACAAACGAGUCGAGCCGAGUCGAGCUUUGAGCUAAUCGAGCCGAGUCUCGACUAAAUUUUACCAAGCUCGAGCUCGAGCUCGAGCUCGACGAGCCGGCAAUUUUCAAGCUCGAGCUCGACUCGAAUCAAGUCGAGCCGAGCUCGAGUCGAGCUCGAGUCGGCUCGAGUCGAGCUCGAAAAAAAUAAAAAAUAAUUAUUUUAUUUUAAAAAAAAUAAAUAAAAUAAUUUUUUUUUCUUAAUAAAUAAUAAAAUAUUAAGGAUAUAUACGUAAUUUUACUAUGAAAAUAAAAAAUAAAAACAUAUAUAUAAUAUACGUAAUUUUAUUAUUAAAUAAAAAUAAAAAUAAAAAAUAUAUAUAUAUACUCAAACUCGCGAGCCGGCUCGCGAGCUAACGAGCUUAAUAUUCUGAGCUCGAGUUCGAGCUCGAGUUUGACUCGAGCAGGCUCGAGCCGCUCGCGAGCGGUUCGAUUCAUUUGCAGCCCUAGAUUCACCCGGGGGAAAUGGCGGGGGUGCAUACACUCCGACACAUGGUUGGAUUAUGGUGGUUAAGGAGAGGGAGCAAUGAGUUUUUGCAGUUCGUGUUUCAUAUACUACCGUUGGUGAUUUACUGGGAAUUAUGGAAGGUGAGGAAUCUGGGAAUGUUUGAAGGACAGCGGAUGAGGGGUCGGGAUAUGGUGAAUCGAGUCGUCCAGGUGCUAGUAGAGGUCUGUCAGGCACGCUUCCCGACGCUGAGGUGUGCGGAUGCUUCGUGGGAAGGGUUAGUGAGGGAGGUGACUUGUCGGCGAGAGAGGUGGAUUUUCCGGAUGGUCCAUUGGGUAAUGCAGCAGGGUGGGUGGAAGUUGAAUGCGGAUGGAUGUUCUCGGGGGAAUCCGGGUUUGAGUGGAGGGGGUGGACUGGUGAGGGAUUGCCUUGGGGACUUUGUUUUCGGUUACUCAGAGUGUUUUGGUCAUCUAACCAACCUACGGGCUGAAUUGCGCGCUCUACUAGUGGGGAUUAAGCAUUGUAUUGCCCGGGGAUUCCUGGAGAUACACUUGGAAUCAGACUCACUUACACUGAUUCGGAUGGUUAGAGGGGAGAGUACUUGCCCUUGGGAGAUGCAGGGGGAAUUGGAUGACUUGCUUCAGUUCAAGCAGCACUUUCAGACAGCAGCUCACUGCUACAAAGAGGCGAACGUUCCCGCGGAUCAGUUGGCUAAUUUAGGGGCAGAUCUAAAUGGCAAACAACUGUUUCAGUCAAUGUUGGAUUUACCUCAAUGGGUUCGGGGGGCGAUUAGGUUGGAUCAGUUGGGAAUUCCCUCGAUCCGUAGACAGAUGGUAGGAUAUGUAUGAUAGGGCACUUAGUGUACUCAAGAUUCCGUAUUAAUAAAAAACAAAAAUAAUUUUUAAAAAAAAGUUUUUUAUAGAGACUUUUUCGUUUGGAUUGCUAUUUUUUGAAGUUUUUAUAGAAAAAUGUGUUGUAGGAAUUUAAUAUCUAUGAGAUAAAAAAGUAAUUGAAAAAUGUGUUUAUGAAAAACGUUAAAAAUUUUCCGUAGUAAACUGCAAUCCUUGCAUGGCUUGCGAUUUGAUCAAUAUGAAAUAAAAAAGUAAUUAAAAAAUGUGUUUACAAAAAAUGUAAAAAUUUUGCCUUAGAAAACUACAAUCCAAACAAGUAGUCUUCUCCCCAUUCAAGAAACACAAUGAAAAUAUUUGUUGAAUAAUUAAACUUAUCCCUUCAUAAACCACUUAUACCGGGGGAAGUAUGGAGGGAGGCAAUGAAUAAAACGUCUCGGGUUCGAUUCCUCCCACUUACACAAAGAAAAAAGUACAAAAAAAAAAACCACUUAUACUAGCUAAGAGUAUUUUCUGGUUACGUCUCGUGUUAUAUAUUAUUAAUCCUAUCCUAUUAUCCAAAAGCAUUUGUUGGAAAUUGCAUGCUUAAUUUAGAUUAAAAAAACAAUAAUGAAAUAUUUGUUGGAAACGAAGGAAAAAUGACGCAACCUUUCCAAUUUGUAAAUUCAAUUAGGCUAACAUGUAAAACUAUUAAAGUGUAUCAGCAUGAGAGAAUUUAGUGCUUCAUCUGACGCUUGUAAAAUAGACAAAUGAAGUUUUGAAAUUCUAGCAAUUUUGGGCCAAUACCUUUUUUUUAAGGCAAAACCAAUACCUUAGGUAAUUACAAGAUCUCAUCUUGAUUUGCUGUUUUUCUUAUUAAAUGUUGAAUCUAGAAAAUCAUGUCUAAGAAAUAACUACAUAUACCUGGAAAAAAAAUUUAGUGCAAGGAUAAAUAUACGGUUAAGUUAUGGAAAUUCUCUUUUCCAUUUUAGCAAUUUGAUUCUUUGGAUGCAUGAUUUUAUCUGUUAUAUUUGGCUUCAAAAUAAGUUACUUUAGAAUGGUGUUUGGAUGUGGAUACAUAAUCUGUAAUUAUUCUCACCUACUAUUUAUUUUCUAAAGGCCUGUCCACUUUAUUCGGAUUUCUUACCUAUUUCACUCACAAAUGCAGAGGUAGCCAUUGGCGUUUUACGAGGAAGAGAAGCCAAAAAAACUACCAACCCCUUUAUUGCUCUCUUUCAUCUUAUUUCUCCAUCUUUCAUCCUUCUUUUUCAUUGUGACCUACAAUUAGGACUGCAAACCACUCAAGCGCUAGCGAGCCAACUCAAUCAAAAGUUAGCUCAAGUUCAGUUAACAUUGAAUUCGAGUUGAGCUCAAUCCAACCAAGUCGAGCUAUCGAAUUCGAGUCAAACAUAAAGAAAUUCAACUCGUUAACUCACGAGUCAGCUCGAAUAUAUAUUUAUAUAUAUUAUUUUAAUAAUAAAAUUACACAUAUAUAUGCCUAAUAUUUUUAUUAUUUAUUAAGCAAGAAAUGACUAUUUAUUCAUUUUUUAAAAGAAACAAAAUAAGUAUAUUUUACUUUUUAAGGUCGAGCAAGCUCAAACUCGAGUACUCGACUUUGAUUAGGCUCAAAUUUGAAGUCGAGAACGAACUCGAAUUUUACAUUGAAAACUCGUCGAAUUCGAAUUUGAUAAAAUUGAUUUGAGCUUGACUCUAUUAAGCCAAAAGUGGACUCAACUGGAUUCAUUUGUAACCCUACUGACAAUGCUUUGAUCUCCAUUUUAGAAAGGUUAGUUGUUGGCCUUGGUGAACUGUUAACGGGGAAGCAAUUUGAUCUACUUGUUGACAUGCAAUUGGCUAAUCAUUCAAGUGUUGCUACUGCUUUAUGCAGUUUUAACAAGGUGGUUGAAAUUGAUAAAAGGAAAAACUAUUAAAGCAUUAGCGAUUUAUUGGUUGUAAACACUUGCCACAAGAAAAUGUAUUUACUUAUCCGGACACUAUCGAUGAACCGUUCAAUAGGUGCUUGUCUUCAAUAAUUUCUGAAAGAUUAUAUAAUGUGUGAAUGUUUCGAAAAGACAAUACAAUAUGCAAAAACUAUUCACUGAUAGUUUCCAAAAGGAGUUUAAUUAAGCUUUACUUGUCGGUUUAUUGUUUGAGACUCUGACUUAGCAUCUAUAAAUGAAUGCAAUAACUGGUAGGGAAAAAGUCAUUCGAUUGUGAUGUAUUUGCUGAUUUUCUUGAAAUAAAAAAUACAUAGGAAAAAAAAUAUUAGAGAGUUAUCCUUUGCAUGGAGUUCAUAUCGUUACUACUUUUGCUACGUGGAAUACCUUGUCUGAUGGAUGUCUGCUUGAAAUAUGCAUUGACCUUUAUGGCUUCCACAUAUUGUAUGUUUAUCCUAAUAAAUCAUCUUAUAUUGUGCUAAAAUUUCAAACAAGUUUUGGAAUUUUGCUGCAAGUUUAUCUUCUCAAAAGAUAAGUCAAUCGAUUUGAUUUGCGUCAAAAAAUGUGGGUAGAGUUUUGUUUCUAAAUAAAUACUCGGAUAAAACCAAUCCAAACAAACAUUAUGCUUUGCUGAGGCCAACAGCUGACAGAUCUUAAAUGCUGGGGCCUUCAGUUGUGGUAAAAACCUCUCUGACCCAAGAUGCACAAGAGACUGCUGUCUUUAAGGAUAAAAAUGUACCAAAAUAAUAAUAAUAAAUAAAAGGAAAAUGACAAUCUACUUUGGCUACAUUGUUCAGCCAAUUUCCAGUUCUUGAGAAAUAAAAUAGACGUUCAACGCCCAUUUUCUAAUUCGAUUCAGUUCUGUGACCCCUUUUUUUAAUUUUCUAUAAUUUGAGGUAUAUAUAUAAAUAUAUAUGUAUGUAUAUGCCAAUCAUAUCCCAAUGCCAUUUGGUAGCUUUGCUUGGUCACUAUUCAACGCUUCCCUAUAAUUGUUCUAUUGUUCCCGUCAUUCAGAAACAAGGGAACAAAUCCUUAUACUACUGUAUAAGAAUAAAUUGUGAUCAAAUGGAAUUUGAAUUUCAGUCGUAUGAAUAGGGAUUUUUUUAAAAUAUGAAAUAUUGUGUAGUUUUUUAAAAUCUUUUGGUACAAUUGAUGGCAGCAUGUGUUUAGAUAGAUUUACUGAAAUACAGUCAUUUUGGUACAUUUAAAACUUUGAUUUAUGGGGACAUUCAGGUAUUUCUGAAAUAUAAAAUUAUUUUGCAACCAUUUUUGCAUCGAGUACAACUCAUAUAAACUUAUGUGUUGAUAUAAUUACUGAAAUGAUAUUAUUGACAUAUUUAAUUAAAGUGUGAUUUUUGUUGUACAAUUAACACAAAGAUAUAUUAACACGUUGUGCAAUUAAAAUAUUGCUAUAAUUAGCCGUUAGAGGAUAUUUCUUUGUUUGAAACAAUUUAUAUCUGCUCUUGGGCGAUUUUCAACUAACAUCUGUAGGGGCUUUUUAAGAAUGGUAAAAUUGUAAAAGCAUUAAUAAAGUAAAAUGUACAAGUGUGUGCUGCAAUUAAAAUGUACUAUUAUUAGUUUUAUUAUAUUUGAUGACUAUUUCUUUUCAGAAUAUACAAUUAUUUAUCCAAUAAAAAAUUCUCUCAAAUCACAUGCACCAAACAUCAGUACGAUGCACGGGCACUCCUAAUAAUCACAACAAAGAAAGGAAGGCAACCAAAUUGAUCAAGAAAGUGGAGCGAUUGAUUACAAAUGAAUAAUGUCAUAUUGUCGCAUAUUACUACUGCCUUAUUACCAUUAGAUAGGCAAAAUAUUUGUACUUUUCAAUUUUCUAUUUGGAGGUAAGGUCUAAUAUCCCCUUCCUUUCUUUGUAACUUUUUCGAUGAUUUUAUUAAUAAAAUGGGUAUAUAACCCCACCUGUCAGAUAUAAUUGGCGGUUUUUUUUUUGGUUAAAAAACUGUCAUACUGCAAUUAUUUGUUCCAAUCAUUGGGUGCAACACUCUGAGUAGGGAUGUACGCGAACUGAGCUACUUGUGAGCUACAAUGACUUGGCUUGAACUUGGUCAAAUCGAGUUCGAACCGAAUCUCGAAUUACUCGAAUAUACAUGUAAAUCGAGUUCAAGUCAGGACUUUGCAACUCGUGGCUCGAUGAGCUACUCGUCGAGUAGUAUAAUUUAAAUAAUAUAUAUGUAUGAUAAUUAUAAAAUGACCGUUAUGGGUAUAAUUUAUAUUGAAUUUACAAGUAGGGUGCCGAGUCAAAAAGUUCGAUUACUCGACUCGAUAAGAUUUGACUCAAUUGUCGAGCCUUAUCAAGUUGAGUCUCGAGCUUUUAAGGAUCUCCUCGAGUCAAAUUCAAGUUGAGAUUCUUUGACUCGAUCGAGUUUGAGCCGAACUCAAGCAUAAUUAUUAUAGGCCGAGUCGAGCUCGAGCAGUACAUCCCUAGCUCCAUAUGAAGAAAUGGGUGCGUUACUAGAACUAAAAGAAAGAAAAGAGACCUAAUGAAGUAGAGUUCACAAGGAGGUGCGACGUGUUAAAUUUUUUCACAGACAAAGGACCACAUGUGUCCCCAUUUUUAAAAUUCCUUUUUCAAUAAAUCAGCCUCAUGUAUUACGUUACGGGCAAAUGCAAACCCCAUAUUUGCAAAAGAGCAGAGGGGCUCUUUUUUUUUUUUUCUUUUUUUGGUGCGUCACAGAGGUGCUCUUUUGCAAAGUAGGGAGCUGCAUUUAGUUUUCAAUUUUUUUAAAAAAAUUAACAUUUCCAAAACAAAUUUAAAAUUACCAAAAAAGGGUUUGGAUGCGCAUGUAUGCAUGUUGCCAAUUGUGCCAAAAUCGACAUCCCUAAAUAAAGAAAAGGAUUAAUCACAUUUAAACCUCUUAAGGUAUACCUUAUUUCUCAGUUUACCCUCUAACCUUUAAUUUUGCUCACUUAACCCCCUAUAGGACAAAAUUGCCCUUGCAUUAUUUUGACUUUUCAUUUACCUUGUUUUCCUUUCUUUUAUUUCUUUUUCUCUUUCUUCUUUAUUUAAUUCUUCCUCUUUCCCACAAAAAUUUUCACCUUAAUGAUUGAAAUUAAAAAAGAGGAAUUGCAGAGAUCUAUUUUCUCCUUAAAUGAUUAAAAAAAAUAUUCAAAUCACUUUCCCAAAAUACAAUUUUUUUAGCCUUUCAAUUCUUUUAAUUUUGGGUUUUCCUCUUUCCUUUCUAGUUUCUCAUUUUAUUCCCAAGAAAAUAUCUUAAAAUGAAAUUGUGACUUGAUUAAUAAUCAUCAAUUGAAAUUUGUGACACGUGGCAUCAUACAAAAAAUAAAAAUUAGUUUUUGAUGCAUUUUAAACCUUCACCCAAAAAUAUGCAAUUACAAAUUCAAAACAAAAAUUUUCGUUGAAAUGAAAUUUUCUAUUGGGAAGGAUGAAAGAGAGAAGAAAGAGAAAAAAAAUAAAAGAAAGAAAAACAAUUUCAUCUCAUAACCCGGAACAUGCCAGGGGAAAUUGCAUAUUUUUGGGUGAUAUCCCGUAGGAUCAUAGUUCGAACCUUGUUGUGCGAAAUUCCUGUACAUCCAUGGGCGGGGCUUUGUACAGGCCAGGGGAUUAAUCCAGAAACCCCUGAAUUGACAAAAAAAAUAUAUAUAUAUGGUGGGAGAUUUUGUGUAUAGAGUCACAAAAUCGGUUUGGUGCACUAGCAAACAGAAGGGGACAUCUAAAGUACUAGGACAAGUUUGACAUUAAAGUGGGAGAUUUGUGGCAGUCUAAUAGCAAACCAAGGGGAAAAAAAUAUGAACGAUCCGUAAGGAGUCAUUUUACUUUAAAUAAAAGUAUGAUUGGAAAGGGGUUUAGUUGAACAAAAACAUUAGAAUAAUAUCGUAAUUUGGUGCAGUCUAAUAGCAAACCAAGGAAAAAAAAAAUACUGAGUACCUGGGUUUGGUGAAGCCAAGAAAUAAUGAGAAAGUAAUGGCUAGUCCACGCACAUUCCAUUGGUAUUAUCAUAUUUUUACUUUGUUGAUGUUAUAAAAUAAAAGUCAUCAUUUUAAAUUUAACAUAUGUUUUUUAAUUUUAUAAUUUAAAAGUAACUUUUUAAAAUCUCAAUAUACAUUAAUCAAGAGAAUAUUUUAAAUUCAAAAAUACAUUUGGACGGAGGAGGAAAUUUAUAAAUAUAAUAAUUGUCAUGUCUUUGUAAAAAGUUAAAUUCCCAAAAACGAUUCUAAUAUUUGGACGGAAGGGUAAUUCAUAAUUGCCAUGGAAGUUGCUUGGGAUUUUGACUUGACCUGUCGUAAUCAAUGCUUUGCUGAGGCCUACACCUUUUUCUGAUUGUUGGGCCCUUCAGUUGUGGAAAAAAUCCCAGAGGGUUGUGGGAAUAGUGAUCUGACCCAAGAGGCACAAGAAACUGUUGUCCUUAAGGAUAAAAAUGUACCCAAAAUAAUAAUAAUAAUAAAUAACAUUAUUUAAGUACUCCUUAUUUUGUUUGCUUUCUGCAAGCAUUAUGCUAGUGAGUUUGUUUGGAUAGAGUAUUAUUUGAAAUAAUUACUGUAGUAUUUUUUAUGAUAUAAUAUAUGUGAGAUAAAAAAAUAAUUAAAAAUAUAAAAAAUUAGAUUAGAAAACAUCUUUACGAUUCAAGAUUGGAUUCCAAUUUUUACAAUUGAAUUAUUUGCCUAUGAUAUGAUCACAAGUUUAACUUAAAUGGAGUUGCGAUAAUAGAAGAUUCUUGAAAGAAGACUUCAAAAGGUGGAAAUUGAAAAUGAGUGGAAAUUGAUGGGGAAUUAACCGGUUAUUUGGAUACUUAAGUUUUACCUAUUUUUGUAUCCGGCUCUUUUAUAAUUAGUUUUUCUAGUCCUAAAAAAUUUAUCUUUUUAGGUAAAAUUGAAUUAUUUUUUCUUAUGGUUCUUCUCUAUUCUAACAAUAAGAUAAAUUUGUAUAUUUUUUUUUAUCCACAUGGAUUCACUUAGUGUCAAAAAACUUUAACUAUUAACUGAUAGAUUUAUUAAUAUUGCUGGAAAUUGAACAUUUGUUGAUGCAUAAAUAAAUUGCUAAAUUUUUUGUACUUAAUUAAGUAGGAAUAUGUAACUAUGUUUAUGGUUAUUAUAAAAAUUGCAAUAAUGUAAAAACUAUACAUACACAAAUGGGUAGAAUAUCUAUUGAUUGUUUGAUAUGCGUUAUAAUAUUUGAUGAAUAUUAUUGUAUUAUAAUAAAAGUAUCUAAAGAAUUUUUUAAAAAUUAGUAUGACAGUUAUGUAUAAUUAUUACAUUAAUUUUAUAAAAUUAAUAUGAAUGAACUUGUACGAUCAUCAUUAAUUUUUUAGUAAAAUUAUUCAUGCUUGAACGAAUUCAUAAUAAAUUUUAAAAAAAUAAACAUGCCAAGGCACAAGCAAAAUAAUGCUACUUCAGAUUAAUGUUGUACAUGUAUAGAGUCACAAAAUGGGUUUGGUGCACUAGCAAACAGAAGGGGGCAUCCAAAGUAUUAGGACAAGUUUGACAUUAAAGUGGGAGAUUUGUAGAGCAAUUGAGCGUAAACAAAUGAGGUUGAGGAAAAAUUUAUAUCAAUUGCAAUACAAUCAUAAAGCCUGUGACACAUUCGUUAAAAUAAGAAAUAUUUAUUAAUAUGGGGCAGUCUAAUAGCAAACCAAGGGGGAAAAAAUUGAAUGAUCCAUAAGGAGGAAAAAUGUGAUUUUACUUUAAAUAAAAGUGUGAUUGGAUAGCGGUUUAGUUGAAUAAAAAUAUUAGACUAAUAUCAUAAUUUGGUGCAGUCUAAUAGCAAACCAAGGAAAAAAAAUACUGAGUUUUUAGCAUGCACACCAUAUAAUCAGACAUCUUGUGAUUUGAACGAAACUAAAAGAACGAUGGAAAUCAUCAAAACCAAUAUUUGUUUCCCUUUACUUGGUAUGAAUUAUGAAGCCAAUUGCUUAAUUAUUCACAAAGCUAAAUCAAUAGUUUUCUCUUGGAGAUUAAGAAAGAAAUUUUGCUACAUAAACAAAAAUUUUCUUACUUGGUAUGAAUUAUGAAGCCACUUGCUUCUUCCUCGAAGCUGGCUUGGUUUUAGUUAAUUAUGUUUACAGCAACUACUUAGUUUACUCUAAUGCUGGGGCCUUGGGAUGCUCAAAAAGUCCAAUCCUUGAUAUAUAAAAAAAUACUGAACAAAAAGGUAUUUCCACCUAAAAUAUUAGCAAUAACAAUAGUAGACAAAUUAUAGAAGUGGACGGCUCGGGUUUGGGUCCCAAACUCUCAAUUGCUAUAUUAGGGCGGCUUAGCUAUCUCAAUUAUUGCACCUAAAACACCAACAAGUGCGUGCAGAAAACAUCAAAAGAAAUUAUUGCCUCCGCAGCAAGAAGAGGUUUUCUCAGCUUAGUCGUAGAAGAAGAGAGUGCUUCUUUUGAUAAACUUGAAUGCAAUUUGUAGCAAAACUGAUUGGCGUUUUACUUGAAUGUUUCUAAAUCAAUGCUGGAAUUUUUUUUUUUGUUCUUUAUUACUUUUUUUUUUUUGGAAAAAUCAUUUAAAAUGUUCCUUACAUUUCGUCAGAUGAAUUUUUUCUUCCCUCACUUUUAAAAUAUUAAUUUUAUGUCUCUUAUAAAAUCAAAGCAACCAAAUUUAGUCCCAACUUGGGAUUUUGAUCACUAAAUAUGCAACGUGACCCACAUGUAAUCAUCUUUUCAAGUGCAAAAACUACAUUUUUUUCCAAAAAUUAAAAGCAACAUCAAAAAACUAGAAAAAAAAAAUAUGAGUGAGGAGUGAAAUGUAAGAAGCAUUUAAGAAGCAGGAGUUUUGAACGGAGGACCUCUAAUUCUUUUAGUUUCAAACUUAACUAAUUGACCAAGGUCUUUUCCCAAUAUAAAGGCUCAUCUCAUGAAGAAGAAUGCAAAUUAUUCGACAGGAUUCAAAUGUUACAAGAUGCUAAAUCCCCUAUUCCUUCAUGAUUAAAUGCCAAUACAAAUUUACUGAAAGAAAAGGAGCCAUGCACGAAAUUAUUGCAUCUGCUGCAAGAAGAGAUUUUCUCAGCGUAGAAGAAGAGAGUGCUUCUUUUGAUAAACUGGAAUGCAUUUUCCACCAAUACAGAUUGGCGUUUUACUUGAAUGUUUCUAAAUCAAUGCUGGGUUUUUCUUUUUUGUUCUUUAUUACUUUUUUUGAGAAAAUAAUUUAAAAUGUCCCUCAUAUUUCGUUAGAUGAAUUUAUUUGCCCCUCACUUUAAAAUAUUGAUUUUAUGUUCUUUAUAAAAUCAAGGCGGCCAAAUUUAGCUGCAAUUUGGGUUUUUGACCACCAAAUACAUGAAGAGAUUCACACGUGAUCAUUGUUUUGGGUGCAAAAACUGCAUUUUUUUCAAAAAUUAAAAGAAACUUCAAAAAAUCGGAAAAGAAUAUCAGUAAGGAGGAGUGAGAUGUAAAAAACAGGAAUUUUAAACCUAAGACCUCUAAUGCUAGUAUUCUCAACCUUAAUUAAUUGACCAAGGCCUCUUCCUUAUAUAAAAGGCUCAUCUCAUGAAGAAGAAUGCAAAUUAUUUGACAGGUUUCAAAUGUUACAAGAUGCUAAAUCCCCUAUUCUUUCAUGACUAAAUGCCAAUACAAAUUUACUGAAAGAAAGAGGAGGCGCGCAAGAUCGCUGGUGUAGUUGUCAAUUUUUGAACACUUUUUUAGGUUUUUUUGCCGUGAACUAUCACCCAAGUCCCUUAUUGAAUUUGCAUUUUCUUUUCAAUCAUGCGCGCCGAGCGUGCCAAUAGGCAGUCAAUAUUCCCGCCUGCCUGAAGGGAAAUGUCACCCAUAUAGCCAUCAUUUCUGGGCAUUAAUGUGAUUUCAUUAAAUUUUUGGACCGAAUCUUUGUGUUGUUAAACAUUUUAUUCAUCCAUCUUGGGGAAAAAAGUGUAUAGUAUAUCUUAAGUUCAGAGUGAUAAAGUGUUACUCAGGUCUCAUUCCCAAGUUCGUGAUGUAAUCAAAGUGUAAUCAACCCUUAAAUUCAUUCAUCACAUCACUCUCUAUAUUCACAACAACAAAUCACAAGUUUUGGCCGGCUGAGACGAAGAGAAUAAAAAGACUGUGCCGUGAUGCGGUUCAGCUAAGAAUCAAAUGAAUUCCAAAAGUAAAGGCAUUAUUUAGGGGCCAACAGGGUUUCCCAUCGAGCAUUUUAAUUAGCCAAAAUCACUGCAAAACAGACAAUCCAACUGACGACACCAUAUAUAUAGAAAACCCAUAAAGCUAACUGGAAACUGCAUGACACUUUUUUGUUCAGUCAAUUUUUCAGAAAUCUAAAUCAAUAUCUCUGAUGAACUAAUGUUUUUUUAUAUGUGUUGAAUGUUGUUUGGUUUAGUAAAUUAUCAUUCCAGCGAGUAGUUGCUUUACGCUAAUGCUGGGGGCCCUUGGGGUGUUUAAAAAGUCUACUCCUUGAUAUUUAAAAAAUACUGGGAAAAUGAUGGGCACAGCUAACAUUUCCAGCUAAAAUAUUAACAAUGUAUAAUACUAGCAGGAGAAAAUAAAAUAUAUAUAGAAAUGGAUGGGUGACGGUGGAGUCUCAAUUGUUAAUGUGUUAUUGUGUCAGGGCGGCGGCUUUGGCACCAACAAAUUAUCCAAAACAAAUCCUAAACAAAUCAUGAGUUUAGGAAAUGUAAGAAGCAUUUAAGAAGCAUGAGUUUUGAACGGAGGACCUCUAAUUUUUGUAGUUUCAAUCUUACCUAAUUGACCAAGGUCUUUUCCCCAUAUAAAGGCACAUCUCAUGAAGAGGAAUGCAAAUUAUUGGACAGGAUUCAAAUGUUACAAGAUGCUAAAUCCACUAUUCCUUCAUGAUUAAAUGCCAAUACAAAUUUACUGAAAGAAAAAGGUGCCACGCAAGAAAUUAUUGCAUCUGCUGCAAGAAGAGAUUUUCUCAGCAUAGAAGAAGAGAGUGCUUCUUUUGAUAAACUGGAAUGCAUUUUCCACCAAUACUGAUUGGCGUUUUACUUGAAUGUUUCUAAAUCAAUGCUGAGUUUUUCUUUUUUGUUCUUUAUUACUUUUUUUUUUAGAAAAUCAUUUAAAAUGUCUCUCAUAUUUCGUUAGAUGAAUUUUUUUGUCUCUCACUUUUAAAAUACUGAUUUUAUGUUCUUUAUAAAAUCAAGGCGGCCAAAUUUAGCUGCAAUUUGGGUUUUUGACAACUAAAUAUGCAACGUGGCCAUUGUUUUAGGUGCAAAAACUGCAUUUUUUUUUUCAAAAAUUAAAAGAAACUUCAAAAAAUUAGAAAAGAAUAUCAGUAAGGAGGAGUGAGACGUAAAAAGCGGGAACUUUAACCCUAAGACCUCUAAUGCUUGUAUUCUCAACCUUAGUCGACCAAGGCCUCUUCCUUAUAUAAAAGGCUCAUCAUCAUGAAGAAGAAUGCAAAUUAUUUGACAGGUUUCAAAUGUUGCAAGAUGCUAAAUCAAUAUCUCUGAUGAACCAAUGUUUUAACUGGAAACUGCAUGAGACUUUUUUGUUCAGUCAAUUGUUCAGAAAUCUAAAUCAAUUUCUCUGAUGAACCAAUGUUUUUUUAAUGUGUUGAAUGUUGUUUGGUUUAGGAAAUUAUCAUUCCAGCGAGUAGUUACUUUACGCUAAUGCUGGAGCCCCUUGGGUUGUUUAAAAAGUCUACUCCUUGAUAUUUAAAAAAUACUGGAAAAAUGGUAAAAUAUUAACAAUGUAUAAUACUAGCAGGAGAAAAAAAAUAUAUAUAUAUAUAUAUAUAUAGAAAUGGAUGGGUGACGGUGGAGUCUCAAUUGUUAAUUUGUUAUUAUAUUAGGGCGGCUUUGGCCAUCUCAAUUAUUACCGCUGCACCAGGGAAUGUAUGCAGAAAAAUCCUAAACAAAUCAGCCAAUGAGGGUUUCUCAGCUUAGAAAGAAGAGCGCUGCUUCUUUUGACAAACUUGCAAAUGCAUUCUCCACAGUACCAACUAACAUUUCCGUCUAAAAUAUUACCAACAACAAAACUACUUUUCCGUAUAUAGGACUCUCAAUUGUUAUUAUAUCAUAUUAGGGCGCUUGGCCAUCUCAACUAUUGCACCUCCAGACAAAAAAAAUCUAAAGAAAUUAUCCAAUGAUGAGAGUGAAACGAUGAGAGUGAGUGCUCGGAUCAGGAUGAGUUUUGCAGCAUGGAAGGUAUUAGUAGCAUCGCGGGGUUGAAAUGAUGAGUUAUGCGAAAAAUCCGAAGGAUAUUUCGUCAUGCCUUCUGCAAACAAAUAGCACCAGCAAGCGCUAGCAGUUUUGUGCUAGCGUAGUGAGAGCCUGCAGGGUCACGCUAAGCUCCAUUUUAAAUAUUUUUAAUAAUUUUUAUUUCGUGCAUUUCUCUAAUAUUUUUUUUUUACAUUUAUUAAAGCGAAAUGUUCAAUUUAUACAUUUUAAAUAGGGAUAGUUUCACAAACUUCCCUUGAAGUUUUUGACAAUUUUAUUGUGCUGCUUGAAGGUUUUAAAACUUACCUCCCUUAUCGACAUAAAACGACAACACUAAUGUUAACAUUUUAAUAAAACUCCCAUAUUGGGUGUGCAUAUAUAAAGAAUGGGAUUUAUAAUUAUUUUUUCUUUUUCUUUUCCAUUUCUCUUCUUAUUCUUUCUUUUUAUAUUUUUGCUAGUGAAAUGAUAGAAAACCGUAAUCACCAACUCUAAAUGUUGAAUUACCGACUUUUUUUUAACAACUUUGAAUGCCAUCCAAUUUUUAUUUGUCAAUAUUUUUUUUUCAAUCAAAAGGAACACUAACUCAAAAAGAAAUGCUCAAAACGACUACCAAAAUAUGGUAAUUCCAUCAAUCUAAAAUGCAGUAUGAUGAUGAUAAUUUCUUCUUCAAUUUAGAAAGAAAAUGUAUCCCUUGUAAAGCACCAUUCUAUCAUAAUGUGAAGCUAUUGGUCGUAAAUGCUUAUCAAACAAUAGAUUUGGUAAUGAAAACUUCACACUCUUUCCUUAUAUGUGUGCUAAGAAUUGCUUUGGAAAGUAAUUAAUCUUUAUAAUCUAAGGGUAUUUGUUGACAAAAUUUAAACCAAGCCAUUUAGAAGUUUGUAUCGUAGUUUUAGAAUUAGAUUUAUUAUAUAGUAACUAGAUUAAAAUUGAUAUCAAAGUUGGUUUAGAAAAUAGAGUUGAGUUAUAUUUUAGUGUUAGAAUUAGAAUAGAUUUAGUAAUAUAUGUAUCUAUAUAUGGAGUCCUCCAAGUCGUACAUUUAUAAUUGAGGAAAAUUAGCAUCAAGAGAAUAAAAUUCUAAAUCCUCGCCUGCCCAUUUGUUCGUUAUUCAUACUUUUUUUUUUUUUUUUUGUAGUUGCUAACAUUAUUGACAGUUUGAAGGCCCCAUAUUCACAGCAACAAAUCACAAGCUUAGGCUAGCGGAGACAGAGAGAGUCAAAGGAGAUUGCCAUGAUGAUGUAUUAUUUCAACAAGGAAUCCAAGGAUUUUCAAAUGUGAAAAAAAAAAUACUGGAAAAAAUGGAAGGUACAAGUACAACUGGCAUUUCCACAUAGAAUAUUAGCAAUUACACCGGUUGAAAAAUUACAGAAGUGCAUGGCUAUAUCGAUUAUUGCACCUAAAACACAACAAGUGUGUACAGAAAAAAUGUAAAGAAAUUAUUGCUUCUCAGCGAAGAAGAAGAUUGCUUCUCUUCACAAACUCGAAUACAUUUUCCACCGAAGUUGGUUGGAGUUUUACUUGAACGUUUCUAAAUAAAUGCAGGGUAUUUCUUGUUCUUUAUUUUUUUUUUUGGCCAAAUUUUUGUUUGUUUUGUGCUUAAAUGCUGGGCCUUUUGUUCCUCGAAUCUUGCUUGGUUUUAGUUAAUUAUGGUUACAGAGACUACUUAGUUUACGCUAAUUCUGGGGCCUUGGGAUGCUCAAAAAGUCUAGUUCUUGGUAUUUGAUAGGUUGCAAUUUUAUCAUUUAUUUUAUUAUUAAUUUUUCCUAUUACCUGACCUAAUGUGGAUUAAUUGCUAGAUUUUACUCACUUUUGAUAUUUUGCAUUUGUUUCAGGGAGUAGAACGAAAAAAUAAUAACAGGUGCUAAUUUGGCAAGAAAAGAGUUCAGAUGAUAGAGUUUGUCCUAGGGGCAUUUUUGGAACAACAAAACGUGAGCCCUUGUUGGGCAAAUUGGGCCGAAGUCUUCAUUUUUCCGCACAGGAGCCGCCGCAAGGAGCACUACUUUAUAUAGGAAAAUUGCGAAGGAAAAAAGGAGUCUUCUUCUUCCUCUCCGGAAGGAGGCCGCCGCACAAGGCAGAAGCAAUAGAGAGGACGGACGACUGGAUUGUUUCUUUAGCUUUGACUUUUCUUUUGGUUCUGGAGUAGCUUUUCCUUCUUCAUAAUUAGGACCUUUAGUCUAUAGCUUUGACUUCUCUUUUGGUUCUUAGUAGCUUAGCUCACGUAUGUGAGAGGCAAAUGAGAGCAAUUGAAAGAUUCCUUGUAGUUUUUUUCUUUUGACUUUUCGUUGUGGUCUGUGGUGGAUUCCUCCUGCCGCAUGAUGGCCGCGACUGAUGCUCCGAUUUUGCAUGGGUUUUCCUCAUCAAUAAUGAGCUAAACCCUUUUUCUAGUCAAGGAGCAACGAAUGCUUUGGGUCAUCUAAAAUUGUGAGAUCGAUUUAAUUUUAUCUUUUUCUUUAUUUAUUAGUAUUCGCAUAUUCCUUGGUUGCAGUGCUUAUGAUUGCUUAAUUAAUUGAUUGUUUUGGAUCCGGAUAAUUAGUUAAUUUGAUAAUCUAUUGUCAAUUGGGACAUUAAAUCCGUAAUUGUUUAAUUGUCUCAAAAUAGUGAUAACUGGCAUGAUUGGAUUCGUGUCAGGGGGAUACGCGGGCUAAUCUGAAAUAACCCUGGUAGUGCGUUAUUUGGUUAGAAUAGGGCUCCUCUAAUACGUAAGGCAAUUGGGGAAUUAAAUUCUAUGGGCGUACCUAGGAUUAUUUCUCAAUUAGAGCAGUGAUUAACGGACGUAACUUAAUCAUCGACACAGUAAGGAGGGGUUGACAGUCAUCGCUUGUUUGGCAGUUAUAACCUAUUUAUUGAUAAAUAAUUGGAAUUGCCUUUAUUUCAAUGAUCAAUUAGGUGAACCAUUGCUGAAGUUAUUUCUUGGUUAGAUCCUUAAUUAUCACUCAUUUGAUUUUAGUAAUUUGUUACUUAAUUUUUAGUAGUUUUUUUUAGAUUUUAUUUGAAUUUCUUCGAUUGUCACCCCUGAUAUAAAAACACCCCCCUUGUCACUGUGAAUUUGAAAAGGAACAAUUACUCCCAGUCCCUGUGGAUUCGACCCUGCUCACCGCUAUCUACAGAAAUUACUUUUAGUUUGAGCAGGUUUUAUUAUUGCACAAGUUUCGACAACCUGUCAGUAUUUAAAUAAAUAAAUAAAUAAAAAGCUGAAAACAAAGGUACGUACAGUACAAAUGUACAACUGUCAUUUCCACCUAAAAUAUUAGCAAUAACGAUAGUAGACAAAUUCUCAAUUGUAUAUUAGGGCGGCUUUGCUAUUUCAAUUAUUGCACCUAAAACAACAAGAAGUGGUCUUCUCAGCGUAGAAGAAGAGAGUGCUUCUUUUACUCUUAUGUUUCCAAAUCAAUGCUGGGUUUUUUUUUGUUCUUUAUUACUUUUUUUUUGGAAAAAUCAUUUAAAAUGUUCCACACAUUUCAUUAGAUGAAUUUUUUUCGUCUAUCAUUUUUAAAAGGGAAAAUUUCACUUUAUCUCCUGUGAUUUAGUGUUUUUUUUACAUAACCCCCCUAUGAUUUUAAAAACUAUACAUAACCCUCUCAUAAUUUGGAUGAAAGUGUCAAAGUAAUGGAAAUGGUCUUUCGUAAUAGAAUCAUUUAAAAUGUCAAAAUAGCCUUAUGUAAAGUUGAAAAUUUUUUAUUGAUCAAGGGGGGUUAUGUGUAUAUUCCUAAACCAUAAGGGGGUUAUAUGGUAAAAUAUUAAACCAUAAAGGAAUUAUAUAGUAAAAUAUAAAAAUCACACGGAAUUAGUGUGUCAUGUAUUUAUAAGGGUAAUUUCGAUAUUAUCAAAAGUUUCAUUAUGAAUGACUAUCUCCGUCAUUUUGACACUUUAAUUCAAACCAUAAGGAGGUUAUGUACAACUUUUGAAAGCACCAUUAAAAGCAUUCUAUCAUAAUGUGAAGCUAUUGGUCGUAAAUGCUUAUCAAACAAUAGAUUUGGUAAUGAAAACUUGACACUCUUUCCUUAUAUUUGUGCUAAGAAUUGCUUUAGAAAGUAAUUAAUCUUUAUAAUCUAAGGGUAUUUGUUGAUAAAAUUUAAACCAAGCUAUUUAGAAGUUUGUAUAGCAGUUUUAGAAUUAGAUUUAUUAUACAGUAACUAGAUUACAAGUGAUAUCAAAGUUGGUUUAGAAAAUAGAGUUGAGUUAUAUUUUAGUGUUAGAAUUAAAAUAGAUUUAGUACAACUGGCAUUUCCACAUAGAAUAUUAGCAAUUACACCAGUUGAAAAAUUACAGAAGUGCAUGGCUAUAUCGAUUAUUGCACCUAAAAUACAACAAGUGUGCACAGAAAAAAUGUAAAGAAAUUAUUGCUUCUCAGCAAAUCAUGAGGGGAUUAUGUAUAACUUUUGAAACUAUAAGGGGGUUAUGUAGAAAAACACUAAACCACAAGGGGAUAAAGUGUAAUUUGCCCUUUUUAAAAUAUUGAUUUCAUGUCGUUUACAAAAUCAAGGCAGCCAAAUUUAGUUGCAACUUGGGCUUUUGACCACUGAAUAAAUGAAGUGAUCCACUACGUGAUCAUUGUUUUAGGUGCGAAAACUGUAUUUUUUCUAGAAAUUAAAAGAAACUUCAAAAAAUUGAAAAAAAAAAUACUAGCAAGGAGGUGUGAGAUGUAAGAAACAUUUAAGUAGCAGGAGUUUUAAACCCAGGACCUUUAAUUCUUGUAGUUUCACCUUUAACUAAUUGACCAAGUCUCUUUCCCACAUAAAGGCUACCAUUUCUGGGCAUUAAUGUGAUUUCAUUAAAUUUUUGGACCGAAUCUGUGUUGUUAAACAUUUUAUACAUCCAUCUUGGGGACCAAAUCGUAUAUAUCUUUUUUUUUUUUAAAAAUAAAUUGUAUAUAUCUUAUGUUCAAAAGGAUAAAGUGUUGCUCAUGUGUAUAUCUUAAGUUCAAAGGGAUAAAGUGCUACUUAUGCCUCACUCCCAAGUUCGAUAUGUAAUCAAAGUGUAAGCAGCCCUAAAAUUCAUUCAUCAUUCUCUGUACUCACAACAGCAAGUCACAAGCUUUGGCCAGCUGAGAGCCUGAGACAGAGAGAAUAAAAAGACAGUGCUGUGAUGCGGUUCAGCUAAGAAUCAAAUGAAUUCCAAAAGUAAAGGCAUUAGUUAGGGGCCAACAAGGUUUCCCAUUGAGCUUUUUAAUCAGCCAAAAUCACUGCAAAACAGACAAUCCAACUUACGACACCAAAUAUAUAGAAAACCUAUAAAGCUAACUGGAAACUGCAUGACGCUUUGUUCAGUCAAUUGUUCAGAAAUCUAAAUCAAUAUCUGCGAUGAACCAAUGCUUUUUAUAUGUGUUGAAUGCUGCUCGGUUUAGUAAAUUAUCAUUCCAGCGAGUAGUUGCUUUACGCUAAUGCUCGGGUUGUUUAAAAAAGUUUACUCCUUGACAUUUAAAAAAUACUGGGAAAAUAUAGUGAGAACCGAUUGGUGAUUGCCAGGAUGCUUUGUUGAUCUCAGAUUGGUGAUUUCCUUGUAUGUAUGUCGCUUGCUAGGAUGCUUUUUGCUAUCACGUUAUAAAGAUGGAGAUGGACAGAAGGGUUGAGGCUUUCGUCAAAGUUUUGGUGAGAACCGAUUUAUUUAUUUAUUUUUCAAAUUUAGAAUGGGACUGUGGGUUGCCGGUGGUAUGAAAUGAAGUAUGGUGGAGCCACUAAGAGAGCUAUGUAAUUUACCCAAUUUAUAAAGGGUUAUAUGUAAUUUACCCAAUUCGGAAUGGGCUUCUUCCCCGGUUUUAGGUAAUUAUAUUGUUUAAACUAUAUUUGAAACAUGACAUUGAGUAAGUAGGAAUAGCAUGACAUUGAGUAUGGUCGCGCAAUCUGUUUUGUCACAAUGGAAGAGACCUCCUGCGGGCUAUGUUAAAGCUAACUUUGACGGGGCUAUCUUUGUUGAGGGUGACAUUUCAGGUAUUGGAGUUGUCAUUAGAGAUGCCGAGGGUAAUUUCAUGGCAGGAUUGGCAAAGCAAAUUCCAGGAAUUUUUGCACCAGAGGUUAUUGAAUCUUAUGCUGCAAAGGCCGCGGUUGAGUUGUUAUUGGAUCUACAUUUGCCCAUGAUUAUUCUUGAGGGUGAUUGUCUAAAAGUCGUUAAAAUGCUUCAAACUACAGAGACAGAUGCAUCAGCUUGUGGAAUGCUGGUAGAUGAUAUUCUCAGAGAUAUACAAAGCUUUGCAACAUGGGAAGCAUCAUGGGUGCCUAGACAGCUGAACAAUGUCAUGCGUCGUGUUGCUAAAUAUGCUUGUUCUAUUUCUAAUGGCUGUAUAUGGAGGGACUUCCCUCCAGAUUUUAUUGUUACCGCGCUUGCUGCGGACAUCAUCUCAGAUUAAUAAUAUUUUUGUCACUUUCUAUCCAAAAAAAAAAAAAACUAUAUAAGAUAUUUGUUAUCGAUUUCUUUGUUUCCUAAAACACAAGAAGUUUUUCAUUCCUAAUAUGUAUCUUGUUUAAUUAAUUGUUUCAGUGAUUUUUAAAAGAUAUUAGCAAAGAAUUUUAGAUCCAAUUUGGUGCAGUUCUCCUUUGACAAACUGAAUCGGAUGCUUUUGCUACGGAAGUCGAUUCGCAUUUUCAAUUCACCUUUCUUAAUGUUAUGGUCGUUGCUGGGAUUCUUCAUCUGCUUUUGAUCCGCACGCUUAAAGAAAAUGCCAAUCAUCAUUGAGACUCUUAAUAAAUCUCACGAUGAAUAAUUUCAUCUAAAUGGCUGGUCCCUGGUGGAUCAGAUUUCAAACAUAAUUUAAGUACGCCUUACUUUUUGUUUUCUUUCUGCAGAGGAUUAUACUGUGGCAGUGUGGCUUAAAAUCCUCCAAUUUCUUUAAAAUUCAGAGACACCCAGAGUUCUCCAUUUCCUUUUGUGCUUUUGCAACAUUAAUUACCUCAUUCUCUAAUCGUUGGGAAAUAGGCUAAAAACUGAAAAAAAAAAUAAUAAUAAUCGCUAGUUUAGUUAUCAAAAACAUGAAGUGGAGUUAGUAAUCGGGCUUGACACGCAGCUACAUAAUUGGUCAGUAAUUGCGUGCUUUCUUAGCUUUUACAAUUGCGAAAUUUUCAAAAUAGUCUCUUGUAUUUCCAAAAGUUCUCUAGUGAUAGGGUGCAAAAUUACUAUUCAAUUUAUGAUUAUUUCCCCUUGAUUGUAACCAAAUAUUGUUUUAAUUAAUGGAUUCUAUUUAUAUUUGGUUAAUUGUGCUAAUUGUAGGAAAAUGAGCAAAACGUGAUUAAAAGGGAUAAUUUUCAAGUAAAUUUGGUGAUAGCACGAUCAGGACCUGCUUUCAAAUCUAGAAGACUCAAGAAUUUUCUACGUGGAGGUUUCCUAAUUUGAGUCAACUAUGAACAGCUUUUGAAAGAUUUGGGAAGACGUUAAUUAUAUCCUUUCCUUAUACUAUAUAAGAAUGAGUUUAGGGUUUGAAUUUCAACCGCAAGGGUGGGGCUUUUUUGGAAAUGUGAGAGUGUUUGAAGUGCAAUUAGAGUAUUGAAUAUGAGUCAUUAUAACUAAUUUAGUUUUGUUGUAAUUACUUAGGUGUCCUUUUAAACAUUUAAAGUUAGGGAUAAGUUUGAUAUGUGACAUUGUUUGAUAUCCGAUUGAACAUUGGGUACAACUGAAUUCAGCUUGUGUUUUAGUGAAAUUACAUAAAAGCCCUUCUAAUCAUUUAAUUUUAUUAACAUCUAAGUCUUUUAAUUUCUUAAAGCCUUUCUCAUCAGUUAUUUGCAAAGAUAUGAUAUAUAGAUGUUAAGACACAAUUAAUGUCAAUUAGUAGAGAAGUCUGGUUUUUUGGCCGUUAUCAUAGUAACCUCCAUCUAUUCAAAUUCAUUUCAUUUGCUUAUAGGAUUUGUUCCACCACAGUCAUGCAGCAUAUUGAAUUCGGAUAUUGUUACAUUAGCUACUCUUCUUCCCUAUUUUGCAACACUUUUUUCAAUAGGUAUGUUUUCUUUAACCAAUCUACUUUUUGGUUGUAAAAAAUCUGUAAUAUUGCAAGUUGUAUGUGCAAUAAUUUUUCAGUAUUUUAAUUCAAUUGCUCAUGUUAGACAAGCUUGAUAAGGGAGAGACCACAUUUGUUAAUUGUUAUUUAUGGUUUUAAAUAAGUUUAUCAUCAUAAAUUUUCCCAUUUAUAGAUUGCAUCUACUUCUUUUGUUGUUUUAACUAUUAGUUGGGGUAAUUUUCAAAUCGUUUGCUACUUUAUUAACUAUUCCAUUUAGACAAUUUUUCACUUCAUCUGAUUUGCUAAUAUGUUUAACUAUCUACUUAAAACUAUUUGGCUACAAAUCUAAAGUAUGUACCUCAUUACUUUUAAUUGUUUUUCUUAAAUUGAGUGGAUUAAGAUGCUUUAGUACUUUUUUGAGGUAAUUAUUCCUCUAAAUUAGUAUGUUAGUUGUUGUAUAUCUUUGCAACUAACACAAAACUGAUAUUUCAUGAUUGUAACCCCUAUCGAGAAGGAGAUGUUUUGUUAUAUGUCCUAAAUCAUACAAUAAAUUAUAAUUAAUUACUUGCUCAAUGUGAAGGCCUCGUGAUGAUAUAUGUCCUUGGAAUCAAUAUAAAUUCAAGAAUUUUGCUUGCAAGAACCGAAAUUCUACUAGCAAUGAUAUCUUCAAGUAUGCUAAUUGUUCAAAUCUCACUUAUAUGAUAAGAUAAUGUGGUAGAUUGCCCUCAUAGUAAGAUCGAAUUCAAACUAAAUAACAAAUUUUAAUAUCCCUAAAGUGCAUGAGCCGAUAUAAAUAGGUCUUUUAUUAUACUAGGUUAGAUGCAAAGUAGUUGAUCAUAUCUUAUAAUUAUGUUUUAUUGCAAAUUAUAUUUUUUAACUCAAUAUGUAACUUAUGAUUUUUUUUAUUUAAUAUCACAGAAUAAAAUUGUCAUAUUUCAAUUCUUAUACUAGAAAAUGCCAAAUAAUAAUUAUUAACCAUCUUUAAUUAUAGGCACUAAACUCCCACGCAUUGUGUGGGCUUUUCCCCCUAGUUUAUUAGUAGUAGUAUUACAUUAGGAAACAUGAAAUAUUAUCUUUUGUAUUUUCUUUUUCUAAUUAGCCAAUGUGCUUUUAUUAUUAAUAGUAGAUAUCAAGUAGAAAAUUGAGGGAGAGAAAAAGCCGGCAUUUCGCGUGAUUAAUACUUCGGGAAGCUGUCACGAUCUCAAGGAUAAUUCUGGAAUUGUGGAAAUCAGGGUCAAUUGAUUGGGAAAGAUCAGGGAAUUGGGGAAGAACAGAAGAGAGGAAAUAAGAGAAAUGGAGAGAGAGAGAAAGAAGAAAGGAGUGAAGGAAAUCAGAAGAAUCAAAUGCAAUUUCGUAAUCCUUUCUUACACGCGGGCCCCAGUUAUAACCAACUCUAACAACCUGACAUUAGCUAAUAGCUGAUUUAACCGCCUAACUGUCUGACUAAGUGGAACGGUACCGUUUGGAAUGCUUAAUAAGCUCUGGAACGGCAUCGUUUAACUAAUCAACUGACUAAACUAACUAAUGCUCAAUUGAGCCCCUUAUUACGCCUGAGAACAUGAAUUUUGCAGCCUGACAAUCCCUUUCCCUUAAAAACAGACUUGUCCUCAAGUUUGGAAAGCAGUGAACUGGUUUUCAAUGAAGGAUUUAUCCUCCUAAGAAGCUUCUUCAGGUUCUAGCUGCUCCCAUUUAAUCAAGAACUGAAUGAUAGUCUGCCCAUUGCGCAAAAUGACUCUUCUGCUCAGUAUUGCUUCUGGCUACAGGGGGCAUUGAUCGUGUGUGUCCAAUUCUGGAAGCUUGGUAGAACUACCUUGCAUUGGCCUUAUUUUUCUCUUCAGCAGUGAAAUGUGAAACACAGGGUGUACUCUAGUACCUGCUGGCAGCUUCAAUCUGUAGACCACUGUGCCAACUUUCUCCUCCACCUGGAAGGGCCCAAAGUAUUUAGCAGACAGCUUGAGACAUUUUCUUACUGCCACAGUUUGUUGUCUAUAGGGUUGAAGCUUCAGAAAUACCCAAUCUCCCACGACAAAUUCUCUCUCAAUUCUGUGUUGGUCAGCAAAGUGUUUCAUCCUUUGUUGAGCCUUGGCCAAGUUGUCCUUUAUGCAGUUAGAGAUCCUGUUUCUUUCCUGGACCAUAUUGGAAGCUGCCGGGACUACCGAAUCUAAAUAAGGUCCUAAUGGUAGUGGCAAGGGUUUAUAUCCAAACAGAGCUUCGAAUGGUGUCAUAUUGAGGCUAGAGUGAUAGGUAGAAUUGUACCACCACUCAGCCAUGGACAGCCAUUUGCUCCAUUGUGAUGGCAUUUCUCCUGUCAUGCAUCUCAAGUAGUUCUCCACACAUUGAUUCAGCCUCUCGCUUUGACCAUCAGACUGAGGAUGGUAAGAAGAUGUAUAGCGUAGUUCUGUUCCUAGCACCUUGAAUAACUCCUUCCAAAAUCCACUGGUGAAAAUCAUAUCCCUGUCUGUGAUGAUGGAUUCAAGUAAACCAUGCAUUAUGUAUAUGUUGUCCAGAAACACUUGUGCGACCCCUUUGGCAGUGAAUGGGUGAGUGAGUCUAACAAAAUGUCCAAACUUAGUGAACCUAUCAAUCACCACCAGUAUAGUGUCAAAACCUUGUGACUUGGGUAGCUUCUCAAUAAAAUCCAUGGAAAUGUGAGUCCAGGCCUGGGUGGGAACUGGAAUUGGUUGCAACAGACCAGGAUAUGGUACAUUCUCAGACUUACUCCUUUGACAGGUAUCACAGCUACGAACAAAAGUUAUCACCUCCUGUUUCAUCCCUGGCCAAUAAAACAGUGACUUAAUCCUCUGCCAGCAGCCUUUUUGUCCUGAAUGCCCUCCCAGUGCUGAGGCAUGCAGCACCUGAAGGAUCUGGUUCCUGAUGUUAUUGGCACCUCCCACAUAAAUUUUUCCUUGGUAUCGUAGCACUCCAUCCACCAGAGUGAAGCCAUUAUGAGAAUUGGGAUCCAGUAGUAGCUGAGCCAUGAUGUUUUGACAGUGUUCAUCUAGUUCAUAGCUUUUCUGCAGUUCCUCAAUCCACCCUGGUCUCACUGCAGAGAUAGCUAAGCAUGUCUUGGGAAAAAGAUCUGAAACAGCUUCCUGCCUCCUAGAUAAAGCAUCUGCAACCUUAUUUUCAGCUCCCUUUUUAUACUGUAUCUCAUAAUCCAAUCCCAUGAGUUUUGUCAUCCACUUAUGUUGGAGAGCAGUGUUCAAUUUCUGAUCCAACAGAUACUUUAAUGACUGAUGAUCAGUUCUGAUAACAAAAUGACUCCCAACCAGAUAAUGCCUCCAUUUAGUGACUGCCAUCACUAGAGCAAGUAGCUCCUUUUCGUAUACUGACAGUCCCAAAUUCCUGGGUGACAAUGCCUUGCUCAGAAAAGCAAUGGGGUGUCCUUCCUGCAUCAGAACUGCCCCAAUACCACCCCCACUGGCAUCUGUUUCAACUACAAAUGCCUUGGUAAAAUAUGGUAAUGUAAGAACUGGGGCUGAGCACAUCAACUCCUUCAAGUGCUCAAAGGCUGCCUGUGCUUUUUCACUCCACCUGAAACUAUCUUUCCUGAGCAGUUCAGUCAGAGGCUUGAACACCUGGCCAUAAUGUUUUACAAACCUUCUGUAGUAGCCCGUUAAUCCCAAGAACCCCCUUAAUUCCUUUACAGUUUGAGGUACAGGCCACUGUAAUAUGCUACUGACCUUGGAGUCAUCCAUGCUAACUCCCUUGUCAGUAAUAGUAUGUCCCAGAUAGUCUACCCUCCUCUGAGCAAAUGCACACUUGGACUUCUUCACAAACAGUUGAUUAUCCCUCAGCAGAUUCAACACAAGUCUCAAAUGCUGGAUGUGAUCCUCUAAGGUGGGGCUGUAUAUUAAGAUAUCAUCAAAGAAGACCAAGACAAAUUUCCUCAAAUAAGGUUGAAAUAUCUGAUUCAUCAACGAUUGGAAGGUUGCAGGAGCAUUGGUAAGGCCAAAAGGCAUUACCAGAAAUUCAAAGUGACCACAAUGGGUCUGGAAGGCUGUUUUGAAAGAGUCCUGUGGUUUGACCUUGAUCUGAUGGUACCCUGCUGUCAAAUCCAGUUUGGUUUUGAAUACAGAUCCUGCUAAUUCAUCCAGUAAUUCAUCCACGUUGGGUAUUGGAAAUCUAUCCUUGACAGUGAGCUCAUUCAGCUUUCUGUAAUCUACACAGAAUCUCCAAGUGCCUUCUUUCUUCUUGACCAACAACAUAGGAGAGGCAAAGGGACUGUUGCUGUGUUUGACAAUGCCCUUCUGCAGCAUUUCAGUCACUUGCCUCUCUAUUUCCUCCUUGUGACAAUGAGGGUAUCUAUAAGGUUUGAGUUUGAAGGGUUGGGCAUCUGGUUUAAGGGGUAUUUCGUGGUCUACACUUCUGCUUGGGGGUAGUGACUGUGGUGAUUGGAAUACAUCCUCAAACUCCUGUAGCAGCUGGUGCACUUCCAGAGGGGUGGUAUCCAAUCUGCUCUCUUCACGCUGUUGAGAACUCAUGGCCAGACACAUCUGCCUUUUGUAUUCAAUAAAGGUCCUCAAGUCUUUGCCUCUGAUCAAGUCCAGGUCACAGUUAUCUGCUUGUCCAUGUAGAUGAAUUUCCCCUCCUUCAUGGUGCAAUGAAAUCUUAAGUUGUUGGAAAUCAAAAGUAAUGGGACUAAAGUGUGUCAUCCAAUCUACCCCCAAUAUGAUAUCCCAUCCUCCUAGUUCCAUCGCCUUAAGAUUAAACCUGAAGUGGUGCUGAUUGAUACUCCACUGCACACCUGGACAUACAGCAUUGCUGGUGACACAAGCUCCAUUACCCAUGAUAACAGAGAAGGGUUGAUCCACCCACUGGUAUUUGAUAUCCAUUCCAAAAACCAGCUCACUGUUGAUAAAACUAUCAGAACUCCCAGUGUCCACUAGGAUGGACACCUCUUCUCCAUUCAAGACCCAUGUGAGUGUGAUGGUUUUCCUCUUUAAUGCCUCAGAUAAAGCAUUCAAGGACAGUUCCAUUAUCUGUCCAGGAUUUCCUGUUUGCUCAUCCUGUUCCCCCAGAGCAUCUUUAAAGGUAGCUUCCUCCUCUUCUUCCAGUAUCAUGCAGUUCGUGUGGCCUACCUUACACUGAUGUCCUACCCCAUAUCUGUCCCCACACUUGAAACAGAGUCCAUUAGUUCUCCUAAACUGCAUUUCUUGUGCAGAAAGUCUCCUAGUAUCCUUAGUACUUUCCUGUAAAUUUCCCAGCUUAACAGGUUUAUGGCUGUUGUAGAAGGGAACCUUAUAUGAAGUAGCUCCUUGAUUUGUUGUAGUGCUUCGUGUCAACCCCAGUCUGUUUUCUCCUAGAGGUUUGACAUUCUCCUUGGUACUCUUAUGCUGCAAUUUCAAGGAGUAUUCUUGCCACUGAGACAGUUCAAAUGCUUGAGUCAGGGUCAGAGGUUUUAACAUUUUGAUCAUGGGCUUGAUUUCCUCCUUCAACCCACUAAUGAAACUAGAAAUGAAGUAAUUCUCAUCCAGAUUUUGAUUUUUAAUCAUCAUUAAGGCCUUCAACUCCUCAAACUUCUCCUGGUAAUCUUCAACAUUUCCUAACUGUUGCAGCUUAUUAAAUUUCUCCACUACAUCUUUACAAGUUCUAUCAUUAAAUCUGCGACAAAGCAGUUCUCCAAAUUCUUCCCAACUAAGCUUAGGUUUCUCAAUUUGUACUCCUUGAAACCACCGGUCAGCUUUGCCUUCUAGAUACAUCUCAAUUACAUCUACCUUGUGCUCAUCCGGCACUUGAUAAUUCAGGAAGUAUUUGUUACAUUUGCGCAACCAUUCUCUAGGAUUCUCUCCAGUAAACAUUUGCAGAUCAAUCUUAGGAGGAUUUGGAAGCUGGAACUUACCCCAAUCCUUCUUGAAGAUCCUUUGGCCCUCGCAAUCUACUGCCAACCUUUGAUGAGCUGGUGGAGUUGGUAGAAGUGGCAUUUGAUCUACCGUCCUGUUACCUCCUUCGGUCACCUUCUCCUUUCCAGGCGUCAUCUUCAGUAACAGCUCACUGAAUUUUUGCUCAAGAAGUUGGUUGACAUUCUGCUCCAUUCCCGAUAACAAGUUCUCCAUUCGUCUGUUGUUUUCUUCCAACUCCAUCUUCAAGUCUUUCCUAACCUGCUGGUGCUCAGCUUUGGACGCCUGCAGGGACUCUACAAGCUCCUGGAGCUUAGCUUCUUGCUUCCUUACCUGCUCUUCAAUGGUGCGGAAUCUGGUGCUCUCCGCCAUUGAUCGUGGUACAGUUUCCAAGGAUCGCUGCUCUGAUACCACUUUGUCACGAUCUCAAGGAUAAUUCUGGAAUUGUGGAAAUCAGGGUCAAUUGAUUGGGAAAGAUCAGGGAAUUGGGGAAGAACAGAAGAGAGGAAAUAAGAGAAAUAGAGAGAGAGAGAAAGAAGAAAGGAGUGAAAGAAAUCAGAAGAAUCAAAUGCAAUUUCGUAAUCCUUUCUUACACGCGGGUCCCAGUUAUAACCAACUCUAACAACCUGACAUUAGCUAACAGCUGAUUUAACCGCCUAACUGUCUGACUAAGUGGAACGGUACCGUUUGGAAUGCUUAAUAAGCUCUGGAACAGCAUCGUUUAACUAAUCAACUGACUAAACUAACUAAUGCUCAAUUGAGCCCCUUAUUACGCCUGAGAACAUGAAUUUUGCAGCCUGACAGAAGCAAGAAACGAGGGGGAGCCAUCGUGGCUAGUCCCGUGUCAAGGAGGGGAGCCGCUUGGCUUUUCUCUUAUUAUUCAGUUUCUUUAGUUUUUCUUUUUAUCAAAGACUUAUGCGGCUGGCUUUGAGAAAAAUCGUGUGAAUUGUUCGAAUUAGUCAUGUGCAACUAAGUUCUUUUUUUUAGUUAAGAAAUAACGAAAGAUUUGGUUCAUCUACAUCUGUGAGAUCUAACUAUUUUCAUCUAUUUCUCUUAUUUGUUAGUAUUCGUAUGUUUUUCGAUUUAAUUUCUCAUGGUUGUUUUGUUGUUUGGAUAUUAUGGGCACCUGAUAUUUAAUUCAACUUAACAAACUAAAGCCAAUUAACAUAGUUAAAUCUGUAAUUUUUUAAUUAUUUAAAUUAGUGGCGAUUAGCGUAAUUGGUGCCAUGUUAGGAAGACAUACGAUUUGAUUUAAAUAAAUCCCGGUAGUGUGUUUAUUGAUUAGAACAAGGGUUUUCUAGUUUCUAAUGCAAUCAAGAAAUUAAAUUUUAUGGGCGUACCUAGGGUUGUUUCUUGGUUAGAGAAGCAGUUAACGGACGUAUUUUAACUAUCGAGACACUAAGAAAAAACUGAUUGUUUAUCACGUGUAUGACAACUAUAACCUAAUUAUUAGCAAAUAAUUGAGAUAAUUAUUGCAUCGAUGAUCAGUUAUUUGAACCAUUUCCGGAGUUUUGUCUUUGGCUAGAGCUUGUCUAUUCUUAAGUUGAAUUUAAUUUGCUUUAGUUUAAUUAUUUUCAGUCACAUUGAUUAUUUACUUUAGUUUUAAUUCUCCAAACCCCCUCCCUCCCCCCCCCAACCUAUUAGCUUUUACUUAGAAAGAAAUAGAUUUUUUUUCUAAUCCCUGUGAAGACGACCAUUUUUGUCAUUAUACUCAUUUAUAUCUUUUUGUGAGUAGAAAUUUAUUAUUGCACAGGCAACACUCUUGUCAUCUAGCACUUUAAAACAUCAGUCAUUUUGAAGCAAAUGUCUUGUUUAUGUACAAUAUACAAAAAUUAAGUGGUGAAAAUUUGAGGAGUUUGUUUAUUAUGAAAAUUGGAGAUCCCUUGUAUUCAUCUUUGUUCCUCCAUUUCACAAUUAGUUUGCAUGCAUUUUAAUGGUGAAUUUGUCCACAAUUUAUAAUCAUUUAAUAAAGCGUUUUGUAAUGACAUCGAAAAUACACUUUGAUGGUAAUUGAGGCAACUCUCUUUUAAAUAGAUCAUGAAAAAGAAAAUGCUACAGCUGAUUGACAGUUUGAACUUUGGAGGCACCAUAUUCACAGCAACAAAUCACAAGCAUUGGUUUAUCCAGCUGAGACACGAAUAAAAAAGAUAGCGCCGAGAUGUGAUCCAGCUAAGAAUCAAAUGAAUUUCAAACGGCAGUAAUACUAAUUAGGGGCCAACAAGGUUUAUCCAAUAAGCUUUCUCGAUCGGCUUAGAAAAAAGAGUGCUGCUUCUUCUUUUGACAAACUUGCGCGCAAUUUCCUCCAAAGCUCCUACUCGGCGUUUCACUUGAAAGUUCCCAAGUCAGUGCUGGGCUUUUCUUACUGCUUUUUUUCCUUUUUCGAAUUGUUUGCUCCUUUUGCGCUCGAAUGCCGAGCCUUUUGAUUUGUGGAAAAAUAAUUUAGUGAGUAAAUUCCUGCACUUGGUUUUCAAUGUCAAAGACCUCGAAUGUUCUGGUGAUUCUUGGAGUAGAAUCAAAGAGGAAAACUAUUACUUCGAUCCUUAAUUAAUGAAGGAGUACAAUCAUCCUGUUUUGUGAGAAAUUUUAAGUGGUACGACACAAAUGUUACAAUCCCAUGUUUCACCUCAACUUCUAAUGACUAAUAACAUGUCACGUGCUUUGCACCGUGAUCAUAUUAACCUAACAUAUAACAUCAUUGACAUACUAAAUUCUUUGUUAAAUUUUAACUUUAAGCAUCAAAAUAGAGCAAUUCUUUUGGUUUUCAGUUUCUUUAACUAGUUCUUUGAAAAAUACUAGCUAGUUUAGGUGUAGUACAUGUAUUGCACGCUGCAUUUCUCCCCAGUUCAAUUGAACUUUAAGUAAAUGAAACAAACUGAAGUACUCAAAUUCAUAUAUAUAAAUCAAAAUACACUCUUCUAGUAACCACUCCAACACUAUAUAGCCUUGACAAAUAGAACAUAGAAUUCAAACAGAACAAUAAAAUAUAAUAAGAAAUAAAUGGGCUAAGGCGGUUCUGAUUUAAUGAUUAAAGUACUUCAAGAAUAAAAGGUCCUAGAUUCAAUUCUCUCAAUUUUUACUUCUCAUGUAUGAACAUAAAAAUGAGCUAACCUAAUGUUUCAAAAAAAAAAAAAAAAGAAACCACCUAAAAAUACAAAGGAUCCUCCGUUAAGAAUUUAUCUUCAUACCUUUUGCAAGGUCAUUGAAAACACACAUUGAAGAUACUUGACGUUAACCUGUUUUUAAAUAAAAUCAUUAGACAUUAGAAAAUAUAGAGGCAAGAAUUAUUAAAGCCGAAAAUUUAAGAAGUACUUUGAAGACAUCAAAAAUUUGCUUUGAAGGUACUUGAGGCAAACCCUUUUUGUUAAAUAAAUCAUUAGCAUUAGAAAAUUAAGAGGCAAGAAUUAUUAAAAAUAGAAAUAUUAAAAAUUCUACCUAAUAUUCCUUUUAGGAUAAAUUUUAUAUACACAGAUGAUGUACAUACAAGCAGGGCUGAAUGCAUGCUACCUUUAUUGUGGAAGCAAUAAGUACAUCAGCCAUUCUUUUUGUUCCUUGGAUACUUUUUGCAAUGGAAAGUUUUAGCUCUGGGUGGAAGCAGUAAGGAACUAUUCUUUUCUUCAGCAGAAGCAACAAGACUUUGACAAACUUGCAUGCUUUUGCAACAGGGAAGAGGUUGCUACUUGGAUCCAGGGCCUCACAAUUUAUGUUUCAUACAAUUUCGUGCAAAUUGAUCUUUGAUGUAAAUUAGUCAGAUUUUGGUCUGAAUCAGGUCCAGUUUAAUGUAAAUCAGGUACAGUUUAGUGUAUAUUAAUUUGUGAUUAUUCGGUAUAAAUCAGAUACACUUGGAUAUAAAUUGAUUAUUAUCAUUUAGUGCAUGUUAAGGUCAAUUUGGUGUAAAUUAAGAGUAAAUUGUUAAUUUACAUCAACUUAUACAUAAUGAAACUUGUGAGGCUUAUUUCCUGCAUAGAACUUGUGAGGCCUGUAAUCUUGGUAUCUAAAUUUUGACACGUGAGCAGUUUUAAUCCCCAAAUUUUGGACAAAAAUAAAUCUGGUACCCAAACUUUCAAUAUUUGAGCACAUUUAGUAGCCUUAGUGAUUUUUUCCAAAUUGUUACUUGAAAGAGUCGCGUGAUAGUCAUAUGUUCGAUAAUUAUUCUAUAAAAAAAUGUCACAAAAAUGUAAAAUAUCUUUCUAACUCUAAGAGGAAGAUGAAAUACAGUAAAAGAAGAAGAAAAGAAAUAAGAUGAGUAGAGUUGUGUAAGUGAUUAAAGUUUUUAAAAUAUCUUGGUACUUAGUGUUAGAAGGAUAUUUUACAUUUCACUGGUAUUUUUUUUUAUGCAAUAGUUGUUGGACAUGCGACUAUCACGUGAUUUUUUCCGAUAGCAUUUUGUAAAAAAAUUGUCAAGGGUGCUAAAUAUUCUCAAAUAUUAAAAAUUUGAGUAUAAGAUUUGUUUUUGUCCAAAAUUUGGGGAUUAAAACUGCUCAUGUGUUAAAAUUUGGGUACCAAAACUACAUUUUUCUCUACUGGUCGUUGCUCGGGCCUUCAUAUGCUUUUGAUCCACAUGCUGGAGCCUUGGAUUGUGUAAAAUAUGACAAUCAAGGAUUUAAAAUAUGACAAAACAGGAAAAAAGAAAGGGAAAAUGACAAUCAUAAUUGCAACUCCAGCAACCAUUUUCUUUUUGGGUUAAAUACAAAAAACCUCCUUAUGAUUAAUCGAAUGUUCAAGUUAACUCCCUAUACUUUGGAAACAUACAUAAAAUCCCCUUAUGCUUUUGAUUAAAAUAAAGGCAAAUUACACUUUACCCUCCUGUGGUAUAACUAAUUUUCACAUAACCCCCUGUAUUUUUAAAAGCUAUUUAUAACCUCUUUAUAAUUUGGACUACAUUGUCAAAGUGAUGGAAAUAAUCAUUUGUAAUGGAAUCUAUGAAAUGUCAAAAUUACCAAAAUAUAGAAGGGUAAAAAAUAAAAAAAAAACCCUAUGAUAAGCUUAAUACACAGAAAAACCCCCAUGGUUUUAAAUAUACAACACAAAUCAGCAUUUCAGCAAAAUAGAGAUUUCUCAUUUCUACAUCGCUGUGUAAUAGAACUUUCCAUAAAUUUCCAUAACUCUCAUUAAGGGGAAACAAAAUUUCAAAUGAGUGAUCAAUACUCGAAAAUUAUAAACGUCCAUGCACUAGUCUAAUGUUGGCAAAGUUUGGGACUUGCGCAUAAUAUUUACUGUAGUUUCUUAACCUAAUAAGUUUGCCAGUUUCAAGGGAAAGGGCGAAUAAUAUAUAAUUCGAACCAUCAAAUGCUACCACCAUGAGAUAGGCUGGCAAAAUUCUUUUGAAUGCAGUUCAAGAACUAAGUAGAAAAUGCUAAAACCAGUUACAUUGAUUGAAAAUUUAAAAAGAACAGAAAAAAAAAGAAGGGAAAAUGGAACUGCUUAGAAUCAAAGAGAGAAGAGCGACUUCUGAGAGCAGCACUAAUCGUAGGGGACAAUUCCGGCAAGUGUACGGCGAAGACAGCACUAAUCGGCGAGGACAGCGCUAAUUCCUUCCUUCUGUGUAGAAAUUAUUAUUAUUAUUACUACUACUACUACUACUUUCUGUACUGAUACGGAUAUGAGAUGAUUUACUUAUAUUGGCCGUCAAAGUCUUAAGAGGCAUAGAAAAGUAGAAAUGCUUUAAUUGUAACAUACCCUGAGCUACAAUGAAAAUGAUUUGAGGCCAAGAUGUGUAAGAUCAAUGUCACAUUAGUGCCUCAUGAGACAAGUUCACAUAGAAGUAAUUUUACAAAUAGAUGCUACGUUAAAUGUCAGUUUGAUGAACUAAGGUUGACCUUAUAUGUUCCUAUAUAAUCCUGUUCAAUUGAUUUCCAUAAUUUCAUCUCUCCAACGUUCCCAUCCACCAAGUGGGAUCCUUUCUUGAAUAGAAAUUGGUGCCUUGGCAAGUGGGAUUCUUUGUGCUCUGAGUCCCGUCUGAGCUUUACAGAUGCAAGGAGCAAUGGAAAGGUACCAUCGGACACAACCUGUAGUCAACUGCGGAACACUUGAGAAAAAAUACGUUGCCUGUUAUAGAGCUAAGAUACAACUUUCAAGAAGGAUGCAAGUUAUCUAGCAGGGUUAAGCUAAUCCACAUCUUUCUGCUGCAAAAUACUGGCUACUUUGAACUACAAGCAGCACGGAAGAUAUGGCAAAUUGAGUUCCAAAAGAAGUAAAAGAGCACCUCAUUAACAUGUCUACAAAUUGCUGAAUCGGUUGGACAGUUUAAAAUCACCAGCUGACAAGGAAGAUCUCAGGCUUUGGCCAUCCGAGGCAGAGAGCAAAAGGGAAUUCCAUCCCGGAUGUUUUCAUCUGAUCUGACUGAAUCAGGAUCUGGUUCAACAAGGGAUCACAGGACUUCAUUACAAAUGAUAGUAAGAGCGAGCUAUCAAGGUUAAUGUUGAUCUUCGAGUGUAAAAUCACUGCAAAACACAAAAACUCAAACUUAAGAAACUCAAGACAGCAUGUAGUCAAGAAUAAAGCCAGCACAUAGUUGCAUGACAUUUUUGUUGUAUUUGAAACACUAAAAUAAGAACUUACCAUGAAGAGAUGAGCAAUAUCAACAAGUAUAGGUGGUAGAAUGAGCUUAAUAGCCAUCAUCACAGCGGAUGAAAUAAUUGCAGCCAACAAGCAUGCUUGGCAGUCUCGACUAACCACAGCGAUAUGCUUCAAAACUUGCAGCUUAGACUUGAUUGUGUUAGAAGAUGCUCUGAAAAAACAUCUUCCAUUACGAGAAGAUUUCUCAAGUUUUAGUUGUAAUAUAUUCAGAAUCAAAGUAUUUAAAAGUCAAAAUUGCAUAGUAAAAGAAGAGUAGUAUAUCUGAACUCACUGGACUCUUAGAACCAAAAACCAAUUUGAUGACCAACAGCUCUGGAAACUCCUGAAAUCUUUCGGGCUAGAAAAUCACAACCAACGAAAAGUGAGACAGAAACCCAUCAUUUACAUGACUUAUCGAACAAAUCACUAAUCAAAUGGUUCAAGAAGCUUGAUAAAUGCGCCUUCAAGGGGCCAUUAAACUUUGGAGCCACUAUUUACUCCCUCUAGAAUCAUAAGGUAGGGAGCUGAUCACUUUAGCAAUCCAAAACUCCUAGUCACUUCAAAACAGAAAACUAGAAAUUGCAUGACAUUCUUGUUUAGUCAAUUAUUCAGAAAGCUAAAUCAAUAUUUGUUUUUGUUGUUCUUUUCUAACCUAAAUCAGCAAGAAGAUAUCAAAUCUUUCUGGUCAGUCUACAAGUACCAGAAGUAUCAUGGAAACCUUAUUAGUUUUUGUUCAAAACACUGAAAAAGGAGAAGUUCUAUAACAAUAAUGACAAUGAGUGGCACCACGAGCAUGAAAGGAAGAGAGCCUCAGAAUUGCCCUGAAGGCGAUCUCUUUGAGACUGCAAGAUGCAACAGGCAGAGCUAAUUACAACUAUUUUACUCUUAAAAUCUCAUAUGACAACUUCAAUAGAGGAAUACCAAUUAUCAGAUAAUUUGGAGCAAGAUGAUAAAUAUAUUUAAAAGAGAUCAGAGCAAGCAUUUCCAUCCCGGUAGAAUCUCAAGUUUAAAGAGAAAUAGCAGUCAUGAUGGAAAUACAAAAGUAAACUGGAAGUAGCAGACAUAUGAGAUGAGCAAAAGUAAACUGCUAGUUUUUAUUUAAAAAAAAAAAAGAAUUUUGUACCGUAGAUGUAAAUACAAAAAGUUUUUCAGCUUUGGCAUCGUGUUAAACUGUCCACACUCCACAUCAAAUAACUUGCUCUUGAAAAUCUGUUGAGUUUUCAGCUUUGACAAACUAAAGUUCUAAAAUUGCCAAUUUACUUCCAUAAUUCACAGCUUAUAAGGUAGUACAAUUAAUGAUUGAGAUCUCUAAUUGCAACCUGCAAUCAACUUGCAAAAUGAUAAUUCUUCAGUCCUUACUGUUACAUUACUAGACAACAUCUUGGAAACAGACGUUUUAAAAUGUCAGAUAUUUUGCAACAAAAUCAUCUUACCAUACAAUAUUUAUCACCUGAUAUUGGAUAGAUUUAAAAGAAUUUAGUAAUGAUUUUACUGGAGUAUGUUGUCCGGAAGAAACAAAAAAUUAGAAAUUGACUCCUAAAAUCUUUGUCCAUCAUUGCCUCUCUAUAAUUUUCUGUGUUCCAUCCAUGGUUCGCUAUCGCGGGUCGCGGUCGCGUCGCGGUCUCAGUUGUUCCACAUCCAUCGCGGCAUAUCGGUUGAAUAUCGGGUGAUAUGAACAUUAUAACAUAUUAAAGUUUCCAAAAAUUUUGAAAAAAUUACUAAAAUUAGAAAAUACUGAAAAAGGCACAAUUUAAAAAAAUAUCGGAGUCGACUCCGAGUUGACUCGGAUAUAUCGACCGAUAUCAUGUAUCACGGAUUCGAAUCGGUCAAUAUCGGCCGAGUCAGAGCGAGUCGUCGCGGAUAUGGUGAUAUCUGCGAUUCGAGAAUCGGUAUCGUACCGGUCCCUUCCGUUCCAGAUACGACUCGGCCGAUACGUAUCGGUAUAUAUGGCGAACCAUGGUUCCAUCAAACUUUGAUUUUGACAAUCUAUUUCAUGAAUGUAAACGCAUUAUCAUUCUUUUCUAGCAAAUUGAUAACCAAAUGAACUUUUAGACUACUUAGUUGGCUGAGGAGCUUUUAGAUUGAAAAUCUCAGGAAGACAUGUUUGCCUGCAUUACAAUAAAGAUAGAAGAGCAAAUUUCAUGUCAUUUUUGAGCUAGGAGUCUUAGAGAGAGAAAGGGUUUCUUUUUGUUGCCUUUGAUCUAAAUCUAAUGAGCAGGAAAUAAGGCUUGAUACUAAGUACAUCUACUAAUCCAUUUAAAACAAAUUCCCUAAUGUUACAGUACUUCUUGAAAAUUUGCAAGCUUCUCAUUGUCUAUCUGUUUCUCUAAUACAAGCUCUACCACCAACCAAACCCCCAUAAUCAUCAGCAGAAAUUCACGGCAAUGAUGGCUCUUGAUCUUGAAAGACAUUACAUAAGUUGGGGAAAGAAGCAGUUUGCAGAGGCCAGCUGACAAAGAUAGAGCAUUUUAUCAGGUUUUAGGCACUAGGAAGAAAGAAAAGUGUGCCUGUAGCGUGCCAUCCUAAUCAUUUCUGUCCAAUUGAAACAGGAUUUGAUUCAACAAAGUUUUCAAAAGUUACAAGCUGUGUAAUUCAAUCAGUAAGUAAGUGCAAUUGUAGAUUUCUGUUGACAUUUAAGCCUGAGAUCAUUGCAGAGCAGAAAACUUGAGCUGAGACAAUAUGUGAACAAGAAAGCUAAUCAGAAAGUUUAGAAAAUUCGACAAUAGUUUUGUUCUAUCAUUCUUACAGAAGGCUAAAAUAUGUCUUGUUUGUUAUGAAACUAAAUGGAUAAGCAAGUACUGAGUCGUGUUUACAAUUACAGUGGUUUGGUUCCAACCAAAAAGCAAGUAAGCACAAUCAUAAGCUUGAAAAUAAUGAUAGGCAAUUUGCAUUUUACAUUGAGACAUUGAGGAACAGUAGAGCUAUGGGCUGCUGAGGAACAGUAGAGCUAUGGGGAUCCACAUUUAACUGCUACCAAAACACCAGUUAGUUCUAACUUCUAACUGUGAGCAGUAUGCCACAGAUGACAAUUUGAAUCCUAAAACAUGUACAUCAGCCCCUCAUUAUCAUGACUAAAUAUCACUGAAUCGUUUGGACAGUUUAAAAGAACCUACCCCAAUGGAUAUCUCAGACUUUGGCCAUAGGCACAGAGCGAAUGCGAAUGCCAUCCUAGAUGUCACUAUUCAACUGAAGCAGGAUCUUGUUCAGUAAGGAAUUGCAGGACUUUCAAAAAGUAAAGACAGUAAGAGCCAUCGAUUAGGUUCCCCGUUAAGCUUUGUGCUAAAAUCACAGCAAAGCACAAAAACUCAAACUCAAGACGACUUUCAGGACAGAAUAAAGCUAAUGGAAAUUUUCAGAUAAUUGCAGGUUUUCUAUCAUUGUAACUGAAGCCCCAAAAGGAGAAACUUAGCAUAAAAAAAAGAAGCAACCAACAAUCAAAAAAGCAGAGAGAGCUUAACAGCCUUUAUCAAGGUGGAUUCAUUAAGAGCUGAAAGUACCAGAAUGCUUCAAAAAAGUUUUAUGCAAGAUUUCUUUUGUUUUAUAUGUGAUAUAUUACAUAUUAAAGUGGUUAAAAGUCAAAAUGGAGUAGUGAAAGAAGAGAAACAUAUCUAAAAUUACCAGAAUUUUUGAACCAAAACAUGAAAGUGAUGACCAACAGCUACGAAAACUCCUCAAUUGACCAUUGUCUUCGUGGCUCAAAAGUCAAAAUGAAGGAAAAGUGAGUCAGACAACCGUCAUAUAUGACUCUGAUAGAGCGAUUACUAAACAAAUAAUUCAGAUAAGUUUGCAAAUUCAUUAUCAAGAGGUCAAAGUUCAGAGAAACCAUUUCAUCCCCUUAGAAUCACAAUUUUAAAUAGAGUGAGCUGACUUUAGCAAUAAUAAAUUAAAAUCCAUAGAAACAGACACUUAAAAUAAACAAAACUAGACUGCUAGUUGUUUUAAACAUUAAUAGGAUAUUUGUAGGAAAUGCGGGCCAAAAGUUAUUGAGUUCCAGCCAUAUAGAUGUUACUGAAGAAGCUUCAAAAUUCUAACCUCUGUUUGUCUAAGCAAGAGACCACAAAAAUCAGCUUGGAAAGUUUUGAAGAAAGGAGUGUCAUCAGCAUUGCUGAUCUAAAGACAUAUAGAAAAUGUUUCACAAAUUUUCUGCAUAUGCUAUGAAUAUAAAAUGCAAAUGCAUUUUCCACGGACAAAAGUGCAGAGAACUCAUUUCAUCCUGAUGCAAAUCGUGAGUUUAAAGCGAGAGCUAAUCUUAGAAAUAAUCUUUUACAUUGUUACUUGAUUAGUUAAUUGGUUUCACUUCUCUUUUAUGCAGAACUUGCUUUGGUCACCCAAGAAAAUCUUGUGCCUUUGGUUAUUCAUGCACAAACAAGAUAUUAAGUCAAGCUUCCAUUGAAGUGUAAGUGUCCGGUGCAACCCAAUGAGUACAAACAAUUUCACAAUGAUGCACAAAGAUAUAUCAAAUUUAAGCACAAUAAAGAAAACUUAAUUAAAGAGAAAAGAUAAGAAAUGCAAACCAAAUAUCAAUCCAAUAGCCUCUUCAAUAGAUGGCGAUGCUAACCAAGAUGUACAAGUGAAGGCUCACUCCUUCCUCACCCCAAACACACUUUGGUUGAGCCAAGGAGUUUUACAACUAUUCUAGUUAACCCUCAACAACCUACACUUGAAAGAUCACUCACCCAAUUAAGAACUAUUUUAUACAAAUGAGGCAACCUUCACCAAGGUUUUACCACUUCAAGUGAUAGGUUCACCUUCACCAAGGUUUUACUCCUCCUAGAGAGUAACCUUCACUUGAGCAACCUCACAACCCAACUUUCCCAACCCCUUAUACAACCAACAAAGAAUCUUUCUACUCAAAAAUCUCACUUGUAAGCUUGUAUUUUGUGUUGGCAAAAGUCCCUUGUCUUCUUGUGCUUUGGGGUUUUAUAGAAGGUGAGAAAUGGCUCCAAAAGGCUCUCCAACGGUCAAAUAUUAAAUGCUGUCAAAACUAGCCGUUGGCCUGUCGGACGUCCGAACCACCUGUCGAACGUCCGAACCCUGCGUCCAAACCACCUGUCGGACGUCCGAACCCUGCGUCCGAACGUCGUCAGAGAGUCAUCAAAUCUUUGCGAAAUUUCUCGGACGUCCGAUGCGAUCGAUGUGCGUCCGAGGCGUGCGUCCGAUCCUUCCGGACGUCCGAUGCUUCCUCACGAGCGUCCGACAGAGUUUCCUUCUUGAUGUUCUUCAUCCUUUCGGACGUCCGAUAGCUUCCUUUCGGACGUCCCACAUGAGUGCCCUGUUUUUGCUUCUUCUUUUGUGCCACAAGAAUCUGUUCUAACAAAUUGCUCACAUAAAAACAUUAGCCCAAAUCUACAUUUUGGUUUGUUAAUCAUCAAAACCAAGGAUUGAUCGACCAAGGUCAACAAUCUCCCCCUUUUUGAUGAUGACAAACAAAAUGAAGAUUUCUUUUAUCAAAUAAGUUCAAAUAAAGCUCCCCCUUAGAAAGUGCCAACAUACAAAGAAAUUUCAAUAAAUCCUACUCCCCCUUUUGGCAUCAAUCAAAAACAAACUCCCCCUUUAUUUUUCAAAUCAAGACCAUAUUGAAUAUCAAAAUUUUCAAUUGUACUUACAACCAUAUAGCACUUCUUGGAUCAAAUCUUCAUGAUGUACCUAAAUAUGAGAAAUUUCAUUUGGUACCCUUUCUUUAUAGGGUCCUUGGGAGUUAAUACAACAUGAUCUAGCAAUCCACAUGGAUUUCAUACCUUUUCUCAUAUUUUUCUUUACAUAGCAAUCAUUUUGCAUAUGUCCAAAUUUGUAACAAAAGUGACACAUGAUAGAAGUAUUUUGCACAUAGGUGGAUUUAAUGCAACUAAUUUUCUUACUUCUUAUCAUAGCAAACUUAUUUGUGCCUUGAAAAGAUUUGCUUUCUUUUGUUUGAGAAAACUUUUGUUUUUCAUUUUGGAGAAACUCGUUCAAGUCAUUAAUUCUUUUCUUUAACAAAUUCUGUUCCUCCAACAUUUUUUCAUAAAACUUUGUUUUCUCUUCCAACUUCCUUUUCAAAACAUUUUUUUGAUUUUUUAAAUCAUCAUUUUCCAUUCUCAAACAUUUGUUUUCUUGAAAGAGUUUGGAGUUUUCUUCCAACAAAUCAUUUAUUUUUGUUUUCAAAUCUUUAUUUUUAGCAUAAGAUUUUCUCAAACUUUUAUGCAUUUUAAUCAUAAGAAUUUUCACAUCAUCAUCUUCAUUAUCUUCAUCACAAGAAGAGUGAUAAGAACUUACCUCAUCUUCUCCAACGGCCAUUAGUGCCAUUUGGGCCAACUCUUCUUUUUCUCUUUUUGAAUUGCAUUCAUCCCAUGUAAUUUUGCAAUCUCCUCUUGAACAUCUCUUGUUGAAGAUCUUCUUGAAAUUUUUGAUGUGAGGAGUUAUAUCAUUGUCCACUUCCAUGAUUUCAUUACCCAUGAAGGAUGGGUUAUCCCCCACUUGAGAUGCUUUAAAAGCUAUGCCUCUCUUAUACAUUCUUGCAUUUUCUUCCUCUUGCACUUUGAAUUUCAGCUUUAAUUCAUAAGAGGUUAGGGUAUCCACAAGAGAUUCAAUGGACAUAGAAUUUAAAUCCUUUGCCUCUUCUAUAGCAUUUAUUUUGUUUUCCCAUUCUUUUGGCAAGGCAUUCAAAAUCUUUCUAUUUUUCUCACCCAAAGAAUAUUCUUUUCCAAGCAAUUUAAGAUCUUGAAUAAUGUCACAAAAUCUACUACACAUCUUAUCAACAUUUUCAAGAGGAUGCAUUUUGAAAAAUUCAUAUUGAGAAACAAGCAAAGAUUUCUUUUGUUCUUUAAUAUCUUGGUUACCUUCAUGAAAUACACACAAUUUAUCCCAAAUAUCUUUAGCUGAUUUACAACCUUUAAUCCUACUAGAUUCAUUUACAUCUAAUGCAUUGUACAAUAUACACAUGGCCUUGGCAUUCAAAGAAAGGUAUCUCUUGUCUUUUUCAUUCAAUUCUUGUCUAGUCUUUAAUCUACUCAAAUUAGUGUAGAGUCAAUUAUUCUGGCUUCAUAAGGACCAUCUUCUACCACAUACCAUAAUUCAAUAUAAACGGAUUGUAAGAAAAUCAUCAUUCUUUGUUUCCACAUGCUAAAAUAAGAACCAUUAAACAUAGGUGGUCUAUCAAUAGAUUGCCCUUCUAAAAAAGAAACUUUUAUGGUUGCCAUGAUCUUUACUCUAAGCGGUUAAGCUUGAUCAAAAGAGACCAAGCUCUGAUACCAAUUGUAAGGCCCGGUGCAACCCAAUGAGUACAAACAAUUUCACAAUGAUGCACAAAGAUAUAUCAAAUUUAAGCACAAUAAAGAAAACUUAAUUAAAGAGAAAAGAUAAGAAAUGCAAACCAAAUAUCAAUCCAAUAGCCUCUUCAAUAGAUGGCGAUGCUAACCAAGAUGUACAAGUGAAGGCUCACUCCUUCCUCACCCCAAACACACUUUGGUUGAGCCAAGGAGUUUUACAACUAUUCUAGUUAACCCUCAACAACCUACACUUGAAAGAUCACUCACCCAAUUAAGAACUAUUUUAUACAAAUGAGGCAACCUUCACCAAGGUUUUACCACUUCAAGUGAUAGGUUCACCUUCACCAAGGUUUUACUCCUCCUAGAGAGUAACCUUCACUUCAGCAACCUCACAACCCAACUUUCCCAACCCCUUAUACAACCAACAAAGAAUCUUUCUAUUCAAAAAUCUCACUUGUAAGCUUGUAUUUUGUGUUGGCAAAAGUCCCUUGUCUUCUUGUGCUUUGGGGUAUUUAUAGAAGGUGAGAAAUGGCUUCAAAAGGCUCUCUAACGGUCAAAUAUUAAAUGCUGUCAAAACUAGCCGUUGGCCUGUCGGACGUCCGAACCACCUGUCGAACGUCCGAACCCUGCGUCCAAACCACCUGUCGGACGUCCGAACCCUGCGUCCGAACGUUGACAGAGAGUCAUCAAAUCUUUGCGAAAUUUCUCGGACGUCCGAUGCGAUCGAUGUGCGUCCGAGGCGUGCGUCCGAUGCUUCCGGACGUCCGAUGCUUCCUCACGAGCGUCCGACAGAGUUUCCUUCUUGAUGUUCUUCAUCCUUUCGGACGUCCGAUAGCUUCCUUUCGGACGUCCCACAUGAGUGCCCUGUUUUUGCUUCUUCUAACAAAUUGCUCACAUAAAAACAUUAGCCCAAAUCUACAGUUUGGUUUGUUAAUCAUCAAAACCAAGGAUUGAUCGACCAAGGUCAACAAUCUCCCCCUUUUUGAUGAUGACAAACAAAAUGAAGAUUUCUUUUAUCAAAUAAGUUCAAAUAAAGCUCCCCCUUAGAAAGUGCCAACAUACAAAGAAAUUUCAAUAAAUCCUACUCCCCCUUUUGGCAUCAAUCAAAAACAAACUCCCCCUUUAUUUUUCAAAUCAAGACCAUAUUGAAUAUCAAAAUUUUCAAUUGUACUUACAACCAUAUAGCACUUCUUGGAUCAAAUCUUCAUGAUGUACCUAAAUAUGAGAAAUUUCAUUUGGUACCCUUUCUUUAUAGGGUCCUUGGGAGUUAAUACAAUAUGAUCUAGCAAUCCACAUGGAUUUCAUACCUUUUCUCAUAUUUUUCUUUACAUAGCAAUCAUUUUGCAUAUGUCCAAAUUUGUAACAAAAGUGACACAUGAUUGAAGUAUUUUGCACAUAGGUGGAUUUAAUGCAACUAAUUUUCUUACUUCUUAUCAUAGCAAACUUAUUUGUGCCUUGAAAAGAUUUGCUUUCUUUUGUUUGAGAAAACUUUUGUUUUUCAUUUUGGAGAAACUCGUUCAAGUCAUUAAUUCUUUUCUUUAACAAAUUCUGUUCCUCCAACAUUUUUUCAUAAAACUUUGUUUUCUCUUCCAACUUCCUUUUCAAAACAUUUUUUUGAUUUUUUAAAUCAUCAUUUUCCAUUCUCAAACAUUUGUUUUCUUGAAAGAGUUUGGAGUUUUCUUCCAACAAAUCAUUUAUUUUUGUUUUCAAAUCUUUAUUUUUAGCAUAAGAUUUUCUCAAACUUUUAUGCAUUUUAAUCAUAAGAAUUUUCACAUCAUCAUCUUCAUUAUCUUCAUCACAAGAAGAGUGAUAAGAAUUUACCUCAUCUUCUCCAACGGCCAUUAGUGCCAUUUGGGCCAACUCUUCUUUUUCUCUUUUUGAAUUGCAUUCAUCCCAUGUAAUUUUACAAUCUCCUCUUGAACAUCUCUUGUUGAAGAUCUUCUUGAAAUUUUUGAUGUGAGGAGUUAUAUCAUUGUCCACUUCCAUGAUUUCAUUACCCAUGAAGGAUGGGUUAUCCCCCACUUGAGAUGCUUUAAAAGCUAUGCCUCUCUUAUACAUUCUUGCAUUUUCUUCCUCUUGCACUUUGAAUUUCAGCUUUAAUUCAUAAGAGGUUAGGGUAUCCACAAGAGAUUCAAUGGACAUAGAAUUUAAAUCCUUUGCCUCUUCUAUAGCAUUUAUUUUGUUUUCCCAUUCUUUUGGCAAGGCAUUCAAAAUCUUUCUAUUUUUCUCACCCAAAGAAUAUUCUUUUCCAAGCAAUUUAAGAUCUUGAAUAAUGUCACAAAAUCUACUACACAUCUUAUCAACAUUUUCAAGAGGAUGCAUUUUGAAAAAUUCAUAUUGAGAAACAAGCAAAGAUUUCUUUUGUUCUUUAAUAUCUUGGUUACCUUCAUGAAAUACACACAAUAUAUCCCAAAUAUCUUUAGCUGAUUUACAACCUUUAAUCCUACUAGAUUCAUUUACAUCUAAUGCAUUGUACAAUAUACACAUGGCCUUGGCAUUCAAAGAAAGGUAUCUCUUGUCUUUUUCAUUCAAUUCUUGUCUAGUCUUUAAUCUACUCAAAUUAGUGAUAGAGUCAAUUAUUCUGGCUUCAUAAGGACCAUCUUCUACCACAUACCAUAAUUCAAUAUAAACGGAUUGUAAGAAAAUCAUCAUUCUUUGUUUCCACAUGCUAAAAUAAGAACCAUUAAACAUAGGUGGUCUAUCAAUAGAUUGCCCUUCUAAAAAAGAAACUUUUAUGGUUGCCAUGAUCUUUACUCUAAGCGGUUAAGCUUGAUCAAAAGAGACCAAGCUCUGAUACCAAUUGUAAGUCCUGGUGCAACCCAAUGAGUACAAACAAUUUCACAAUGAUGCACAAAAAUAUAUCAAAUUUAAGCACAAUAAAGAAAACUUAAUUAAAGAGAAAAGAUAAGAAAUGCAAACCAAAUAUCAAUCCAAUAGCCUCUUCAAUAGAUGGCGAUGCUAACCAAGAUGUACAAGUGAAGGCUCACUCCUUCCUCACCCCAAACACACUUUGGUUGAGCCAAGGAGUUUUACAACUAUUAUAGUUAACCCUUAACAACCUACACUUGAAAGAUCACUCACCCAAUUAAGAACUAUUUUAUACAAAUGAGGCAACCUUCACCAAGGUUUUACCACUUCAAGUGAUAGGUUCACCUUCACCAAGGUUUUACUCCACCUAGAGAGUAACCUUCAUUUGAGCAACCUCACAACCCAACUUUCCCAACCCCUUAUACAACCAACAAAGAAUCUUUCUACUCAAAAAUCUCACUUGUAAGCUUGUAUUUUGUGUUGGCAAAAGUCCCUUGUCUUCUUGUGCUUUGGGGUAUUUAUAGAAGGUGAGAAAUGGCUUCAAAAGGCUCUCUAACGGUCAAAUAUUAAAUGCUGUCAAAACUAGCUGUUGGCCUGUCGGACGUCCGAACCACCUGUCGGACGUCUGCGUCCGAACGUUGACAGAGAGUCAUCAAAUCUUUGCGAAAUUUCUCGGACGUCCGAUGCGAUCGAUGUGCGUCCGAGGCGUGCGUCCGAUGCUUCCGGACGUCCGAUGCUUCCUCACGAGCGUCCGACAAAGUUUCCUUCUUGAUGUUCUUCAUCCUUUCGGACGUCCGAUAGCUUCCUUUCGGACGUCCCACAUGAGUGCCCUGUUUUUGCUUCUUCUAACAAAUUGCUCACAUAAAAACAUUAGCCCAAAUCUACAUUUUGGUUUGUUAAUUAUCAAAACCAAGGAUUGAUCGACCAAGGUCAACAUGAAGACAUGUAACCAUCACCUAUUUAUGGUAAUGUCUAUGGAGUACCUAUAACUUUCAAUCAAAAUACAGAAACCUAAGAAAGACGCCAGACAAAAUUGAAAAGAACAACUUCAUGCAAUUCUUCAUUUUUGGUCAAGCGACUACCAACAUAAGAUUUACUCAACAUCAUAUAGACCCAGUAAUUUUGGAAUAACUAUGAAUCUUAAAGUAAGAGCAUCAUUCUAGACAUACGAUUUUUAACUGCAAAAAGAGAACAGGCAAGCUCAUAAAAUCAUGUUGUAUCUAAUGGAGCUAAGAUACAACUUCCAGAAGGGUGGUGAGUAGCUUGCAGAGGCCAACUAACAGACAAUAAGCAGUCAUAAAGACAGACUGACAAUUUUCUACAACUAAAUUGCAGCUAAUUUGCGAGGCAAGCAGUAUGAGACAGAAUAGCAAAUGAGGUCCAUAAUUGAUGAAUUACUACCUCAUGUCAUGGCCAACAGGUUGAAGGCAUCACAUUCACACCGUAGAUCUCAGGCUUUGGCCAUCUCAGUCACUUAGAAGCGAAAGAGAGUGUCAUUCUAUAUGUUUGUCUCCAAUUUGAAAAUGAUGUGGUUGAAGAAGGAAUAAUGGGAUAUUGAUACGUAUGGCAGUAAUUAAGCCAUUGAGGUCUCCCGUGAGCUCUCAGCAUAACACCACUGCAAAAUAGAAUACUCAAAACUCAAGACAGUGUAUAGAAAAUCAUAAAGCUAACUAGAAAAUUCGGGUAAUUGCAGGACAUUUCUGUUCAACAAAUCUUACAGAAAGUUAGAGAGAGAGAGAGAGAGAGAGAGAGAUUUUGUCAUUGAUAUCAAACCUAAAUUAGUAAGCAGAUACAAAAUCCUUCUGGUCAGUCUACAAGAACCAAGUAUUGUCAUGAAAAUUGUUCCAGUUUGUGCCCAAAACUCCAAAAAAUGACCGGUUGAGUAAUUUAAAAAAAUUUGUUGCAACCAAAAAACAUGACAAGCAGAGACAGCUCAAGAAUCUUCAUGAAGCGAAUUCCUAGAGAGUAGCAACCAAUUGCUACCUCAAGAAUCUUCAUGAAGGCAAAUCUUCAUCAAAAAGUCCUGGUGAUGAUAGCUGUUCAAAAACAUCCAAUAAGCUGGGGCAAGGAAUUUUUUCCGAGCAGCUCGCACAGGCCAGCUGACAGUCUUGAGCAAUCAAAAACAUAGACUGAAAACUUUCUGCAAUUAGGUAACAACUAGUUUCAAGGACAAGAAGUCAGGAAAACAAGAGAAAAUUUGUAGUAACAUAGCAGGUAAAUUCUUAUUGCUAGACCUCGUGACUGAAAUGGCAGAUUGACAGUGUGCAAGCUUCGACAAUAAGGAUAUUUGGCUAUUUGAGGCAGCAAUAUGAAAGAAAAGAGGGCCAUCAUAAACAUUUCUAUCCAAGAUACUGGGUUUGCAAUUGAAUGAGCAAUUACUGCUAGUUGUUCUAAACGUUGAUAGGUCAUUUGUAGGAAAUGCAGGCCAAUAGUUAUGGUGUAAAGAAGCUUCAAAAUUCUAACCUCUGUUCGUGAAGCUAUUCUUCCAUCAAUCCUACAAAAACAAAGCGUAGAACAGAAUACAAACAGAGAUACAGUAAAACAUGAAAGCACGAAACAGGAUAGGUGCUUGAGGUCAUUCUAAUUGAUAGUUGCAAGAGUAUUAUGUUGUAAGGAGUAAAUGAGGAGCAACAAUAUUUUGGACCUGAUAAGAAAUGCUAAUGCUGUAGCUUUGAAAGAUAAUAAAUGGAAUGAUAAAAAGGGAGAAGAGAAAAUUGUGAAAAUAACCACGUGGACUUUUUAGGUUUUCUCACGAGAAGGUUCAUCAGAAGGGGAGGUGAAGAGAAGGGGAGAUUGAUUGUAAAGCAAAUUAAGAAAGUUGGUAAGAGGCAAUCUUACAUGAUUGAAUUUGAUCUGAAGAUGAGUUGGUUAUUAAUCAACUUAUGCGUAUGUCUAGGUCUUGAAUGUGAGAAACUUUGGACCACUGGGAGUCGGGGCCGCUGCUCUCAGGAGUGCAUCUUUCUUUUAACAGAGGAGAACCACGAACCCUUAGACGUUUUAGUUUGGUGAGACUUCUCAUGGCAUCCUCAGAGGGUAGAUGUCCAAGCUCUUUGAAAUUCCAUAAAUAUAGUUCUUCAAGAGCAGCGAAGUUUCCGAACCAAUCUGGCAGAGCUUCUACAGCUCCAAAGUCAUAUAGCAAUAGUGACGUGAGAGUGGUCAAGUGUUGGAUCUGAUGUGGCAGUGACUCAAUGUAAGGCAACCCAAAUAAUUCUAAUCCACGGAGUGCGGAUGACGAAGAGGAGGAGGAGGAGGAUAUCAAUCCAGACCAAUCAAACUCAUUGUAAAUUGAAGAAUUUUCAUGAUCAUCACCAUCAUCUGAGAAGGGACCAAUUUCAAGCUCCCUUAAGCUGGUUAGGAAACCAAAUCCUUUGGGCGUCAACCUUGUUUUCAGUUUGGGACACUCGCAUAAUUCCAGCUCCGAGAGAGAAGGCGUUUGUUGCAAAUCAAGCGGAAAGGAGAUAAGAUUGUCAUAAUUAAUCACCCGAAGCUCCUGGAGAGAGGCACAAGAGUGUAGCAUGUCACCGGGCAGAUUCGUCAACCCAUCGCACUCAUCAAUCACCAGCUUUUUAAGAGAUGUAAAGUUUUGCAGGGGAAGGAGGUCUUUGCAUCUGUCGCAGGAAUAAAACUUCAAACAGACUAACUUGGGGAGUGUUGUUGCUGACUCGGGGAUUGUUGUUGUUGUUGGCAAAUCCAUUAACCAUCGAGGAAAUUGAUCGCCCAUAAAAUCGCAAAUUACCAACUCCUCCAAAUUUGGGUGGGGUCGAAGGCCAUCUAACACAUCUUCGUCAUUGUAGGUGUCGCCUUCUCGAUCACGGGCCCACUCAAGUACCAGCCUAAAUAGAUUUGCCUUCUCAGAUAGUUUUGCUUCCUCAGCUCCUUCCUUAUUCUUUACCAGUUCCAGAUUGCGUAUCUCCAAUCUGCCUCUGAGGUUCUUUAAGUUUCCAAGCUCUCCAAUUCGUCGACCCUUCUCUCGACCCACUUUAAAGAACUCUAGCGUCUGAAGGCAAGUCAGUCGCCCCAUCUCUAGCGGCAUUUGAAAUUCUUUAUAAUUAUUAUCAUAAUGGAGAUGUCUCAAGCUAAUCAAAUCGCACAUUCCCUUUGGAAGAACUUUAACUUCUGAAUAACUUAGCAUCAAUGUCUGCAGAUUGUAAAGCUUGCAAAGAGAGUCCGGCAAAAUACUGAUUGCAGCCCACGAAAGGUUAACAUACCGCAAAUGUAUCAGUUUGCCAAUUGAGACUGGUAGCUCUUGAGUUCUUCUUGCACGAGACAAAUUCAAAACAUACAAGUUCUUCAACUUCAUUAACAUAUCACCAGAUAAGUCACCAUUUACGAUGAAUAAUGUAUGAAGCGAAGUUGAUAUAUUCUCAAAAAGUUUUUCUGUGUCUUCUCUGCCACCAGCUGAGUCUACUGCAAGGUAACGAAUCUGAUUACUAUUGUCAAUUAUCUGAGCAUCCCCAUUAUUAAUAACUUUAGUAGACUUUGACAUUGACUCUGCGAGGUCGUGCACCAAAUCAUGCAACUUAUAAUAAUGUGUUUCCUCAUAACUUCUGGUUUCUUCAAACAACAAACUCUGUAAUAAAAUUCUUAGACAAUUCAUUCCAAUUUCCUCCAUCAUCAUUUGGCUGUUGAUGUCUGCUUGGAGGAAACCUUCUGCCAUCCAAAGUUCGAUUAGCUUAUCUCCUCUCAUCUCAGUAUCCUUAGGAAAUAUAGACCAAUAUGCAAAACAUUUCUUAAUGUAUGGAGAUGGCAAAUUAUCAAAACUAAACUUAAGUAUUUGCAUCACACCAUCUCCAUCUCCACUCAAACUCGAAAGCCUAUUCUCCAAAAUUGAUCGCCACUCCUCUUUUCUCUUUAAAGAUAAUAGACCUCCAAUUACACUUGCAGCCAAUGGUAGACCAUCACAUCUUUUGAUCACUCUCUCUUUAAUUGCUUUUAGUUCAUCAGGUUCUUCUUCCCCUCCAACUACUUUUUCUUUUACGAUAGACCAACAAUGAUCAUCAGGUAGUUUUCCUAAUGGAUAGCGUUCAUUUUCCAUCAUCCUCAAAACUCUAGACACACUAUGUGCCACUGGACCUAGACGAGUAGUGACCAGACACCAGCUUACAUUAGUUGGAUUGAGCCCCUUCAAGGUGGUGAAAAAGUCAUCCCACAAUGCCUGAUUAUCAUCCCACACAUCAUCAAGGACAAGGAAAUAUCUUUUUCCCUCUAGUUGAUUCUGAAUUUCUCCAACGAUGACAUUCCUAUCAUCCACUUUAACCUUUUCUUUUGUCAAUUGCACUAGUAUGAGUUUGAAAAGCUCUUCUAUUGGAACUUUUUUCGAUACACAAACCCAAAUCUUUAUGUCAAAGUGCCCAUCAAUUUGCUUGUUGUUGUAUAUCAAUUUAGCCAAAGUUGUUUUGCCUAGACCUCCCAUACCAGUUAUGGAAAGACAGGAAACAACCUUCUCGGAUGGGCUCAACAGCAUCUUCACUAUCUUUGAUUCAUUAUCGGCUCUUCCAAUCAUUGGAGCAACAACAGAGUCGGUCUGCCGAUUUCUUUUGUCUCUAGCAUCAGCAGCAGCAGGGAGGGCAACUGUCAUGACUGCCAUGCCGACCAGUCCCAAAUCACUAGCUUCUUGAUUGAUCUCAUUCAGCUUAAGUUUGAUGCCUCUGACCUUAGAAGCCAUUCUCCAACGGAAAGCAAGAUUAAUAUUAGAGAAGGAGAAGAAGCAGCAUACCUUUCGCUUGUGCUGGUUUCGGGACUCCACCUGGUGACGAAGAGAUUCAUAGUUGAGCUCAUCCAACACAUUGCCAGCAUCAUAAGCCACUUCCUCCAGACUCUUCAACCCUUCUUGCACUCCCCGGUCCUGGUUUUGUUGCCUUUCCACAGCAUCAGCCAAGAGAGCAUUGAUAAAGCGAAGAGAUCGAGUCAUGCUGGCCACAUCCUUCUUGAACCCAACUAACAUACCAAUCCUAUCAGUGGCAAGAGAUACUGCCGUCUCCAAGGUAACCUGAAUAGUGGCACUAAUGACAGCGUCAGCCAUUUUCCUUUCCUUGUAUGGAGCUUAAUUGCUAGGAUGUUUUGUGAAUAUCAGAUUGGUGAUUUCCUUGUAUGUAGCUUGCUAGGAUGCUUUUUGCUAUCAGAUUAUAAAGAUGGAGAUGGACAGAAGGGUAGAGGCCUUGGUCAAGGUUGUUGUAGAAAAGUUAUUAACAAUAGACUGGCAUUUCUAUCUAAAAUAUUGCUAACAAUAAAACUACUAGAACAGUAGUAUAUACAACUGGAUGGGUCACGUUUGUGUCUCGAGUCUCCUUUGUUAUAAUAUUAGGGCGGCUUGGCCAUCUCAAUUAUUGCACCUGCACCAACAAGUGUGUACAGAAAAAAACAAAGCUAAAGAAAUUAUCCAAUGAGGUUUUAUGAUCAGCCAAUUUCGUUCCAGCCAAAAACUUCAGAUCAGGAUGACUUUUGCAGCAUGGAAGGGAUCAGUAGCUCGGACUUACUCUUGACAAGUUGAAAUCCUCAUGGGAAAUCCUAAGGAUAAUUUCGUAUAGCUGCAAACAAAUCGCACAAAGUUUGACUCGGCAAUCGAGGUGAGUAUGCCGAAUGUAGAGAUACUCGACUCUUUAAGUUGGCUUGCUUUUACAUAUUUUUAAUGAUUUUUAUUGCACGCAUUUCUCUUAGAUUUUUCUUAUUUACUAGAGUGAAAUGUCUAAUUUACCUAUUUUAAAAUAUUAUAAAUACUACUUAUUAUCUUCAGUCAAGUUCAGUGUAUUCUUGUUUGAUUGGAACUUAAUGCAUCAUCAAAACAUCAUAUUGUGCACAGAAUGCAGAUAUCUUUGGAAAAUAAUUUAUCUAUGCAAUACAAAACCACUCACAACUCAGGACACCACAGAGCAAAUGAUAAGGCUAACUGGAAGAUGGCAUGACAUCUUUGUUUAGUCAAUUGAUUAUUCACAGAGCUAAAUAAAUAGUUGGUGUUGUUGUUGUGGUUUUCUAACCUGAAAUUAGUAAGCAGACACCAAUUCUUUCUGCUCGGAGUGUAGAGAAAAAUUGGACGAAGAUGGAGGAGAACAAAAGAAUAGAGUGAAAUGUCUAAUUUACCUAUUUUAAAAUAUUAUAAAUACUACUUAUUAUCUUCAGUCAAGUUCAGUGUAUUCUUGUUUGAUUGGAACUUAAUGCAUCAUCAAAACAUCAUAUUGUGCACAGAAUGCAGAUAUCUUUGGAAAAUAAUUUAUCUAUGCAAUACAAAACCACUCACAACUCAGGACACCACAGAGCAAAUGAUAAGGCUAACUGGAAGAUGGCAUGACAUCUUUGUUUAGUCAAUUGAUUAUUCACAGAGCUAAAUAAAUAGUUGGUGUUGUUGUUGUGGUUUUCUAACCUGAAAUUAGUAAGCAGACACCAAUUCUUUCUGCUCGGAGUGUAGAGAAAAAUUGGACGAAGAUGGAGGAGAACAAAAGAAUAGGGUCGAAGUUUUGGUCAAAGUUUCUUUUUCUUCUGUUUUUUCCCCUUACUUGGUAUGAAUUAUGAAGCCACUUGCUUAAUUACAUUAUACACAAAGCUAAAUCAAUAGUUUUCUCUUGGAGAUUAAGAAAGAAAUCUUGCUACAUAAACAAAAAUUUUUUCUUACUUGGUAUGAAUUAUGAAGGCACUUGCUUCUUCCUCGAAUCCUGCUUGGUUUUAGUUAAUUAUGAUUACAGAGACUGCUUAGUUUACGCUAAUGCUGGGGCCUUGGAUGCUCAAAAGGUCUAAUCCUUGGUAUUUAAAAAAAAUGCUGAAAACAAAGGUAGGUACAGUACAACUGGCAUUUCCACCUAAAAUAUUAGCAAUAACAAUAGAUAGACAAAUUCUCAAUUGUUAUAUUAGAGCGGCUUUGCUAUCUCAAUUAUUGCACCUAAAACAACAAGAAGUGGUCUUCUCAGCGUCGAAGAAGAGAGUGCUUCUUUUGACAAACUUGAAUGCAUUUUCCACCAAAAUCGACUGGCGUUUUACUCGAAUGUUUCUAAAUCAAUGCUGGGUUUUUUUGUUCUUUAUUACUUUUUUUGGAAAAAUCAUUUAAAAUGUUCCUCACAUUUCAUUAGAUGAAAUUUUUUCGUCCAUCAUUUUUAAAAGGGCAAAUUCCACUUUACCCCCUGUGGUUUAGUAUUUUUUAUAUAACCCCCUCUAUAAUUUUAAAAGUUAUACAUAACCCUUUCAUGAUUUGGAUUAAAGUGUCAAAGUAACGGAAAUGAUUAGUUGUAAUAGAAUCAUUUAAAAUGUCAAAAUACCCUUAUGCAAAGUUGAAAAUUUUUUAUUAACCAAGGGGGGUUAUGUGUAUAUUUUGAAACUAUAAGGGGGUUAUAUGGUAAAGUAUUAAAUCAUAAAGGGAUUAUAUGGUAAAACAUAAAAAUUAUACGGAGUUAGUGUAUCAUGUAUUUAUAAGGAUAAAUUCGAUAUUUUCAAAAGUUUCAUUAUGAAUGAUUAUUUUCAUUACUUUGACACUUUAAUUCAAACCAUAAGGGGGUUAUAUGGUAAAGUAUUAAAUCAUUAAAGGAUUAUAUGGUAAAACAUAAAAAUCAUAUGGAGUUAGUAUGUCAUGUGUUUAUAAGGGUAAUUUCGAUAUUUUCAAAAGUUUCAUUAUGAAUGACUAUUUCCAUCACUUUGACAUUUUAAUUCAAACCAUAAGGGGGUUAUGUAUAACUUUUGAAACUAGAAGGGGGUUAUGUAGAAAAAUAUUAAAUCACAAGAGGAUAAAGUGUAAUUUGCCCUUUUUAAAAUAUUGAUUUUAUGUCGCUUACAAAAUCAAGGCAGCCAAAUUGAGUUGCAACCUGGGCUUGUGACCACUGAAGACACGAAGUGAUCCACUACGUGAUCAUUGUUUUAGGUAGGGGUGGCAAUUCCUGCCACGACUCGAAAACACGACACGAAUCUAACACGAAAUUAAUGGAUUUGGGUUGAGGUUUCGGAGGUUUGAGUCAGAAACGGGUCGAACUCGAUGAACCCGAAAAGAAAACAUGUCAAUUUCGGGUCAACCCAUGGUGACCUGAUAUGACCCGAUGUGACCCGUUUACGAAUUAAAAAUAAGUUAAUAAAUAUAAAAAUUAUUUUAUCUAACUAAACUAAAUCAUUCUUUUUUUUUCAAAGACAUUAAUUACUUAAUCCUAAAUGAAUUUAUUUAACUUGUGUGAAAUUGAAAUUAUUAUAUUUGGACAAAUAAUAUAUUAUGUUAUUUUUUACUUUUAUGCUGUUUUAAUUUAUUUUAUAUUUGGUUUGGGAUAAAACACUUUUACGGUGUUUAAUUUAUUUUAGAUUUGGUUUGAAAUUAUUUAUUUAAAUUUUUAUUACUUGAUGAUGUAAUUAAUUUUGUGAGAAAUUGAUUUUAUUGGAAAUUAUAAUGAUAAAUUAAUAAAUUAAAAUUAAGUUUCGGGUCGACCCGCAAACCCGAAUUUUCGGGUUCGUAUCAGGUAUCCUGACCCGUUUCGGGUUGGCGGGUCAGGUUCGGAUCAGCGGAUUUUCUGUUAUAUUUGGACCUCAACCCGACCCACACAACAACCGAACCCGACCCGAUUGCCACCCCUAGUUUUAGGUGCAAAAACUAAUUUUUUCUAAAAAUUAAAAGAAACUUCAAAAAAAUUGAAAAAAAAAAUACUAGGAAGAAAGAGUAAGAUGUAAGAAACAUUUAAGUAGCCGGAGUUUUAAACCUAGGACCUUUAAUUCUUGUAGUUUCACCUUUAACUAAUUGACCAAGCCUCUUUCCCACAUAAAGGCUAUCACUUUUGGGCAUUAAUGUGAUUUCAUUAAAUUUUUGGACCGAAUCUUUGUGUUGUUAAACAUUUUAUACAUUCAUCUUGGGGAAACAAAUGUAUAGUAUAUCUUAAGUUCAAAGGGAUAAAGUGUUACUCAUGUCUCACUCCCAAGUUCGAAAUGUAAUCAAAGUGUAAUCAACCCUUAAAUUCAUUCAUCACAUCACUCUCUAUAUUCAAAACAACAAAUCACCAGUUUUGGCCAGCUGAGACAGAGAGAAUAAAAAGACAGUGCCGUGAUGCAGUUCAGCUAAGAAUCAAAUGAAUUCCAAAAGUAAAGGCAUUGUUUAGGGGCCAACAGGGUUUCCCUUUGAGCAUUUUAAUUAGCAAAAAUCACUGCAAAACAGACAAUCAAACUUAGGACACCAUAUAUAUAGAAAACCCAUAAAGCUAACUGGAAACUGCAUGACACUUUUUUGUUCAGUCAAUUGUUCAGAAAUCUAAAUCAAUAUCUCUGAUGAACCAAUGUUUUUUAUAUGUGUUGAAUGUUGUUUGGUUUAGUAAAUUAUCAUUCCAGCGAGUAGUUACUUUACGCUAAUGCUGGGGGCGCUUGGGUUGUUCAAGAUAUUUAAAAAAUACUGGGAAAAUGGUGGGCAGAGCUAACAUUUCCAGCUAAAAUAUUAACAAUGUAUAAUACUAGCCGGAGAAAAUAAAAUAUAUAUAGAAAUGGAUGGGUGACGGUGGAGUCUCAAUUGUUAAUUUGUUAUUAUAUUAGGGCGGCGGCUUUGGCCAUCUCAAUUAUUACCGCUGCACCCACGAGCGUAUGGAGAAAAAUCCUAAACAAAUCAUCCAAUGAGGGUUUCUGAGCUUAGAAAGAAGAGCGCUGCUUCUUUUGACAAACUUGCAAAUGCAUUUUCCACAGUACCAUCUAACAUUUCCAUCUAAAAUAUUACUAACAAUAAAACUACUAGAAAAGUAGUAUAUAGAACUCUCAAUUGUUAUUAUAUCAUAUUAGGGCGGCUUGGCCACCUCAAUUAUUGCACCUGCACCAACAAGUGCGUCCAGAAAAAAAAAAGCUAAAGAAAUUAUCGAAUGAGGUUUUAUGAUCAGCCAAUUUUGUUCCUGUGAAAUGAUAGUGUGUCUUUAGAUCAGGAUGACUUUUGCAGCGUGGAAGGGAUUAGUAGCUCGGACUUACUCUUGACAAGUAGAAGUCCUCAUGGGAAAUCCUAAGGAUAAUUUUAUUUUUUUCGACAGUCGAUAGUAGUUUAUUCUACACCUACUCCUACACCUAUUCUAACUUAUCCUUAAGGGGAGACCCGACUGGGCUAAUGGAUGGGGCCGACGGGAACCGAACCACUAUCGAACCAGACGGUUGCAAAGUAUGCCGAAUGUAGAGAUACUCGACUCUUUAAGUUGGCUUGAUUUUACAUAUUUUUAAUGAUUUUUAUUGCACGCAUUUCUCUUAGAUUUUUCUUAUUUAUUAGAGUGAAAUAUCUAAUUUACCUAUUUUAAAAUAUUAUAAAUACUACUUAUUAUCUUUAGUCAAGUUCAGUGUAUUCUUGUUUGAUUGGAACUUAAUACAUCAUCAAAACAUCAUAUUGUGCACGCACAGAAUGUAGAUAUCUUUGGAAAAUAAUUUAUCUAUGCAAUACAAAACCACUCACAACUCAGGACACCAUAGAGCAAAUGAUAAGACUAACUGGAAAAUGGCAUGACAUCUUUGUUUAGUCAAUUAAUUAUUCACAGAGCUAAAUAAAUAGUUGGUGUUGUUGUUGUGCUUUUCUAACCUGAAAUUAGUAAGCAGAUACCGAUUCUUUCUACUCAGACUGUAGAGAAAAACUGGAUGAAGAUAGAGGAGGACAAAAGAAAAGGGUUGAGGUUUUGGUCAAACUUUCUUUUUUUCCCCACCUUAUUUGGUGUGAAUUAUGAAGCCACUUGCUUAAUUAUACACAAAGCUAAAUCAAUAGUUUUCUCUUGGAGAUUAAGAAAGAAAUCUUGCUACAUAAACAAAAAUCUUUUCUUACUUGGUAUGAAUUAUGAAGCCACUUGCUUCUUGACAGGUGUCGAGUCUGUGCAAUAAUAAUUACUAAAAAGUCCUAGUUACCAUAACAAUUAAUUAUAGAACAAAUCCAAGUACUGGAGCAGGGAUCCUAGGUGUGUAAUGGGUUACUUGAUUCACCCUGUCCCGAAGAGUUUGUUUGAUCCGAUAUACCAGAAUUGUCUAUAAAAGUAUUAAAUUUGCGUACAAUGGCAAGUAGGAUCGAUUUCACAGGGAACGGGUAGGAAGUUGUUUCUUUCCAAAUCAAUAGAACAAAAUUGGGGGAUAUUUAAUGAAGUGAAAAUGAAAAUAAAAUAAACAAAAUUCAAAAGCUAAUUCACCAAGUACAAUUUACUAAAAUAGCAAUUAAUAAAAUUCUACCCAAAAAAUCAACUUUUCAGGCACGGUCCAAUUAAAUGAUCAUCGAUGCAAAAAUAUUUCAUUCAUUCGUCACUAGGUUGGUUAUAGCCACCAACAAGCUCUGACAGCCAAUUCUUCCUUACUUUUUCGAUAGCCAAGGUACGACCAUUGACUGCUUCUCUAACCAGAAAACAACCCCAGGUACGACCGUAGUGUUGAGUAUGUCUUUGUAUCCCACAUCGAAACUUUUAUAGAGAAGUAUCUCAUCUUGGUAGUUAUAAAUAUAGUGGACUUAAGUGAGUUUAAGUGUGCUAACAGCACCAGCCCAAGUGUCAUGUGCACCAGUCCAAGAGAGUUUUUAGGGGGUCCACGCCCCAGUCUAAGAGAGGUUUUGGUUUGGCAUCAAACCAAAAGAGCAAGUCAUAGGCUUUUGGGUCAUUAAGCAUUUAGCGCUAUUUAGGCUCUUUUGUGUUUUCAGUUUAGGUGCCUUUUGGACCUGGGAAUUAUUUCCUAAGGUUUUGUUCUCUCUUUCUAUUAUAGUAAAUCUGCUACCCCUUCGCCUGUGGACGUAGGUCAAUUGGACCGAACCACGUAAAUUUCAUGUUUCUCUAUUUGAUUUAUUUAUUUUGUUAUUAUCAUUAUUGAGUUGGCAAAAACUCUAUUGUUCUCGUUGGUCAAUUUUCUAGGACCAGACCUAACAAAUUAGUAUCAGAGCUUUAAGUUCCAGAUUCAGCUUCAGGUUUUGGAUCAUGGUCAGAUUUUGGGUUCUUGAUGACAAUAACAAGUUUUUGGUGCUACAGAGAGUGAAGAAAAAUUUUUUUUGUUGGAGUUCAGUUGGGUUUUUGAGAAGAGUUAUUUGGCCCGUUAGAACUCAUUGAAGGUUUUGAGAAGAAGGUGGAGCAUAACUACCAUAUUCGUGGUUUUUUAGCCUGUUGGGAUCUGUUGAACAUUUUGUAAGAUUUGGCCCGUUGGAACCUGUUGAACCUUUUGCAUCUUGGUUCAUUGGUGGUUCGUUGUGGUUCGUUGGGACUUUUAUGGUUCAUUGAGAUCCGUUGGGACUUUUAUGGAGAAGGUGGAGCUUGUUUUUAUUCAUCUGUUAUUUGCCGAUAUUUGAUACAUGCCAAGGUGGAGAUUUGUUGAGUAUGUCUUUGUAUCCCACAUCAGAACUUUUAUAGAGAAGUAUCUCAUCUUGGUAGUUAUAAAUAGUGGACUUAAGUGAGUUUAAUUGUGCUAAAGGCACCAGGCCAAGUGUCAUGUGCACCAGUCCAAGAGAGUUUUUAGGGGGCCCACGCCCCAGUCUAAGAGAGGUUUUGGUUUGGCAUCAAACCAAAAGAGCAAGUCAUGGGCCUUUGGGCCAUUAAGCAUUUAGUGCUAUUUAGGAUCUUUUCUGUUUUCAGUUUAGGUGCCUUUUGGACCUAGGAAUUAUUUCCUAAGGUUUUGUACUCUCUCUUUUGUACUCUCUUUCUGUUUUAGUAAAUCUGCUACCCCUUCGCUCGUGGACGUAUGUCAAUUGGACCGAACCACGUAAAUUUCAUGUUUCUCUGUUUGAUUUAUUUAUUUUGUUAUUGUCAUUAUUGAGUUGGCAAGAACUCUAUUGUUCUCGUUGGUCAUUUUUCUGGGACCAGACCUAACACGUAGGAAUUUAAUUAUCCAGUUGCAUUAAAACUAGAAGAACCCAACCCUAACCAAUAAACACGCUAAGAGGGUUUAUUUAAAUUAGAUCUUACGUUUCUCCAACACAAAGUCAAUUAUGAUGGUUGUCACUAGUUAUCAACUAAACGAACAAUUACGGAUUCAAUUUAGUUAACGUGACAGUAGGCUAUUAUAUUAAAUUAAAUAUCCGACCGUUGAUACUCAAUUAAUAAAAUAACCAUGAAUAAUUAAUUCAGGAAACGCACGAAUAGUAACAAAUUGGAAGAAAUAGUGAAAGUUCGAUUAGAUCUCACAGAUGUUAUGGACCGCGCCUUCGCGUUAAUCCUUAGGUAGAGGAGAAAACUAGCCGUUCCUCAUAUCUCGCGUGAUUUAAUUGAAAUCAUUCAAUUAAUUGCCAAAGAAUUGGGAAAAGUGAAAUAAUGAGGCUACAAACGAAAGGUCUUGCUUCCUUCUUGUUUCGAGUUCUUACAGGAGGAAAGUAAAGGGAAAGUCUCACACAAGUUAUCAGAAACCAAAACAGAGAAAGCAAUCAUCUAUAGGGAAGAAAACGAAAACUCAAACUACUAAACCCACGUGAUUCUGGCUUUUCUUCUAUUCCCUGCCGAAAAGAAAAACAUCCCACAGAAAAGCAAAAGCUAAUCUAUUCUCCCCCCCUGAAUCUGGCUUUCUUUUCUCUUUUGUAGCCGCCGCCAGCAGAACAAAAACGUCCCACAGAAAGCCAUUCUCUAGGAGUUUUAAUCCCCUGCACCCCCGCGGUCCACGUGAACCUGACUUCCUAAUUGCCCUCCUGCUACUAUCAAUCCCACGGGUCCGGCUUCUAGGUGUAUCUCUUUAGUUUUUGGCGUGGACACGCUAUGAAAUAAAGGGUCUUCUGGAAAUUCGCCUUAAGAGAGCACUUUUGACACCAACCACCUACAAUUUACACAAAUAUGAAAGAUGAGCAAAAUCUCAAUUCUUAGUACAGUAAGUAGCCAAAAUUACGACCAAAUAACAGCGCAAAAGGUGCCCAAUAAUUGCUCUAUCACUUCUUUCUCAAAUUUUACUUGGUUUUAGUUAAUUAUGAUUACAGAGACUGCUUAGUUUACGUUAAUGCUGGGGCCUUGGGAUGCUCAAAAGGUCUAAUCCUUGCUAUAUAAAUAAAAUGCUGAAAACAAAGGUAGGUAGAGUACAACUGGCAUUUCCACCUAAACUAUUAGAAAUAACAAUAGUAGACAAAUUCUCAAUUGUUAUAUUAGAGCGGCUUUGCUAUCUCAAUUAUUGCACCUAAAACAACAAGAAGUGGUCUUCUCAGCGUAGAAGAAGAGAGUGCUUCUUUUGACAAACUUGAAUGCAUUUUCCACCAAAACUAACUGGCGUUUUACUCGAAUGUUUCUAAAUCAAUGCUGGGUUUUUUUUUUGUUCUUUAUUACUUUUUUUGGAAAAAUCAUUUAAAAUGUUCCUUACAUUUCAUUAGAUGAAUUUUUUUCGUCCAUCAUUUUUAAAAGUGCAAAUUUCACUUUACCCCUUGUGGUUUAGUGUUUUAUUAAAUAAAUAUUUAUAGCUGAAUGUUUAAUAAGUUUAAUUUGACAAUUUUACCCUUAUAUCCUUUCAUUCAAAAAAGAAAUAGAAUCUAUGAUUUAAUUAGUUUAAAAUUGUAAGGUAUGAAAAUGACAAUAUUUAUUUUUAAAUCAAAUUAAUAUAAAAGAUGAAAUAUAUUAUAUGAGGAGUAUGGAGAGGAUGUGAAAGUCAUUAAAAAGGGAGAAAAGAGAAAUUAAAAAUCGUUAGAUUGAAAAUAUUAGGUUGUUUAAUUAGAUAAGAAUUUUGAGCAUAAUUAACAAACAAGGGUAGAUUUAGUAGAUAAGAUAAGGUAGUUGUAAAAAUUCUGUUGAAUCUUUUCAGAAUUAAGCAUUCAGUUAGGAUUCUUGUGCUGAAAAAAAUACACACAGGUUCAGCACUGCUUAACAAGUUCAGUAAAUAGAUUUUCAUUUAUCAAACACUCAAAAUAUCUGAAUAUUUGAAAAAAUUCAGAUUCAGCACUUUUUUAUGUUAUCAAACAAACCCUUAGUCUCCAGCCAUUGGAGCCUUUUGACGCGAACUCCAACAUUUUUCAGAUGAAGGAGCCUGGUUACUUAAUUCCUAUCGCUGUACGAUCACGUACUUAUAGAAAUUACUAUCUUUUGACGCGAGAAUCGACACUUUUGGUGAAGAACCCCAGUUAUUCAAUAGUAAUGACUAGCGGAGUACAGUCAAUUUUAUUUCACAGCCAGAUAACACAAUAACUCAAAAUAACAUAGCAAAAGAAAACAAAAAUAGUAGCCGUUAGCCUCAUUUCUUCAAAUAUGGAGAACUAAAGUUAAUACUGGACCAAUUUACAUGAAAUGCCAACAAUCAUUCCCUAUGCCUAGAAAAGUUAACAAAGAAAUCAAAAGAGUCAAGCAAUCAUUGAUAUUCACCAAAGAGAUGUUCUUGACUCAACCACAUUAACUAGAUACACUUCUAUUAUUAAAACUUGACAAUAGUAGAAUUAGAGUCAAUAAUCCAACAUCAAACCUUGGUAUUCACAUGAGAGCUAAGCACCAAAAAGAAAGAAAGAAAAUGAACGAAAGAUAGAUAAAUAACAAACUAGAAAUAAAGGAAAAACACCUAAAAACUAAAAACUACUAAAACUAGAACCACAACUGAUCCCCCCACACCUAAACGAUACAUUGUCCUCAAUGUAGCAAAUAAACAUCAAAAGUAGGAGAAAUGGCAACAAAACUUUCCUGAAGUUGGGUCAAAGUGGUGGGUGAUAACCAAAUUGAGGCGUAAGACCCGCAUGAUGCAUGAAUGCUACAUAAACAAAAAAAUUUUCUUACUUGGUAUGAAUUAUGAAGCCACUUGCUUCUUUCUCUAAUCUUGCUUGGUUUUAGUUAAUUAUGGUUACAGAGACUGCUUAGUUUACGCUAAUGCUGGGGCCUUGGGAUGCUCAAAAGGUCUAAUCCUUGGUAUUUAAAUAAAAAGCUGAAAACAAAGGUUAGGUACAGUACAACUGGCAUUUCCACCUAAAAUAUUAGCAAUAACAAUAGUAGACAAAUUCUCAAUUGUUAUAUUAGAGCAGCUUUGCUAUCUCAAUUAUUGCACCUAAAACAACAAGAAGUGGUCUUCUCAGCGUCAAAGAAGAGAGUGCUUCUAAACCACAAGGGGAUAAAGUGUAAUUUGCCUUUUUUAAAAUAUUGAUUUUAUGUCGCUUAUAAAAUCAAGGCAGCCAAAUUUAGCUGCAACCUGAGCUUUUGACCAUUGAAUACACAAAGUGAUUCACUACGUGAUCAUUAUUUUAGGUGCAAAAACUGUAUUUUUUCUAAAAAUUAAAAGAAACUUCAAAAAAUUGAACAAAAAAAUACUAGCAAGAAGGAGUGAGAUGUAAGAAACAUUUAAGUAGCCGGAGUUUUAAACCUAGGACCUUUAAUUCUUGUAGUUUCACCUUUAACUAAUUGACCAAGUCUCUUUCCCACAUAAAGGCUAUCAUUUUUCUGGGCAUUAAUGUGAUUUCAUUAAAUUUUUGGACCGAAUCUUUGUGCUGUUAAACAUUUUAUACAUCCAUCUUGGGAGCAAAUCGCAUAUAUCUUUUUUUUUUUUUUUUAAAUAAAUUGUAUAUAUCUUAUGUUCAAAAGGAUAAAGUGUUACUCAUGUAUAUAUCUUAAGUUCAAAGGGAUAAAGUGUUGCUUAUGUCUCACUCCCAAGUUCGAUAUGUAAUCAAAGUGUAAGCAGCCCUAAAAUUCAUUCAUCAUUCUCUGUACUCACAACAGCUAGUCACAAGCUUUGGCCAGCUGAGAGCCUGAGACAGAGAGAAUAAAAAGACAGCUAACAUUUAAAAAAUACCGGGAAAAUGGUGGGCACAGCUAACAUUUACAGCUAAAAUAUUAACAAUAUAUAAAACUAGCAGGAGAAAAUAUAUAUAUAUAUAUAUAUAUAUACGUGUGUGUAUAUAUAUAUAGAAAUGGAUGGGUCACGUUCGUGUCUCAAUUGUUAAUUUGUUAUUAUAUCAAGGCGGCGGCUUUGGCCAUCUCAAUUAUUACCGCUGCACCAACAAAUUAUCCCAAAAAAAUCCUAAACAAAUCAUCCAAUGAGGGUUUCUCAGCUUAGAAAGAAGAGCGCUGCUCCUUUUGACAAACUUGCAAAUGCAUUUUCCACCAAAGCCACUCGGUGUUAUACUCGAAAGUUUCUUCAUCAAUGCUGGUGCUUGAAUGAUGGACCUUUGAUUGUGGAAAAGAUCUGCAGUGCGGUUGUGACAUUGAUUAGGUUCAAGAUUUAAAUGUCUUUCAUUAGAUUUACCAAUUUAUUCUCCUUAUAACACAUUUAAUUAAGAAUUAACAAUUUUAUUAAAAUUACUCCAAGAGAAACUGUCAGUAUUUAAGAAUUCUUUUGAAGUAAUUAUUACUAAUAUAUAGUUUCCAUUUCUUAAUCUCUCCUAAAGAAUUGUUGCAAACUUUUUUGGUUUGUGCGUCACUUUGCAUCUAAGAAUUCUAAAUUUCACCACCAACUGAUAUAUAGUUACUUUAGUUUCCUUUUCUCUUCUAUUUCCAAUUUCUCCUUACUUAUGUUUCCUUGUUGCAAGGCUUGCCAAACUAUAUAAGAUAUUUGUUAUCGAUUUCUUUGAUUCCUAAAACACAAGAAAUUUUUCAUUCCUAAUAUGUAUUCUUUUUUUUUUAAUUGUUUAAUUGAUUUUUAAAAGAUAUUAGUAAAGAAUUUUAGAUCCAAUUUGGUGCAGUGCUCCUUUGACAAACUGAAUCGGUUUGCAUUUUCAAUUCACCUUUCUUAAUGGUAUGGUCGUUGCUGGUAUUCUUCAUCUGCUUUUGAUCCGCACGCUUAAAGAAAAUGCCAACCAUAUCAUUGAGACUCUUAAUAAAUCUCACGAUGAAUAAUUUCUUGGGACAUGAACGUACGAUGAUGAAUAAUUUCUUGGGACAUGAACGUACGAUGAAUAAUUUCAUCUAAAUGGCUGAUCCUUGGUGGAUCAGAUUUCAAACAUAAUUUAAGUACGCCUUACUUUUUGUUUGCUUUCUGCUAACAGUACUGUGGCGGUGUGGCUUAAAAUCCUCCAAUUUCUUUAAAUUCCAGAGACACCCAGAGUUCUCCAUUUCCCUUUUGUGAUUUUGCAACAUUAAUUACCUCAUUCUCUAAUCCUAGGGACAUAGGCUAAAAACUGAAAAAAAAAAAAAAAAUCGCUAGUUUAGUUAUCAAAGGCAUGAAGUGGAGCUAGUGAUCAGGCUUGACACGUAGCUACAUAAUUGGUCAGUGAUUGCGUGCUUUCUUAGCUUUUACAAUUGCAAAAUUUUCAAAAUAGUCUCUUGUAUUUCCAAAAGUUCUUUAGUGAUAGGGUGCAAAAUUACUAUUCAAUUUAUGAUUAUUUCCCCUUGAUUGUAACCAAAUAUUGUUUUAAUUAAUGGAUUCUACUUAUAUUUGGUUAAUGGUAUUAAUUGUAAGAAAAUGAGCAAAACGUAAUUAAAAAGGAUAAUUUUCAAGUUAAUUUGGUGGUGACACGAUCAGGACUUGCUUUCAAAUCUAGAAGACUCGAAAAUUUUCUACGCAAAGGUUUCCUAAUUUGAGUCAACUAUGAAUAGCUUUUGAAAGAUUUGGGAAGACGUUAUUUAUAUUUAUUAGUAGUAGUAUUACAUUAGGAAACAUGAAAUAUUAUUAUCUUUUGUAUUUUCUUUUUCUAAUGAGGCAAUGUGCUUUUGUUAUUAGUAGUAGAUAUCAAGUAGAAAAUUGAGGGAGAGAAAAAGCCGGCAUUUCACGUGAUUAAUACUUCGGGAAGCAAGAAACGAGAGGGGAGCCAUCGUGGCUAGUCCCGUGUCAAGGAGGGGAGCGGCUUGGCUUUUCUCUUGUUUUUCAGUUUCUUUAGUUUUUUUUUUUUUUUUAUCAAAGACUUAUGCAGCUUGCUUUGAGAAAAAUCGUGUCAAUUGUUCCAAUUGUUCAUGUGCAACUAAAUUCUCUUUUUUAGUUAAGAAAUAACAAAAGAUUUGGUUCAUCUACAUCUGUGAGAUCUAACUGUUUUUAUCUAUUUCUCUUAUUUGUUAGUAUUUGUAUGUUUUCUUAUUUAAUUUCUCAUGAUUGUUUUGUUGUUUGGAUAUCAUGGGCACCCGAUAUUUAAUUCAACUUAACAAACUGAAUCUAAUUAAGAUAGUUAAAUUUGUAAUUGUUUAAUUAUCUUAAAUUAGUGGCAAUUAACGUGAUUGGUGCCAUGUUAGGAAGACAUACGAUCUGAUUUAAAUAAAUUCUGGUAGUGUGUUUAUUGAUUAGAACUAGGAUUUUCUAGUUUCUAAUGCAAUCAAGAAAUUAAAUUUUAUGAGCGUACGGCGUACCUAGGGUUGUUUCUUGGUUAGAGAAAUAGUUAACGGGCGUACUUUACCUAUCGAGACACUAAGGAAAAACUGAUUGUUUAUUACGUAUAUGACAACUAUAACCUAUUUAUUAGCAAAUAAUUGAGAUAAUUAUGUGCAUCGAUGAUCAGUUAUUUGAACCACUUCCGGAGUUAUGUCUUUGGCUAGAGCUUAUUUAUUCUUAAGUUGAAUCUAAUUUGCUUUAGUUUAAUUAUUUUCAGUCACAUUGAUUAUUUACUUUUGUUUUAAUUCUCCAAACCCCUCUUCCCCCCCCCCCCCCACACACUAAUUAGCUUUUACUUAGAAAGAAAUAGAUUUUUCCUCUAAUUCCUGUGGAGACGACCCUACUUGUCAUUAUACCCGUUUAUAUCUUUUUGUGAGUAGAAAUUUAUUAUUGCACAGGCACGACUCUUGUCUUCUAGCACUUUAAAACAUCAGACAUUUCGAAGCAAAUGUCUUGUUUAUGGACAAUAUACAAAAUUUAAGUGGUGAGAAAUUUGAGGAGUUUGUAUAUUAUGAAAUAUUGGAGAUCCCUUGUUAUUUGUAUUCGUCUUAAUUUGUUCCUCCAUUUCACAAUUAGUUUGCAUGCAUUUUAAUGGUGAAUUUGUCCACAAUUUAUAAUCAUUUAAUAAAGCGUUUUGUAAUGACAUCGAAAAUACACUUUGAGGGAAAUUGAGGCAACUCUCUUUUAAAUAGAUCAUGAAAAAGAAAAUGCUACAGCUGAUUGACAGUUUGAACUUUGGAGGCACCAUAUUCAUAGCAACAAAUCACAAGCUUUGGUUUAUCCAGCUGAGACACGAAUAAAAAAGAUAGCGCCGAGAUGUGAUCCAGCUAAGAAUCAAAUGAAUUUCAAAAGGCAGUAUUACUAAUUAGGGGCCAACAAGGUCUAUCCAAUAAGCUUUCUCGAUCGGCUUAGAAAAAAGAGUACUGCUUCUUUUGACAAACUUGCGCGCAAUUUCCUCCAAAGCUCCUACUGGGCGUUUCACUUGAAAGUUUCCAAGUCAGUGCUGGGCUUUUCUGACUGCUUCUUUUCCUUUUUCGAAUUGUUUGCUCCUUUUGUGCUCGAAUGCCGAGCCUUUGAUUUGUGGAAAAAUAAUUUAGAGAGUAAAUUCCAGCACUUGGUUUUCAAUAUCAAAGACCUCAAAUGUUCUGGUGAUUCUUGGAGUAGAAAUCAAAAGAGGAAAACUAUUACGUCGAUCCUUAAUUAAUAAAGGAGUACAAUUAUCCUGUUUUGUGAGAAAUUUUAAGUGGCAUGGCACAAAUGUUAAAAUCCCAUGUUUCACCUCAACUUCUAAUGACUAGUAACAUGUCAUGUGUUUUGCACCGUGAUCAUAUUAACCUAACAUAUAACAUCAUUGAGAUACUAAAUUCUUUGUUAAAUUUUGACUUUAAGCAUCAAACUAGAGCAAUUCUUUUGGUUUUCAGUUUCUUUAACUAGUUCUUUGAAAAAUACUAGUUUAGGUGUACAUGUAUUGCACGCUGCAGUUGCUAUGACUAAUAACUUAUUCAAAAUUCUUUAAACAAUUGAACUUUAAGUAAAUGAAACAAACCUUCAACGAAGUACUAAAAUUCAUAUAUAAAUCAAAAUGCACUCUUCUAGUAACCACUCCAACACUAUAUAGCCUUGACAAAUAGACCAUAGAAUUCAAACAGAACAGUAAAAUGUAAUAAGAAAUAAAUGGGCUAAGGAGGUUCUGAUUUAAUGAUUAAAGUACUUCAAGAAUAAAAGGUCCUAGAUUCAAUUCUCUGAAUUUUUACUUCUCAUGUAUGAAAAUAAAGUAUGAACGUAAAAAUGAGCUAACCUAGUGUUUCAAAAAUAAAAACUACAAAGGAUCUUUGUAUACUCUUAAAACUUAUGCCUAUAAUUUCUUCUUGUUAAUUUGCAACCUAAACCUUUUAACUUUUUUAGUAUCUUUCCAUUUCAAAAAUUGGAGAUCCUUGAUAUUUGUAGUUGUCUUGACCGAUUCAAUAUCUUUCCUCCAUUUCAUAAUUAGUUUGCAUGCAUUUUAAUGGUGAAAUUAUCCACGAUUUGUAUAGAAUACACCUAGGGCUGUCAUUCCGUCUUUGAGCUUGGGGUUGCUUCAUUAAUUUUAAAAAAAUCUUAGGUCAAAUGAACUUUAGCAAAGAAUAAUUUGAAAUAUGCAUUUGCAACCUAAGAUUAAUUUGAAAUCUUAGGUUAAAAAUUUAUCUUCAUACCUUUUGCAAGGUCAUUGAAAACACACAUUGAAGGUACUUGACGUUACCCUGUUUUUAAAUAAAAUCAUUGGACAUUAGAAAGUAUAGAGGCAAGAAUUAUUACAGACGGAAAUUUAAGAGGUACUUUGAAGACAUCAAAACACACUUUGAAGGUCCUUGAGGUAAACCUUUUCUUAUAUAUAUAUAUAAAUCAUUAGCAUUAGAAAAUUAGGAGGAAGAAUUAUUAAAAAUAGAAAUAUUAAAAAAUCUACCUAAUAUUCCUUUUAGGAUAAAUUUUGUAUAUAUAUACAAGCGAGGCUGAAUACAUGCUACCUUUACUGUGGAAGAAAUAAGUACAUCAGCAAUUCUUUUUGUUCCUUGGAUACUUUUUGCAGUGGAAGGUUUUUGCUCUGGGCGGAAGCAGUAAGGAACUAUUCUUUGCUUUGUAGAAGCAACAAGACUUUGACAAACUUAUAUGCUUUUGCAACAGGGGAAGAGCUUGCUACUUGAUCCGGGGCCUCACAAUUUAUGUUUUAUACAAUUUCGUACAAGUUGAUCUUUGGUGUAAAUUAGUCGGAUUUCGGUGUGAAUCAGAUCCAGUUUAAUAUAAAUCAGGUGCAGUUCAGUGUAUAUUAAUUUGUUAUUAUUUGGUAUAAAUCAGAGACACUUAGAUAUAAGUUGAUUAUUACAAUUUAGUGUAAGUUAAGGUCAAUUUGAUGUAAAUUGAGAGUAAAUUGUUAAUUUACAUCAACUUAUACAUAAUGGAACUUGUGAGGCCUAUUUCUUGCAUAGAACUUGUGAGGCCUAUAAUUUUGGUAUCCAAAUUUUGACACCUGAGCAGUUUUAAUCCCCAAACUUUGGACAAAAACAAAUCCGGUACACAAACUUUCAAUAUUUGAGCACAUUUAGUAGCCUUAGUGUUUUUUUUUUUCAAAUUGUUACUUAAAAGAGUUGUGUGAUAGUCAUAUGUUCGACAAAUAUUAUAUAAAAAAAUGUUACAAAAAUGUAAAAUAUCUUUCUGACACUAAGGUGAAGAUGAAAUACAGCAAAAGAAGGAGAAAAGAAAUAAGAUGAGUGGAGUUGGGUAAGUGAUUAAAGUUUUUAAAAUAUCUUGAUACUUAGUGUCAGAAGGAUAUUUUACAUUUCAUUGGUAUUUUUUUUAUGCAAUAGUCACGCGAUUUUUUCCAAUAGCAUUUUGGAAAAAAAUUGUCAAAGGUACUAAAUGUGCUCAAAUAUUAAAAAUUUGAGUAUCAAAUUUGUUUUUGUCCAAAAUUUGGGGAUUAAAACUGCUCACGUGUUAAAAUUUGGAUACCAAAACUACAUUUUUCUCUACUUGUUUGUCCUUGUUGCUCGGGCCUUCAUCUGCUUUGGAUCCACAUGCUGGAGCCGUGCGUUGUGUAAAAUAUGACAAUCAAGGAUUUAAAAUACGACAAAACAGGAAAAAAGAAAGGGAAAAUGGCAAUCAUAAUUGCAACUUCGGCGACCAUUUUCUUUUUGGGUUAAAUACAAAAAACCUUCUUAUGAUUAAUCCAAUGUUCAAGUUAACUUCCUAUACUUUGGAAACAUACAUAAAAUCCCCUUAUGCUUUUGAUUAAAAUAAAGGACAAAUUACACUUUACCCUCUUGUGGUAUAACUACUAUUCACAUAACCCCCUGUAUUUUUAAAAGCUAUAUGUAACCUCUUUAUAGUUUGGACUACAUUGUCAAAGUGAUAGAAAUAAUCAUUUAUAAUAGAAUCUAUGAAAAUGUCAAAAUUAGCAAAAUAUAGAAAUAUAAUAUACAUGACACUCUAAUCCCAUAUGGUUUUAUAUUUUAUCAUACAACCCCCUUAUGAUUUAAUGUUUUAUCAUAUUACCCCCUAAUGAUUUUCAAUAUAUAUAUAUAUAAUCCCCUGUGGUUAAUAAAGAAUUUUCAACUUUACGUAGAGGCAUUUUUUAUUUUAGUUGUCUCCGUUAUGGAUUGCAAAUUCCGUCAUUUUGAUAUUUUAAUCCAAAUCAUGAGGGGCUUAUGUAUAGAUUUUGACACCAUAGUGAGAUUAUAUAAGAAAAUACUAAAUCCCAAGAGAGUAAAGUAUAAUUUGUCCUAAAUUAAAAUAUUAAGUUUUUUGUUAUAGUUAACAUUCAUAAAGGGUAAGUUGGUUAUUUGAUUAUAAGGCAAUUUAUAUUAUAUAAAAUGGGAAAAUAGAAAAUCUUUUUCUCUUCUUUCCAUCCAUACGCCUUACAAUGUAUCUCUUUUUUUGUAUUUUUUGGUUAAAACACUGUAUCUCCACCACUUGACCUUCCCUUAUCUUUCGUUCUUUCUUUCUUUUUUUUUUUAACUUUGUUCCUAUUCAUCUCUGAAUCACCCAUAAAUUUGUUAUUAUUUGGUAUAAAUCAGAUACACUUGGAUAUAAGUUGAUUAUUAUCAUUUAGUGUAAAUUGAGGUCAAUUUGGUGUAAAUUGAGAGUAAAUUAUUUAUUUAUUUAUUUAUUUUACUCGAGAACUUUCACUUACACUCCCUGCCACUUCCACCCAACCCAUCUCUCCCUCCAUAAAUUGUUAAUUUACACCAGCUUAUGCAUGAUGGAACUUGUGAGGCCCUAUUUCCUGCUUAGAAUUUUUGGUUAAAACAUUGUAUCUCCUUCUCACCACUUGACCAUCCCUUUUCUUUCUUUCUUUUUUUUUUUUUAAAAAAAACUUUGUUCCUAUUCACCUUUGAAUCACCCAUAAAUUAGUACUAUUCAAACCCAAAAUGAUGGCGUCUUCAAAAUUUCAGAAAUGAUGGAGUGCUUGAUCUACUUCUUCAUUUGUGCAUACAUGAUAUUUCUGUCCAUGGCGCCAGCCUAUUUAUGUCAAUUAAUUCCGUGCGGUGGCUGCUUGCGGUGCACAGGAGCGGUUAUCUGGAGAAGAUGAUAUGAGAAAAGAUGAUCAUAUCCUGUGAUUUGAUGUUUUACUACAUAACCCUUCUAUAGUUUAAAAACUUAUAUAUAACCACUUCAUAAUUUGGAUUAAAGUGUUACCAUCAUUUUUUUCAAUUAAAACUAACAGUCAAUAGCAAAAAUCAAAAUCAAACUAAUAAAUAAACAAAUUCACUACAUUUUUUUCCUUUCUUUCUUUCUUUCUUUUCUUUUCUUUCUUUCUCUCUCUUUUUUUUUGGAAGAGAAGUGAUGAUUUAAAAUCUGUACUUUGGCUUAUAAAAUCUUAAUUUUCUCCGGAUACAAAAAAAAGGAACGGAUAUGAAAAAUAAAUAAUUAAGAAAUAGAAAAGAUGGAAGGAAACUGAAAAAAUAAAUUAAUAAGAAACCAAAAAUGGAAGGGAAAUAUAAAACAAAUAAAUAAGAAACAAAAGGUACCAAAUCUUUAUUGACUGCAAAUACCAUUAUAGGCUUUCAGACCAAAUCUUUUAUGGUAUUUUAUAUUUAUUAUUUAUCUAUUUUUACUUAAAUUUAUUCUUUUUUGUAUUUGGAGGAAAAAAAAGGAAAGUAGUGAAAGAGUAAAUUUAUCAAUGUAUUAGUUUUGAUUAUUUUACUAUUGAUACCUAGAUUAAUAGAAAAACUAACGGUGAUGCAUUAGGUCAAACCAUGAGGAGGUUAUAUAUAGGUAUAUUAAGUCAAACAGGGCAAAGGGUACUUUAUCCUAAUUAUUAGGGCAAAUUACAUUUUAGCCCCUUGUGGUUUUCGCAAAAACCACAUAACCCCCCCAUCGUUCAAAAAGCUAUACAUAAACCCCCUGUGGUUUGGGUUGAACUGGCAAAUAGACGGAAAGCACCCACCGUAACGAUUCGUGGGCAAAAUGUCCAAAUUACCCUAAUAUAAAUACAAAAAGGAAGCAGAUGAGUCAGAUUCUUCCUUGUUCUGUCUUUGUCGUGAGAAAAGGAGAGAAAAACAUGACCACCGAAUGAAGGAGAGAAAUUUAACCCACAAAGAUCUACCAUUGAAGACCAAAAAGUAGCUGUGAAAGAGCAUCACGAAAGCUGUUGUUGCAUCUGGUAAGUUUUUUGACAUCAUUUUAGCAUAUAAGAUGCACUUGCAUGGUUUUUGAACAGAAACUAUCAGGCAUUGGAAAGUUAAUAAAUCAGUGAUUAUUUUGCUUAAGCGUUGAUUAAUUUAAAAUUUUGCUGCUUUGGGACAAUCUGUAUUAUCAUAUUUAAGCAUAGAAUAUUUUAUCGACUAGAAUUGAAUUUAUGCAUUAAGAUUAGGGUAAAGAAAAUUGCAUUCGGGAGUAAAGAAAAUCCCGCCUGCAUAAUAACGUUGAAACCCGCAAGCGGGAUUCUGUGUUUUUUCUAUUUCAAGGUUAGCUCGCAUGCGGGUUAAUGUUAUAUUUGAGCGCGAGAAGAAAAAAUUGGUAAUUAGGCUCUUUGGGCAUUAUAAGUAAAUAUUUAAAUUAAUGGCAGUUUUAUUACAUCAAUAUUAUUGUAUUAUCAUUAUUAUGAUUAUUGUAUUAUUUCUUAUGCAAAUAUAACAUUUAAUUAUUUAAAUUUGAUUUUAUUUUUACAAUUUAUAAAAUUUUUAUCACUUAUAUAAUAUUUUUAAAACCCUAAUACAUCUAAAUUUGAUUUUAUUUUUCAAAUUUAUAAGAUUUUUAUUUUAAAAAAUGGGAUACGGAUAAGAUAUCCGGUUGGUUCGAUUUGCAUAGGUGCAUAUGAGAAUAUCCGAAUACUCUUUAAACCCGCAUGCGGGUUUAAGGAGAUUAUGGCAACUCUCUGACACACUAGUUACCCGUCCAACUUGUGUGUAACUAAAAUAUAUUUAAAUAAUAUAUUUCAUAUUUUUGUUAUUUAGAGUUUAACAAAACAUUAAUAUUGGGUAGAUUUGAGGGAUAUGCAUAAUUUUGCAUAUUUGUAGGAAUAUUAGAAAAUGGAAAAUUUGGGUAAAUUCCCAAAUUUUGGAGGUAAGGUGCAAUCCAAGAACUAAAACAGUCAUUUAUAAAACCUUAACAGUCAUUUAUAAAAUAGUCAUUUCUAAAACCUUAUCAUCACUGCCUCACCAGUUGAACGAAAAUUGCAGGUUUGUUCAGCUUCUAUCUUCACGGCAUUUCUUCUUAUUUUUCUUUCGUUCUCUAUCUUGGGUUCCUUCACCAACUUUCAGUGCAAAGUCAGCAACAAAGUAUUUCGGAAGAUGGAAAGAGAUGAGGAGCACCCAUCUAGGCUUUAUUGGGUACGUCAAAUUGGUCAGGGGUAAUAUGGGUAUGUUUCCUACUGCUACCAGAAGAACAGGCGCGUUUUGCCCACGAAUCGUUACGGUGGGUGCUUUCCGUCUAUUUGCCAGUUCAACCCAAACCACAGGGGGUUUAUGUAUAGCUUUUUGAACGAUGGGGGGGUUAUGUGGUUUUUUCGAAAACCACAGGGGGCUAAAAUGUAAUUUGCCCUAAUUAUUAUUUUGUUUGCUUAAAAUCUUUGCGAAUUUGGUCAAAGUCCAGAGACCACAAAGUGAUCAUUUCCAUACUGCUUAUCUGGCCGGUUGUCCACCUCAAUAAUCAGACUCGGUCAUACAACCGUCAUAUAUGACUCUGAUAGAGCAAUUACUAAACAAAUAGUUCAGAUAAGUUUGCAAGUUCAUUAUCAAGAGGUCAAAGUUCAGAGAAACCAUUUCAUCCCCUUAGAAUCACAAUUUUAAAUAGAGUGAACUGACUUUAGCAAUAAUAAAUUAAAAUCCAUAGAAACAGACAUUUAAAAUAAACAAAACUAGACUGCUAGUUGUUUUAAACAUUAAUAGGAUAUUUGUAGGAAAUGCGGGCCAAAAGUUAUUGAGUUCCAGCCGUAUAGAUGUUACUGAAGAAGCUUCAAAAUUCUAACCUCUGUUUGUCUAAGCAAGCAGGGACGGAGCCAGAAAUUUAUUUUUGGGGGGGCUGAAGUGUAUUAAAAAUUUUUUUUUGUGACGAAAUAAAUAUAUUUAAUAAGUAAAAUUUAGAAUCAAUAAUUAUAAAAAUAAUAAAAACAUAUAAUUAUACAUACCCAAAAAUUUGUUAUUGAUUAACACUUGAAGUAUUGGUAGUUGUUGCACUCGAAUAACGAAGAGGAGGCAAUUGCAUUCUGCGAGUCUUCAUCCGUUGAAAACGUUGCAAUAUUUGCUCAUUUUCAAUUGUUGCAAAAAUAUCCUUCUCGAUGUAUACAACCAGACAGUCAUUCAUCCACUCGUCUCCCAUUUUGUUGCGCAAAUCAGUCUUGACAAUAUUCAUUGCAGAAAAUACUCUUUCAACAGAAGCAGUCGCAACUGGUAGAACUAAUGCCAACUGGAUCAGACGAUAAACAAAUGGAAAAACUGUAUUUUUACCAGUUUUAACCAUUUGUUGAGCAAGACUUCCCAAAUCUCCAACUUCUGAAAAUUGAGGAUCGCGUUGCACAUUAUAAAUAUAAUUUCGAAGUUGAGACUCAAGAUAUAAAUAAUCGUUACUUGAGAAGUCUUCAGGAUAUAAAUCAGCAAGACGGAGUAGUUUCUGCACAUUGAAUUGAGAGAAAGAACUUUUUGGAUCAAGACAUGCUAUGCAACUAAGCAAUUCCGUGCUAACUUCCGAGAAACGAUUAUUCAUCUCUUGUAUAAUUAAAUCAACAACCUGACAUCACAACAAUAAUAAAAUUAAUAACUAAGAAAAUCUGCUAACAAGUAACAAAUGUAAUGAAAUAAUAAUUUCAAAAAUAAUACCUCACAAAAAAUUUCCACGCGAUAAUGAUGAAAAUUAGUGAUGGUUUGACCUCUGCGACUGCGCCUGGCAUUGCCACGGAUUGCUAUACUGUCUUCCAUAUCAAUCACGGGAAUCAUAUUCAACUCACAAAAAUUGUUGACUUCAUCUAAAAUUAUUUGCCAUCCCUCUUCCCUAAAGUCUUGCAAUUGAGAUUUCAUAGUAUCAAUCAAACUCAUGGCUUGGACAAUAUUUUGAUCCCUUUGUUGCAAAACAAGUGACAAGUCAUUUGUGAUUCCCAAUAAAUACUUCAUCAGGUGCAAUGCAAAAACAAACUCAUAAUCAUUCAUUCUAUCAAUCAAACCCCUGGCCAUACCUCUAUUGUCAGAAGUGGAGGCAUCAUCUUGUAUAUUUCCCAAUAUUCCAAUCACCGAAGCCCACAUAGAGGAUAGACGAAGUAAUGUUAGAUAGUGUGAUCCCCAACGAGUAUCCCCUGGUCUUGCUAAACUAGUUUCUUGAUUUUUGCCUUUUCCACUAAUAAUAUCUCCACUGUCUAAAAGUGCAACAAUCUUAUCAUGUUCUAUUUGUCUUAAUUGAUCUCUCCUUUUACAUGAUACUCCAGUUAAAUUGACAAUCAUAGAGACAUAGACAAAGAAUUCACUGAUAAUGAUAUUUCCCUUAGCAACAGCAACAAUAACUAACUGGAGUUGGUGAGCAAAACAGUGAAUAUACAUCGCAUAGGGAUUUUCUUGUAAUAUAAGGGCCUUCAAACCAUUGAACUCACCUCGCAUAUUUGAAGCUCCAUCAUAUCCUUGACCUCUCAAUUUGGAUAAUGAUAAUCCGUGUUGCGCGAAUAAAGAAUCAAUUGCAUCUUUCAAACAAAGAGAUGUGGUGUCAGACACAUGUACAAUUGCAAGGAAACGUUCAAUCACACGCCCUUCUUUGUUCACAUAUCUCAAAACAACUCCCAUUUGCUCUUUCACUGAACUGUCUCGAGACUCAUCAACUAUUAGGGAAAAAUAAUUGUCUCCAAUAUCAUUGAUUAUAACACUUGUGAUCUCUGAGGCACAAGCAUGUGCCAGAUCUUUUUGAAUCAUUGGAGAAGUUAGUUGAUUAUUUGCAGGAGCAUUUUGAUUUACAACCUCAAAAAUCUCAGUAUUUCGCUGGCUAUACCACUCAAACAAUUCAAGAAAAUUGCCUCUAUUUGAAGAACUAGUUGACUCAUCAUUUCCACGAAAAGCCAAUCCUUGCUUCAAAAGAAAGCGGGUCACAUCCAGAGCAGCAGUUAAACGGGUGCGAUAUGCAAUAUCUAUUUCGCGCCCACAAGAUCGUAGCACAUUUGACACACUAUGCCUUUGAUCUUGAAAACUUUCAAACUGUAUUCUAGCAUCAUUAUGGCAACUAUUCACAGCUCCAAUAUGUUCAUUAAAUCUUUCCAUUGCCUUUUUCCAAUUAUUGAAUCCCGUUUUUGUAAAGGCAUCCUCUGCAUAUCGACCUCCCUUAUUUUGUGUUUUGAAAAGAAAGCACCAAAAGCAAAACGCCGCAUCUUUCGAUAUGCUAUACUCUAACCAUACAAACUUUUGAUACCAAAUAUCUUGGAAACUUCUAUGUUGUUGACCAAAUGAUGUUUUUGGAUACAUAUGGCCAAUCGGUUGGCAAGGUCCCCUAGUCAAAUACUCUCUUCGGACAUGGUCUCGAAGAGAAAUAUCAAAUUUCUCAACUGAUUUUCGUAAUCCCGGAUCACUAACAAUAUCAUUUAAAUUCAAUUCCACACAAGAUUGAUUUUGAACUGGUUCACUAAUAUUAGGCUCAUUUGAAGAUUCACCACUACGGACUCGUUUAGGUUUAAAGAAUCUCUCCAUUUUCUGUCACAAUUAAAUAAUUGUGGUUAAAUUCAAUAAAAUUAUGCAAUUCAAUAAUCAAUUAAUUUAAAAUUCAUAUAAAUAAUUCUUUAAUUUAAUAAUAAAUUCAUAUUACUUAUAUUUCUCAAUUUAUAAAAUUCAUUAUAUAAAAUUAUCAAAAAGUUAAAAUAAGGUACAACUAAAUACCCAUAUAAUUUCUAAUUCAAUCUCAUAAAAUUUUGAAUUUAUAUUUACAUUCAAAAUUUCUAAUUCACAUAAUUAAUUCUUAAAAUUUCAAAUAUAAAACUAACAAAAUUUUAAAAACUAAAUACAACCUAAAAUCUAUACAAUUUCUAAACUAAUUUCUAAUUUAAAUUUAAUAUCAUUAAAUUUUUUAAUGUAAUCUUUCAAAUUCUUAAAUUACAUUAACAUAAACUAAAUAAAAAUUAAUCUUAAUCAAAUUAAUAUCAAGAUACUCAAAAUUCAAAAAUAAUUUAAACAUAUAAUUAACAAAAAUAUAAAGAUGAAUAUUGUAAUUUAAACCAAAAAACUAACCUAAAAGAUUUAUGUGAAUGGAAUGGUGGAGAGUUGGAGUCUUGGAGCCUUGAAUUGAAGGCUUGAAGCAGGAUGGUAGAAUCUCAAGUUCUCAACUGAAGCUUCUUGGAGUUCUUGGAGCCUGGCGUGAGUGGCGUCUUCUUCUUGGAGUUGGAGACUUGGAGUCUUGUUUCAGUUGUUUGCCCUUUGGCCUUUGGCAUUGGCGGCGACGCGGCGUGCUUUUGCAUCAGAUGAAGCCUUAGGGCUUCAUCUGAUGUAUUUUUUUUUCCCUCAUUAUACAAAACGACGUCGUUCCACUAAAAGUGAAACGACGUCGUUUUGUAUUUAGAGGGCAAAAAAAAAAUUCAACAUAAAUUGGGUCAUCUUCUUCCUCGGACCUCAGCAGUCAGCAGACUCAGCAGUGCUGGCAGCGGCUUUCCAGGCCCAGCUAUUCUUGAGGUCCUCUGCAGCAUUCAUGGAGGCAUCAGGCAUGGAGCCAUGGACAUGGACAGGCACGGAUUUAAGGGGGGGCUGGUGGGGGCUGGUGGGGGCUGGCCGCCGGAAUCCCCUAUAUAUAGGGGAUUUUCCGGCGGCUUGGGGGGGGCUUAAGCCCCCACCAGCCCCCCCUUAAAUCCGUGCCUGUAAGCAAGAGACCAAAAAAAUCAGCUUGGAAAGUUUUGAAGAAAGGAGUGUCAUCAGCAUUGCUGAUCUAAAGACAUAUAGAAAAUGUUUCACAAAUUUUCUGCAUAUGCUAUGAAUAUAAAAUGCAAAUGCAUUUUCCACGGACAAAAGUGCAGAGAACUCAUUUCAUCCGGAUGCAAAUCGUGAGUUUAAAGCGAGAGCUAAUCUUAGAAAUAAUCUUGUACAUUGUUACUUGAUUAGUUAAUUUGUUUCACUUCUCUUUUAUGCAGAACUUGCUUUGGUCACCCAAGAAAAUCUUGUGCCUUUGGUUAUUCAUACACAAACAAGAUAUUAAGUCAAGCUUCCAUUGAAGACAUGCAACCAUCACCUAUUUAUGGUAAUGUUUAUGGAGUACCUAUAACUUUCAAUCAAGAUACAGAAACCUAAGAAAGACGCCAGACAAAAUUGAAAAGAACAACUUCAUGCAAUUGUUCAUUUUUGGUCAAGCGACUACCAACAUAAGAUUUACUCAACAUCAUGUAGACCCAGUAAUUUUGGAAUAACUAUGAAUCUUAAAGUAAGAGCAUCAUUCUAGACAUACGAUUUUUUACUGCAAAUGGAGAACAGGCAAACUCAUAAAAUCAUGUUGUAUGUAAUGGAGCUAAGAUACAACUUCAAGAAGGGUGGUGAGUAGCUUACAGAGGCCAACUAACAGACAAUAAGCAGUCAUAAGACAGACUGACAAUUUUCUGCAACUAGAUUGCAGCUAAUUUGAGAGGCAAGCAGUAUGAGACAGAUUAUCAAAUGAGGUCCAUAAUUGACGAAUUGCUACCUCAUGUCAUGACCAACAGGUUGAAGGCAUCGCAUUCACAACGUAGACCUCCAGCUUUGGCCAUCUCAGUCACUUAGAAGCGAAAGAGAGUGCCAUUCUAUAAGUUUGUCUCCAGUUUGAAAAUGAUGUGGUUGAAGAAGGAAUAAUGGGAUAUUGAUACGUAUGGCAGUAAUUAAGCCAUUGAGGUCUCCCGUGAGCUCUGAGCAGAACACCACUGCAAAAUAGAAUACUCAAAACUCAAGACUGUGUAUAGAAAAUCAUAAAGCUAACUAGAAAAUUCAGGUAAUUGCAGGACAUUUCUGUUCAACAAAUCUUACAGAAAGUUAGAGAGAGAGAGAGAGAGAGAGAGAUUUUGUCAUUGAUAUCAAACCUAAAUUAGUAAGCAGAUACAAAAUCUUUCUGGUCAGUCUACAAGAACCAAGUAUUGUCAUGAAAAUUGUUCCAAUUUGUGCCCAAAACUCCAAAAAAUGACCGGUUGAGUAAUUAAAAAAAAAAUUUGUUGCAACCAAAAAACAUGACAAGCAGAGACAACUCAAGAAUCUUCAUGAAGCGAAUUCCUAGAGAGUAGCAACCAAUUACUACCUCAAGAAUCUUCAUGAAAGCAAAUCUUCAUCAAAAAGUCCUGGUGAUGAUAGCUGUUCAAAAACAUCCAAUAAGCUGCGGCAAGGAAUUUUUUCCGAGCAGCUCGCACAGGCCAGCUGACAGUCUUGAGCAAUCAAAAACAUAGACUGAAAACUUUCUGCAAUUAGGUAACAACUAGUUUCAAGGACAAGAAGUCAGGAAAAAAAGAGAGAAUUUGUAGUAACAUAGCAGGUAAAUUCUUAUUGCUAGACCUCGUGACUGAAAUGGCAGAUUGACAGUGUGCAAGCUUCGACAAUAAGGACAUUUGGCUAUUUGAGGCAGCAAUAUGAAAGAAAAGAGGGCCAUCAUAAACAUUUCUGUCCAAGAUACUGGGUUUGCAAUUGAAUGAGCAAUUACUGCUAGUUGUUCUGAACGUUGAUAGGUCAUUUCUGUCCAAAAGGUAUGGUGUGAAGAAGCUUCAAAAUUCUAACCUCUGUUCGUGAAGCUAUUCUUCUAUCAAUCCUACAAAAACAAAGCAUAGAACAGAAUAUGAACAGAGAUACAGUAAAACAUCAAAGCACGAAACAGAACAGGUGCUUGGGGUCAUUCUAAUUGAUAGUUUCAAGAGUAUUACUAUUAUGUUGUAAGGAGUAAAUGAAGAGCACCAAUAUUUUGGACCUAAUAAGAAAUGCUAAUGCCGCAGCUUUGAAAGAUAAUAAAUAGGACGAUAAAAAGGGAGAAGAGAAAAUUGUGAAAAUAACCACGGAGACUUUUUUAGGUUUUCUCACGAGAAGGUUAAUCAGAGGGGGAGGUGAAGAGAAUGGGAGAUUGAUUGUAAAGCAAAUUAAGAAAGAGGUUAUUGAAGGC